CUACUUUAAUCUGGAAUUUAAUGAGUUUGUGGUUGGAUUCUGGUUCCCAUGUAGUUGUAGCAACUCUUAACACCACUAUUGCUUCUAGUAACAAAUCAGGACCUGGCAUUUAAGUAGCUUUUUGGUGUGUUCUAAGCUCUUCUUAGAUAAUUGUGUCAUAGCUCUCUUGCUCGUGUCGAGCAUAACCUCAAUGCCCUUUGCAGUUAUGAUAAAGGAGCUCACUUGUUCUUACCAUCCUCUGUCAUGCGGACACAUGGUGCUAAACAGCAACGUGAAGCAGUUAAGAGGGCACCUAAGAAUCAGCUACAAGCAGUUUUUGAGGUCUGUACAUAUUAGAUGCAUUGCAUGGUUACUGAUGCAUAUUUUAUUGUUUGAACUAAAUCAUCUUUUGGUACUAACAUGUGAUGUUCUUUGAACAAAAUCUCAUACUGAUAAUUUUGUAUACCUUCACAUGCUAUCACAUGUGUAGAUUUUACCAGCUUAGCUUCUGGUUUAACAAGGAUUCUCCUUUGUUUGAGUUAAUUUUCCAGGCCCUGGAAUACCAAAUGGAGGGUAAAUAAGAGGGUACUUAGUGUCGUUCAUAGAAUAUGGAGUAAUGGAGGCUGUCUUGCUGAUUUGGUAGUGAUGUGAGUAUCUUUUCUAACUUUCCUCAAUGUAACUCGUGUUUUUUUUUUUAGAAACUCCUUUACCUUUACCUUUGUGUUCCAAGAAUUGAUCAUGAUGUCUAUAGCAAUUAAAAAACCUUUCUCGUUUAAUUUCUUCAUUCAGGUUCCUUUACCUGAGAAGCCAGAAACAGAGUUUUUCAAUUUUCCUUCAUUUGAGAAUGAUUUGUAUAUUUACAACUAUAUAAACACAUAAAUACAUAAACAUUAAUAUAUAUAAUCAAUAUCAAUAUUUACACCAAAAUUGAACUUUCUUCGUUUAUAAAUAGCAAUGCGCCAAGCCUAAAUAUAUUAAGUCUAAUGUUAGCUAGACCUAGACGCGGUGGAUCUAGCACUAGCUAGACCCAAGAAAUGAUUAAGUCUAUCCACCGCCAAACCCAAAUCUUGCUAGGUCUAGCACUAGUCAGACCUAACCAAAAUUGAGCUUGGUAGUGUGUCAGGCCGACGCAUGUUAGGUUUGGCGCUAGCCAUACCCAAUAGAUAAUUGAGUCUAAUUACAUAAACACUCCCUAGUCAAAGGUUUUAGAUAGAAUAUUUGCAAUGGGAGAGGAAUUAGUGUUUGUGAUCGGAACAUCAAAGUUGGGCUAUUUGCGUUAGGAAUAUUGAAGUUUGAGAUUCUAAAGUCGAUUUAUGGAUUUCCCUUUGUUUUUCGGUUUGGUUAAGAAUGUGGUGGCUAAGUUUUUUUAUUUAAUUCAAUGAAAAAUUUAUAAUAUCUAAAAUAAAAGCUUUAUAGUUAUUAGUUUAAAAAUAAUAAUAAUUUUGUAAAUAAUUAGAUAUUUUUGUAAGAUUUUUUUACAUGUGUUAGUGAGGAUAUAAAGUGUUAUCAUAAACAAUAAUUUUUUAAAAAAAGCUUAAUUCAUUAUUAAUUCAAUAUUGAAGGAUGAAAUUAAAAAAAAAUACAAAUAAAAAAAACCAUAGGUCAACUCACUAAACUCGCAAUACGGGUCAUAAAAUUAAAAUAAUUUUAUAAAAAAAAAACAACAAUAAAUUAUGAAGCUUAAUUUUUAAGGAGACAAAUACUGAAAGAAAGAAAAACAUGUAGAUUUUAAAAAAAAAAUACCACUGCAAAUUUUAAUUUGGUAAGAUUUGUUGUUAAUAUUACUAUAUUAGAUGAGACGCGCUGGAUCUACAAAUGUUGUGCCUGCUAUUUCUAUUCGAAUAUUUCUUUUGAAGCUUUUGAAAAGAAAUAUUAACAUUUAUCAUUCAUUUAUGCACUUUUGACCAAAUUUUUCUUUUGCUUUUUUAUGUUGUCCCACUGAGAAGACCUUUUUUGUUCUUUUGUGUGAAAAAAAAACUAAAUAAACUAAUUAGAAAAUAAAAAAAGUUUGGGUCCAGUUCAAUUUCAGUUUUAAAAUUCUAAAACUAAUUGAACUAGAUCAAGUCAUAGACUAGUUAUUUUUAUUAUAUUCCCAUUAUUAUUUAUUAUUCUAUAGAUUUUUCUACAUUGAAGCUUUUGAAAAGAAAAUUAACAUUGAUCAUUCAUUCACUUUUGAAAAAACUUUCUUCUGCUUUUUUAUGUUGUUCCACUGAGAUGACCCUUUUUUGUUCUUUUGUGAAUUGAAAUUAUAUUACAUGUUUGUAAUUGUUUCAUCUCAUUUUUAUUUUUUUUUAUUUUUGAAAAGUAAACUUCCUUUAAUUAGAUUAUCCUUAAUAUCAAUCCCAUUGCUUUUUGCAGGUCUUAUCAAGCUGUUUUAAUUAAUUUUUGUUGCAUAAUUUGUAAUUAAUAAACAUGUAAUUAUAAAUGAAGGAAAGAAAAAAUUGGUUGGACUUGUUGGUUUCAAUUUUAUGUUUUUGGUUUUAUCUUUUUUAUUUGUUGUUUAAAGCCUUUUUUAACUCUUAAUCAAUUCUUUAUUUUUUAUUAUUUUUUUAAGUAUAAAAGUAUAUUCCAAAGAAUAUUUUAAAGUAAUUGGGCAAAUAACAUUGUUAGCCACGGAGAGAUCAAUGGUAUGGACAAAAUCAAUAGUAUAAUGAUUGGACUCAAAAACUUUCAAAGACAAAAUCAAUAGCAUACGAUCCCUCAAACUCAUUAACCCCUCACAACUCACUCCUUUCCAGCCAACUUGAUGUGUUGUGUGCUAAUCCGAUGAAAAUCGAGAUCCCAAAGAGGGUGAUGCCGCUGAUGGUUGGUUCUCUUCCUCCUUGUGAGUUUUUACAUAAUAAAAUAGCGGCCUUAAUUACGAGAGUUCUUCCAUUUUUACAUAAAAAAUGGCUGGGAUUUCCUUUCGUUAUUUAGCAAUACGCUGUGUUAAUGAGCUUAAAGUUAUUAUGUUAUUGAUUUUGUUUUAAUAAGGCCUCUCAUCUUUGAGAUUUAUUAAUCCAACCAUUAUUCUAUUAGUCCAUCCAUAUCGUUAGCCCUUUCCUCACUAAUGCUAUGCUUUUGGUUAUUAAUUUUGAGAUAUUCUCUUCUAUGUUAAACAUAUCUAAGUAUAUCUAAAUCCAACUAACCAUUACUAACCAUAAUUUUUUAAAUCUUAUUUUUUUCAAAUCAUGAUUAUAGAAGCUGUCUCAAAAAUAAAUACGCUCUCAAGUCAGUUGGACCAGUGGUAUGAUGAGACCAUGUUUCUGUGCGACAAUAUGGCUUUUUAUUUUUUUUGUGAAUAAAAAGAACAAAACCCUCAAAUAUCAAAUCUUUAUAUGUUUGAAUAUCUAAAAAGAAGAAAAAGCAAAAAAUUUCAAACUUUUUUCCUCUAUUUAAAAAAGGGGGAAAAAAGCAAUAUAUAUAGGUCAUGGAUUUCUUUUCCUUGUUUUGUUAUAUGGAGAGCAGUUAGAUCUCACUAAAGCAAAUAAUUCAUCAAUCAUAAUCAAAACUCUAAACAAAGCAUGCAAGUACACCAUGAAUAUUAAUGUUGUUGGUAAAAAAGUAAAAAUGAUGUGUAAAUUGAGAUGGAGAGCUAAAUAUAUAAAAAUACCAAAAAACAAAACGAAUGCUACAGUCAAAUUUUGAACAUCUAAAAGAUAUCUUGUGUGCGACUAUUUCCAUGUCACUAUGCACGACAGAAAAAAGAGAGGAUGCUAUAUUCAUACAUCAAUCAAAGAAUGUGUGGAUCCAAGGAGAACAAUGAACAUCCCAAAAGGAGUCUGAAAGUGAUGAAUUAAGAUUUUAUUUGUAUAUUUUUAUAAAAAUUCAAUAAAGAUUUAUAAGUUUAAAUUUCAGGAAUAUAAACAUGCACCAAUGAAAAUAUGUCAGGUCUGACGCUAGUCCAAUUUAGACACAUUGGGCUUGGUAGUGUACCAAGUUCCAGACAUGCUAAGUCUAGUAGUUUGAAAUGACCUUUUUUUCUUGGACAAGCUCAAGAUAAUGAUCAUCCUCUCUUGAGUCUAAUAUUUGAGAAUAGCUCAUUCUCUAUGAGCAUUAGCUAUAAAAGUCAUUCAAAGACCUAUUAUAUUUCAUCAAAUAUUAAUAUAGAUGUAAUAAAUAUUUAUCUAUCAUUAAAUGUUAGAAAGAUCUCUUCACAAAAAAACAAGAUUUAUAGGCUAUAAAUACACAAUGAGACUUUCAGAAUAGAGGUUCACAUUCUUCAUAUUUUACUGCAUAUAUAAUUUCAAAGCAUCUCUCUUUAAAAUAUUAUUGUAUUUUUUUUCUUUUAAAAAAGAUAUUUAUUUAAGUAUGGAUUUCAUUAUAAAUCAAAAGUAUUAAUAUGAUUUUUAUUAUGGAAAGCAAAAAGCAAGAAACUAUUUGCUAUUAUUUUUAAUUUUAACAACUUUAAUUAAUGGUAUAGCUAUUCGAAUAGCUAAAAUACAUUUCUUCUACUAAAAUACUAUUUCUACAUACAAAAGCCAACGUCUCUUUAUCUAUGGUUGGCUUUUGUUUUUCUCUUUAAAGACACAACAAGAAGAAGAAAAGAAGCUUGCAAACCUAAAAAUUUUAACAUUAUUAUAUAAAACUGAAAACUGAAAAUAUUAAUAUAAAUAAAUUUUGAUUUUAAAAGUGUAAAAUUUAAACUUUAAAUUAUAUCUUUAAACUUUCAUAUUACUUCAUUAAUUUUAUAAAUUACUCAUAUUAAUUAUAUAAUAAAUAACAUGAUUAUAUUAUAUAAAAAAUAAUUAAACUAGUUAUAUAAUUAUAUUAAAAUUAGUUUAAUAUAAAAUAGAUUAAAAUAUAAUUAGCUUUUUCUAAAUGGUUUUUUAGCAUUGGAAUGUAUAUAAAUAAAUAAAAUUAUAUUUAUAUUAUUUUAAAAACCAUUUUAUCGAUUUAAUUUCAACUUUUAAAAAUAGCAUGUUUUAUUGGAGUUGCUCGUGUGCAGAAUUAUAUAAGGGAGAGAGGAAGGCAACAAAGGUAAAGAGACAAAAGAAGUCCAAACAUAAUAUAACCCCUGCUCUUGACAGGAAGGUGCCUCUGCUGCCCAGUGCGCGUUCGAUAUCCCUUUCAUUUCUGGUUUGGGAAAGUGGUUUUAGACCCGUUUGGAAAUUUGAUUUUUUUAAAUUAUUUUAUAUAUAUAUUUUUGAAUUGUUUUGAUGUAUUUAUAUUAAAAUUAUUUUAAAAAUAAUAAAAAAAAUUAUUUUUAUAUAUUUCUAAAAAAAAUUACUUUAAAAAAAUAAUUACUACUACAUUUUUAAGCAUCAUGGUAUAAGAUUUGAGAUGAGAUAUUGGUAAUGGGAGAAAAAUUGGUGUUUGAGAUUAGAAAAAAUCAAAGUUGGACUGUUUGUCAUAAAAAUAUUAAAGUUUGAGAUUCUAGAAUCAAUUUAAUAUGAUUUUUUUUUUGUUUUUCGUUAAUUAGUUCCAGUUAAUAGGUUGGUGGCUAAGUUUAUUUAAAAAAAAAUUGGAAUUUAUAAUAUUUAAUAUAAGAGUUUCAUAGUUAAUAGUUUGAAAAUUCAUUAAAAAAUACUUUUCAACUGUGAUGUGUGUGUCCCAACCCCUGCUCCUGACAGGAAGGUGCCUCUGCUGCCCAAUGCGCGUUCGAUAUCCCUUUCAUUUCUUUUUCUACUUUUUCUCCACCGAAACUCCAUCUUCUUUACAGUGUAAGAAAAAGAUCCGUAAGAAAAUCCUUGGAAACUUACCAGUACGAGUUCUUGACCUAAAGCAACCGGAAAAAAUUCGAAGUCAUUGGAAUAAAAAGAAAAGAAAAGGGCUUUCGAAGUUGGUUACUAAGAUACCAGAAGAAUAAGCAAAUAUUGGGUUUGCACUUAGUGUUCAAGCUAUGGUGGCUACAUUAUCCAAGAGGUUCGAUUCAGUUUUGUUAUACAAGCACUAGCUAGUAUAUUAAAAAUUAUAAAUCAAUAAUAACAACAUUAUUAUUAUUAUUAUUAUUAUUAAAAUUAAUAAAGAAAUAAAAGACCAAACUGAUAGAUAGAUCGAAGCCUAGAUAUAUUUUUGUUUCAAAAAAAUGAUUUCAAUUUAAUUAAGACCGAUUAAAUUUAUUUUAUUGUGAAUAAAGAAGUUGAUGCAAGUUUUUAAUCAAAGCCAUAAAAAUUAUAUACAACAACAAAUGUUAGAAUGCAAUAUUGAUGCAAAUCAAAGAAUGAAUCCAAAAAAAUUUAACAAUUUAAGUUAUAUAUAUCAACAUAAGAUAAAUUCCUAGUAUAAUCCCUUUUUUCUUAUUAAUCUAUUUUUCUCAACCAAAAAAUAUAGUUAUUUUUAGUGAUGUAUUUCAUUUAAUAAAAACUAAAGGCAAUUAGAAUAUGUUUGUGUUUGAUAUUGUGUUUUCAUAUUUAUUUAGGUGCUUUUUAAAAUUGUGUUUGUCUUAUAAAAACAUUAAAUUAAUGUUUUUUAAUAUUUUUUAAUGAUUUUAAUGUACUAGUAUUAAAAAUAAAAAAAUAUUUUAAUACAUUUUUUUAAAAAAUCACUUUUAAAAAUAACUUUGCCCCAUGAUAUACUAGCUAAGCAUGCACUAAAUAUCGAAUAGACUCUGAAGAUCCAAAAUACUAAGCUUACAAGGGCAUAAGUUUUUAAAGAAAUUGAGUCUUUCAAUAAGGCCCUUCUAUAAAAGUAGUGUCGACAAUCGACAUAUCAUGAAUAAACCGAAUGAUUUGUGUGGCAGUGUGCUUAAAGAGAUUUAUUUCCACACAGCAUAAUUUUUAAAAGCAAAAGAGAUUGGAAUCAAUAUCCCAAAAGGUUGGCUGGGAAAGCAGUUCGUGACCCGUUUGAAAAUUUGAUUUUUUGAAAAUUAAUUUUUUUAUGUUUUUGAAUUGUUUUGAUCAUAUAUUUAUAUCAAAAAUAAUAAAAAAUUAUUUUAAUACAUUUACAAGCAAAUUAUUUAAAAAUAUAUAUAUAAAUACUACCCAUUCUUAAACUCCCUUAAUAGGAGAGAAUUGGUGUUUGUGAUAGGAGAAAAUCAAAGUUGGACUGUUUGUUAUAAAAAUAUUAAAAUUCAAGAUUUUAAACUCAAUUUAAUAUGAAUUUCUUUUUGUUUUUCUUUAAUUAGAUUCAGUUAAUAGUGUGGUGGCUAAGUUCUGUUUUUUUAAAAAAACAAUGAGAAUUUAUAAUAUUUAAUUUAAGAGCUUUAUAGUUAUUAGUUUGAAAAUAAUAAUAAUUUUUGUAUAUAAUUAGAUAUUUUUUAUUGAUUUUUUUUACAUGCUAGUGAGGACAUAAAAUGUUAUCAUAAAUCAUAAUUUCUUAAAAAAAUAGAAAUAAAAUGAUUAAACUAUACAUAUAAUGAUCAAGGUUCAACGUAAUUACUUUUUAUUGUAUGUAAAAUGUCCUUAUUUACUUCUAAAAAAUAGAUGCUUGACUUGAGAAUUCAUUACAAAACAUGAAUCAACUCAAUUGUGAUGUCUGUGGCCCAACCCCUGCUCUUGACAGGAAGGUGCCUCCGCUGACUGCUGCCCAGUGCGCGUUCGAUAUCCCUUUCAUUUCUCUUUUUGCUUUUUCUCCUCCGAAACUCCAUCUUCUUUACAGUGUAAGAAAAAGAUCCGUAAGAAAAUCCAGGAAACUUACCGGUACGAGUUCUUGACCUAAAGAAACCGGAAAAAAUUCGAAGUCAUUGGAAUAAAAAGAAAGAAAGGGCUUUGGAAGUUGGUUGCUAAGAUACCAGAAGUAGAAAAAAUAUUGGGUUUGCACUUAGUGUUCAAUUAAGUUAUGGUGGCUACAUUAUCCAAGAGGUUGGAUUCAGUUUUGUUAUACAAGCACUAGCUAGUAUAUUAAAAAUUAUAAAUCAAUAAUAACAACAACAUUAUUAUUAUUAUUAUUAUUAUUAAUGAAGAUUAAAAUUAAUAAAGAAAUAAAAGACCAUGAUGUUUUACUAUAGAUAGAUCGAAGCCUACAUGUAUUUUUUUAUUGUUAAUAGAAGAAUUGAUGCAUGUGAUAUCAAGAAUUAUAUACAAAAAUAAAUAGAAUAUAAUAUUGAUGUAAAGUGAAGACUAAAUCAAGAAAAACUGAAAGAUAAAUAUAAUUUAAAAUAUUUGAACGACUUUUGCUUUUUUGCAGACUUUAUCAAGGUUUUUGGUUUCCUAAUUUUGACCAACUGAACGAGUUUGUUUUGAAUUGAUUAUUGGUUUUUUCAAAAAAUUAUUGUUCCUGGUUUGGUGAAUUUCUUAGAUCUAUAUUUGUUAAGGAAACAAAUAUGUAAUUAUGUGCUGUAAAAUAUUUCUUUUCCUAUUGCAGUAUAGAUUUUCUAUUGCAGUAUAGAUUUCCAGAAUAGCUUAGCACAAUUAUAGGAAACAACUCUUGUAUAAAGUUACGUUCUCUAAUUCAAUGAAUUAAUUCAUUCAGGCAAAUAUUCUUUUUCUCUUUCUUACAUGGUAUCAGAGCAAGGUUGACAUACCCUAGCUCUCUGUUUUUUUUGCCGUCUCAAUUCUCUUUUGCUUUGCCGCUACUCAUCAUCAUGGAGAGUGAGCAAUCUUCAAAAGAAGGCAAGAACAAUGCCUUCGAUCCCUUUUUCCUCUACCAUUCUGACCAUCCAGGAUUGAUGCUUGUUUCCAAGCCUCUCACCGGCGAUAAUUAUUCAACUUGGUGCCGAUCCAUGACCAUCUCUUUAAAUGCCAAAUCUAAAUUGGGUUUUAUAGAUGGUACAAUAGCAAUGCCGUCUGCCAAGAGCCAACCAGAUGCUCAUGCUUCAUGGAGAAAGUGCAACGAUAUGAUUCUAUCAUGGAUCCUUAAUUCAAUCACACCGGAUCUUGCAGAUAGUGUGAUCUAUUCAACUACAACCUAGGAGGUUUGGGAAGACCUUCGGGAUCGUUUUUCUCAGAGUAAUGCCCCUCGUAUUUUUCAGAUUGAGAGGGAUAUCGCUUGUCUCUCCCAAGCUCAGAUGACUGUUGCAGCCUACUAUACGAAGCUGAAAGGAUUAUGGGAUGAACUGGGUUCCUAUAACGGAACCAUUUGCUCUUGUGGGGCAGAUCAUAAACGACGCCAGUUGAUGCAAUUUCUCAUGGGUCUAAAUGAAUCCUACAAAGCAAUCAGAGGGCAAAUCUUAUUGAUGAAUCCGUUACCUGAUGUUCGCCAAGCUUACUCUUCCAUCGUUCAAGAAGAAAAGCAGCGCAGCUUAUGUGACAUACAUGAGACAACUGAAACUGCAGCCAUGGCAGUUCAAAGAAAUGAACCCACAGCCUUGGCUGUUCAACCAGGACACGGUUUUUCCCACUCCAAUUCCUCUAACCGCAAGCCAUUGCACUGCUCAUAUUGUGAUAAUGAUCAUCAUGUACGAGACACAUGUUAGAAGUUGCAUGGGUAUCCACCAGGUCAUCCAAAACAUAAAUCAACUCGAUUCAAUCGCAAAGGCAGUCGUUCUCAGUUUGAAAAUUCCGCUCAGUCUUCAGCCAAUCAUGUUAAGGAAGGACCAGCACUACAGGAAAUGCAGUCCGUGAUGAAUGGACUUUCUGAUAUACAAUUUCAGCAGAUAUUAUCUAUUAUGAACAAUAAGGGGACAAAUCAAUCCUCCAAUCCUAAGGGCAAUGCUGCUGGUACUUCUUCAGGUUUGUCACAAACAUCAUUGCGCCUCCAUCGAUUGGUCCUCGAUAGUGGUGAAACUGAUCAUAUUACCUCUUCUCCGAAUUUGCUUAUUAAUAGUCGUCAGAACACUAUUUUACCGCCAAUUAUUAUGCCAAGUGGAGAACAGGCCCCAAUCACAUCUAUUGGAACUUUACCCUUGAACUCUGUUAUUUCUCUUAAAAAUGUGCUUGGUGUGCCAUCUUUUAAGGUGUAUUUGAUGUCUGUGAGUAAAGUUACAAGAGGUCUCAAUUGUUCCGUAACCUUUUUUCCUUAUUGGUGUAUUUUGCAGGACUUGACGACAAAGACGACGAUUGGUUUGGGUAAACAACGAGGUGGACUUUAUUACUUAACCGCAUUGGCAUCAACCACACCGAGACCUACAAUCAAAUCCUCUGCUGCCAUUGCUAGUCGACCAUCUUGUUCUCAUGUCGUCUCCUCCACCGACUUAUGGCAUCGCUGAUUAGGGCAUCUAUCUUCCUCUAGAUUAGAUUUUAUGGCAAAAAAUUUACUCCAUUUCCCUUUCCAAUUCAAAAAUGCUUGUGAAGUUUGUGCACUUUCCAAGCAAUGCUGACUUCCCUUUUCUGCUAGUUCAAUUUCAUUUGUUAGAUCUUUUGAGUUAAUACAUUGUGAUAUUUGGGGGCCCUACAAAAUUCCUUCUCUUUCUGGUGCAAAGUAUUUUUUGACAAUUGUGGAUGAUUAUUCUCGAUUCACAUGGGUAUUCUUUAUGCAGCACAAAAAUGAAACACAACAUUUACUUACAACUUUUUUCUCUUUUGUCAAAACCCAAUUUAAUACUUCCAUCGCCAAUAUUCGAGUCGAUAAUGGGGGGGGGAAUUCUUUUCUAUGCGUGAUUUUUUUCGACAAAAUGGCACCAUUUAUCAACACUCUUGUGUUUAUACACCCCAACAAAAUGGGGUUGUCGAACACAAACAUCGUCAUAUCCUUGAGUCAGCCCGUGCCCUUCGUUUUCAAGCCCAUCUUCCUUUGUGUUUUUGGGCAGAAUGUGUUCUUACUGCUGUCCAUUUGAUUAAUCGUUUGCCUAUAACACUUCUUUCCCAGCAAACUCCUUUUGAACAACUUUAUGGCAAGGUUCCCUCUUAUUCCCAUCUUAAGGUUUUUGGUUGUCUUGCAUAUGCUACUGUUGUGCAUGUCUCUCAUAAAUUCGCUCCUAGAGCCACACGUUGUGUUUUCCUUGGUUAUCCGGUCGGCCAAAAAGCUUACAAACUUUAUGACCUUACCACUCAUAAAAUUUUCACUAGCCGUGAUAUUGUUUUUCAUGAGCAUAUUUUUCCUUUUGAGUCCCCUCCAUCCAUACCUACACCCACUGUACCUGUCCUCCCUCAUUUUAUUUCUGACCCUCCUCUUUCCGACACCUUCCCCACCAUCUCCACCACACCAUUAGAAUUUGUCCAUUCCGUCACCCCUUUCGACCUGACCCUGCCAGAUUCACCUUUCGCGUCUCUGCCUCCAGCCACUUCCACCUUUGCUCCACCCGUUCCUGACAGCCUCGUUCAACCCCCUUCUUUCAUCACUCCAGUGCAACCCUUACAUCGUUCUCAACGACAUCAUAGUCCUCCUCGUGCUUUACGUGAUUAUGUCUGCAACCACGUGACAUCUCCCAAACCAUCCCUGCCUUCAUUGUCUAGUUCCACUAAAGGUAUGCAAUAUCCUCUUUGUAACUUUAUCUCUUACCAUCGUUACUCACCACAACAUCAUUCUUUUGUUGCUACCAUCAGUCAGGAUGUUGAGCCCCGCUCAUACACAGAAGCCGCUUCCCAUUCACAAUGGCAAGCCGCAAUGCAAUCUGAAUCGGCAGCUUUAGCAGCCAACCACACUUGGUCUCUCACUCCUCUCCCUCCUGGAAAACAACCGAUUGGAUGUCGCUGGGUUUAUAAAAUCAAACGUCACUCGGAUGGCACCAUAGAGCGUUAUAAAGCUCGUUUGGUGGCCAAGGGUUAUACACAGUUGGAAGGUAUCGAUUAUCAUGACACUUUUUCUCCCACUGCUAAAAUGCUUACUGUCCGUUGUUUAUUAGCUCUGGCAGCUGCCCAGGAUUGGUCCCUUCACCAGCUCAAUGUCAACAACGCUUUCCUUCAUGGUGAUCUCCAUGAAGAAAUUUAUAUGUGUCCGCCUCCUGGUCUUCAGCGACAGGGGGAGAACUUGGUAUGUCACCUCAAUAAGUCGUUGUAUGGUUUAAAGCAAGCUUCCCGUCAAUGGUUUGCCAAAUUCUCUACAGUUAUUCAAGAUGCUAGAUAUGUUCAGUCCAAAGCAGACUAUUCGUUGUUCACAUGUCGAAAUGGCAAGUCCUUUACCGCUUUGUUGAUAUACGUUGAUGAUAUUCUUAUUACAGGUAAUGAUCUCAAGGCUAUAUCAACUCUAAAGCAAUUUUUGCAUAGUCGUUUUCGAAUUAAAGAUUUGGGUGCUUUGAAAUAUUUUCUGGGCAUUGAGGUCUCUCGGUCAAAGAAAGGUAUUUCUAUCUCACAGCGGAAAUACACUUUGGAAAUUCUAAAGGAUGGUGGAAUUUUAGGUGCUAAACCUGUGAACUUUCCCAUGGAGCAAAACACAAAACUCUCAGAUGUAGGUAAAUUGCUUAGAGAUCCAUCCCAGUAUAGGCGACUUGUGGGACGCCUAAUUUAUUUGACUAUUACUCGACCGGAUAUCAUGUAUUCUGUACAUGUAUUAAGUCGACUCAUGCAUGCACCACGUAAACCACAUAUGAAAGCUGCCAUGCGUGUGUUGCGUUAUUUGAAAAAUGCUCCAGGACAGGGUUUGUUUUUCCCUUCUCAAAAUGAUUUGUCUUUGCCAGCUUUUUGUGAUUCAGACUGGGCUGGUUGUCCAAUGCACUACGGACUAUUAUGUUUUUUUGGGAUCUUCACUUAUUUCUUGGCGAACAAAAAGGCAGAAACCAGUGUCACUCUCCUCAACAGAAGCCGAAUAUAGAGCCAUGGCCGAUACAUGCUAUGAGUUAUCUUGGUUAUGUUCAUUGUUGAAAGAUUUACGAAUAUUGCAUUCAAAACCAACAUUGCUACUUUGUGAUAACAAAGCAGUCUUACAUAUAACAUCCAAUCCUGUUUUCCAUGAAAGAACCAGACACAUAGAAAUGGAUUGCCACUUUAUUCGAGACAAAAUACAGGAUGGUUCGAUUGUGACCAAAUUUGUUACUUCAGCAAAUCAACUUGCGGAUGUAUUCACUAAACCAUUGGGUAAGGAAAAUUUCUCUACCAUGAUUCGCAAGUUAGGAGUUCUCAAUAUUCACUCUUCAACUUGAGAGGGAGUGUUAAGGAAACAAAUAUGUAAUUAUGUGCUGUAAAAUAUUUCUUUUCCUAUUGCAGUAUAGAUUUUCAGAAUAGCUUAGCACAAUUAUAGGAAACAACUCUUGUAUAAAGUUACGUUCUUUGAUUCAAUGAAUUAAUUCAUUCAGACAUAUAUUCCUUUUCUCUUUUCUCACAAAAUUGGAUAGAUCCGGAACAUGAACACCCCUGGUAAUCACCUUGGCUUUAACUUCAACCACCCAAUUACCUCAAAAUUGCAAUCACAUCAGGCACAUGGCGUUGCAUUCGCAUUCAUCCCCUGACUAUGAAAUGGAUUUCCUGGAAAUUGAUCUCCUUGGUAUGCAGGAACCCUAAUUAAAUGAAAUGGAUUUCCUGGAAGUUGAUCUCCUUGGUCUGCAGGAACCCUAAUUAAAUGAAAUGGAUUUCCUGGAAAUUGAUCUCCUUGGUCCCCAGCCUAUUUUCUCCGAGACCGUGUAACAUGUUGAAAAACUGAAAGAUAAAUAUAAUUUAAAAUAUUUAAUCUCUUGUAACCAAAAAAUUAAUUUUCAUCAUUCAUGCACUUUUGACUAAAUUUUUCUUUUGCUUUUUUUAUGCUGUCCCAUUGAGAUGAUCUCUUAUGCUCUUUUAUGUGAAUUGAAAUUAGAUUAGAUGCUUAUAAUUGGUUCAUCUCAUUUUUAUUUUUAUUUUAUUUUUGAAAAGUAAACUUCCUUUAGUUAGAUAGUUUUUUCUUGGCUAUUUUGUUUUGCAUGGUUUAAUCUUUUUUUUUCUUUGAUUAUCCUUGCUGAUAAUAUCAAAUCAUCCCUUUUUUUGCAGACUUUUUCAAGGUAUUUAGUUUCCUGAUUUUGACCAAACUAGACCAGUUUGUUUUGAAUUGGUUUUUGGUUUUUUCUAGAUUUGUUUUUCAAAAAAUUAUUGUUCCUAGUUUGGUGAAUUUUUUCUCCGAGACCGUACAACCAAGAUACUGUUUGAUUUAAUUUUGUUUUUUGAAUUUUUUGGAUUUUAUAUUUUUUUUUUGAAUUCUUAGCUAUCUUUCCGUUUUGUUUUAGGAUAAUAAUUUUCUUACUAUGUUAAGGUCAAUUUCACGCCUAUAUAAAGACUUGUAAAUAUCCAGAGAGACAAAAGUUAUCAAUUCAUUAUUUCAGAAAUAAAAAUAAUAUCUUAGAGUUCUUCCUGUUUUAAUAAAAAAGUUAUCCUUGUAGGGCUUUCAACUAUAUCAAAAAGUCUACCCAUAAUUUUCAUUAAUUGUAUUUAAGAAAGGAGUUAUAGUUUGACUCACGAUGAUGAGGGAUGAAUGUUCUUUAUAGCAUACUUAAAGCUAUUUUGAAAACAUGACCUUUGAGUUUUAGAUAAUUAGACUCGGUUAAGAGGGUGGUGGCUUAGUUUUUUUUUUUUUUUUAUAUAAAAAAUCAAUGUAAAAUUUAUAAUAUUUAAUAUAAGAGCUUUAUAAUUAUUAGUUUGAAAAUAAUAAUAAUUUUGUAAAUUAUUAGAUGUUUUUUGUUGAUAUUUUUGAAAAUAAUAAUAAUUUUAUAAAUUAUUACGUGUGUUAGGGAGGACAUAAAUUGUCAUCAUAAAAUAUAAUUUCUGAAAAAAUAAAGAUAAAAUAACUAAACUACACAAUGAUCAAGUAAUUUCUCCUUUUUAAAAAAAUAUCAUAGAAACUUUUUAUUGUAUCUAAAAUGUCCUAAUUUACUUUUUGAAAAAGAUAGUCAUAGGAAAAACUUUAAAGAUUAGAGAAAUAAACAUGAUUAUUUAAUUUAAUUUUGUUUUUGAGUUUAUUUUCUUAAAAAUAUUUCUAUAAAUUCUUAUUAUUUUCAUUUUAACUAUUUUUAUCUAGACAAUAAUUAAGGGCGUUAUAUGUAUUAGAAUAUGUUCCUAUAAAAUCGCCAAAUUUUUAAAUAAUUCUUACAAUUUUACAGUACUUCGCACGAUUUUUGUGAUUCACCUUAGAACUUUUGCAUGCACAUAUUAAUACACGGUUUAUGGUGUUUUUUUCACGGUCAGUUUUAAAAUUUUGUUGGAAAGUUCUUGGAAUGCAAAAAUAUUUAUGUUAAAUAAUAUGGACUUGAUAAUUCAUUAAAAAAUAUGAAUCACUCAAUUGUGUGGCCCUGCUCUUGACAGAAAGAUCCGUAAGAAAAUCAUUGGAAACUUACCAGUACGAGUUCUUGACCUCAAGAAACCGGAAACAAUUCGAAGUCAUUGGAAUAAAAAGAAAGAAAAGGGCUUUGGAAGUUGGUUACUAAGAUACUAGAAGAAGAAAAAAUAUUGGGCUUGGCUGGAUCUUGUGCCUCUUUAGUCAACACUUACCACACGGUUUGUUUCGUCUAGAUUCGUGAAAUACUCGUUGAAAUUUGGUGUUUUCUGAUUUCUAAGUAGAAUAUAAAUGUUCCAGCUUGAAAUUGCUAAUUGGUAGAUUUAAUUGCCGAAUUUCUUGAUCUUACCUUCUGUUUCAUGUUUGACCACAGGAGCAGGCCUUACACAAAAUAGCGUGGAAAGCAAUUGCUGAACCAAGCGAGGUAGUUGAGGCCAGAAGGGAUCGGUACUAGUUUAUCGCUAUAGGGAUUUUCAUGGCUUCCAGCAGCGUGCAAGGAAUAACCUCAUCUUCAUCUCCUCCUCCUCCACUAUAUAUGCAUGAUGUGUUCCUUAGUUUUAGAGGCAAAGACACCCGGAACAACUUUACUAGCCAUCUAUAUUCUAAUCUGACACAGAGAGGCAUCAAGGUAUACAGGGAUGACAGCGAGCUCGAGAGAGGAAAGACCAUCGAACCUGCUCUCUGGAAGGCCAUCGAAGAAUCAAGGUUUUCUGCCAUUAUAUUUUCAAGAGAUUACGCUUCUUCACCAUGGUGCCUGGAUGAACUUGUCAAGAUUGUUCAGUGCAUGAAAGAGAAGGGGCAAACUGUUCUGCCAGUUUUUUAUGAUGUGGAUCCCUCAGAGGUAGCUGAGCAGAAAGGGAAAUAUAAAAAAGCCUUCGUUAAGCAUGAACAAAAUUUCAAGGAAAACUUGGAGAAGGUCCGGAACUGGAAAGAUUGUCUCUCUAUGGUGGCCAAUCUAUCUGGCUGGGACGUACGGAAUAGGUAAAUCAUCUAUCUACUUAUUUUUAUUCUUAAAAUCUCCCUGUAUUGUUUCAAUGAUGAACAUAGCUUCUUCUUUUUCUUUUUUUAAUGUUUUUCAAUUGAAACAUGUGAUUAAAUAUCAAAAUAAUCACAAUACAACAAGAAUAUCAAAACUAAUUCUUGAAUUAAAAAAUUGUUAGUAUAUAUUUUUAAUCCAUUAAAUAGCUAUUUGUCUAUGAUCAGACUAGUUUUUCUUUAAUUUUGACUUUUAAAAUAAAAGAGGAGCACGUCUCAAAUUUCUAUGGUCACAGUUUUUUAGAAAAAAAAUUGAAUACAAAUUAAAACAAUUCUCAAAUUUCUUGCUAUUUUUUCAUUUAUUUACCAAUGAAAAUCGUUUGUUUGUUUUUUUUAAUCUUUUUUGAAUGUUUUGUUUACACUAGAAAAAUUAUUUUUCAAUUUAUUAUAUAUUCUUCAUCGCAAAAAUCAAUUAGCAAAUGCUUUAGUACUGUUCUUUGAGUUUUGUUAAUCAAAAGAUGGUAAAUAAUAUUGAAUGAAUGAUAAAAUUAUGGAUUUGUUGAUGAAACACUUAGUAGUAAAUGUAUAUUUUUUUCAUAUGCAUGCUUUUUUUUAAUUUAAUUUUUAUGAAAUCUUGAUCUUAUGUGAUCAAGCGCCCAUUUCUAAUCUUUAUGUAAAAUUUCUUUCUUUUCUUCGGUUUUUCUUUAUAUUUAAAAAAAAUAUAUAUUAGAUAGAAAAAUGAAAAUGUAAAAAAACGUUGAAAAAAAAUCUAGCAUGAACAAAUAAAAAGUUAGCUUAAAAACAUAAAAAUUGUGAAGAAAACAAAUUCAUCAUAAGAAAUAAAAAAUUGACUAAAUGUUUUGAAUAUAUUGGUUUUAGCUUUUCAAAAUAAAAUAAAAAGAUUUUCCAUCAUGAAUUAGAAAAUUCCAACUAUUUAUAAAUAAAAGAGACAAAUUUAUUUAUAAUUUUUUUGUGAAUAUUUUUAAUUUUAUGUUUUUCUUUUUAAUUUGGAAUCAAAAUUUGAUAGGUGUCUUUUUGUUAAAAAAAAUGAAUAUAAAAUUAGCUUGUUAAUUUGGACAGGGAAUUUCUAUUAUUUAAUUGAGUUUAUUGGGGCAUUUUUAUAAAAAUAUCAAUAUUACAAAGAAAUUUUUAGUAUGAUUAGAAUACUUUUUUCUGAUUCUAUUUUAGAAUAAUAGAGGACAACUAUAUCAAUUGUAUUAACAAAAACUUAAAGCCUAUUGGAAAAGUACAGUAAAAAUAUUUUGAUUUACAUGAAUUUACUAUUUUUUUCAUUCUAAAAAAUAUAAACUAUUUAUUAGGGAUAAUAAGGUCUUUUAUGGUCAUUGUAGAUAUGAUAGGGGCAGUUAGGUAUUUUUAAAUUUUUUAUAUGAUAUAAUUACAUAGUUGCCCUUAAAAGCAAAAAACAAAAUUAGAUUCUAAAAGCUUUUUUGAAAUUUUACUUUUCACAUCACAAUAAAAUGAAUCUAUAGCCUUUAAAAUAAAAACUUUCUUAAAUUGCCUUCAAGGGAUUAUUCAUAUUUUUAUUUUUAGUUUUUGUUUUUAAUAAUAAUAUCAUAAUAUCAUUUUAUAGACAGUUUAGUAUUUUAAUAAAUAAAUAAAUAUAUAUAAAAAAGAAAUGUGAUUGACGCAUCUAUAAAACACGCAAACGAGUAAGUCCUCCUGCCUUAUAAGCAGCUUGUGAAUGACUUACCUAUUCCGUACGUCAAUCACAUUUGCAUUUGCUUUUUGGUCUGUGAAAACCAAACUUGAUGGAUAUUUUAUUUCCUAGCUUUUGUUCUUGUAUGCAUGCUUCUGUAGUAUCUGUGUGAUUCUAUAGGCAAUAAGAUAGCUAUUGUACGGAUCAUUCUUAGCAUCAAUACAAUCCUAGUUCUGUUUUCAGUUUAUUCUUUCCUUUUCCUCUCUGUUCUUGAAGCUAUCUAUUAUCACGACGCUAUCUUUCUCUAUACUAAUUUCCGACUAAAAGCCAUACAUUUUCGGGGUAUAAUAUGCUAAUGUUUAUUUUUCCAUUAUCACUAUCUAAUUUGAUUUCUGCACGCUGCAUGAUUAAUGUUUUGCACUCUCCUGUGCAGGGAUGAAUCGGAAUCAAUUAAAGCAAUUGCUGACUGCAUAUCGUACAAACUAAGCCUCACUCUGCCAACAAUUAGCAAAGAAUUAGUUGGAAUAGAUUCUCGUCUAGAGGUAUUAAAUGGUUAUAUAGGUGAAGAAACUGGCGAAGCAAUCUUCAUAGGGAUUUGUGGAAUGGGUGGCAUAGGUAAGACGACUGUUGCAAGGGUACUAUAUGAUAGGAUUCGUCGGCGAUUUGAAGGCAGCUGCUUCUUAGCAAAUGUCAGAGAAGCUUUUGCUGAGAAAGAUGGACCACGCAGUUUACAGAAAAAACUUCUUUCUGAUAUCUUAAUGGAACGUGAUAUUAAUAUAUGUGAUUCUUCUACAGGAAUUGAAAUGAUAAAGCAGAAGUUACAACGUAUAAAGAUUCUUGUUGUUCUUGAUGAUGUAAAUGACCGUAAACAACUAGAAUACCUGGCUAAGGAGCCUGGAUGGUUUGGUCCAGGGAGCAGAAUUAUCAUAACAAGCAGAGAUACAAAUGUGUUAAUUGGAAAUGAUGAUACUAAAAUUUACGAGGCUGAGAAAUUGAAUGAUGAUGAUGCUCUUAUGUUAUUUAGCCAGAAAGCUUUCAAAAAUGACCAGCCUGCUGAAGGUUUUGUGGAACUAUCCAAGCAAGUUGUGGAUUAUGCUAAUGGCCUUCCACUAGCUCUUGAAGUUAUAGGUUCGUUUUUGUAUGAAAGAAGUAUCCCUGAAUGGAGAGGUGCAAUUAAUAGAAUGAAUGAGAUUCCUGACUGCAAAAUUAUUGAUGUGCUUCGCGUUAGUUUUGAUGGCCUCCAUGAAUCAGAUAAGAAAAUAUUUUUAGACAUUGCAUGUUUCCUGAAGGGGUUUAAAAAAGAUCGAAUAACAAGGAUACUUGAAAGCCGAGGAUUCCAUGCAGGUAUUGGAAUACCAGUUCUUAUUGAGAGAUCUCUUAUAAGUGUCUCUCGGGAUCAAGUCUGGAUGCAUGAUUUGUUACAGAUAAUGGGUAAGGAAAUUGUUCGUUGUGAAUCCCCUGAAGAGCCUGGAAGGCGUAGUAGAUUGUGGACAUACGAGGAUGUCUGCCUUGCACUGAUGGACAACACAGUGAGUAGCUGAUAGAGAACAUUAUCCAUAAGAUUUCAUAAAGUUUAUUUUAAUUUACGCUCCAUCUCGACAAAUCUCUACUUUGUAUUUGUUUUUUACUUGUAUUCCCUUUCGGUUGACAGGGAAAAGAAAAAAUAGAAGCCAUAUUCUUGGACAUGCCUGGAAUAAAAGACGCACAAUGGAACAUGGAAGCCUUCUCUAAAAUGAGCAAACUAAGAUUGCUCAAAAUCAACAACGUGCAGCUUUCUGAAGGACCUGAAGAUCUUUCCAAUAAGUUACGAUUUCUUGAAUGGUAUUCUUACCCUUCAAAAUCAUUGCCAGCUGGUUUACAAGUGGAUGAGCUAGUUGAACUUCACAUGGCUAACAGUAAUCUUGAUCAAUUAUGGUAUGGGUGUAAGGUGAGAUCAACUAAUUUAAGGGCCUUUGUAUUUCGUUUUAUCAUUUUCCUAUAUGUGUAUGAUAGUAGCAUCCGCAUUUUUUCUCCCUUGCCUGAUUGCAGAGUGCACUUAAUUUGAAAAUCAUCAAUCUCAGCUACUCACUAAACUUGUCCAGGACUCCAGAUCUUACUGGAAUUCCAAAUCUUGAGAGUCUGAUUCUUGAAGGUUGUACAAGUUUGUCUGAGGUCCAUCCAUCACUUGGAAGUCACAAGAAUCUUCAAUAUGUGAAUCUUGUGAAUUGCAAAAGUAUUAGGAUUCUCCCAAGCAACCUUGAAAUGGAAUCGCUUAAAGUUUUCACUCUUGAUGGCUGCUUAAAACUUGAGAAGUUUCCAGAUGUAGUAAGAAACAUGAACUGUUUGAUGGUGCUUCGUUUGGACGAGACUGGUAUUACAAAACUAUCUUCAUCGAUUCGUCAUUUGAUUGGCUUAGGUCUAUUGAGCAUGAACAGCUGCAAGAACCUUAAAAGCAUUCCGAGUAGCAUAAGUUGUUUGAAAUCUCUUAAAAAACUCGAUCUGUCUGGCUGCUCUGAACUUAAAAAUAUACCAAAGAAUUUGGGGAAAGUUGAAAGUUUGGAGGAGUUCGAUGUAAGUGGAACUUCAAUAAGACAACCGCCAGCAUCUAUUUUUCUUUUAAAGAGUCUUAAAGUAUUAUCUUUUGAUGGAUGCAAAAGAAUAGCUGUGAAUCCCACGGAUCACAGGUUGCCUUCUUUGUCGGGUUUGUGUUCUUUAGAAGUACUGGAUUUAUGCGCUUGCAAUCUAAGAGAAGGGGCACUUCCUGAAGAUAUUGGCUUCUUAUCUUCUUUGAGGUCUUUAGAUCUGAGCCAGAAUAACUUUGUUAGCCUGCCUCAAAGCAUAAAUCAGCUUUUUGAACUGGAAAGGCUUGUCUUGGAGGAUUGCUCGAUGCUUGAAUCAUUGCCUGAGGUUCCAUCAAAAGUUCAAACAGUAAAUUUGAAUGGUUGUAUAAGCCUAAAAGAAAUUCCAGAUCCGAUAAAGCUAAGCAGUUCCAAAAUCUCAGAGUUCCUCUGUCUUAACUGCUGGGAAUUGUACGAGCAUAAUGGCCAAGACAGCAUGGGGUUGACCAUGCUUGAAAGAUACCUCAAGGUCUUCUCUUAAUCAUACCCCAACCUUUUUGUAUCGCUCUCCCUCUCCCGCUAUCUAUCUAACAUUUUGGUUUUUCAUGGUACAGGGUUUGUCUAAUCCAAGACCUGGAUUUGGUAUCGUUGUUCCUGGAAAUGAAAUUCCAGGCUGGUUUAACCAUCGAAGUAAGGGAUCUUCAAUUAGUGUGCAAGUGCCUAGUUGGAGCAUGGGGUUUGUUGCGUGUGUUGCAUUCAGUGCAAAUGGAGAAAGUCCUUCUCUCUUUUGUCAUUUCAAAACCAAUGGAAGAGAGAAUUAUCCUUCGCCGAUGUGUAUUAGUUGUAACUCUAUCCAAGUUCUGUCAGAUCAUAUUUGGCUAUUCUAUCUAUCUUUUGAUUACCUUAUAGAGCUUAAAGAAUGGCAGCAUGGAUCCUUUAGCAACAUUGAGUUGUCAUUUCAUUCUUCCCAGCCAAGAGUAAAGGUGAAGAAUUGUGGUGUCUGUUUGUUAUCUUCUCUAUAUAUUACAUCACAACCAUCUUCUGCCCAUUUUAUUGUUACAAGCAAAGAAACAGCUUCUUCAUAUAAAGCUUCUUUAACUCUCUCUUCAUCGUACCAUCAUUGGAUGGCCAGUGUUUUCCCUGACAUCAGAGUCGCAGACACUAGUAAUGCUAUCACCUAUUUAAAGUCAGAUCUAGCUCGGAGAGUCAUUAUCUCAUUGAACGUAAAGGCAAUUAGAUCAAGACUUUUUAAGGCCAUUGAAGAAUCAGGGCUGUCAAUUGUUAUAUUUUCAAGAGAUUGUGCUUCUUUACCUUGGUGCUUUGACGAACUUGUCAAGAUUGUCGGAUUCAUGGAUGAGAUGAGAUCGGACACUGUGUUUCCAGUUUCGUAUGAUGUCGAACAAUCAAAGAUAGAUGAUAAAAAAGAGAGUUACACAAUUGUCUUUGAUAAGAUUGGAAAAAAUCUCAGGGAAAACAAGGAGAAGGUACAAAGAUGGAUGGAUAUUCUCAGUGAAGUUGAGAUUUCAUCUGAAUUGAGUUCAUCGGAAAGGUAAUAAUUACUUCUUUUUUGUGUGUGUAGCUCGACUUAUCAACCACUUCAAGUAAAUGAAACUUGGAAUGCUGAAAUAUCAAAUUUCAGAACUUAAUGUUAACAAAUCUGCACCGUGCAAGGUUCAGUACACAAUGGGGUUACAAGUAUUUUUUUCAAGGUAGAUUAUGAAUUUAAGAAAAAUUAAUAUUAAACUUAGUUGAGUUUAUGGUCUGGAUUAACCCGACAUGUUUUACUAUGGACGAUAUUGUUUACUUUAAUUUUUUUUUAGGUUUGUUAUAAAUUCAAAGGGAGAAAAAUAUUGAACCGGUUGAGUGUAUUAUCCAGGUCACAAGUUUGUUUUUAAAGGUUGAGUAUAAAUUUUUUUAAAAAAAUUUCAACCUAGUUGAGGAUUUUUUAUAAAGAUUGAGUUUUUUUAUGGUGUUGUGUAUUUUUAAUUUUUUAAUUUGUUUUUUUUAAGUUUAAUAUAAAUUUAAGAGAAAACAAUUAUUGAACCUCGUUGAAUUCAUGGUUCGAAUCACAUAUUUAAUUUUUUUAAGGUUUAAGGAAAAAAAUAUUGAAGCCGAUUGAGUUCAUGAACUGAGUUACGGGUUUAACGAGUUAAGCCACAAUAACCAGAUAAUUUUUUUUUCUAAUGUUGCUUUUUUUUUUAUUGAUAUCUUUUUAUAUAUAUCUUAUUUUAGAUAAUUUUCAAUUUAUGUUUCAAUUAAUAUCACUCAUAUGUGAUUUGUUUUGUUUAUUUAACUUUUUUUUUUAAUAUAAAUUGUUUUUUGAUGGUGUUGUAUGUAUUUGUUUUUAAAUGUUGAAAAUAAAUUUAAGAGAAAACAAUAUAGAGUCUGGUUAAGUUCAUGGUCUGGGUCACAUGUUUAAUUUCUUUUUUGUUAAAGGUUGAAUACAAAUUUAAAAGGAAAACAAUAUUGAACCCGGUUGAGUUUAUGCUCCGGGUCACGGAUUUAACGAGUUAAGCCACAACAACAAAACAAUGUUUUUUUUUUCUGAUAUUGCUUUUUUUUACUGAUAUUUUUUUAUAUAUCUUUUUUAAAAUAUUUUUUAAAUUUAUGUUUCAAUUAAUAUUCCUCAUCUGGUCUGUAAAAGAGCGUCAUCUUAUUUUUUUCACAAACAUCUUGCAACAAAAAAAAAAAAGGUUAGUGGGCGUGGGCCCUAACAAAAUGCGGCAAUUGGGUUGGCUUAACUUAGUAGUCCCAACAACGCCUGACCUUUGCUUUUUUUUUUCUUUUAUAUGUUUUUUUUUUUAAAUUAUAUUUAGAUUAACAUCCCUUCUCUUUUUUUUAUGUUGUUUAGAGAUCCUCUUUGAAAUGAUGGUUAAUUUUUAGUUAUGCAUUUAAUUUUUGAGAAAGUUUUUCUAAUUCAUUUAUAUAUUUUUUAAUUUUUUGUACAGAUGAAAUUUAUUCUUGAAAAUAAAAAUUUUUAUUUUCAAAUAAUAUUUCUAAUAUGUGCAGCCUUGCAUAUUAUUUUUUUUCAUUUUAUUUUAUUCAAUUAAUUUGAUGUGUAUGUCUACUUUUAUUAUCGUUUGAUUGAAUAAAAAACUUGUUUUAAUUAAUAAAUUUAGUAAAUACAAUCACGUAAAUAUCUCGUCUUUCGAAAUUAAAUAUCUUAAUCUACACUAGUUUCUCGAUUUUUCCACUUUUAUGUUUAGUUGUAGUUUAUAGUUGUUGUUUUUUACUUAUUAACACACAUAAUUCUUGAUUUAUUUGAUUAUAUUUAUGCAUAUUUUUUUUUCACUUAGAAUUUUUUAAAUACAAAAACAUGUUGAAAAAAUCUAUCUAUAAAUUUUUUAUUAAAUUUUUUUUUAACACCCAACAAAACAUGUAACAUCGAUUCCAUGUACAGUUUGACUAUAUCUGAGCUGCAGCAGCUGCUCGAGCAGCAGGAGCAGGUGCUCGAGCAGGAGGAGCAGAACCUGCAGCAGGAGGAGCAGCAGUUGCAGCAGUUGCUCGAUCAGCAGGUGCUCCAGCAAUGGCGACGGCAGGUGCUCCAGCCGGAGAGGCGACAGCUGCUCCAGCCGGAGAGGCGGCAGCUGCAGCAGGAGCAGCGGCUGCGGCGGCGGCUGCGGCAGCUCCGUCUGCGGCGGCAGCUCCGGCAGCUCCGGCUGCUCCAGCAGCGGCGGCAGCUCACCGGGUUUUGGUUAGUAAUUAACUUGCUUUAGCUUGAAGUUCUUCGGCAGUUUUUGCUCAUGGUUUUGGUUUGGGGUAAUUAGAUUCACAUUUUACUACCAGUAUAUUAAAAUAAUAUAUAAAAAAACUUAAUUUAAAAUAAAAAAAAUAAACUUAAUUUUUUAAAAAAUAUAUUUUUAAAAUAUAAAAACAAACAAACAAUCUACCCGACAACCUAUUAGAUCAAAUCAUGAGGAAAGGCGGCAUCUUUAAUUUGUUACUUUUACACAAAAGUGUUUGUUUGUUUCUUGGAUUCAAUUUGCCAAAUUCUCAGUUAUUCUUGAAUUAACAUAAAUCUUGCAACUCAAGUUUUGGAUUUUAUAUAUUUCCUUUUAUUUUUUAGUUAAAUAUAUUUUUAUUUUUUUUACUAAACAAACACAACAUACUGUAAAUAUAAAUUCAAAAUAUCUUUACUAUAAUAAAAAAAAUUAAUUUAGUAACAAUUUGUUUUAUAAGCCUGACAAAUUGUCGCUUUUAAAUAGAAUAUGAAUUUUGGAAGGUAUUUCUUUAGUAAUUAAUAAACUUCUAUACUUUUCUCUUAGAUGCACCAACAAUUUUUAUUGUUAAUAGCUUUAUAUUUACAACUAUAUAAACAUAUAAAUAUUAAUAUAUAUAAUCACUUACUCCAAAAUUGGACUUGCUUCGUUUGUAAUUGGCGAAAUAUCAACCCAUGAAGAUUUUAUGGGAAAACCCAGUUUUAUUUUUUUGAGAAAUAGUGGUAGUACUAAUGGGAAUCGGUGUGGUGGAUUUUGUCCAAGAGGGUAUGUAUGUGUAGCUGAGGCAUUGUCAUCAACAGAUGUUGAAGAUAAUGUGUCUGGUGCCGAUGAAGUGCAAGAAUUGCAGCCAGAAAUGAGGAAAGAAGAGGAGCACUUUAGGAGGAGGAGGCUACGUGCUAACCCUGGAAUAGGGUCAAGGAAGCAUAGGGUCUUAAGGAGAAGGCAAGUGAAGAUUGAGGCGGAAGCAUGGGAGCUGGCAACGAAAGAAUAUAAGGAGCUUUUGAAGGAUAUGUGUGAGCAUAACUUGGCUCCUAAUUUGCCAUAUAUGAAGAGUUUGUUCCUUGGUUGGUUUGAGCCUUUUACAGAUGCAAUUGAGCAGGAGGUAAGUAAUUUUUAAUGUUUUAUUUGCUUAUUUUUACUUGCGGUUUGAUUUGUAGACAGAGGAUAAUGAGUGCCCCUAUAAAAAUAUUGAAAGAUAAGAGAAAACAUAAAGUUUCUUAAAUUUACUUUUAGACAACCUUCAUCUGAGGUGAUGAACUAGGAAGAAAGAUGAAGGUUACUAUGUACAAUUAUGAGAUAAAAAUCAGCUAUGGAGCUAGUAGUGCCUGGAAAAUUAGAUUUUGAAGUUACGUUCCGUAAAGUUUUGUCGAAUGUUGAAUGGGGUUUUUCUGGAUUUCUUUUUUAUAUAUCUAUAGUUUUUACUUUCAGUCCAAGUUCUUCUGUUGUUCAUGGUUCCAGGGAAGACACUAAAUGUAGGUACGAAAAACAAUGUAGUGUAAGAUCCUUUAGAUUUUUUACAAUUUUUUCAUUAUGUGUUAAACUUUUCAUAUCACGGGCCUUAUUAGGCUGAAUAUUCUAUUACGCCUUUCUUUAUUGAGCUACAAUUUCUUCAAAGCAUGGGCAUGGUGGACUCAUAAGAGUGACAUUCAACUUUCCUUUGUCAGAGCUCAUCUCAUGUUUCGACAUUGCUUCAUCUAGGAACUCUUCUUCUCCUUGCACUUGUUGUCUCACUAUAGUACCUCGUUGGAUCCUCUGGGUACUCCUGCAUAAUCUCCGUAUGCCCUCGUGCAAUUUAUGUUCUCCAGAUUUAUCUAUACUCCUUGCUUAUGUUUGACAGUAGCUCAUCCUGUCACAACACCUGUCCAAGUCAAAAUAAGGUGUCAAUCUUUAUCCCCUUGCUAUAUUUCUCUUUCAUUAUUAGGAUCUUCAUCAAUUCUCCCCUUGAGAAAUCACAGUCACCGAAUCUAAUUUCUUUGGAGAAAUCACCACUCCAUCAGAUCCUUGAACAUACUGAACCCAACUAUUCCCUUAUGCCGUCAUCUUGCUAGUCUCCAACCGUUUCAUUACAAACUGUUAUAUAUACGAAAAUAGUACCGUAUGGAUAAUCCUUCCACUAAGCAAGUUCCCAGGAAAGAUUGGAGGGGUCACACCGGUCCCGCUUAAAACCCAAUCUCCUAAACAGAACUUCUAAGGCCAUAUCUAUCCAUCGUACUGUCUUUCCGUAUAUACAACCAUUUGCUAGCUUUAUUGCAGCUUUCUUUUACAAGUGAUCUGGAAUAUCUUGGUUCUAUACUUGAUUUCUCAACAUCUGACGAGACUACCAGUGCUUGGAUUCGUCAAGAUUGGUCUUCGUUAAUUUCCACUCUCCACCUCAAAUCAUCCACUUGAUCAGGUGUCCAAAGUGUUCCAAUUUUGCCUUCCUUCAAGGUAACUAAAAAAUCUCCCCGCUUAGCAGUUCAGCACAUGUAAUUGGAUAAACAUGUGAACCUUCUUCUUCUUCAUCUCCAUCGACCACCAUAAUGACCUUCAGAUGCCUCCUAAUCGGGCAAUCUCUCUUAAAAAUUCACCACCACCACUUUUGGUCUCAAUCUCAACGAUCAGACUGUACCAUUGCAUCUAAAACGAUCAAAUUAGCUAGAAACAAGUCUGAAAUCAUCGAAAUCGCAUUUCAGACGGCUAAAAUUUGAUCAAAACAAUUCUGGUCUGAUAAACGGCCCAGAUUCAAUCUCAGAUCCGAUUGCACAUAGAAUCCGCUACACAAGAUCCUAUACCUCGGCUCACGGCUCGACUCCUCUCGGCUCAGCUCUCGGCUGAUGAUGUGGCAGGUGGGUCCCAAUGUGCUGACGUGUUAGCUGACUGGGCGCUGACAUGGCAUGCCAACUGUGCAUGCUGACGUCAUGCUUAUGUCAUCCUUAUCCAGGUCAGUCCCAUGGGUCAAGUCAACUAGUAUUAGGGUUGGGUCAGCCCAUCCGGGCGAAGAAGACGAGUGGCACGCGUGGGGGGCGUCUGCACGCGUGGACAACCACCUCGUCGGCGCGUGUGGCCAUGUCUGACAUCCGAUUUCGAUGUCGUUUUCACCAGUGUGAUCGUCUCUUCCUCUUCUACACAGUGGUAUGGUCAAAACACCAUUUUGACAACUUUCAUUUUUGGGCAAAAAUCAAACACCACUUUAAACCAUGUGCUCUGAUACCAAUUGUUAGGAAUUCUGACUCCUAUGCGCGGACCGGUGAUGUUCUGAUAGUUACCCAUUGUAGGCUUAGCACACUGAGACACAAUAUUUAACGUGGUUCGGCAAAUCGCCUACAUCCACGGGAGAGGUCCAUAUUAUUAGAGAUAGAGAAAGGAUACAUACAAAUACAUGGAGGAGGAGGAUCACUUCACUCAACUCAACUCACAUCUCUCAUUGCUGCACUUGCAGCUACUGUGUAGAAGAGGCUCUGCCUCUCCAUUUCUGUAAUCUCCAUUGGAAGGGAAACUAAUUGUCUUGCAGGUGUUUAUUGAAAACAUGUUGAAUGUGAGAUAUGAGAUGGAAGGGUUUGUCUAGGAUUCUCAAUAAAACAGAGAACAUUGUCUUUAAACAUUAAAGAGCAUUUGCUAAUCACAACCAUGUCUAAUACGGUAAAAUUAACAUUAUUGCCACAGGCAGGAGAAUUUAGGGAUUGCUAUGGAAUUCUUUAUUAUAAUGUUUUUGAUGUUAAAGGGAGAGGUAUACUUCAUGGAAAAGAAUGAUUGGCAGUUAGAGAUAAAAUAUAGAGAAAGAAAAUGUGUUAGGUUUUCUACAAGGAUGUUGUGGUGGAUUAUUUUAGCGCAAGAAAAGACAAGAGUAUAUGUUUGGCAAGUUAGUUAGGAUAUGUUUUUCAUGGACUUUGGUUAAGUUUUUCAUGAAUAGGUGAUCACAAUCCUCAUUGGAAAAACUACACAUGCUUUGGAAUAUGAAGAGGCCUCUAUAGCAGCUUCUGUCAUUCAACCUAUUGCCUUUAAAUCUGAUAAGCUCCCUAGCCCUUUUGGUUGUAAAUUGCCCAUUAGGACUGAGAUUCCUGGACACACUUUCUAUCUACAAAAAGAAAAGAUUUAAACCAGUGAUUGCACUCUGAAUAUCUUUAUUUGAUCAGAUCUAGCAUCAGACGAAAAUCAUUUCAUGAAUUGGUCUUGGGGAAAGAGCACUUUGUUUUCUAGCAAGUUUAUAGUGGGUCUUGGCUCUUUCACUCAAUCAUCAUGCAAAUUGCAGGAGGCACAUUAGCAUAGUCCUCACUAAAAUUAAUUUUAGAUCCUUGUAUACAAAUUUGGAAGAUGCAAAUUCUUCAUACAUGUUCCUUACAUAUGCUACUUUAAUCUGGAAUUUAAUGAGUUUAUGGUUGGAUUCUGGUUCCCAUGUAGUUGUAGCAAGUCUUAACACCACUAUUGCUUCUAGUAACAAAUCAGGACCUGGCAUUUAAGUAGCUUUUUUGGUGUGUUCUAAGCUCUUCUUAGAUAAUUGUGUCAUAGCUCUCUUACUCGUGUCGAGCAUAACCUCAAUGCCCUUUGCAGUUAUGAUAAAGGGCACCUAGGAAUCAGCUACAGCCAGUUUUUGAGGUCUGUACAUAUUAGAUGCAUUGCAUGGUUACUGAUGCGUAUUUUAUUGUUUGAACUAAAUCAUCUUUUGGUACUAACAUGUGAUGUUCUUUGAACAAAAUCUCAUACUGACAAUUUUGUAUACCUUCACAUGCUAUCACGUGUAGAUUUUACCAGCUUAGCUUCUGGUUUAACAAGGAUUCUCUUUUGUUUGAAUUAAUUUUCCAGGCCCUGGAUACACUAGGGAAUACCGAAUGGAGGGUUUGCUCCCUCUGUGGUCUCAGGUUCGAGCCCUGUGGUUGCUCAUAUGAUAGCCACUGGAGGCUUACAUGAUCGUUAACUUCAGGGCCCGUAGGAUUAGUCGAGGUGCGCGCAAGCUGGCCCGGACACCCACGUUAAACUAAAAAAAAAAAAAAGAGGGUACUUAGUGUUGUUGAUAGAAUAUGGAGUAAUGGAGGCUGUCUUGCUGAUUUGGUAGACCACAGUGAUGUGAGUAUCUUUUCUAACUUUCCUCAAUGUAAUUCGUGUUUUUUUUAGAAACUCCUUUACCUUUGUGUUCCAAGAAUUGAUCAUGUAAACACAUCAUACAUGUAAAUAUGAAUACACAAUAUCCAUACCCUAACAAAAAUAUUAAUUUAGUAAUAGUUUUUUUUUAUAAGCCUAACAAAGUGUCGCUUUGGUAGGCAUGCUUUAAAAUAGAAUAUGAAUUUCGGAAGGUAUUUUUUUUAUUAAUUGAUAAACUUCUUUACUUUUCUCUUAGAUGCGCCAACAAUUUUUAUUAUUGAUAUUUACAACUAUAUAAACACAUAAAUACAUAAACAUUAAUAUAUAUAAUCAAUAUCAAUAUUUACACCAAAAUUGAACUUUCGUUUAUAAAUAACAAUGCACCAAGCCUAAAUGUAUUGAGUCUAAUGUUAGCCAGACCUAGACACGGUGGAUCUAGCACUAGCUAGACCCAAGAAAUGAUUAGAUCUAGCUACCGCCUGACCCAAAUCUUGUUAGGACUAGCACUAGUCAAAUUCAACCAUAAUUGAGCUUGGUAGUGUGUUAGACCAAGGCGCAUUGAGUCUGGCAUUGACCAGACCCAAAAGAUAAUUGAGUCUAACACCAUAAACACUCCUUUGUCAAAGGUUUGAGAUGGAAUAUUUGCAAUGGGAGAGGAAUUAGUGUUUGUGAUUGGAACAUUAAAAUUGGGUUGUUUGUAAGAGGAAUAUUAAAGCUUAAUUCAUAAUAAUGUUGAAGGAUAAAAUUAAAAAAAAAUACAAAUAAAAAAACCCUAGAUCAACUCGCUAAAUUCACAACACGAGUCAUAAAACUAAAAUAAUAUUAUAAAAAAAAAUCAACAAAUUAUAAAACUUAAUCUUUAAGAAGUAAAAUGUUGAAAGAUAAAAAAAGCAUGUAGAUUUUUUUAAAAAAAAAAUAUCAUUGCAAAUUUUAACUUGGUAAGAUUUUAUGUUAAUAGUAUUAUAUUAGAUGAGUCCAGCUCACCAUAAGCCUACAUGGAUGAAUAUGAGUUAAUGGUGAGUCGAGCUUGUAUAAUAAUUUAUGGGUAGCAAAAGUUGUGCCCAGUAUUUCUAUAAUACGACGAGGUUUAAUUUCUUUUUUUUUCAUGGUUAUCUCUCAGUGGAUAGCAGCAUCAAUCAUAAGAACUUCUAUAUUUAUAUCUAAUUUAAAUACUAAUUAAACGUGAUAAGAGUGGGAGUUAAAUAUAACGCUGCACAUCAAAUGCUCUUCAAAAAAAAAAAUCUACAUUGAAGCUUUUGAAAAGAAAUAUUAACAUUUAUCACCUUCUGCGUUCUAUUUGUUUAACUGAAUAUAGAGCCACCUUGUUACACUUUAUUAUUAUGAAUAAUAAAAUAACUCCAAACUGCAUUUAUUGGAAGCUUCUGCGAUGUGCCCAUCAAAUACGACUAUAGUGAAUCCCUGGAUAAGAGAUCGUUGCUUUCGACUUUCCGACCGCCGUUGCAUAGCUCAUCACAGCCAUCCCCACUUUCAAAAACAGCAGCAGCUCCCAUUCCUGUGCCUGCAUUUAAUUAGUGACAACAGUUAGCCAUAAGCAUACGUUUCCAGCAACACUCCACGCACCCAGAGAGAGAGGGAGAAGAAGAAUACCUAUGCACAUUGACACCACCCCGAAGCGACAGUCCAUGCCACGACGCUUCAUCUCAUGCAGUAAAGUAGCCACACAUCUAGCACCUGUAACAGUUGAUGAGGCAUGAAUUAGUCUCAGAAAAUGAUUAAACAAAUAACUGCUGCACCACAUAUUCAUGUGUAAAAUUAAAGAACAUAUAUUAAUGGAUUGAUAUCACAAAGAUCACCGUACACAACUCAAAAGUGAUGCUCUAUACAAGUCUUGAGCAGAUUUACAAGCACCAAAAACUGUUUCCACCACCGACACAACGCAAAACCCCUGAAUUUACCCAUGUUUGUGUCAAUUCAUUUCUGCACUUUUGACCAAAUUUUUCUUUUGCUUUUUUAUGCUGUCCCACUGAGCAGACCUUUUUUGUUCUUUUGUGUGAAAAAAAAACUAAAAAAACUAAUUAGAAAAUAAAAAAAAUAUUUAAAAUUCUAAAACCGAUUGAACUAGAUCUCAUAGACUAGUUAUUUUUAUUAUAUUCCCAUUUUUAUUUUUUAUUCUAUAGAUUUUUCUACAUUGAAGCUUUUGAAAAAUUUACAUUGAUCAUGCUUUUUUAUGUUGUUCCACUGAGAUGACCCUUUUUUUUUCUUUUAUGAAUUGAAAUUAUAUUACAUGUUUGUAAUUGUUUCAUCUCAUUUUUAUUUUUGAAAAGUAAACUUCCUUUAAUUAGAUUAUCCUUAAUAUUAAAUUAUCCCUUUGCUUUUUGCAGAGGUCUUAUCAAGCUGUUUGGUUUCUUGAUUUCAGUUGAAUUGAUUUUUAGUUUAUUUCACAUUAUAUUUUCAUGAAAUGAACAGGACAAUAAACUCUUUUAAUAAUCAUCUUGCCUUUAACUUUAAUUAGCUAUUUCAAAUAAAAAUUAUUAAUUUAAAUUUUACAAACUUUAUAAUUACUAAUAAUUUAUAUAAUUGUUAAUUUUAAAACUGUAUAAUUAAUCAUGAUAUAUGGAAACUGCUACAAUACUCAUGUUAAUAAUGAAAACAAAAUUACAAUCACAUCAGCAUGGUUGAAUUAUUCAUGGUUGCAUUCGCUUUCACCCCCUGACUAUGAACAGGAACCCCAAUUAAAUGAAAUGGUCCACAGCGUUUUCGGUCAACCAAGUCGGCUUCCACUUGCAGCACAAUUCAUCAAAAAACGAUGUGAAUUAUCAUUUGAUGUCGAACCAGGUGGACUAUCAGCUGCAGCCACAAUUAUUUGAUGCAUAGCAAAAUAAUUAUUCAGAAUCACAGUACCUUGGCAGUCCUUUCCAGCCAAAUUGAUGUGUUGUGUGCUAAUCCGACGAAAAUCAAGAUCCCAAAGAGGGUGAUGCCGCUGAUGUAGUAGUUGCAAUGCCGAGGAUAUCUAGAGAAAACUGUGAGUAACCCUGUCAAAUUUUUUUAUUUUUAUUUUACUCGAUCUCAUAAUUAAAUUUUUGUUGCAUAAUUUUUAAUUAAUAAACAUGUAAUUAUAAAUGAAGGAAAGAAAAAAUUGGAUGGACUUGUUUGUUUCAAUUUUAUUUUUUUGGUUUUAUCUUUUUUAUUUGUUUUUUAAAGCCUUUUUUAACUCAAUCAAUUCUUUAUUUUUUAUUAUUUUUUUAAGUAUAAAAGUAUAUUCCAAAGAAUAUUUUAAAGUAAUUGGGCAAAUAACAUUGUUAGCCACGGAGAGAUCAAUGGUAUGGACAAAAUAAUAGUAUAAUGAUUGGACUCAAAAACUUUCAAAGACAAAAUCAAUAGUAUACGAUCCCUCAAACUCAUUAACCCCUCACAACUCACUAACCCAAAUUCUCUUGUUUUUGGAUAAUUAAAAAGAAACCAUUUUUUAUGUUGUUUUGAAUUUUUUUUAUUUACUAUUUGAGAUUUUAUAAAAAAAAAUGGUUUGAUGACAGAGGAAUCCAUCAUGUUUGUAUUGAUGGUUGAAAUUGUGUUUGGGAUUUCAUUAAAUUUUUUAUAAUUGUUUUUUCUUAAAAAAAACAUUUUAUAUUUUGUUACCAGCAUGGAGCUGUGAAAAUGAAGGGUUGUAGUGGCGAGGAAUGUUUUUUGGAUUUAAUUUAAUGUUUUUUUUUAAUGUCAGUUAAUUAUAUAAUUUUCUUAAGAUCAAUCUUUUAAUAAAAAAUAUGUAGGAGCUAUAAAAUUGGUGGGACUUAUUCUUCUUAUUUUGAUUUUUUUUUUUUUGAAAACAUGUUUUUCUUUUCAGUGCUUACGAACUAGAUCAAAACAUGUAUUACUUUUUAUUGUAUGUAAAAUGUCCUUAUUUACUUUUAAACAUAGAUGCUUGACUUGAGAAUUCAUUACAAAACACGAAUCAACUCAAUUGUGAUGUGCGUGGCCCAACCCCUGCUCUUGACAGGAAGGUGCCUCUGAUGUCCUUAUUUACUUUUAAACAUAGAUGCUUGACUUGAGAAUUCAUUACAAAACACGAAUCAACUCAAUUGUGAUGUGCGUGGCCCAACCCCUGCUCUUGACAGGAAGGUGCCUCUGCUGCCCAACACGAAUCAAAUUUUUCUUUUGCUUUUUAUGUUGUCCCACUGAGAUGACUUUUUUUGCUCUUUUGUGUGAAUUGAAAUUAGAUUAGAUGUUUAUAAUUGUUUCAUCUCUUUUUUUUUUCUUUUUUUUUUGAAAGGUAAACUUCCUUUAAUUAGAUAGUAUUUUUUUUUUCUAUUUUGUUUUGCAGGCUUUAAUCUUUUUUUUUCUUUGAUUAUCCUUACUGUUAAUAUUAAAUUAUCCCUUUAUUUUUUUUGCAGCUGCCAAGAUAUUUGGUCCCGAUUUUUAAAUGUACCAAAUUGAAUCGGUUUGAUUCAAACUGGUUUUCAGUUUAUUUUGGAUCAUUUUCUCAAGAAAUUGUUGUUUCUGGUUGAUAUUUUUAGAUCUAAACUGUACCAAUCCAGACAAUGAACACCCCUAAUAAUCGUCUUUGCUUUAACUUCAACCAGCCAACUACCUCAAAUUUGCAAUCACAUCAGGCGCAUGGCGUUGCAUUCGCAUUCAUCCUAUUUUCUCCGAGACCUGUUGAAAACUUGCAGUUUGGUGGUGGCGGAUUCAGUGAGAUGGACCAGUGGUAUGAUCAGGAAGUAGUUUUAUCUUUUUUAUUUGUUGUUUAAAGUCUUUUUUAACUCUUAAUCAAUUCUUUAUUUUUUAUUAUUAUUUUAAAUAUAAAAGUAUAUUCCAAAGAAUAUUUUAAAGUUAUUGGGCAAAUAACAUUGUUAGCUAGCCACGGAGAGAUCAAAGGUAUGGACAAAAUAAUAGUAUAAUGAUUGCACUAAAAAACUUUCAAAGACAAGGGACCUCAUCAAAUCAAAUCAAUGGUAUACGAAUCCCUCAAACUCAUUAACACCUCAUAACCAAGAAAAUAAAAAUCGGUAACAUUAUUGAGUAACAGUAAUAAGUUGUAAAAGAAAUAAAGAGAGAGUUUGAUGUAUUAAGGAGUUUAAGAGUUAAAGUGUGUUUUUAGAGAUGAAAGAAUUGAGAUUAAAGGAAAGUAUGAAGGAGAGCUUGAUUGAAUUUGUUUUGGUUUUUGAUUCUUUAUUCUGUAAAUGUAAGAAAACUUUUUUCCAUAAUGAUUCAUUAUUUUGUUUUUUAUGUUUGUUCUUGAAUUGAGUAGAAGUGGUAUAAUGUAAAGUGAUUCAAGACCUGUUUGGAAAUUUGAUUUUUUUUUAAAUUAUUUAUAUAUAUAUUUUUAAAUUGUAUUGAUGUGUUUAUAUCAAAAUUAUUUUAAAAAAAUAAUAAAAAUAAUUAUUUUUAUAUAUUUUAAAAAAUAAUCACUACCAAAUUUUCAAGCAUUUAUAGUGAAAGGUUUGAGAUGAGAUAUUGGUAAUGAGAGAAAAAUAGGUGUUGGUGAUAAAAAUAUUAAAGUUUGAGAUUCUAAACUCAAUUCAAUAUGAUUUUGUUUUUCGUUAAUUAGUUUCAGUUAAUAGGGUGGUACGUGGCUAAGUUUAUUUAAAAAAAAAAUCAAUGGGAAUUUAUAGUAUUUAAUAUAAGAGUUUUAUAGUUAACAGUUUGAAAAUUCAUUAAAAAAUACUUUUCAAUUGUGAUGUGUGUGGCCCGGCCCUGCUCUUGACAGGAAGGUGCCUCUGCUGCCCAAUGCGCGUUCGAUAUCCCUUUCAUUUCUAUCUUCACUUUUUCUCCACCAAAAGAAAAUCCAGGAAACUUACCAAUACGAGUGAGUUCUUGACCUAAAGGAACCGGAAAAAAUUCGAAGUCAUUGGAAUAAAAAGAAAGAAAAGGGCUUUGGAGGUUGGUUACUAAGAUACCAGACGAAUAAACAAAUAUUGGGCUUGUCUAGAUCUUGUGCCUCUUUAGGCAACACUUAGCACACGGUUUGUUUCGUCUAGAUUCGAGUAAUACUUGGUAGAAAUUUGGUGUUUUCUGAUUUCUAAGUAGAAUUGUACAAAUUGCUAAGUGGUAGAUUUAAUUGCCAAAUUUCUUUUUUUUUUUUAGUUUAACGUGGGUGUUUAGGCCAGUUUUCGCGCACCUCGACUAAUCCCACGGGCCCUGAAGUUAACGACCAUGUAAGUUUCCAGUGGCCAUCAUAUGAGCAACCACAUAACUCGAACCUGAGACUAUAGAGAGAGCAAAUCUCUUAAUUUCAAACUCUUACCACUUGGUCAUCACCUAGAUAGUUAAUUACCAAAUUUCUUGAUCUUACCUUCUGUUUCACGGGCCCUGCAAUUCAUAUUUUUUUUUACUUGGUAAUUAAGUAUGAGAAAGAGUUAAAUUUUUUUUUUAAAAAGAGGUGUGCCUUAAGUGUGAUUUUACUUUUGAUUUUCUUUGAAUUUAUUCUUGACCUACAUGGAAAGAAAACAAUAUAAAAGUAUUAUUUUGUAAAAUAAAAAACAAAGCCACUAAUUUACCCUAAUAUAAAUCCUGCAGUCAAUUAAAAACAAAAAUAAAAACACAAAUUGUGAGCAAAAUUUUUCUACAAAAAAAUUGAAGUAAAGCCACCAAUUAAUUUAUCUUUCAUCAAACAAAAUAAGGAAACUUAAAUUUAAAAUUUAUUUUAAUUUUAUUUUGAGAUGUUUGUUAAUAAUUUGAUGAAAUUUUUUUAUAUAAUUCUAUCAUUUUUGCUUUUUUUUUUCUCAGAUUUGCUAAUUCUACCAAUUGUUUUUUAAAUUCUUGUUAUAGUGAUUUUUUUUUCUAAUUAAUUAUAUAUAUUUUAUUGGUUUGUUUUGAUUAUGUUUGGAUUUUUUUAUGUUGUUUUUAGCAGAGCCACUAAAAUUAUCAAUUUUUUCUUAUGAUAUAUGUUUUGAUUUUAGGUUGAACCAUAAACAAAAUAAGAAGAAUUGAUAUGAUAAUCGAUGAUUUUUAUUUUAUGAAAGAACGAUGAGUACAAUUAAAAUAAAUAUGUAAAAAUCAUUCUUUAUUAUUAUUUUUAUUUAUUUUAAAGUUUAUCAAACAUAAAUAAUGCUUCGUUUUAUUUAUGAUGUGUGAUGUGUAUGAUGGUUUGGGAAAGCGGUUUCAGACCCGUUUGGAAAUUUAAUUUUUUUAUAUUUUUAAAUUAUUUUGAUAUAUUUAUAUCAAAAUUAUUUAAAAAUAAUAAUAAUAAAAUUAUUUUAAUAUAUUUUUUAAAAAAUUCUUUUAAAAAAUAACAACUAUUAUAUUUUUAAGCACCCUAGCCCUUAGUAAAAGGUUUGAGAUGAGAUAUUGGUAAUGAGAGAAGAAUUGGUGUUUGCGAUCGGGGAGGAAUUAAAGUUGGGCUGUUUGUGAUAAAAAUAUUGAAGUUGGAGAUUCUAAAAUCAAUUUAAUAUGAUUUUUUUUUUCGUUAAUUAGUUCCAGUUAAUAGGGUGGUGGCUAAGUUUAUUUUUUUAAAAAAAAAAUCAAUGGGAAUUUAUAAUAUUUAAUAUAAGAGUUUUAUAGUUAUUAGUUUAAAAAUUCAUUAUAAAAUACUUUUCAAUUGUGAUGUGCGUGGCCCCACCCCUGCUCUUGACAGGAAGGUGCCUCUGCUGCCCAAUGCGCGUUCGAUAUCCCUUUCAUUUCUCUUUUCGCUUUUUCUCCACCGAAACUCCAUCUUCUUUACAGUGUAAACUUACCAGUACGACUUCUUGACCUCAAGGAACCGGAAAAAAAUUCGACGUCAUUGGGCUUGGCUAGAUCUUGUGCCUCUUUAGCCAACACUUACCACACGGUUUGUUUCGUCUAGAUUCGUGAAAUACUCGUAGAAAUUUGGUGUUUUCUGAUUUCUAAGUAGAGUUGUACAUGUUCCAGCUUGAAAUUAGUAAUUGGUAGAUUUAAUUGCCAAAUUUCUUGAUCUUACCUUCUGUUUCAUGUUUGACCACAGGAGCAGGCCUUACACAAAAUAGCGUGGACAGCAAUUGCUGAACCAAGCGAGCUAGUUGAGGCCAGAAGGGAUCGGUACUAGUUUAUCGCUAUAGGGAUUUUCAUGGCUUCCAGCAGCGUGCAAGGAAUAACCUCAUCUUCAUCUUCUCCUCCUCCACUAUAUAUGCAUGAUGUGUUCCUUAGUUUUAGAGGCAAAGACACCCGGAACAACUUUACUAGUCAUCUAUAUUCUAAUCUGACACAAAGAGGCAUCGAUGUGUACAUGGAUGAUAGGAAGCUCGAGAGAGGAAAGACCAUCGAACCUGCUCUUUGGAAGGCCAUCGAAGAAUCAAGGUUUUCAGUCAUUAUAUUUUCAAGAGAUUACGCUUCUUCACCAUGGUGCUUGGAUGAACUUGUCAAGAUUGUUCAGUGCAUGAAAGAGAUGGGGCAAACUGUUCUGCCAGUUUUUUAUGAUGUGGAUCCCUCAGAGUUUUAUGAUGUGGAUCCCUCAGAGGUAAUCGAGCGGAAACGGAAAUAUGAGGAAGCCUUCGUUGAGCAUGAACAAAAUUUCAAGGAAAACUUGGAGAAGGUCCGGAACUGGAAAGAUUGUCUCUCUACAGUGGCCAAUUUAUCUGGCUGGGACAUACGGAAUAGGUAAAUCAUCUAUCUACUUAUUCUUAUUCUCAAAUCUGCCAUGUAUUGUUUCAAUGAUGAACAAGCAUGAUAGUAAAUGUGUACUUUUUUCAUAUGCAUGAUUUUUUAUUUUUAUUUUUUUAUGACAUUUUGAACUGAUGUGAUCAAGCAUUUCUAAUCUUUAUAUAAAACUGCUUUCUAUUCUUAGGUUUUUCUUUAUAUUUUGAAAAUAAAAUAAAAUAUUAAACAGAAAAAUUAAAAUGUAUAAAAAUGUUGAAAAACAAAUCUAGCAUGAACAAAUAAAAAGUUAGCUUAAAAAAUUAAAAAUGGUGAAGAAAUGACAAUAAAUUCAUCAUAAGAAAUAAAAAAUUGACCAAAGUUUUUGAAUAUGUUGGUUUUAGCUUUUCAAAAUAAAAUAAAAAGAUUUUCCAUCUUGAAUUAAAAAAUUCAAACUAUUUAUAAAUCAAAGAGACAAAUUUAUUUAUAAUUUGUUUUGUGAAUAUUUUUAUUUUUUUAUUUGGAAUUAAAAUUUGAUAGUUGUCUUUCUUUUACUAAUGGAUUGUAAUAAUGAAUUUACUAAUUUUUCAUUCUAAAAACAAUACACUACUUAUUAGGGAUAAUAGGGUAAGUUGAAAACAAUACACUGCUUUUUUUUUUUUUGUCUUUUUUUUAUGAUAAAAAAAAAAGAAGAAAAGUGGUUGGCUUGUUUGUAGAACACACAAGCAAGUAAGUUGUUCUAUCUUAUUUAAGGAGCACGAGAAAUGGCUUAUGACACCCAAAAAAAACCUUCAUUGAUGUUUUAUGAUUCACCACGACAUGACCUUCUUCCCUGAGUGACAUGACCUUCCUCCCUGAGUGACAUUUGUGGAGUAAUUCUUUUUGGUCUAGCACCAAAUGACUUUUUUUUUUUUUCUUUUAUCUUUAUCCUCGAAUUCCGCACCCGACCUUCUAAACUUGUAUAGUAACCCUUCAAUCAGGUUUUUUUUUUAUAUUUGGUCUAUUUCCUUUCAAUUGAUAUUUUUUUAUUUGAAUUAUUUUUUAAAAUUGAAAUUUGUUGUUAAUUUUAUACUUUUUAAUUUUUUAAUCUAUUAGAUUUAAUUCUCAUUCUUUUGAUUACUAUUUAUUUUAUGUGAGAUUAUUUUUAUUUUAUUUUUUUAUUGAUUUCAUCCUUCAUUUUUUAUUGUUAUGUUUUUUUACCUUGGCAAGUUUUUAAAAAAUUGAUAUAUAUAUAUAUAUAUAUAUAUAUUAUUUCUAAUUUCAUAUUUUAAUAUUAAAUUAAGCUUUUUGGUUGAGUCUGGAUUUAGAAUUUAACGGAUUGAGAAUUUGGGACACUAACCUAGGUUUAAGAGAUUUGUCUAGGUUUGUUUUUUUUUUUAACUCAUGUUUUUUUUUUUUGUAGUUUCAUCAUUCAAUAUUUAAUUUAAUUAAAGACGACUGAGCUCUAUUAAUUUUUUUAUUUGCUUUCUAUAAGAUUUUUAAAUAAUUUUAAAAAUAAUCGGGGUUAUUUUAAGUCUUUUUAUUUCUCAUUCUUUGUUAAAUCUAGCUGCUAUUUUUUAAAAAAUUCUUUUUUUUAAUUGAAUAAUUUUUUAUGUUUAGCUUUUAAUAUUUGGUUGAUUGAAAUCGGGCGCUAUUUUAUUUUGAUAUGGGUUCCAUGGAGUUUUCACGGAUUCGUGCUUCGGAUAGCAAGUUUCACAUGUUUACCAUAAUUAUUCCAUAUCGAUCUAGUGUGUUGUCAUCACAAUUAUAUUUUUAAAUAAAUAUAUCAUCAGAUAUAUUAAUUUCACAAGAUGAAGAAAUGGGUUGUGAAAAUUUAAGUUCAGCAUCUCAAGGUGCAUGGAUUCAAUUUGCGCAACCUUAGGGAAAUUUUCUUCAGGCUAUGCUAAUAUGGGAAAAAACUCAAAAAUUAAUAAAUUUAAAGUUGUUUUUUUAAAGUUAAUUAUGCAAGAUAAUUGAUUUUUUUGUUAAAAAUAAUUAUAAAAAUAACUUAGUGGUCCAACAAAAAUAUGAUAGAACUCCUUUUGCGUCUAUUAAAACCAAACUUAAUGGAUAUUUUAUUUCCUAGCUUUUGUUCUUGUAUGCAUGCUUCUGUAGUAACUAUGGGAUUCUAUAGGCAAUAAGAUAGCUAUUGUACGAAUCAUUCUUAGCAUCAAUACAAUCCUAGUUCCUUUUUCAGUUUAUUCUUUCCUUUUCCUCUAUGUUCUUGAAGCUAUCUAUUAUCAGUGCCCUAUUUUUCUCAAAGGUUGGUGUAUUAAUUUCCGGCUAACAGCCAUACAUUUUCGAGCUACAAUAUGCUAAUGUCUAUUUUCCCAUUAUCACUAUCUGAUUUGAUUUCUGCACACUGCAUGAUUAAUGUUUUGCACCCUUCUAUGCAGGAAUGAAUCGGAAUCAAUUAAAAUAAUUGUUGAAUACAUAUCGUACAAACUAAGCGUCACUCUGCCAACAAUUAGCAAAAAAUUAGUUGGAAUAGAUUCUCGUGUAAAGGAAUUAAAUGGCUAUAUAGGUGAAGAAGUAGGCAAAGCAAUCUUCAUAGGGAUUUGCGGAAUGGGUGGCAUAGGUAAGACGACUGUUGCAAGGGUACUAUAUGAUAAGAUUCGUUGGCAAUUUGAAGGCAGCUGCUUCUUAGCAAAUGUCAGGGAAGUUUUUGCUGAGAAAGGUGGACCACGCCGUUUACAGGAACAACUUCUUUCUGAAAUCUUAAUGGAACGUGCUCCUGUAUGUGAUUCUUAUAGAGGGAUUGAGAUGAUAAAGCGGAGGUUACGACUUAAAAAGAUUCUUCUUAUCCUUGAUGAUGUAAAUGACCGUAAACAACUAGAAUACCUGGCUAAGGAGCCUGGAUGGUUUGGUCCAGGGAGCAGAAUUAUCAUAACAAGCAGAGAUACAAAUGUGUUAACUGGAAAUGAUGAUACUAAAAUUUACGAGGCUGAGAAAUUGAAUGAUGAUGAUGCUCUUAUGUUAUUUAGCCAGAAAGCUUUCAAAAAUGACCAGCCUGCUGAAGGUUUUGUGGAACUAUCCAAGCAAGUUGUGGAUUAUGCUAAUGGUCUUCCACUAGCUCAUGAAGUUAUAGGUUCGUUUUUGUAUGAAAGAAGUAUCCCUGAAUGGAGAGGUGCAAUUAAUAGAAUGAAUGAGAUUCCUGACGGCAAAAUUAUUGAUGUGCUUCGCGUUAGUUUUGAUGGCCUCCAUGAAUCAGAUAAGAAAAUAUUUUUAGACAUUGCAUGUUUCCUGAAGGGGUUUAAAAAAGAUCGAAUAACAAGGAUACUUGAAAGCCGAGGAUUCCAUGCAGGUAUUGGAAUACCAGUUCUUAUUGAGAGAUCUCUUAUAAGUGUCUCUCGGGAUCAAGUCUGGAUGCAUGAUUUGUUACAGAUAAUGGGUAAGGAAAUUGUUCGUUGUGAAUCCCCUGAAGAGCCUGGAAGGCGCAGUAGAUUGUGGACAUACGAGGAUGUCUGCCUUGCACUGAUGGACAACACAGUGAGUACUACUGAUAGAGAACGUUAUCCAUAAGAUUUCAUAAAGUGUAUUUUAAAGUAUAUCUCUACUUUGUAAUUGUUUUUUACUUGUAUUCCCUUUUGGUUGACAGGGAAAAGAAAAAAUAGAAGCCAUAUUUUUGGACAUGCCUGGAAUUAAAGAGGCACAGUGGAACAUGAAAGCCUUCUCUAAAAUGAGCAGACUAAGAUUGCUCAAAAUCAACAACUUGCAGCUUUCUAAAGGACCUGAAGAUCUUUCCAAUCAGUUACGAUUUCUUGAAUGGCAUUCUUACCCUUCAAAAUCAUUGCCAGCUGGUUUACAGGUGGAUGAGCUAGUUGAACUUCACAUGGCUAACAGUAGUAUUGAACAAUUAUGGUAUGGGUGUAAGGUGAGAUCACCUAAUUUAAGGCCCUUUGUAUUUCUUUUUAUCGUUUUCCUAUAUAUAUAUAUGAUUGGCUAACAGUAUCCAUGUUUCUUCUCCCCUGCCUGAUUGCAGAGUGCAGUUAAUUUGAAAAUCAUCAAUCUCAGCAACUCAAUAAACCUGUCCAAGACUCCAGAUCUUACUGGAAUUCCAAAUCUUGAGAGUCUGAUUCUUGAAGGUUGUACAAGUUUGUCUGAGGUCCAUCCAUCACUUGGAUGUCACAAGAAGCUUCAAUAUGUGAAUCUUGUGAACUGCAAAAGUAUUAGGAUUCUCCCAAACAAUCUAGAAAUGGAAUCACUUAAAGUUUUCACUCUUGAUGGCUGCUCAAAACUUGAGAAGUUCCCAGAUAUAGUAGGAAACAUGAACAAAUUGAUGGUACUUCGUUUGGAUGAGACUGGUAUUACAAAACUAUCUUCAUCGAUUCAUCAUUUGAUUGGCUUAGGUCUAUUGAGCAUGAACAGCUGCAAGAACCUUGAAAGCAUUCCAAGUAGCAUAGGUUGUUUGAAAUCCCUUAAAAAACUCGAUCUGUCUGGCUGCUCUGAACUUAAAUAUUUAACAGAGAAUUUGGGGAAAGUUGAAAGUUUGGAGGAGUUUGAUGUAAGUGGAACUUUAAUAAGACAACUGCCAGCAUCCGUUUUUCUUUUAAAGAAUCUUAAAGUAUUAUCUUUGGAUGGAUGCAAAAGAAUAGCUGUGCUGCCUUCUUUGUCUGGUCUGUGUUCUUUAGAAGUACUGGGUUUACGUGCUUGCAAUCUAAGAGAAGGAGCACUUCUUGAAGAUAUUGGCUGCUUAUCUUCAUUGAGGUCUUUAGAUCUGAGCCAGAAUAACUUUGUUAGCCUGCCUAAAAGCAUAAAUAAGCUUUCUGAACUGGAAAUGCUUGUCUUGGAGGGUUGCACGAUGCUUCAAUCUUUGCUUGAGGUUCCAUCUAAAGUUCAAAUAGUAAAUUUGAAUGGUUGUAUAAGCCUAAAAACAAUUCCAGAUCCGAUAACGCUAAGCAGUUCCAAAAGAUCAGAGUUCAUAUGUCUUAACUGCUGGGAAUUGUACUAUCAUAAUGGCCAAGACAACAUGGGGUUGAUGAUGCUUGAAAGAUACCUCCAGGUCUUCUCUUAAUCAAACCCCAACCUUUUUCUAUCUCUCUCACUCUCCCUCUAUCUGUCUAACGUUUUGGUUCUUUAUGGUACAGGGUUUGUCUAAUCCAAGACCUGGAUUUGGUAUCGUUGUUCCAGGAAAUGAAAUUCCAGGGUGGUUUAACCAUCAAAGUAAGGGAUCUUCAAUUAGUGUGCAAGUGCCUAGUUGGAGCAUCGGGUUUGUUGCCUGUGUUGCAUUCUGUGCAAAUGGUGAAAGGCCUUCUGUUUUUUGUGAUUUCAAAGCCAAUGGAAGAGAGAAUUUUCCUUCGCCGAUGUGUAUUAGUUGUAACUCUAUCCAGGUUCUGUCAGAUCAUAUUUGGCUAUUCUAUCUAUCUUUUGAUCAUCUUAAAGAGCUUAAAGAAUGGAAGCAUGAAUCCUUUAGCAACAUUGAGUUGUCAUUUCAUUCUCUCGAGCAACGAGUAAAGGUGAAGAACUGUGGUGUCUGUUUUUUAUCUUCUCUAUAUAUUACAUCACAACCAUCUGCCCAUUUUAUUGUUACAAGCAAAGAAACAGCUUCUUCAUAUAAAGCUUCUUUAGCUCUUUCUUCAUCUUACCAUCAAUGGAAGGCCAGUGUUUUCCCUGGCAUCAGAGUCGCAGAUCGGGCCCAGAGAUUCAUUGUCCCAGUCGGGAAGGAACCAGGGAAAGUAAUGGCAAUUAGAUCAAGACUCUUUGAAGCCAUUGAAGAAUCAGGGCUGUCAAUUGUUAUAUUUGUAGGAGAUUGUGCUUCUUUACCUUGGUGCUUUGAAGAACUUGUCAAGAUUGUCGGAUUCAUGGAUGAGAUGAGAUCGGACACUGUUUUUCCAGUUUCUUAUGAUGUCGAACAAUCAGAGAUGGAUGAUCAAACAAAGAGUUACACAAUUGUCUUCGAUAAGAGUGAAGAAAAUUUCAGGGAAAACGAGGAGAAGGUGCCAAGGUGGAUGAAUAUUCUCAGUGCAGUUGAGAUUUCAUCUGUAACGAGAUCAUUGAAAAGGUAAUAAUUACUUCUUUUUUGUGCCAAGGUAUUACUACAAGUAAAUGAAACUGGGAAUGCUGAAAUAUGUUAAUAAAUCUAAUCUAUUUUUUAUGACAAUUAGGAAAUGUAUUCUUGAAAGUUAUGAAUUGUUAAAUACUUACAUGAGUUUUAAAUUAUAUAGUAAAUUAUUCGUUUAAUAAUUGAAAAUUUUAAACUUUAUAGCAUUUGAAUUUUAAAAUAACAAUAAUUGAUUCCAUGUAUAGUUUAAUGGGAAAAAGAAUGUUUAGUUUUCACGUCAUUUUUAUCUAAUCUAUUUUUUUAUGAUAAUUUUACCUGAACCGAAAGAUAGAACACAACACUUCUGACUUCUCCUUCUCACUCUUAGCAGCAUAGGAGCUCCAGCAACGCAGCAGCAGCAGCAGAUCCAGAUCUACCUCCACCAGCAGCAGAUCCAGCUCUACCUCCACCAGCAGCAGAUCCAGCUCUACCUCCACCAGCAGCAGCAGCGAAUCCAGCAUCUCCAGCUGCUCGAGCGGCGGCAGGGUUGGCUCCAACUGCUCGAGGAUCGGCUCCAGCUGCUCGAGGAACGGCUGCGGCAGCCCCAGCUGCUCGAGGAGCGGCGGCUGCAGCGCCAGCUGCUCAAGCAGUGGCUGCAGCGCCAGCUGCUCGAGCGGCGAGGGGAGCUCGAGCGGCGGGGGGAGCUCGAGUGGCGGGUGCUGGAGUGGGAGCGGCGGCAGCGGGAGCAGCGGGAGCAGCGGGAGCAGCGGAAGCAGCGGGGGCUGCUGGAGCAGCGGAAGCAGCGGGGGCUGCUGGAGCAGCGGCUGCUGGAGCAGCGGCUGCUGGAGCUGGAGCAGCGGCUGCUGGAGCGGGAGCUGGAGCGGGAGCGGGAGCGGGAGCAGCGGCUGCUGGAGCUGGAGGGGCGGCUGCAUGAGUGGCGGCUGCAUGAGUGGCAGCUGCUGGAGCGGGAGUUGGAGCAGCUGCGGGAGCAGCUGCGGGAGCGGCCGGAGCGGCCGGAGCGGCAGCUGGAGCGGGAGCAGCGGCUGCUGGAGCUGGAGGGGCGGCUGCAUGAGCGGCGGCUGCUGGAGCGGGAGUUGGAGCAGCUGCGGGAGCGGCCGGAGCGGCUGGAGCGGGAGCAGCGGCUGCUGGAGCAGCGGCUGCUGGAGCGGGAGCGGCGGCUGCUGGAGCGGGAGCAGCUGGAGCAGCGGCUGCUGGAGCAGCGGCAGCUGGAGCUGCAGCAGCUGCUUGAGCAGCAGCAUGAGUUUUGGUUACGAAUCUAACUUGCUUUAGCUUGAAGAUCUUCGUCAGUUUUCCAUGGAUCUAAUUUCUUAUUAGCUCUUGAUUUUUUUUCCUUGUUAAUUACCAUCAAAGUACAGUGAGCAGUGAUUGCAAGACAUCAUAUGAUCUUCCUUGUUGUUUGCAUGUUCAUCAAAGCAGCCAACACGAGGGAAAAAACAUAGCAAUGAUUUUCAUCAUGAUAGGACAGGGCCUUGUUUUUGCACAUGGUUUUGGUUUGGGGUAAUUAGAUUUACAUUUUGCAAUCAUAAGAUUGAUAUUUUUUUUUUAAAAGUUUUAUUAUUUAAUAUUUAAUUUAAUUAGAGAUUGAGUUUUAUUAAUUUUUUAUUUUUUGAUUUUUAUAAAAAUUUUAAAUAAUUUUAAAAAUAUUUUUUUUAGUUUUAUUAUUUAAUAUUUAAUUUAAUUAGAGAUUGAGCGUUAUUAAUUUUUUUUAUUUGUUAUUUAUAAAUUUUUUAAAUAAUUUUAAAAAUAACAGGGGUUAUUUUAAGUCUUUUUAUUUCUCAUUCUCUGUUAAAUUUAGCUACUAUUUUUUUAAGAAAUUAUUUUUUAAUUAAAUAAAAUUUUUUAUUUUUGACUUUUAAUAUUUGAUUGAUUGAAAUUGGAUUCUUUAUUUUAUUUAGAUAUGGGUUUCUUGGGGUUUUUUCAGAUUGUGAGUCUCACAUGUUAAUCAUAGUUUUUUUUUAUAGAGCAGAAUUAUCAUAACUAGCAGAGAUAAAAAAAGUGGUAACUGGAAAUUAAUAAUACUAAUAGAAUUUAUGAUGAUGAGAAAUUGAAUGAUGAUGAUGCUUUUAUGUUGUUUAGCCAGAAAGUUUUCAAAAAUGACCAGCCUGCUAAAGAUUUCGUGGAACUAUCCAAGCAAGUUGUGGGUUAUGUUAAUGGCCUUCCACUGGCUCUUGAAGUUAUAGAUUCGUUUUUGUAUUAAAAAAGUAUCCCUGAAUGAAGAGGUGAGCUUAAUAGAAUGAAUGAGAUUCCUGAUGGCAAAAUUAUUGAUGUGCUUUGCAUUAGUUUUGAUGGUCUCCGUGAAUCAGAUAAGAAUAUAUUUUUAGACAUUGCCUGUUUCCUGAAGGGGUUUAAAAAAGAUCGAAUAACAAGAAUACUUGAAAGCCGAGGAUUCCAUGCAGGUAUUGGAUUACCAAUUCUUAUUGAGAGAUCUCUCAUAAGCAUCUCUCGGGAUCAAGUCUGGAUGCAUAAUUUAUUACAGAUAAUGGGUAAGGAAAUUGUUCGUUGUGAAUCCCCUGAAGAGCCUGGAAGGCGUAGUAGAUUGUGGACAUACGAGGAUGUCUGCCUUGCACUAAUGAACAACACAGUGAGUAGUUGAUAGAGAACAUUAUCUAUUAGAUUUCAUAAAGUUUAUUUUAAUUUACACUCCAUCUCUACAAAUCUUUACUUUGUGAUUGUUUUUUACUUGUAUUCCCUUUUGGUUGACAUGGAAAAGAAAAAAUAGAAGCCAUAUUCUUGGACAUGCCUGGAAUAAAAGACGCACAAUGGAACAUGGAAGCCUUCUCUAAAAUGAGCAAACUAAGAUUGCUCAAAAUCGACAACGUGCAGCUUUCUGAAGGUCCUGAAGAUCUUUCCAAUAAGUUACGAUUUUGUAUUCCUUCAAAAUUUUCAGGAAUAUAAAUAUGCAUCAAUAAAAACCUGUCAGGUCUGACGCUAGCUAGAUCUAGGUAUAUUGGGCUCGACAAUCUGUCAAGUCCCGGACAUGCUGGGUCUGACAGUGUGGAAUGGCUUUCAUUUCUUGAGCAUGCCCAAGAGAAUGAUCAUUGGGUCUAACUUAUGGGAAUAACUCAAUCUCUACGAGCAUUAACUACAUUUGAUGUCCUAAACUCUAAUUUCCUUACAUCUUUUAGGUGUAUAAAAGUCUUCCAAGAACUCAUCAUAUUUCCAUCAAAUAUUAAUAUAGAUGUAAGAUAUAUUUAUCCUUUAUUAAAUGCUAUCGAGUCUCUUUAUAGAAGAACAAGACUCAUAUGCUAUAAAUACACAAUAAGACAUUCAGAACAGAGGUUCACAAUCUUUAUUUUCUACUACAUAUAUAAUUUCAGAGUAUUUUUUUCUAGAAUAUUUUUAUAUUUUUUUUUUAUAAAAAAAACAUACUUAUUUAAACAUCAGAUUUCAUCAUAAAUAUGUUCAUAGCAAAAAAUGAAAAAGAAAAAAAAAGCUGAUUCAGCAAAGCAAAUUAUUAAGGGUCUGUAUUUGCUUUCAUUAACUAAAAUAGCCAGAGAAACACAAUCCAUAUAUACAUGCCUGGAAUAAAAGAGGCACAAUGGAACAUGAAAGCCUUCUCUAAAAUGAGCAAACUAAGAUUGCUCAAAAUCGACAACGUGCAUCUUUCUGAAGGACCUGAAGAUCUUUCCAAUAAGCUACGAUUUCUUGAAUGGCAUUCUUACCCUUCAAAAUCAUUGCCAGCUGGUUUACAGGUGGAUGAGCUAGUUGAACUUCACAUGGCUAACAGUAGCAUUGAGCAAUUAUGGUAUGGGUGUAAGGUGAGAUCAACUAAUUUAAGGCCCUUUGUAUUUCUUUUUAUCGUUUUCCUAUAUAUAUAUGAUUGGCUAACAGUAUCCAUAUUUCUUCUCCCCUGCCUGAUUGCAGAGUGCAGUUAAUUUGAAAAUCAUUGUACUAACCCAAUUCUGGGUUAUUCCCUAAAAUUCAUUUUUUUUAAAAUAAAAACAAAAAAAAUAAAAUAAAAAAUAAAAGCUGGCAAUGUGGAGAAAGCUGAUCAAGAAAAAUAGGCAAAAUAGGCAAAAAUCAAUCUGCAAUUUUCAGAGGAAAUUCAAGGCCUUUCGGCGCCCCAUUGUGCCCAAAAUCAGAGAAAAAAAUGCAAAUUCAAGAUCAAAUUAAAUGAUUAUUGGACAAAUUUGCAUAAAAAUUAAGUCCAAUAACAUAAUUAAAUUUUUAAUAGGCCAAUUUGAUUUAAUCAUGGGUCAAAUUAAAUUUUAGUUAUGUUUAAGAAUUAAUUUAGGUCCAAAUGAAGGAUUUAAUUAAGUGCAAGUACUUAAUUAUACUUUAAAUGGGUCAAAUUAAUUUUAUUUGGGGCUUAAUUGGUGAAAAAUUAAGUUUGGGAGCCUAAUUUGGGCUUAAUGGAGAAGAUUGGAAUUUUAAGAGACCAAAUUUAAUUUUUACCAAGUUAAUUGAUUGAAAUCAGGGGUCAAAUUGCAAGAAAAUUGAAGUUUUGGGGCCAAUUAGGGGUUAAAUUGACAAAAUCCAAAGCCAAGGGCCAAUCUGCAAAAGGCGCCAAACUAUAGGGGUCUAAUUGACAAAAGCCGGGGGUCAAAUUGAAGAAAUUGAAAGCUGGAGGACUCAAUUGAAAAUCGGCAAAAAUCCCUAGCUUUUGAUCCAAAACGGCGCCGUUUUUGGUGUUUAAGAAAAAACAAAGAGGGGGAAGGGACCAGGCGACGCGUCACCUGGUCACUGUUCAUCUUCUUCCCCACAAAACUGCCCGAGUAGCAGCUCUCCAGGCGCAUUUUCUACCUCGUUUGGCCUCCAAAUCCGACAACGCAUGCACCAAAAUGUCCACCUGAAACCCCUUUAUCCUUGAGAAUGGUCCGGUCGGGUAGAAAAACUUUGAAAUGGCUUCGUUUAUUGGCCCAAAGUGGCCACCUCGUUCAGUCUGCAGCCUUGGAUUGCCAAAUUUGGCAAUUCGAGGUGCACACUUUGAACCAACGGAUUGGAUUCCUCGAGUCGAAUCAAGGGCUGAGACUUUUUCCCGUUGAAGACAAGAUUACCCUCUUUCCAGCCCUAUAAAUAGGAGCCAAUGUCAUGCUCAGGGGGAGGGGAAAAUUGAGCUCAAAAUUGGCAAAACAUCAGCUUUUCCUGCCCGGUUUUCCUGCAACCAGCCUUCUCUUUUCUUUUUCUCUCCGCCGUGGCCUCCAGCCGCCACCACUGAUCUCGCCACCGUCCUUCCCAAGAAACACCACAUCCCAUCCAUCACCCAGCAACCUCACCACAGUCACAGUACCUCUCUUUCUCUCCCUCUCUUCUCUGCAAAAAUCUUAUCCUCUGCCACCGUGACUCCAACAGCGGCGGCGACAGCAGAGGUAGCAACCAUCUUGCCCAAAAGCUCUCUUCCACUCCUACCAGCAGCAGCCGGAGUAGCAGCUCCUUCCUCAGUCACACCAACAGCUCCAGCCGUGAGCUUUCCUUCUCCUCUGCAGGAAUCUGCUCCUUCUUCUUCCAGCCGGGACCAGUGCACGCCGCCGUCCUCGCCGCCUCCAGUCGCACCGCGCACCACCAGCUAGGCCGCCGACUCUCUCCACGCCAGGUAAUUCUCUCCUCCCCGCUCCACCCUUUUCAAAAACCUUUUUCCAACUAUUUUUUUUUUCAGGAUGCAGAUGUAGACUUUAAUAUUUGUGGGGUGUAAAAUUACACGAUAAAGUACACCCUCGGGUAUUAAACAUACAAGGUGUAAAUAAAUGCCAUCCUAAAAUUCAGACUUUAGAACGGUUAGGAUUUAACCCAAUAAGGUAGAGACUCCCUCACGAAGGGAGAUCUGCCUUGAACCUUAGAAAAGACCAACGAAUAGAAACUCGACCUAGAAAAACAAUCAAACAACAAUGCAGCUUACCUUAGGUAGGGUGCACUGGGGGUGAUGCAUCUUCCCCUUGCACAACCAGUCCCUUACUCAGACUCUCGCAGACCAUAGGUUCCUAGUGACCAUAAUACUAGGUGGCGACUCCAACGAACCAAGCAAAACACAAAUAAAAGAAAAAUCGCCAGCAGACGCCGCGCGGAUUUUCCGACGUGCGACAGAAUGGCGACUCCACUAGGGACGCCUUGUUUGGUCGGACUAAGCUUUGUUUGUUUGUUUAAUUAUCUGUUUUGGUCUGUUUAAAUGUAUUGUUUCAGCACUUUUAUUUCUUGCUCAUACAUAAAUAAUGUGUUCAUGCUUUUUUAAAUUCUUGCAAGAUAACCCAACACUAGGAUAGGAGGGGAGUAGCGGUCUGCCCCAUGACUUUCAGUCGGGGUUCAGAUUCACGAAACAUCCAACUAUGAGCUGCGUGUUUACUUGGUGAUAGCGGACACAUAGUGCCCGAACCUUCCCUUGUAAACCCCUAUACUGCCUUUACGUGAGGUGGUCACUGGGCAGUUCAUAUACCUUUUUGAGACCAGCUAGAAAACAUAUCCUCAUUUUUGGGAUCCACAAAUCGAAUCCCAACCGUACAUACAUGACUUUCUUGAGAAGCUUUCCUCAUUUUUGGGAUUUACAAAUCAGAUCUCAACCGUACAUACAAGACUUUCUUGAGAAGCUUUCCUUAUUUUUGGGAUCCACAAAUCGAAUCCCAACCAUACAUACAUGACUUCCUUGAGAAGCUUUCCUCAUUUUUGGGAUCCACAAAUCAAAUCCCAACCGUACAUACAGUACUUCCUUGAGAAGCUUUCCUCAUUUUUUGGGAUACAAAUCAAAUCCCAGCCGUACAUACAAGACUUUCUUGAGAAGAUUUCAUCAUCUCUGAGAUCGAUUUACAAAUCAGAUCUCAACCAUACAGGUAUGACUUCCUUCAGAAUAUUUCAUCAACCCUGAAGCUGAUUGUUGAAAUCACUUUCAUGUAUUUCACAAAAAUGUUGAAAUCACUUUCAUGUAUUUCACAGACGGGUCGGUUCACAAAAACAUUGUUGAAAUCACUUUCAUGUAUUUCACAAUGCUAAUCUGAAAUCACUUUCAUGUGUUUCAUAAAACAAAUGUUGAAAUCACUUUCAUGUAUUUCACAAAAAAAAAAAAAACCAAUGUUGAAAUCACUUUCAUGUAUUUCACAAAACCAUUGUUGAAAUCACUUUCAUGUAUUUCACAAUGCUAAUCUGAAAUCACUUUCAUGUAUUUCACAAGACUAAGAUUGAAAUCACUUUCAUGUAUUUCACAAAAAAAAACCAAUGUUGAAAUCACUUUCAUGUAUUUCACAACAUUAAUCUGAAAUCACUUUCAUGUAUUUCACAAGAUCAAUAUUGAAAACACUUUCAUGUUUUUCAUUUGGGCAGGUCGCCCAUAAGAAUUAGUCCAACUGAAAAAUCUGUGUAUUUUUUCAACACUUCCAUCAUUUUUCUUUACAAAACUUACUAUGCAAAGUCAAAAGAAAAUGAAUUUUCCAAUGCCUUUGCACCGUAAGCAUUGUAAAGAGGGGGCAACUGUUGUAACCCAAUUUUGGAUCCACCAAGAUUUUCUCAAAUGUUAUUUUAUUUCUAUUAUUAUUUAUAAAAAUCCAAAAAAAUUAAGAAAAAGAAAAAUUCAAAAAUAUAUUUUUCUCGAGUCAACCGCAUCUUUCCGUCAAAACCGAGUCCACCAGGUCAAUACGGGUCAAACCAUGUCGACCAGGGUAAAAAAUGAGUUUCGGGCCGUUUCGGGUCAAAGCCGUCAUUUUUGACCAAAACCGAGUUCACCGAGUCAAUACGGGUCAAACCAUGUCGACCAGGGUAAAAAAUGAGUUUCGGGCCGUUUCGGGUCAAAACCAUUAUUUUUGACCAAAACCGAGUUCCCCAGGUCAAUACGGGUCAAACCAUGUCGACCAGGGUAAAAAAUGAGUUUCGGGCCGUUUCGGGUCAAAACCGUUAUUUUUGACCAAAACCGAGUUCACCAGGUCAGUACGGGUCAAACCAUGUCGACCAGGGUAAAAAAUGAGUUUCGGGCCGUUUCGGGUCAAAACCAUUAUUUUUGACCAAAACCGAGUUCACCAGGUCAGUACGGGUCAAACCAUGUCGACCAGGGUAAAAAAUGAGUUUCAUGCCGUUUUGGGUCAAACCUGUUAUUUUUUGGUCAAAACCCGGUCCACCGGGUUUAUAUCCAUUGAAAGUUUUUUUUUAUGUUUCAACAUAAUUUUCGGUAAUUUAAAAUUGAUUUUUAGCGGUUGAAUCGGGCUUUUUCUAAUACUGAUUUAAGUUUUAAUUUUACCUGUAUAAAUAUAUAUUAUUAUAUAUAAUAAAACAAAAUUAAUAAUACAGAAUUGUCGCGGGGCAGUUACAUUUAUUGUAGGCGAGCAGUUGGAUGGAUAUAUUUUUUUAUUUAAACAAGAUGCUUGCUGUCCCCUCUCAUUGGCUAUAAAUAGCCAGUGAGGAAAAACAAAAAAGAGGGAAGAAAAAGAAAAGAAAAGAGUAUCACUAUUCAAGUUUUUUUUUACUAUUUCUUCACAAGAGUAGGAUAUUGAUUUAAAAAAAAAACAAUAUGGAAAAUACCAAAUAUAUCCUAACCGUUAGAUCUAAUAGUGUUUAGAUCUGAACCGUUGAUUUAAGAGGAUACAAUAGGGCUUACCACACCAGAUUAAAACCCAAACACAUCUCAGCCCUUGAAAUAAUCUAAGCUUUGAUCCCGUUGCGCCACGUCACCCGGUGUACCGAGAUUUCGGUGUACCGCGUCACACCCGAUCCUACCUCUGUUCAUCCGGACCGUCCGAUCAACCUGCAGAUCGGGCCAAUCCCAGCCGCACGAUCUUUCCAGCCGAGAUCCAACGGUGCACAGUGUUCAGCAGUACCGGUGUACCAUACACGCGUUCAUACCAUAGCAUAAUCUCGGACUCUCUCUCUCCUCUCGUCGGCGACGCUCUCUCUCUCAUCCGAUCUCCACUUUCCGGCCGUCUCCAGCCUCCGAACCACCACAGAAAGGUUUCUCCCCUGCUGUAAAGAAAAACCCUGGUGGUUGUCAUCGUUAUCUCGGCCUCAUCUGGCCGGAAAAGGACCGCGAUCGUCGGCUGCCACCGAAGCUUCAAGUUGACGAUUCUCCCUCUUCAGCCAUCAACGACCGUCGAGACCACCGCCAUCAGAACCCUCGACAUCAGAUCUACCAGGAUCGACCAUCGGUUGGCCAGAAAUCUCGCCGGAAAAUCUCACCGCCUCCAACAGUAGCCGCGCGUGUGCCACACGCGCCGCCAGUGGCAUUUUCGUAAUUUUCGGAGAAAUUCGAGGGUAUUUCAGUAUUUUGCCUAUACAGUGGCACUCAGGUAAUGUUUCGGGGUUUCUACUGGUAUUUUUGAUAUUUUUUAUAUAUAAAUGCUUGUAAAUUUUCUUGCAUGUUGUAAAAAAUACAAAAAUCAAAGUCGACACGUCUCUUUUUUAAAAAAGGACCGAUGUCAAAAAUGCAAAUACCAAAUAUGGAUUAUGUCCAUUAUUUCUUUUGGUAACCCAGACGUAAUUCUCCGUUUUUAGGGAUAAACGUCAAUAUUUUAGACGAGUCUCCUAAUUUUUAGGGACUGAUGUUAUUUUUAACGUGUCUCCUAUUUUUAGGGACCGACGUUAACCAUUUGAAAAAAAAAACAAAUUACCAAUAAACCCAAAAUAUAAUGGAUUAUAUCCAUUAUUUCUUUUGGUAACCCAGACGUAAUUCUCUUUUUUAGGGUUGAAACGUCAUAUUUUAGACGAGUCUCCUAAUUUUUAGGGACUGAUGUCAUUUUUAACGUGUCUCCUAUUUUUAGGGACCGACGUUAAUCAUUUACAAAAAAUUACAAAUAAGCCCAAAAUAUAAUCGCAUUUGAAUCAAAUAAAAAACACACAAGUAAGGGUAACCUUUCUUUUGAAAGGAUGUUUUAAGGGUGGUGUCUACCUUCCCUUAAUCAUAACUAACCCCGUACCCGAAUCUCUGGGACCAGUGUCUAAUUUGGGAUUUCUAGUUCCCUCAAAUUACUAGAUGGCGACUCCAAUAAAAUCUUUGUUUCCCCCAAUUGAGAAAAAACCCUUUUUGUUAAAUAAACAAAAAAAGCGGGAGCCGUCGCCUGACGUCGUGUAUCGACAUAUGUUGUCCCACUGAGAAGACCUUUUUUGUUCUUUUGUGUGAAAAAAAAAACUAAAUAAACUAAUUAGAAAAUAAAAAAAAUUUGGGUCUGGUUCAAUUUCAGUUUUAAAAUUUUAAAACCGAUUGAACCAGAUGAAGUCAUAGAGUAGUCAUUAUUAUUAUAUUCCCAUUAUUAUUUAUUAUUCUAUAGAUUUUUCGAAGCUUUUGAAAAGAAAAAUUAACAUUGAUCAUUCAUUCACUUUUGAAAAAAAAUUCUUUUGCUUUUUUAUGUUGUUCCACUAAGAUGGCCUUUUUUUUUUCUUUUGUGAAUUAUGAUUUGACGUCAAACCAGGUGGAUUAUCAGUUGCAGCCACAAUUCACAAUUAUUUGAUGCAUAGCAAAAUAAUUAUUCAGAAUCACAGUACCUUGGCACUCCUUUCCAGCCAAUUUGAUAUAUUUUAAUAUAUUUCUAAAUAAAAAAGCUUUGAAUCUAUUAUAAUCUCAAUCAGGUCGAAAUCGAGAUGAAGGUUUACAAGGUCAAAGACAGCGAUCAAACACUCAUAAAUGCAAUGAACAGCUUGUUUUGGACUUCCCACGUAUACACCUGUUUUCUACCAUUAUAUCUGAAAAUGUCUUCAACAAAGCAUAUUCUCCUUCUUCUUCAUUUUUUAAAUGUUUUGAUAUGCAUAUUAAUUCAACAUUACAUAAGGCUUUUAUGAAUAAAAAGCCAUAAACAAAUGUGCAGCAGACAUCCAUCAAUGCAAGAAAUGCCCAUUUUCAAGAACUCUAAGCAACUCCUAUAUCAUUAUAAGAAGCACUGUCCAGUUGUUCUCAUGAAAUUAUUUUCCUCUAACCUCAUUAACAAUUCAUUGAGAAUCCCAAUAACUGAUUCAGUCACUUAAAAACCAGAACAAAACCCUCAAAUAUCAAAUCUUUAUAUGUUUCAAUAUCUAAAAAGAAGAAAAAGCAACAAUUUUCAAACUUUUUUCCUCUAUUUAAAAAAGGGGUAAAAAAGCAAUAUAGGUCAUGGAUUUCUUUUUCUUUUUUUGUUACAUGGAGAGUAGUUAGAUCUCAUUAACGCAAAUAAUUCAUCAAUCAUAAUCAAAACUCAAAACAAAGCAUGCAAGUAAACCAUGAAUAAUGUUGAUGGUAAAAAAAAAUGAUGUGUAAAUUGAGAUGGAGAGCUAAAUAUAUAAAAAGACCAAAAAAAACGGAGGAUGCUAUAUUCAUACAUCAAUCAAAGAAUGUGUGGAAACAAGUAAAAUAAUGGACAUCCAAAAGUGAAGUUUGAAAGUUAUGAAUUAAGAUUUUAUUUGUAUGUUUUUAUAAAAAUUCAAGAGAGAUCUAUAAGUUUAAAUUUUCAGGAAUAUAAAUAUGCAUCAAUAAAAACCUGUCAGGUCUGACGCUAGCUAGAUCUAGGUAUAUUGGGCUCGACAAUCUGUCAAGUCCCGGACAUGCUGGGUCUGACAGUGUGGAAUGGCUUUCAUUUCUUGAGCAUGCCCAAGAGAAUGAUCAUUGGGUCUAACUUAUGGGAAUAACUCAAUCUCUAUGAGCAUUAACUACAUUUGAUGUCCUAAACUCUAAUUUCCUUACAUCUUUUAGGUGUAUAAAAGUCUUCCAAGAACUCAUCAUAUUUCCAUCAAAUAUUAAUAUAGAUGUAAGAUAUAUUUAUCCUUUAUUAAAUGCUAUCGAGUCUCUUUAUAGAAGAACAAGACUCAUAUGCUAUAAAUACACAAUAAGACAUUCAGAACAGAGGUUCACAAUCUUUAUUUUCUACUACAUAUAUAAUUUCAGAGUAUUUUUUUCUAGAAUAUUUUUAUAUUUUUUUUUUAUAAAAAAAACAUACUUAUUUAAACAUCAGAUUUCAUCAUAAAUAUGUUCAUAGCAAAAAAUGAAAAAGAAAAAAAAAGCUGAUUCAGCAAAGCAAAUUAUUAAGGGUCUGUAUUUGCUUUCAUUAACUAAAAUAGCCAGAGAAACACAAUCCAUAUAUACAUGCCUGGAAUAAAAGAGGCACAAUGGAACAUGAAAGCCUUCUCUAAAAUGAGCAAACUAAGAUUGCUCAAAAUCGACAACGUGCAUCUUUCUGAAGGACCUAAAGAUCUUUCCAAUAAGCUACGAUUUCUUGAAUGGCAUUCUUACCCUUCAAAAUCAUUGCCAGCUGGUUUACAGGUGGAUGAGCUAGUUGAACUUCACAUGGCUAACAGUAGCAUUGAGCAAUUAUGGUAUGGGUGUAAGGUGAGAUCAACUAAUUUAAGGCCCUUUGUAUUUCUUUUUAUCGUUUUCCUAUAUAUAUAUGAUUGGCUAACAGUAUCCAUAUUUCUUCUCCCCUGCCUGAUUGCAGAGUGCAGUUAAUUUGAAAAUCAUUGUACUAACCCAAUUCUGGGUUAUUCCCUAAAAUUCAUUUUUUUUAAAAUAAAAACAAAAAAAAUAAAAUAAAAAAUAAAAGCUGGCAAUGUGGAGAAAGCUGAUCAAGAAAAAUAGGCAAAAUAGGCAAAAAUCAAUCUGCAAUUUUCAGAGGAAAUUCAAGGCCUUUCGGCGCCCCAUUGUGCCCAAAAUCGGAGAAAAAAAUGCAAAUUCAAGAUCAAAUUAAAUGAUUAUUGGACAAAUUUGCAUAAAAAUUAAGUCCAAUAACAUAAUUAAAUUUUUAAUAGGCCAAUUUGAUUUAAUCAUGGGUCAAAUUAAAUUUUAGUUAUGUUUAAGAAUUAAUUUAGGUCCAAAUGAAGGAUUUAAUUAAGUGCAAGUACUUAAUUAUACUUUAAAUGGGUCAAAUUAAUUUUAUUUGGGGCUUAAUUGGUGAAAAAUUAAGUUUGGGAGCCUAAUUUGGGCUUAAUGGAGAAGAUUGGAAUUUUAAGAGACCAAAUUUAAUUUUUACCAAGUUAAUUGAUUGAAAUCAGGGGUCAAAUUGCAAGAAAAUUGAAGUUUUGGGGCCAAUUAGGGGUUAAAUUGACAAAAUCCAAAGCCAAGGGCCAAUCUGCAAAAGGCGCCAAACUAUAGGGGUCUAAUUGACAAAAGCCAGGGGUCAAAUUGAAGAAAUUGAAAGCUGGAGGACUCAAUUGAAAAUCGGCAAAAAUCCCUAGCUUUUGAUCCAAAACGGCGCCGUUUUUGGUGUUUAAGAAAAAACAAAGAGGAGGAAGGGACCAGGCGACGCGUCGCCUGGUCACUGUUCAUCUUCUUCCCCACAAAACUGCCAGAGUAGCAGCUUUCCAGGCGCAUUUUCUACCUCGUUUGGCCUCCAAAUCCGACAACGCAUGCUCCAAAAUGUCCACCUCAAACCCCUUUAUCCUCGAGAAUGGUCCGGUCGGGUAGAAAAACUUUGAAACGGCUUCGUUUAUUGGCCCAAAGUGGCCACCUCGUUCAGUCUGCAGCCUUGGAUUGCCAAAUUUGGCAAUUCGAGGUGCACACUUUGAACCAACGGAUUGGAUUCCUCGAGUCGAAUCAAGGGCUGAGAAUUUUUCCCGUUGAAGACAAGAUUACCCUCUUUCCAGCCCUAUAAAUAGGAGCCAAUUUCAUGCUCAGGGGGAGGGGAAAAUUGAGCUCAAAAUUGGCAAAAAAUCAGCUUUUCCUGCCCGGUUUUCCUGCAACCAGCCUUCUCUUUUCUUUUUCUCUCCGCCGUGGCCUCCAGCCGCCACCACUGAUCUCGCCACCGUCCUUCCCAAGAAACACCACAUCCCAUCCAUCACCCAGCAACCUCACCACAGUCACAGUACCUCUCUUUCUCUCCCUCUCUUCUCUGCAAAAAUCUUAUCCUCUGCCACCGUGACUCCAACAGCGGCGGCGACAGCAGAGGUAGCAACCAUCUUGCCCAAAAGCUCUCUUCCACUCCUACCAGCAGCAGCCGGAGUAGCAGCUCCUUCCUCAGUCACACCAACAGCUCCAGCCGUGAGCUUUCCUUCUCCUCUGCAAGAAUCUGCUCCUUCUUCUUCCAGCCGGGACCAGUGCACGCCGUCGUCCUCGCCGCCUCCAGUCGCACCGCGCACCACCAGCUAGGCCGCCGACUCUCUCCACGCCAGGUAAUUCUCUCCUCCCCGCUCCACCCUUUUCAAAAACCUUUUUCCAACUAUUUUUUUUUUCAGGAUGCAGAUGUAGACUUUAAUAUUUGUGGGGUGUAAAAUUACACGAUAAAGUACACCCUCGGGUAUUAAACAUACAAGGUGUAAAUAAAUGCCAUCCUAAAAUUCAGACUUUAGAACGGUUAGGAUUUAACCCAAUAAGGUAGAGACUCCCUCACGAAGGGAGAUCUGCCUUGAACCUUAGAAAAGACCAACGAAUAGAAACUCGACCUAGAAAAACAAUCAAACAACAAUGCAGCUUACCUUAGGUAGGGUGCACUGGGGGUGAUGCAUCUUCCCCUUGCACAACCAGUCCCUUACUCAGACUCUCGCAGACCAUAGGUUCCUAGUGACCAUAAUACUAGGUGGCGACUCCAACGAACCAAGCAAAACACAAAUAAAAGAAAAAUCGCCAGCAGACGCCGCGCGGAUUUUCCGACGUGCGACAGAAUGGCGACUCCACUAGGGACGCCUUGUUUGGUCGGACUAAGCUUUGUUUGUUUGUUUAAUUAUCUGUUUUGGUCUGUUUAAAUGUACUGUUUCAGCACUUUUAUUUCUUGCUCAUACAUAAAUAAUGUGUUCAUGCUUUUUUAAAUUCUUGCAAGAUAACCCAACACUAGGAUAGGAGGGGAGUAGCGGUCUGCCCCAUGACUUUCAGUCGGGGUUCAGAUUCGCGAAACAUCCAACUAUGAGCUGAGUGUUUACUUGGUGAUAGCGGACACAUAGUGCCCGAACCUUCCCUUGUAAACCCCUAUACUGCCUUUACGUGAGGUGGUCACUGGGCAGUUCAUAUACCUUUUUGAGACCAGCUAGAAAACAUAUCCCUCGUAUAAUAACCUAGAUUUUUUUCUAAACUUUACAGGAUUUUUAUUGCUAAGACCAUGACUUCCCUUACCUUUUCGGAAUAUGGGGAAAGAUCUGAGAUGAUACAAGUAAUUGAAGGGGAUUGCCCAAGAACCAAGGUUGAGGAAUUACCACACAUAACCAAAGUGCAUUAUUCCGUAGACACCAUAAAGAAGUUGGCCUCUCUUCUGGGAUAUAUUGAUGAGAAUCUGUUUGAGAAGAAGUAUGGAAGAAUUGCUCAUCUAAUAAGAAUGCCUGUUCAGAUUUCAGCGGUCAAAGCCUUGAUGCAUUUCUGGGAUCCAAGCUACAGAUGUUUCACCUUUGGGGAUAUUGAUAUGACUCCUACUCUUGAGGAGUAUGCUCAGAUCUUAAGUUUUCCUAAUAGCCCCUACAAAGUAUACUUCAGACAAAGAAUUGAGAAUACAGUUACAGCAGUUGCCAAACUUCUACAUUUGGAUCAAGUUGAUCGGUACAGGAUACCCAAUGGAGGUUUCAAGUGGAAGAUGAUCGAGAAUAAAUUAAAGACAGAUAAGGAAGAAGGGAAGUUAGGAGAAGAAAGAUAUCAGAUAAUUGCUUUUGCCAUAUUUGGGUUGGUUCUGCUUCUUUCAGAAGCCGCCAGAAUUAUUAGCAUUGAAGUUGCUAAUGCCUUCCUCGAAUUUGAAGAGGUAAAGAAUAACCCUACUUCAGCUAUCUUAGCUGAAACCUUCCUAUCUCUAAACCAUUGCAGAUUACAUGGGAAAGGGGCGAUGCAAUGCUGUAUCCCUCUCUUAUUCAUGUGGAUAGUAAUCCAUUUGGAAGCAUCAAAAGAAGUCUUCAAUAAUUCUUGGUGGUUUAACAUGAGGCCUCUUGAGUUGGUGCUAGCUGAAGAAUGGAAUGAUUUGGAUGAAAAGGAAUGGGUAGAAAAAUACCGAGAACUUCCCAAAACUAAUUUCAGAUGGAAAGCUCCUUGGGUAAGUGGUUCAUCUUACCUCAUGAGUUGUGGCGACAAGGCAUGGGUUCCUUUGAUUGGCUUAACUGGAUAUAUCAGCUACUCACCCUCAUUAGUAGCUAGACAGUUUGGAGGAGUACAACACGUGCCAAGAACUUGGGCGGUGGCCGAAUAUACCGGUCUGUUUAAAGAAGCUAGCUCUUUGGAUAUGUUAGACGCCAUCAGAAAUGACUGGAAGCAGCCUGUUUUGGUCUCUAAGGAAGAGCAUAAAAAAGAGUUCUCUGUUAGCCCUGCAUAUUCAAUAUGGGGGAGUGGCAGUUCAUCUAAGAUACUUCAAAAAGCAAAAAAGCAAAGAAAAGCCUAAGAUAAGUCGUCUGUGACGUUCGAGCUGAAAAGAAAAAGGGUCAACAAUGAGGAAGACCUCCGAGAAGAGUUGGAUAAGCUGAGGAUUGAGCUCGGUAAUAGUAAAAAUCAUCAAAGAUUCCUGGAAGACCAACUUUUGAAAGAAGAAGAGAUGAAGGCCUCUCUGGAUCAACAGUUGAAGGAAAGAGAUGAGCAGAUUGUUAAGCUAAAGAAGAGCCAGCAUGAAGCAAAUCAGCAACUGAAUGAGGGGAAGGCCAAGAAUGACGAGUUGGUAAAAAAGAAUGACGAGUUGGUAAAAAAGCAUGUAAUGGUGGAGCAUGAAUUGGCGAGUCUAAAAAAGGCCUCGGAAAGUAGAAAGUCUGCCGACAAAGAAACAAUAGCUUUUCUGAAGAAAGAAAGGGACCGGUAUAAAUUAAAAUGGGAGGCUGAAAAAGAGAAGAAUAGAUUGGCUGAUCUCGCCAUUGAAGAAGAAAAAAGGGUAAGGACUCGAUAUCAGAUGCAGGCUGAAGAUGAGAGAGAAGCAAGAAGGGUAGCUGAGAUAGAGAUGAAGGGAUACCUGGAUAAGAUAAAUGGUAUGAGAAACCGAGUGUCUGUGAUACAAGCCGAGCUUGAGUCCCGAGAGGAAGAAGCAAAGGAAAUCAAGACUAGAUCAUCAGUUUUGAUGCACAACUAAACACUAAGGUAGCCGAGCUUGAUGUAGAGAAGGAAGAAUUGCAAAGGGCCAGAAAUCAGAUUCAACAGUUGGAAAAGGUGGUUCGAAUUUUGGAGACAAACAAUGAAACAUUAGCCGCCAGCAAUGGAACAUUGCUUCAAGAUAACACCGUGUUCCAUUACAAGAUUGAACAAACUGACAAGUUAAUCGACAUGGUGGCUAGAAAGGCAAAUGAGCUACGAGCAAAGGCUACCAGGAUUGCCAACAACCGCCAUAGAUACGAGGAAUAUUUGAAUGAAGUUUCCUCUUUCAUCAGGAUUGUGGCCAAUAGAGGGAUAUCAUUUGAAUGAAGACACUUUGUAUGAACCACUUUGUACUAUGUCUACUUUUGGAACUUUCAUAAUGUGUACGAAAUUUAAUCAAUCAAUGGAAUUGGGUAAAACCUCUUUGUGAGUAUCAGAUUUCGGAUGUUACCUGUAUUUGGCGAAGGAAGUCAUGGAUUAGCUCUUUAAAUCCAUAUACAUGCAUUUGCAUUCAUGUUUAUACAUUCAUUCAUUAUAACACACAUGCAUACACCAGGUCAAAAUAUAGGUCCCCAAAGAACUUACCACACCCGACUUCGAGCAAGGAACAUGGAAGAUGAAGCACGUGCUUACCGUGAGGCUCAUUUCCAAGAAGAGUUGGACUCUUUAAAGGACAGUGUGGCUCGCCUCACCGGCUUACUCGAGCAAGUACUAAGGAAUACCUCGGGUGAAGGUCCUUCAACUAGGCCUGCUCCUCUCCCAACAAACCAACCUGAAGAGGUAAUGGGAGAACAUGUGCAGGAACCCCAACACAAUCCAGUUUUCAUGCAGUCGCCAACACCCGUACCACCUGUACCAACACCAGUACUGUUGUAACCCAUUUUUGGGUCCCCACAAAAUAUAUAUAUAAAUAUGUAUAUAGCCAAAGGAGGUUAAGAAAAAAUAACAGGAGGCAGAAGCGCUCAGAAAAUGGUUGGAAAAUCGAUCAAUAAGGUUAAAAAUACAAAGAUUGGAUUUUUGACAGUAUAUUCUUGAAGGAGGAGAGCCCUGUUGAGAAGGAAAAUUUGAAAUUUGAGGAGAAAAGCCCAAAUUUGGAUGUUUAUGGACUUAAUUUGAUUUUUAAAUGAAUUUAUAGAGGAUUUGAUUGCAAGAAAAAUUGAUUUUUAAGUCAAUUUGGGCUUUAAUUAGAAGAAAUUUAAGUUCUGGGGCCAAAAUAUAUUUUUUAGGAAUUUAUUAGGUCAAAUCAGGGGCCUAAUUGCAUAAAUAUUGAAGUUUAAGGGCCAAUUAGGGACUUAAUUGAGAAAAUCCGAAACCAGGGACCAAAUUGGAAGAGGCGCGUAAAUGGAGGGGCUGGAAUUAAUUGAUUCAGGGGCCUAAUUGAAGAAAUUAGAAGUUUUUUGAUCAAUUAAGGGCUCAAUUGCAUAAAUCAGACACCAAGGACUAAAGUGAAAAACGCGGCCAACAAGAGGGACGAAGACCGAAAUUGGCAGGGAUGCAAUUGAAGAAAGAGAAGAUGAUUGAGGGCUGAUUUGAAAUUUGGCGCGUUUUGGCGCCACAUUUAAAUGAAACGGCGCGUUUUCUCCAAAACGACGCCGUUUCAUACAUUCAAAAAAAAAAAAAAAAAAAAGAGCAGAACGGUGUCGUUUUGAAACGACACUGUUCAUCUUCUUCCCCCGAUCACGCAGCGGGGAAGAAGGAGAAAGGGAAGCUUUAAUUUGAAUUUUGCCGGCCACUCUCUCGCCUGGAGCCCACCGACCGGACACAAUGGCCGACCAUCCACCGCGCACCACCCACCGAACCUCGGCAGCCGCGCCCAAUGGCCGACCAGCCGGUUGCUCCCCCAUGAGAGCUGUAAAAAACAGCGUCCUUGGCCUCUAUAAAUAGAGGCCAAGAACGCUGAGAGNNNNNNNNNNNNNNNNNNNNNNNNNNNNNNNNNNNNNNNNNNNNNNNNNNNNNNNNNNNNNNNNNNNNNNNNNNNNNNNNNNNNNNNNNNNNNNNNNNNNNNNNNNNNNNNNNNNNNNNNNNNNNNNNNNNNNNNNNNNNNNNNNNNNNNNNNNNNNNNNNNNNNNNNNNNNNNNNNNNNNNNNNNNNNNNNNNNNNNNNNNNNNNNNNNNNNNNNNNNNNNNNNNNNNNNNNNNNNNNNNNNNNNNNNNNNNNNNNNNNNNNNNNNNNNNNNNNNNNNNNNNNNNNNNNNNNNNNNNNNNNNNNNNNNNNNNNNNNNNNNNNNNNNNNNNNNNNNNNNNNNNNNNNNNNNNNNNNNNNNNNNNNNNNNNNNNNNNNNNNNNNNNNNNNNNNNNNNNNNNNNNNNNNNNNNNNNNNNNNNNNNNNNNNNNNNNNNNNNNNNNNNNNNNNNNNNNNNNNNNNNNNNNNNNNNNNNNNNNNNNNNNNNNNNNNNNNNNNNNNNNNNNNNNNNNNNNNNNNNNNNNNNNNNNNNNNNNNNNNNNNNNNNNNNNNNNNNNNNNNNNNNCAUGCAGAACGAAUAGCGUUCUGCAUGCAGGGGCGGGGGAGAAAUUAAUUCUCCCCCCGCCCGUUUUGUUGCUGGGCCAGGCGGGUCCUGGCCCAGCCCAGUCUUCUGGGCCGGGUUUGGCCCAGAAGAGAAUUUUUUUUUGGGCCGAGAUCGGCCCAAUAUUUUUUGGGCCGACCUCGGCCCAUCAUUGUCUAGACCAGUCUUCUGGGCCGGGCCUGGCCCAGAAAAGAUUUUUUGGGCCGAGAUCGGCCCAAUACAUUUUUGGGCCGACCUCGGCCCAUCAUGGUUUUGGGCUGAGUCCGGCCCAGUGGUUUGGGCCGGCCCAGCCCGAUUUAAUAUUUAUUAUAUAUAUAUAUAUUAUAUUUUGUAUUAUUUAUAUAUAUAUAUUUAUAUAUAUGAAAAACAUUAUAAAAAAUUGCAAAAAUUAUAGAAAAAUAUAUGUGAUUUUGUUGUAAUUUUAUUAUUAUAUUUUGAUUAAUAUUGGUUGGUAUUUUAUUUUGUAAAGAUACAAAACUCGGUAUUAAAAUACCCGGUUUUCAUCAAAACAUCAAAGAUUUUCAAAACAAAAAAUGUCUUUUGCUUUCAAAAAUUUUCUAAAAAAUAUCUUUGAAAAUAUUGUUGAUUUUUCGGCAUUUAUUUUAUCAAAGUGGAUUAAUAUUUGGUUGUAUUUUUUACAAACCCAGUAUUAAAAUACCCGAUUUGCGUCAAAGCGUACAAAAAUACAUAUUUUUUUUUUUAAAAAAAAAUGUUUUGUUUUAAAAUACGGCCUAGUCUCUCCAAUAUAUAUAUAUAAAUAUUAUAACAUCAUAUUUUCACAACAAAAGAAAUUUCAAAACAAUAUAUGUAUUAGCAUGCAUUUUGGCUUUAAUAACCAGUUUAUUCAAGUCAUGAGAACUAGGCCAAUAUUUCAAAAAUUCUAAAAAAAAUCUUUUUGUCCUUGGGAUUACUAAUUUUUACAUAAAACGUUUUCCUGAUAUUAAAAAUGUUUUUUUUUACAUAGACAUUAGAACGGUUAGGUUUUACCCGAUAAGAUAAGGACCUCCUUAUUGAGGAGGACUUUUCUUGAACCAUAGACGGACCAACAACUAGGAAACACAACGAAACCUUAAAUUUUAUCAGACAAUAAAAUGAUGCAGCUUACCUUAGGUAGGGCGUAUUUGGGGUGCUAAUACCUUCCCUUUACGCAACCAGUCCCCGUACCCGAUCUCUGAGACCAGUUAGGGUUCCUAGUGACCAAAAUACUAGGUGGCGACUCCCACACCAUUUUUCACUGCUAAGAGACAACGAAUUCCUUGUCUCCCCACAUUGACCAGAUAUAUAUAUCCCCCAUCCCUUUUAUUUUAUUUUUUGUGGGUGGACGAUCGCCGCGACGUCGCUCACGUGCGACAGAAUGGCGACUCCACUGGGGACCUUGUGGAUUAAGCUUUGUUUUUGUCUGAUUUGUUUUUGUUUUCGUGUGUUCAUUGUUAAUAUGCCUUUCCUUUUGUUACCUGCUUAUACGCUUUAAAUAUUUUUACACAUAUUAUUCAUGCAUGUAUAGAACUGUCUCAUACAUCUUAUAGAACUGUCACAUGCAUCACAUACUUUGAUGAUUGAGAGCACACACAAACUUUAAGUUAAGUGGGGGACUAGCAGCUUACCUUACGACUGUUAGUCAAGGUUUAAGUUUGUGUAAACCCCAACUCUUCGCUGAGUGCUUAGACUGGUAAUAGUUGGUACAUGUGACCAUCUCAUUGCCUACAAGCCCCCAUAUUGCCUCCACGAGGGCAAUCACUGGGACAGCAAGAGACCCUUUUUAGAGACUGAAUAGCCAACCUACCCUCGUCAAACACAAAAGAUUUAGAACCAGGCUAUAGGGUGUAUGCCCCCACAAAAUACAUUCUUGCAUAACACAACCUAAACCAUAAAGUAUUUGGUUUUCAGGUCAUUUUGAAACGAUAAGAUGGCCAUCAUUACCAAAUUUACUACUGUGGAAUAUGGGCAGAAUUCUGAAUUGUCACAACUAUCAGAGGGAGAUUGCUCUAGAUAUGAUGCAAGGAAGCUUCCAGUAGUCAAAGACCUGAAUUGCGUAGUAUACGAGAUGAAGAGAAUAUUGGGCCAUAGUCAGAAUAUUGAUGAGGCAGCAUUUUUUGGGAAGUAUGGGCGAUUAUUGGAAAUUGCAAAGAUAGGAGUAUUGAAUCCAGCAAUUAAAGCUUUGAUUAACUUUUGGGAUCCCGAUUACAGAUGCUUUUCUUUCGGAAAUGUGGAUUUGUGUCCCACUAUAGAGGAAUAUGGAAUGUUGAUGGAGUUUCCCAAACACCUGCACCAAGUUUAUUUUCCUUUGAGAAAUGACAAGGUGAUUCCUGAGUUGUCGAAAUUAUUGAAGAUUCCACAUCUGAGCAGAUUUUUGGAGAAGAAUGGCAGCGGUUUAAAGUGGAAAUUUUUGGAGGUUGAACUAGAAAAGAAAAAGGAGCAAUACGCCUCAGUGGUAGAAAGAGACAGGUUAAUCGCUCUAGGGAUCUAUGGUCUCGUGUUAUUUCCAAGCUUAAAAGGGGUUAUAAGUCUAGAAGCUGCUGCUGCAUUCGUGGAAUAUGAAAGUACUCAUGUCAACCCUACAACUGCCAUAUUAGCUGAGACCUUGCUGACCCUCAACCAUUUUAGAAAAACAGGGAAAGGCGCAGUAAGAUGUUGUACUCAGUUAUUAUACAUCUGGAUGGUAAGCCAUGUUGAAACCAAGAAGCCGAUCUUUAAUAAUUUUUGGUGGUUUAACCAAAAACCUUUGAAGAUAGUAGAGGAAGAAGAAUGGGGAAUCCUAGGUGAUCAGGGUUGGAUGAAAAAACUCCAAGAGUUACCUAGUAGCAACUUUAGUUGGAAGGCCCCUUGGGUUAAAUCAGUUGAUGUCAUAGUAAGUUGUGGACAAAAAUGCUGGGUACCUUUAAUUGGGAUCACAGGUUAUGUCAGCUACGCUCCGGCUUUGGUGAUAAGACAAUUAUGUGGCAUACAACACAUCCCAAGAACUGUGGGACUUGCUGAAUUUUCCGGAUUUUUCAAGGAUCAAUCCGCGCGAGAAGUUCUUGAAACCAUCAAACAAGAUUGGAGCCAGUUGACUCUAAUUCAAAAGGAGUCAGAAAGUUUGAGAGACCCUAGCUCAAGUGAAGGAUAUGAAAAGUGGAGGAAUUUGACCCCGAUUGCCAUUCCGAAAAAGCCAUGUUCUGCAGAUGGGCCUUCACGAAUUGAAGAAGGGUCUUUGAAAAGAAAAAAGGUCAGUAAUGAAGAAGACCUUAUGGAGCAAAUAGAAAGGCUACAAAUAGAAUUGGGAAAGAGUAAGGGAGAUAAAGCAGCAUUAGAAAGGAUGAUGAUGGAAGGAGAUAAAAGCAGAGUGUUUCUAAACGAACAGCUCGAAUCCAAAGAUGCGAAAAUCGGGAUGUUGGAGCUGCAAUUGAGCAAAGGAAAGGCUGUAAUAGAGGAGUCUGAGAAAGAAAGAGGAAGACUGAUUUUGGAUUUUAUGCAAAGCAGCUCUGAGUUGGAAGCAUUGAAAGCCGACUUCGAUGGCUAUCAAGAGAAUGUUGAGUACAAUCAGGACAAAUUCUUGCAUGUUAAAGCAGAGUUGUUAGACCGAAUUGAGAAGUAUGAUGAGUUAAACAAGAAAUAUAUGAUGAUAGAAAGUCGGCUAACUGAAUUACAAGAGUUCGAAAGAAAGGGGAAUGAAGAGGAGGUUUUGAAGGCAGAUUUGGCAGUUAAGAAAAUUGAAAUUAGAAUGUUGAAGGUGAAGUUUGACAAAGAACGAGAAAAGGUGAAACAGUUGACCAACAGGUUGGAAGUUUCAGAAAAACAUAAAGAACAGAUCGACACCAACAACAAUACUUUGAAUCGGAACAACAUGGUGCUUAUAGAGAAGAUGGCCAAGGUAGAUGAGCAAAUGGAUGAAGCUGCCAUUCACGCACGAAUUAUUAGAGCCAAUGCUCGAAGGGUGGGAAGGGACAUCCUUCGUUAUCGACAAAGCUUGGCUGAGACAGAUGCCUUUUUAGAGAAAAUUGAGAAUCGAGGCCUCGCUUUCCUACCAGUGGCUAGAGAUAUGGAUGAAGAAGAAGAUUGAUGUAUUUAUCUUUUUAUUAUUUUGUACCCUCUCUUCAAGAGAUGUAUUAGCCAAUAUUAAUGAAAAGGGGCUUUGACCCAUCUUUUAUAAAUAUAAGCCUACCAAAGCAGCAGCUUGAGCACAACUACUCCUGAUAAGGAACGUGACAAAAAGAGUCCAUGCCCAUUACACAAGAGGAAUGUUGGCCAUCGAUCGUUUUUUUUAAAAAAAAAACAAGUUUCUAAGAGUAUUCAUGCAUUGUUUAUUUAUCACACAUUCAUUUACAUUUUUUUCAUGCAUCCCAGACCGUGAAACAUAGGUCCCACAUCCAAAAUCCACAACACCCGGUCUCGAGCGAGAAUGGAGAACGAAGAAAGAGCUCACUUAGAGUCACAUUAUCAGACCGAGUUGGAGUCUGUAAAGAAUGAAGUUUCUCGGCUAACCGACUUACUUGAGCAGCUUCUAAGGGCUAAGAAUGGGGAGGGAACAUCAGCACGACAGCUUGAAGGAGCGCCAGCAGUUCACAUUCCUCAAGCAUCUCAAAACCAGGGGGCAAACUCGGCCAAUGAACAACAGUUUGUGCCUAUUACUCCUAGCCUACCACCUCAUACUCCAGUCACUGUUGACCUAACAACGGAGGGAGUCCCGGAUAAUAGGUCUCCCAGUUUGAUAGACCAAGACAAGCUGUUUGCUCUGGAAGAAAGAUUAAGGGCAGUUGAGGGUAAUGACUGGUUUGACCCUAUGCGAGCAGCCGAAGUAUGUUUGGUACCAAACAUCGUGGUACCAAAAGAUUUUCGCAUACCAGAGUUCAUUAAGUAUACCGGUUUGGAAUGCCCAAACACUCACCUUCGAUCCUACUGCAACAAAAUGGCGGAAGUAAUCCGUGAUGAUAAAAUGCUAAUCUAUUUCUUUCAAGAUAGCCUAGCAGGAUCCGCUUUAAGCUGGUACAUGAGGUUAGACAGCAUCAGGAUCAAGAGCUGGAGAGACUUGGUGGAGGCUUUCCUCAAACAGUACAAGUUUAACAUGGAAAUCGCUCCUGAUCGAACAAGUUUAAUGGCAAUGGAGAAAAGAAGCCAGGAGUCAGUAAGGGCUUAUGCGCAAAGAUGGAGGGAUGAGGCAAUGCAUGUCCAACCCCCUUUGAUAGAAACGGAGAUGGUGAGCUUGUUUGCCAAUACCUUCAAAGCACCUUAUUAUGAGCACCUAAUGGGUAGCUCCUCUCAACAUUUCUAUGAUGCGGUACGCAUAGCUGAGAGGAUAGAACAGGGGAUCAAAGCUGGGCGAAUAGCAAUGCCAGUGGAAAAGAAGGGCUUUAUUGGAAGAAAGAGAGAAGGCGAUGUUAACAAUUUGGAGGACGGGUAUAAGGGCAAGAAAGUAGAUUCCCACAAUCCACAAGUACCUACCUCUCAAUUCUCACGCAUAAACUUUAACCAAUCUUUUUCGCCUAAUCGAACAAAUAACCAAUCAAACUACCAAAAUCACUACCAAAGACCCCAUACGAGAUACCCUUCGGAACAACUACCACCGCUACCCAUGCCUUUGAAGGACAUGUAUGCCAAACUGUUGAGCAUUGGGCACAUAGCUCCUAUCCCUACACUACCAUUACAACCACCAUUCCCAAUUUGGUACAAGCCCGAGUUAACUUGUGAGUACCAUGCGGGUAAUCCUGGGCAUGGGAUUGAAACCUGUUACGCUUUCAAGAAAAGAUUGAUGGAGCUUAUUAAGAUAGGAUGGGUAUCCUUUGAAGACAAGCCCAAUGUUAAUUCAAACCCGUUGCCUAAACAUGCCUCAAGUAGUAGUGGAAUAGGCAUGAUAGAAGUUGGAAAUCAAUGCAAGGUGUUGAAGGUGUCUAUGGAAAAGAUGUACUACAUGUUAGUACGAUCAGGAUUUCUAGAGGCAAAUAUGGAAGGCCAUUCGGAGGGAGGUAGUUAUUGUGAGUUCCAUGGCAGAGAUGGACACUAUAUUGAGGAUUGCAUCGAGUUUUGCGAAAAGAUUGCAAAAAUGUUAAAAAUGAGGCAAUUAAGAAUUGAACCCAUGGAGAACAGGGGUGAGGUGAGUAUGAUAGAAGAUCAGAUGGAGAUGACAGGAGUAUGCAGGGUCCAACAAACAGCUAAUGGUCCCCCAAGGCUAAUCUUGGUUAAACCAUCCUACACAAAAGGGAAUCACAAUGCCAUGCCUUAUAAUUAUGGUUAUGCCUCCAACGUUCAAGCUCCUCUUCCUUUGUCCCAGACUGAGAUAAGUGGGUUGACCAGGAGUGGUCGUUGCUUUACUUCCGAGGAGUUGAGGAAGGAAAAGGGUAAAGAAGUGGUAGAUCUUGACAAAGCACUAGAAGUUAAUAAGCCGGUAACAGAAGAAGAGUCGAAUGAAUUCCUGAAGUUGAUCAAGCAUAGUGAAUAUUGCAUAGUUGAUCAACUAAAGAAGACUCCAGCUAGGAUCUCCCUUAUGUCCUUGAUACUCAGCUCUGAGCCGCAUCGAAACGCCUUGCAAAAGGUAUUGAAUGAGGCAUAUGUACCCCAAGACAUUGAGCAUAAAACCAUGGAGCAUCUAGUGGGGAGGAUCCAUGCAACUAAUUACCUAUACUUCACAGCAGAUGAGCUCGAUACUGAAGGUACCGGACAUAACAAGCCCUUAUACAUUACGGUUACGUGCAAGGACUGCCUCAUAGGAAAAGUACUCAUUGAUAACGGCUCGGCCUUUAAUGUGUUGCCAAAGCACAUGUUGGAAGAAAUGCCGAUCGAUGAAUCCCAUAUAAAGCCAAGUACUAUGAUGGCCAGAGCGUAUGAUGGCUCACCUAGGCCAAUAAUUGGGACUCUAGAAGUGGAGCUAUAUGUGGGACCACAAAUGUUCCUAGUAACACUUCAAGUUAUGGAUAUUCAUCCUUCCUAUAGUAUGUUGUUAGGAAGACCUUGGAUUCAUGCAGCGGGGGCAGUAGCUUCAUCAUUGCACCAAUGCCUGAAGUAUAUCAUGAAUGGGAUGUUGGUAACUGUCAAGGCUGAGGAGACAGUAUCCAUGAUAAAGAAUGUAGCUGUGCCUUUUAUCGAAGCGAAUGAUUGCAAGGAUAACAAUAUCCAUGCCUUUGAAAUUGUGAACACUGACUGGGUGCCGGAGAACACAGUGCUAAGAAGGCCAAGGAUCUCAGAAGCAGCAAGGAUGGCAAGUCUAUGCCUUUUGAACCGCGGGAUCCCAUUUCAGUAUAACUUUAUUAUCAGGAUACCGAAGGGGUUAAUCUGGCAAGGAUGAAAAGUGUUGCUCAAAGAUUUGGGUUAGGAUACCAACCUAACCAAGAAGAUUAUCGGUGGGCUGCUGGUCGGAGAAGGGCAAGAAGGAUGGCUAGAAUUAAAGGAAGAGAGCCUGAUGAAGAAAAGCUAGAAAUCCCUCCCCUUAGCAUGUCAUUCCCAAAAGCUGCAUACAUAAUGCAAAAUGAUAAAGAAGCCGAAAGCCUUAAUCAAGAGCUGUCAAACAUGAGCAUAAAUACCUUGGGGGAAAACAAGGUGGAAGAAGAUGACAUGAAGACAGUAGCAAGAAAGGGAGAUGAAGCACUCCCACAACUGACGGUCUACACCAUAGAAGAGGUCUCCGCCAAGACCUUUGUGCGCAAGUUGGCUCAAGACGAGAAGUUUCAGAAUUGGGUGACCCAAGAAGCUCCAGUGGUUUUCAAAAUGUAAACCAAUUUUGUUUAUCUUAACAUGCUUUUGUCAUUGCUUUGUUUGGUUUUCAUUUAUUUUCGCUAGUCGACAAUCAAGGCUCAAUUGUCGGUUAGACUUUAUGUUUGUCAUGGAGCCCACUUUUUCUUUAAAUAAUUGUGAGAUCAUGCACUUUCCACAAAUUGCUUUCUUUUUUAUGCAUUUACACCAAACACUUCCCGCUUUCAGGAAUCCUGAAAGCGGAUCUCCAACAACAUCACAUAUAUUUAGCAUCAAGAAUAAAUGGCCAAACUUGAACGAGCAUGUGAUAGCUAUGGAAGAAGAAGAAUGGGAUGAAAGCAAUAUUAGUGAAUUCACCAGGCUAGUAGAACAACAGGAACAGACUUGGAAGCCUAUCGCCGAGGAACUCGAAACCAUCAAUGUGGGUAGUGAUCAGCUCAAGAAAGAGUUGAAAAUAGGUACCUUAGUUACUUCUGAACAAAGGACAAAAAUGAUCGCCCUGUUACAAGAAUAUGCAGAUGUCUUUGCUUGGUCUUAUGAAGAUAUGCCUGGUUUGGAUACAAAUAUUGUAGUACACAAGAUACCGUUGGAAGAAGGCUGUAAGCCAAUCAAGCAGAAGCUGAGGAGGGCCCACCCGGAUGUCUGGAUCAAGGUCAAGGCAGAACUCGAGAAGCAAUGGGAUGCUGGCUUUCUAGAAGUAGUUAGAUAUCCACAAUGGGUAUCUAACAUUGUUGUGGUACCUAAGAAGGAGGGGAAGAUUAGAGUAUGCGUGGAUUUUCGGAAUUUGAAUAAAGCUAGCCCCAAGGAUGAUUUUCCUCUACCACACAUAGAUGUUUUAGUGGACAAUGCUGCCCGGAGUUCCACAUAUUCCUUUAUGGAUGGUUUUUCAGGAUACAACCAGAUAAAAAUGGCUCCGGAGGAUAAGACGAAAACAACUUUUGUUACACCGUGGGGGACAUUCUGCUAUAAGGUCAUGCCAUUUGGAUUGAAGAAUGCAGGAGCAACCUAUCAAAGAGCAAUGGUGACUUUGUUCCACGACAUGAUGCACAAGGAAAUUGAGGUGUAUGUAGACGACAUGAUUGCCAAGUCUAAAAGAGGAGAGGAUCAUGUUGAAGUUUUGAGGAAGUUGUUUGAGAGAUUGAGGAAGUAUGAAUUAAGGCUCAAUCCUGCCAAAUGUUCAUUUGGAGUUAAAUCGGGUAAGCUGUUAGGUUUUGUGGUAAGUGAUAGAGGUAUAGAGGUGGAUCCAGAUAAAGUAAGGGCCAUCCAAGCUAUGUCAUCCCCUAAGACGGAGAAGGAAGUAAGAGGAUUCUUGGGAAGGAUAAACUACAUUGCUCGGUUCAUAGCUCAGUUAACAACGACGUGUGAACCAAUAUUCCGACUACUAAGGAAAAAGAAUCCUGGAACCUGGAAUGAGGAGUGUGAGGAGGCAUUCAAUAAAAUCAAGCAUUAUUUGCAAAAUCCACCUUUACUGGUCCCUCCGGUAUCGGGAAAACCUCUAGUAUUGUAUCUAACAGUGACUGAAGCAGCUAUGGGAUGUGUAUUGGGUCAGCAUGAUGAAACCGGAAGGAAGGAAAGAGCUAUUUAUUACUUAAGUAAGAAAUUCACUGAAUGUGAGUCUAGAUACACGGAGAUAGAAAGGCUUUGUUGUGCGUUGGUGUGGGCAGCAAAGAGGUUGCGGCAUUAUAUGUUAUACUAUACCACUUGGUUGAUUUCAAAAGUGGAUCCUCUGAGGUAUAUUUGUAACAAGCCAUUUCUCUCAAGUCGAAUUGCAAGGUGGCAAGUUCUAUUGGCAGAAUAUGACAUAGUAUACAUGACAAGGAAAGCCAUAAAAGGAAGUGCAAUCGCGGACCAUCUGGCUGAUAAUGCUGUUGAAGAUUACGAACCCUUGGAUUUUGACUUCCCUGAUGAAGAUAUAUUGUCAAUAGAGAAAGAAGAAGAGCAGACAGAUUGGUGGACAAUGUUUUUUGAUGGUGCAGUGAACGUAUAUGGUAACGAGGCCGGCGCGGUAAUAAUCUCUCCUGAUAAGAAACAGUAUCCAGUUUCGGUUAAACUACAUUUCGAGUGCACCAACAAUACAGCUGAGUAUGAAGCUUGUAUCCUUGGUCUAGAAGCGGCAUUAGAGCUGAAGAUAAAGAAGUUAGAUGUGUACGGAGAUUCAAUGUUGAUUAUCUGUCAGGUUAAGGGGGAAUGGCAGACCAAAGAGGAAAAGUUGAGGCCGUACCAGGAAUACCUGUCCACGCUAGCGAAGGAAUUUGAAGAAAUUAGAUUCACCCACCUGGGAAGAGAAGGGAACCAUUUUGCAGAUGCUUUGGCCACGCUAGCAGCUAUGACUACCAUUGAUCUCAAGUGCAAGGUACAACCGGUACACAUUGACAUUAGAAAUGACCCAGCUCACUGUUGUUUAGUUGAAGGAGAGAUAGACGGACAGCCUUGGUAUUAUGAUAUCAAGAACCUUGUGCAAAAUCAGGAAUAUCCAGUGGGAGCCUCCAAAACGGAUAAGAAAACCUUGAGAAGGUUGGCUACAGAUUUUUAUUUAGAUGGAGAGAUUCUGUACAAAAGAUCAUUUGAUGGAACCUUGCUAAGGUGUUUGAAUGAGGCAGAUGCUAGAAAGGCAUUACGGGAGGUCCAUGAGGGGAUUUGCUCAACCCAUGCUAGCGGGCAUAUGAUAGCAAGGAAAAUCCAAAGGGCUGGUUAUUUUUGGAUGACACUAGAGAAAGACUGCAUCGACUAUGUCAGGAAAUGUCACAAGUGUCAAGUUUACAGUGAUAAGGUCAAUAUGCCACCAGCUCCUCUAUUUAAUCUGAUAUCUCCUUGGCCAUUUGCAAUGUGGGGAAUCGAUGUAAUUGGUCCGGUUAACCCAAAAGCUAGCAAUGGGCAUAGAUUCAUCCUUGUGGCUAUUGACUACUUCACCAAAUGGGUGGAAGCUAAUUCGUAUGCCCAUGUAACACAGAACGUAGUNNNNNNNNNNNNNNNNNNNNNNNNNNNNNNNNNNNNNNNNNNNNNNNNNNNNNNNNNNNNNNNNNNNNNNNNNNNNNNNNNNNNNNNNNNNNNNNNNNNNUGACCGAUAAUGCACACAAAUUCAAUGCCAAAAUGAUAGUGGAGCUGUGUACUAAAUGGAAAAUCAAGCAUUCGAAUUCCUCACCAUACCGACCAAAAAUGAAUGGCGCAGUAGAAGCCGCCAACAAGAACAUCAAAAAGAUUAUUCAGAAAAUGGUAGUCACAUAUAGAGAUUGGCAUGAGAUGUUGUCAUUCGCUCUUCACGCAUACCGCACUACAGUGAGGACCUCGACAGGAACUACUCCAUAUUCUUUGGUGUACGGUAUGGAAGCAGUGAUGCCUUUGGAAGUAGAAAUCCCGUCGUUAAGAGUAUUGAUGGACUCCGAAUUAGAAGAGGCCGAGUGGGCCAAAGUGAGAUAUGAGCAACUGAACCUGAUCAGUGAAAAGAGGAUGGCCGCAAUAUGUCAUCACCAACUGUACCAGAAACGAAUGGCCAAGGCAUAUGAUAAGAAGGUUAGACCGCGGUUGUUUCAAGAAGGGGAUCUAGUAUUGAAGAAAAUAUUGUCACUACCUGGAGACGAUCAAAGCAAAUGGGCACCGAAUUAUGAAGGUCCUUACAUAGUAAAGAAGGCAUUCUCAGGAGGAGCACUGAAGUUGGCUAGAAUGGAUGGAGAAGACCUAGCUCGACCUGUGAAUUCUGACUCUGUAAAAAGAUAUUAUGCUUGAUGUAGGCUCCUAAAUCAAUAAAGCAAAGUUUGGCCAUUGACUUCUUUCUCUUUUGCAUUGAUCUCACAACAGUCAUUUUUACAUUAAUCCCAACAGUGCAUGUUUUGUUUUAUCUCAUUUAAAAAGUGUAGCGUCGGCUGAACGAAUUUCUUCUCUCUAUAAAAGCCUAGACUAGAAUCACACCCCUACACUGGGGGCAAUAAGAGAUAUUUUCAUGUACGAAAGCCUAUAGAUUUUGAAAACCAAGCUAAAACAUUUGACAAAAGCAUGACAAAGAGGCAAUGACAAGUCAUAUAUUUUGGAAAAAGGACUAUUUGAAGAAAGUCAGAGAUUUCUUCUCCAAGAAUAUGAUCGGAGGCAACACGAGAGAGGAAUCCAGCAUACGACUUCAAAAGCAAGCUCAUGAUAAGAUGGAAUCUCAUGAACUCGAAGAAGAGGAUGGGGCCUAUGUUUCAAAACCAGGUACGAAUGCAUGCAUGGCAUUUAAUCAUAAAUCAUUGCAUAUAUGUUUUUUUGGGAUCGUUACAGGAGGAGACCUUAAUACAUUCCAACAAAAUUGAAGACGAAGAAAAAAUCAUUGAGUUGAUUCUAAAACAACAAGAAGAGAAAAUAAUAAUGUUCAAACCCUGCCAUCAGGAAGAGCGACAUCGAGCAAGCGGUAAAAGGGAAUCGCCAGAGGGGACUCCAGGUUAACCGAUUUACAAGAUAGAUUUUUUGGUUUUUGAUUAAAGGAGAUCGCCAGAAGGGAUCUCAUUAUUUCAGCUUCGAAUAAAAGGGAAUCGCCAGAUGGGAUUCCAAGUUGUCUUAGAUCGCAAGAGGGGAUCUUGUAUUUCGAUAUUGGUCAAAGAAGGUCGCCAGAAGGGACCUCGCGUAUCGCUUUGAAUAAAAGGAAUCGCCAGAUGGGAUUCCAAGUUAAAGGAGACCGCCAGAAGGGAUCUCGUGUUUCGCUAUUUGAAGGUCGCCAGAUGGGACCUCGUAUUACCUGUUUUAAAAAAAAAGGAAUCGCCAGAUGGGAUUCCAAGUUGAUUAAAGGAGAUCGCCAGAAGGGAUCUCGUGUUUCAUUAUUUGGAGGUCGCCAGAUGGGACCUCGUUUUUCAUGAAUAAAAGGAAUCGCCAGAUGGGAUUCCAAGUUGAUUAAAGGAGAUCGCCAGAAGGGAUCUCGUGUUUCACUAUUUGGAGGUCGCCAGAUGGGACCUCGGUUUUCAUGAAUAAAAGGAAUCGCCAGAAGGGAUUCCAAGUUGAUUUAAGGAGAUCGCCAGAAGGGAUCUCGUGUUUCAUUAUUUGGAGGUCGCCAGAUGGGACCUCGUUUUUCAUUAAAUAAAAGGAAUCGCCAGAUGGGAUUCCAAGUUGACUAAAGGAGAUCGCCAGAAGGGAUCUCGUGUUUUGAUAUUUGGAGGUCGCCACAUGGGACCUCAUAUUUCGUUUGAAUAAAAGGAAUCGCCAGAUGGGAUUCCAGGACGAUUAAAGGAGAUCGCCAGAAGGGAUCUCGUAUUUCGCUAUUUGGAUGUCGUCAGAAGGGACCUCAUAUUUCAACAUUGGUUACAAGGAAUCGCCAGAUGGGAUUCUAAGAUUUUUUGUUGAAGGAGAUCGUUAGAAGGGAUCUCGUAUUUCAAUAUUGGUUAAAAGGGAAUUGCCAGACGGGAUUCCAAGUUGAGUAAGCAAUAAUUAUAGAUUUUGGUUUAGAGAGAUCGCCAGAAGGGAUCUCAAGAUGAUAAAUUUUGAUCAUAGUUUUUGAAGUUAAGGAGGAUUGCUGUAAAAGACAAGUUUCAGGUCAAUCAAGCUUCAACCAGAUCAGUUUUGGGAGUUCCGUUUAGGGUUUAUCUUUAUAAAACUUACUGCGCAAAACCUCUGCUCCGUAAGCAUUAUGCUGUAAAAGACAAGUUUCAGGUCAAUCAAGCUUCAACCAGAUCAGUUUUCGGAGUUCCGUUUAGGGUUUAUCUUUAUAAAACUUACUGCGCAAAACCUCUGCUCCGUAAGCAUUAUAAAGAGGGGGCAUCUGUUGUAACCCAUUUUUGGGUCCCCACAAAAUAUAUAUAUAAAUAUGUAUAUAGCCAAAGGAGGUUAAGAAAAAAUAACAGGAGGCAGAAGCGCUCAGAAAAUGGUUGGAAAAUCGAUCAAUAAGGUUAAAAAUACAAAGAUUGGAUUUUUGACAGUAUAUUCUUGAAGGAGGAGAGCCCUGUUGAGAAGGAAAAUUUGAAAUUUGAGGAGAAAAGCCCAAAUUUGGAUGUUUAUGGACUUAAUUUGAUUUUUAAAUGAAUUUAUAGAGGAUUUGAUUGCAAGAAAAAUUGAUUUUUAAGUCAAUUUGGGCUUUAAUUAGAAGAAAUUUAAGUUCUGGGGCCAAAAUAUAUUUUUUAGGAAUUUAUUAGGUCAAAUCAGGGGCCUAAUUGCAUAAAUAUUGAAGUUUAAGGGCCAAUUAGGGACUUAAUUGAGAAAAUCCGAAACCAGGGACCAAAUUGGAAGAGGCGCGUAAAUGGAGGGGCUGGAAUUAAUUGAUUCAGGGGCCUAAUUGAAGAAAUUAGAAGUUUUUUGAUCAAUUAAGGGCUCAAUUGCAUAAAUCAGACACCAAGGACUAAAGUGAAAAACGCGGCCAACAAGAGGGACGAAGACCGAAAUUGGCAGGGAUGCAAUUGAAGAAAGAGAAGAUGAUUGAGGGCUGAUUUGAAAUUUGGCGCGUUUUGGCGCCACAUUUAAAUGAAACGGCGCGUUUUCUCCAAAACGACGCCGUUUCAUACAUUCAAAAAAAAAAAAAAAAAGAGCAGAACGGUGUCGUUUUGAAACGACACUGUUCAUCUUCUUCCCCCGAUCACGCAGCGGGGAAGAAGGAGAAAGGGAAGCUUUAAUUUGAAUUUUGCCGGCCACUCUCUCGCCUGGAGCCCACCGACCGGACACAAUGGCCGACCAUCCACCGCGCACCACCCACCGAACCUCGGCAGCCGCGCCCAAUGGCCGACCAGCCGGUUGCUCCCCCAUGAGAGCUGUAAAAAACAGCGUCCUUGGCCUCUAUAAAUAGAGGCCAAGAACGCUGAGAGUGGGAGGAGGAAAAACAGAAAAAGAAAGAAGAAAAUGAGAAGACCGAAACAUAGAAAAAAAAGAGGAAACGGAGGAGAGAGNNNNNNNNNNNNNNNNNNNNNNNNNNNNNNNNNNNNNNNNNNNNNNNNNNNNNNNNNNNNNNNNNNNNNNNNNNNNNNNNNNNNNNNNNNNNNNNNNNNNNNNNNNNNNNNNNNNNNNNNNNNNNNNNNNNNNNNNNNNNNNNNNNNNNNNNNNNNNNNNNNNNNNNNNNNNNNNNNNNNNNNNNNNNNNNNNNNNNNNNNNNNNNNNNNNNNNNNNNNNNNNNNNNNNNNNNNNNNNNNNNNNNNNNNNNNNNNNNNNNNNNNNNNNNNNNNNNNNNNNNNNNNNNNNNNNNNNNNNNNNNNNNNNNNNNNNNNNNNNNNNNNNNNNNNNNNNNNNNNNNNNNNNNNNNNNNNNNNNNNNNNNNNNNNNNNNNNNNNNNNNNNNNNNNNNNNNNNNNNNNNNNNNNNNNNNNNNNNNNNNNNNNNNNNNNNNNNNNNNNNNNNNNNNNNNNNNNNNNNNNNNNNNNNNNNNNNNNNNNNNNNNNNNNNNNNNNNNNNNNNNNNNNNNNNNNNNNNNNNNNNNNNNNNNNNNNNNNNNNNNNNNNNNNNNNNNNNNNNNNNNNNNNNNNNNNNNNNNNNNNNNNNNNNNNNNNNNNNNNNNNNNNNNNNNNNNNNNNNNNNNNNNNNNNNNNNNNNNNNNNNNNAAUUUUAUUAUUAUAUUUUGAUUAAUAUGGGUUGGUAUUUUAUUUUGUAAAGAUACAAAACUCGGUAUUAAAAUACCCGGUUUUCAUCAAAACAUCAAAGAUUUUCAAAACAAAAAAUGUCUUUUGCUUUCAAAAAUUUUCUAAAAAAUAUCUUUGAACAUAUUGUUGAUUUUUCGGCAAUUAUUUUAUCAAAGUGGAUUAAUAUUUGGUUGUAUUUUUUACAAACCCAGUAUUAAAAUACCCGAUUUGCGUCAAAGCGUACAAAAAUACAUAUUUUUUUUUUUAAAAAAAAAUGUUUUGUUUUAAAAUACGGCCUAGUCUCUCCAAUAUAUAUAUAUAAAUAUUAUAACAUCAUAUUUUCACAACAAAAGAAAUUUCAAAACAAUAUAUGUAUUAGCAUGCAUUUUGGCUUUAAUAACCAGUUUAUUCAAGUCAUGAGAACUAGGCCAAUAUUUCAAAAAUUCUAAAAAAAAUCUUUUUGUCCUUGGGAUUACUAAUUUUUACAUAAAACGUUUUCCUGAUAUUAAAAAUGUUUUUUUUUACAUAGACAUUAGAACGGUUAGGUUUUACCCGAUAAGAUAAGGACCUCCUUAUUGAGGAGGACUUUUCUUGAACCAUAGACGGACCAACAACUAGGAAACACAACGAAACCUUAAAUUUUAUCAGACAAUAAAACGAUGCAGCUUACCUUAGGUAGGGCGUAUUUGGGGUGCUAAUACCUUCCCUUUACGCAACCAGUCCCCGUACCCGAUCUCUGAGACCAGUUAGGGUUCCUAGUGACCAAAAUACUAGGUGGCGACUCCCACACCAUUUUUCAUUGCUAAGAGACAACGAAUUCCUUGUCUCCCCACAUUGACCAGAUAUAUAUAUCCUCCAUCCCUUUUAUUUUAUUUUUUGUGGGUGGACGAUCGCCGCGACGUCGCUCACGUGCGACAAGUACCAAUUGUCAUGGAUGCAUUCGUUAAUGAGUCGCACAAAACUAAGCCAUCUGAGGAUGUUGAUCAAGACAAGAUGGCAGCACUAGAGGCCAGGAUUAGGGCCAUUGAGGGAAUAGACUUAUAUGACCCUGUGCGAGCUGUAGAAAUGUGUCUAGUCCCUAAUGUGGUGGUACCAAAGAAAUUUCGAGUUCCGGAAUUUAUCAAAUACACCGGCACUCAAUGCCCUGUUACCCAUCUCAAAUCUUAUUGCAACAAAAUGGCAGAAGUAGUUCACGAUGAAAAACUACUAAUGCAUUUCUUCCAAGACAGCUUGAGUGGAGCGACAUUGAGUUGGUAUAUGAGGUUAAAUAAUACCAGGAUCCAUACAUGGAAGGACCUCGUGGAUGCUUUCAUCAAGCAAUAUAAAUACAACAUGGAUAUUGCUCCUGACAGAACCAGUUUGUCUAACUUGGAGAAAGGAGAUAAAGAAAGCAUAAGAGAGUAUGCUCAAAGAUGGAGAGAUUUGGCAGCACAAGUCCACCCCCCUCUCUUGGAAAAGGAAAUGGUUGCUCUGUUUGCUAACACACUAAAAGCGUCAUACUAUGAACACGUGAUGGGUAGUUCGGCCCAACAAUUCACGGAUUCUAUGGUCGUGGCUGAACGAAUAGAAAAAGGAGUAAAGAGUGGAAGAAUCUCUGCACCUGUGGAGAAAAGAGGUUUUGGAGUGAAGAAGAGAGAGAUCGACCAUGUCGAAAGUAGUUACAGAAGCAAGAAAGGCCCUUUCCAAACAUAUAACCCUCAAUCCUCUUCACCCCAAGUUGCCAACACCAACUUCAACUUUCCAAGUCCAGCCAGAAAACUUGAACCCCAAAGCCACCAAGUAAAAAACCAAGCUGAAAGUUUCCCCAAAAGAAACUACCAAAGAACCUCAGAACAAUUGCCUCCAUUACCGUUACCCCUAAAUGAGAUGUACCAAAAGCUGCUAAGUAUUGGGCAAGUAGUCCCUGUGCCUUUGAUACCCCUCCAACCACCUUACCCCAGCUGGUAUAAGCUGGAUCUCACUUGCGAAUACCAUGCCGGUAUAGCUGGACACAACAUCCAUACUUGCAAUGCCUUCAGGAGAAAACUUCUGCAACUGAUCAAAGCAGGAUGGAUAGCAUUUGAAGAUGCCCCUAAUGUCAAUGCAAACCCUCUACCCAAUCAUGCUUCGGGUAGUGGGUCUGUAAACAUGUUAGAAGAGGGACACUCAAAAAUCUUAAAGGUGUCAAUGAAUAGGAUCUACCAAAUGAUGGUAGAUGCAAGGUAUGAAGAGGGUAGCGAGAAAUGUUGUGAACUUCAUAAUGAAAAAGGCCACGUGAUCAGCCAUUGCGAGGGCUUUCAUAAAAAAGUGAUGCAAAUGAUGAGUCGAGGGAUGCUGCGAAUUGAGAAAGCAACAAAUGAAGAGGUGUUCAUGAUGGAGGCACCAAAGAAAGAGGUGUGUCGAGUGCAUUUCACUACCGGAAAGCCAUCCAGAUUGGUCUUGUCCAAACCAGUAGUGGAACAUAAAGGGAACUAUAGUGCUUUACCUCACGACUAUGGGUACUCUUUCAAAAGCACUCCACAACCGCCUAUCUUUCAAGCAGAAAUUAGGGGUUUAACCCGUAGUGGCAGAUGUUUCACCCCAGAAGAGUUGGAAAAACAAAGAAAAGUUAAGGGAAAAGAAGGGGCUGAUGUAACUGAAGAAAUAAACAAACCUGCCACGGAAGAGGAAACCAACGAAUUCCUAAAGCUGGUGAAACACAAUGAAUAUAGUGUUGUUGAACAGCUCAAGAAAACACCAGCCAGAAUAUCGUUAUUUUCUCUGAUUCUAAGCUCUGAGCCACAUAGAAAGGCUUUACAAAAAGUACUGAAUGAAGCAUAUGUUCCUCAAGACAUCAAUCAAGAAACCAUGGAACAUUUAGUGGGAAGAAUCCAGGCCUCAAAUUAUAUAUACUUCACUGAAGAUGAAUUGAGUCCUGAUGGUACUGGGCACAACAAGCCGUUAUACAUUACGGUGCGUUGCAAGGAAAUUCUAAUCGGAAAGGUGCUCAUUGACAAUGGUUCUGCAUUGAACGUCCUACCAAUGCAUAUGUUGAAAGAAAUGCCUGUCGAUGAGUCACACAUGAAGCCUAGCACCUUGAUGGCGAGAGCAUAUGAUGGUUCACCAAGGCCGAUCAUUGGGACCCUAGAAAUAGAGCUAUAUGUGGGGCCACAAAUGUUCUUGAUAACAUUACAAGUAAUGGACAUUCAUCCAUCUUACAGCAUACUAUUAGGAAGGCCAUGGAUUCAUGCAGCUGGAGCAGUGGCUUCUUCAUUGCACCAAUGCUUGAAGUAUAUCAUGAACGGAAUGCUUAUAACUGUCAAAGCCGAAGAGACAGUUUCCAUGAUAAGAAAUGUGGCCAUACCUUUUAUUGAAGCAGAAGAUUGUAGAGAUGGGAAUAUUCAUGCUUUUGAAAUUGUGAAUGCAGAAUGGGUUCCUGAAGGCACAGUGCUGAGAAAGCCUAAAAUCCCAGAAACGGCGAAGAUGGCUGCCAAAUGCUUUUUAAAGCAUGGGGCUCCUUUUCAAUGUAAUCCUGAGACCAGAAUGCCUAGCCUGAUCAAGCCAAACUGUGCAAAUCAAAGAUUUAGGCUUGGAUAUAAGCCCAAGAAAGACGAUUACAAGCGGGUCACUCAGGUUAAAAGAGAAGCAAGAAUGGCGAGGAUUGAAGGAAGAGAGCCAGAAGAAGAGGGACUUGUCAUCCCACCACUCCGAGUGUCUUUCCCAAAGGCUGCAGAAGUGAUUAGAUCUGGCAUAGUGGAUCUUCACAUCAAUACCUUGGAGAGCCAAGAAGAAAAACGAAUAGAGGAAGCGGAUCUGGAGAUAAAGGAUGAGGUUUUGCCACAACUCUCCAUUCACACCAUUGAUCAACCUCCUGCCAGAUUUUUCGUGCGAAGAUUGGCUGAAGGAGAGGUGUACCAGAACUGGAAGAUGGAGCCUGCUCCUAUUGUGUUUAAAAAGUAAUUGUUCUUGUUUGAUAAUGCUCGGACUUGUUUGCCUUGUUUUGACUUGUGCUGAUCUUGCCGGUAUUUUUAGCUCAUGAUACCGCAAGAAUUUUCUAUGUUAACCAAGCACUUUUGUUUUAAUGAGAUCAUGCAUUUUCUUGUGUCCAAUCGCGUGCUUGCAUUUUUUUAUCUUUUCACAAAUCACUCUUACACGAGCACGCCUUACACUUUCAGGAAUUCUGAAAGUUCCAUCGAUCCACAAAAUCAUUGCACUAAGAAUAAUUGGCCAAACUUUGAUAAUAUGAUUGCAAUGGAUGAUGAAGAAUGGGAAGAGGAAGAUCUAAAAGAGUUUACUAGGCUGGUAGAAAAUUCAGAAAAAGCCUGGGAACCGGCCAGUGAGAAACUAGAAGUCAUUAACGUCGGAGAUGAACAAGAUAAUAAGGAAUUAAAGAUUGGCACUCUUGUCACAACUGAAGAAAGAAAUAGACUAGUCUCUCUAUUACACGAGUAUGUAGAUAUUUUUGCCUGGACUUAUGCCGACAUGCCUGGUCUAGAUACUGACAUAGUUGUACAUAAGAUUCCUUUAAUCGAAGGGAGCAAGCCAAUUAAGCAGAAAACCAGACGAAUGCGCCCGGACAUGUUACUCAAGGUAAAGUCCGAGAUACGAAAACAGUGGGAUGCAGGGUUUCUAGAUGUAGUCCAAUAUCCACAAUGGGUAGCUAAUGUGGUCGUAGUCCCAAAAAAGGAUGGGAAGAUUCGGGUGUGUGUGGACUAUAGAGAUUUGAACAAGGCGAGCCCAAAAGAUGAUUUUCCUUUGCCCCAUAUAGACAUUCUCGUUGAUAAUGCUGCAAGAAAUGCUACAUAUUCUUUUAUGGAUGGAUUCUCUGGUUAUAAUCAAAUUAGAAUGGCUGAAGAAGAUAAAGAGAAGACCACUUUUGUCACACCAUGGGGAACGUUUUGCUAUAAAGUAAUGCCAUUCGGAUUGAAGAAUGCUGGAGCCACAUAUCAAAGAGCAAUGGUUACCCUAUUCCAUGAUUUGAUGCACCAAGAAGUGGAAGUUUAUGUGGAUGACAUACUUGCAAAAUCAAAAAAAGAGGAAGAUCACGUGCAAGUGUUAAGAAGACUAUUUGAAAGGCUUCGAAAAUUCCAGCUAAAGUUGAACCCUGCAAAAUGCUCAUUCGGGGUGAAGACAGGAAAAUUAUUGGGCUUCAUUGUGAGUGGUCGAGGAAUAGAAGUUGAUCCUGAUAAAGCUAAAGCUAUCCAGGAGAUGCCUGCUCCUAGAACAGAAAAGGAAGUACGAAGUUUUCUCGGGCGCCUGAAUUACAUAGCUCGAUUUAUAUCCCAGUUGACGGUGACUUGUGAACCAAUCUUUCGUUUGCUCAGAAAGAAAAAUCCUGGAGUAUGGGAUGACGAUUGUCAAGAAGCCUUCGAUAAAAUAAAGAGGUACUUGCAAAAUCCACCAUUACUAGUACCGCCAACACCGGGGAGGCCUUUGAUCCUGUACUUGACAGUAACAGAAACAGCUAUGGGCUGUGUGUUGGGACAACAUGAUGAGUCAGGAAGGAAAGAGCAAGCUAUCUACUACUUGAGUAAAAAAUUCAAUGAUUGUGAGUCGAGAUAUACAACAAUUGAGAGGUUGUGUUGUGCUUGGGUUUGGAGUGCAAAAAGACUCCGGCAGUAUAUGCUAUACUACACAACCUGGUUGAUUUCAAAAUUAGAUCCGCUCAAGUAUAUUUGUGAAAAGCCUUACCUGUCAAGUAGAAUAGCAAGGUGGCAAGUGUUGUUGGCAGAAUAUGACAUUGUCUUUAUGACAAGAAAAGCUGUAAAAGGAAGCAUAAUUGCCGAUCAUCUUGCAGAUCAUGCCAUGGAGAACUACGAGCCGCUAAACUUUGACCUCCUAGAUGAAGAUGUGAUAGUAGUAGAGAGUGAAAGUGGGGAAAGCGAUCAGUGGACCCUCUACUUUGAUGGGGCAGUAAAUGUAUCGGGGAAUGGAGCCGGAGCUGUGGUGAUUUCCCCAGAAAAUAAGCAGUAUCCCGUUUCAACAAGGUUACUGUUUGAAUGUACCAAUAAUACUGCCGAGUAUGAAGCCUGCAUCAUUGGCUUGGAGGCUGCUCUAGAACUUGAAGCCAAGAAGCUUGAGGUCUUUGGAGAUUCCUUACUAAUCAUCUGCCAAGUCAAAGGUGAGUGGCAAACCAAGGAUGAGAAGUUGAAGUUGUAUCAAAGUUAUCUCUUGAAGUUAGCCGAUGAAUUUGAAGAAAUCAAAUUCACCCAUGUAAGCAGAGAUAAGAAUCAGUUUGCUGAUGCCUUAGCAACCUUAGCUUCGAUGACACAAGUUGAUGCUAAAAGCAGGAUACAACCAAUAAAUAUCGAGGCCAGAAGCUUUCAAGCCCAUUGUUACUUCAUUGAAGAAUCUCCAGAUGGGAAACCAUGGUACAAUGAUAUCAAAGAGUUUCUCCAUAUCGAGAAUAUCCUGAAGGGAUUUCCAAAAUAGAUGAAAAGACUUUGAGAAGAAUGACUGUGGGUUUUUACUUGGAUGGGGAAAUCUUAUAUAAAAGGUCAUUUGAUGGGACUCUGCUCAGAUGUUUGAAUGAAAAUGAGAUUGAACAAGCAUUAAAAGAAGUCCAUGAGGGGAUCUGUGCUACACAUGCUAAUGGGCAUACAAUGGCGAAACAAAUUCAAAGGGCUGGAUACUUAUGGUUGACCAUGGAGAGAGAUUGUGUAGACUACGUGAGAAAAUGCCAUAAGUGUCAAAUAUAUGGCGACAAGAUAAAUGCGCCUCCGGCACCUCUAUUCAAUAUGAUCUCGCCUUGGCCUUUUGAUAUGUGGGGUUUGGAUGUUAUAGGGCCAAUCAACCCCAAAGCAAGCAAUGGGCAUAGAUUCAUUUUGGUGGCCAUCGACUACUUCACCAAAUGGGUAGAAGCCAACUCUUAUGCCCAUGUAACACAGAAAGUAGUCAAGAGAUUUAUUGAAAAGGACUUGGUCUGUCAUUAUGGUCUGCCGGCAAGAUUGGUAACCGACAACGCCCAGAACUUUAAUGGGAAGCUGAUUGACGAAUUGUGCACCAAAUGGAAGAUUAAGCACCUCAACUCUUCCCCUUAUAGACCAAAGAUGAAUGGGGCAGUCGAAGCAGCUAACAAGAAUCUCAAGAAGAUUAUCCAGAAAAUGGUGAUCACCUACAAAGAUUGGCAUGAGAUGCUCCCAUAUGCACUUCAUGCGUACCGUACCACUGUUAGAACUUCGACAAAUGCCACCCCAUACUCUUUAGUAUAUGGAAUGGAGGCGGUUGUGCCCUUGGAAAUAGAAAUCCCAUCACUGCGGAUCCUGAAGGAUGCAGGACUGGACGAAUCAGAAUGGGCAAGGUCAAGAUUUGAGCAGCUAAACUUGAUCGAUGAGAGAAGACUAGCAACUAUUUGCCAUCACCAGUUAUACCAAAGCAGGAUAGCCAAAGCUUACAACAAGAAGGUCAAACCAAGGGUGUUCGAGGAAGGAGAUCUGGUGUUAAGGAAGAUCUCACUAGCGUCAGGAGAAGAUCAAAGUAAGUGGGCACCAAACUACGAAGGGUCAUAUGUGGUGAAAAAGGCCUUUUAUGGAGGGGCUUUAAUUCUGACCAAUAUGGAUGGAAGGGAUCUACCAAGGCCUGUAAACUCAGAUGUUGUAAAGAAGUACUAUGCCUGAUGUACUUACCUAUAUCAAUCAAUAAAAUUGAAGUUUGGCCAAGAUUUCUUUAGUGUGUUCCCCCUAAAAAAUUUAUGCAUGAUCUCAUGUUUCAAUAAAGAUUUUUGGGAAUUCAAAGUGUUAGUACAAAACUAGAGUCAAAUUGAUGUUUGUUCAAACAAAUAAGUUCUGAGAAUUCAAAUGACAUCCUGACACUCGAAAAAACCUGAAAGACAACCCAAGCACCAUGAAGUGACUCUAAAGCUGAGUUUUAUUUGCAUGAAUAAUGAGAAAUCACUCUGCAUACUUGCAUGAACGCAAGGCUUACCGAUCCUAAUUACAUGCAUUUGAGAUGAAGAAAGGCCAUCUUUGAUAACUCUUUCACAAAUUCUAAAAAAAUCCCUUGCAGUCCCCUUUUGAGCCUGGUAGUGUUUUUUGGAAAUAACCUUGACUAGGAUCACACCCUACACUGGGGGCAAGUGCCAAAAAAAAUCCUUAAUGAUUGAAAGUGCCCAAACAAUACUGGGGGGCAUAAAAAGUCUUCAACGAUGAAAGUGCCCAAACAAUACUGGGGGGCAUAAAAGAAAAUUCUCAAUCAUCGAAGGUGCCCAUACAAAGCUGGGGGGCAUAAAAAAAAAUCCAAAAAAAUUUGAGCAAAAAAAAAAAAAAGAAAGAAGCCAAGGCAAUGAUGCUCAAAAUCAAACGAAAAAAACAAAAACAAAGAGAAAGAGCCCAAGCCCAACAUUGGGGGGCACCGUGGACCAUUUUACAAAUCAAUUCCAAGGUCUAGAAAUGUAUGAACAAAAGAGUUUGGGAUAUAAGCACUAGUGAUCCUUAGUCUUAAAGUCCCUUAAACACCUUUUGAGCCUACAAAUAUCAUUUUCUUCAUAGUCAAUGGCCCAAGCCUACAUUACGUGCCUAAUCAAGCCCUUUCUGAUCAAAGGCAAGCAAUUUGGAUCGGUAGGCAGUGCUUUCUCAUGCGAAACAAAUCAUUUAUCAUGCAAAUAGAAAUGAAUGCUUUGAAAAACANNNNNNNNNNNNNNNNNNNNNNNNNNNNNNNNNNNNNNNNNNNNNNNNNNNNNNNNNNNNNNNNNNNNNNNNNNNNNNNNNNNNNNNNNNNNNNNNNNNNNNNNNNNNNNNNNNNNNNNNNNNNNNNNNNNNNNNNNNNNNNNNNNNNNNNNNNNNNNNNNNNNNNNNNNNNNNNNNNNNNNNNNNNNNNNNNNNNNNNNNNNNNNNNNNNNNNNNNNNNNNNNNNNNNNNNNNNNNNNNNNNNNNNNNNNNNNNNNNNNNNNNNNNUUGGCAUGAUCAAGCUAGAGAGCAAUUCACCAAAACACAUAGGGUUGGCUCCAUGAUUCCCCUUCUAAGAAAAUAGGAAAUGUUGGGUUAAGCUGGAAAUCUCUUCAGAUAAAGGUUUGAGGGAUAAGAUGUAUGUUGAUGUCAUAUCCUGCCCGGGGGUCAAGAUCACAAGAUGUGACUCGAGUAAGCAAGAGCGAAAAGAGACAUCAAAGCUUACUAUCAGACACUCCAACUCUUGAGAAAAGAAAGGCACCAUGAAGAAGAGGGGACCUAUAUUUCUCAGGUAAGUAUACAUGCAUAUCGAUCACGAUGCAUCCUCGACGUAUCGGUGUCUUACCAUCACCUCCUUUUUGAGCGGGCAUUGAGCCCCAUCAUUCAGAUAGUAUGCUUUCUAGCCCUAUCUUCUUCCUUUUUAGUGCGCCUUAGAGCCAUCAACCACCUUAGGUAGUGUGUUUUCCAACCCUGCCUCCCUCUUUAGUGCGCCUUAGAGCCAUCAACCACCUUAGGUAGUGUGUUUUCCAACCCUGCCUCUUUUUAAGUGCGCCUUAGGGCCAUUAACCACCUUAGGUAGUGUGUUUUCUAACCCUGCCUCCUCUUUUGAAUGUGCCUUCGAGCCCUCACCUCUUAGGUAGUGCGUUGUCCAACCCUGCCUCUUUUUAAGAGCUCCUUCGAGUCCUAACCUUUUAGGUAGUGUGUCUUUCUAACCCUACCUCCUUUCGAGUGCGCUUUCUAACCCUCAAGAGGAUUCAUCAUUCCUCAACAAGAUGAGCCUACCUCCUUUCGAGUGCGCUUUCUAACCCUCAAGAGGAUUCAUCAUUCCUCAACAAGAUGAGUCAAUCAUAUCUCAUCCUUGUUUUUCUUCUUUACAAUGCUUACUAUCUAAAGUCUCUUACGAGACUUUCUAUCAUAAGCAUUGUAAAGAGGGGGGCAAUUGUCAUAACCCAAUUCUGGGUUAUUCUCCAAAAUUCAUUUUUUUUAAAAUAAAAACAAAAAAACAAAAUAAAAAAUAAAAGCUGGCAAUGUGGAGAAAGCUGAUCAAGAAAAAUAGGCAAAAUAGGCAAAAAUCAAUCUGCAAUUUUCAGAGGAAAUUCAAGGCCUUUCGGCGACCCAUUGUGCCCAAAAUCGAAGAAAAAAAUGCAAAUUCAAGGUCAAAUUAAAUGAUUAUUGGAUAAAUUUGCAUAAAAAUUAAGUCCAAUAACAUAAUUAAAUUUUUAAUAGGCCAAUUUGAUUUAAUCAUGGGUCAAAUUAAAUUUUAGUUAUGUUUAAGAAUUAAUUUAGGUCCAAAUGAAGGAUUUAAUUAAGUGCAAGUACUUAAUUAUACUUUAAAUAGGUCAAAUUAAUUUUGUUUGGGGCUUAAUUGGUGAAAAAUUAAGUUUAGGAGCCUAAUUUGGGCUUAAUGGAGAAGAUUGGAAUUUUAAGAGACCAAAUUUAAUUUUUACCAAGUUAAUUGAUUGAAAUCAGGGGUCAAAUUGCAAGAAAAUUGAAGUUUUGGGGCCAAUUAGGGGUUAAAUUGACAAAAUCCAAAGCCAAGGGCUAAUCUGCAAAAGGCGCCAAACUAUAGGGGUCUAAUUGACAAAAGCCGGGGGUCAAAUUGAAGAAAUUGAAAGCUGGAGGACUCAAUUGAAAAUCAGCAAAAAUCCCUAGCUUUUGAUCCAAAACGGCGCCGUUUUUGGUGUUUAAGAAAAAACAAAGAGGGGGAAGGGACCAGGCGACGCGUCACCUGGUCACUGUUCAUCUUCUUCCCCACAAAACUGCCCGAGUAGCAGCUUUCCAGGCGCAUUUUCUACCUCGUUUGGCCUCCAAAUCCGACAACGCAUGCACCAAAAUGUCCACCUGAAACCCCUUUAUCCUUGAGAAUGGUCCGGUCGGGUAGAAAAACUUUGAAACGGCUUCGUUUAUUGGCCCAAAGUGGCCACCUCGUUCAGUCUGCAGCCUUGGAUUGCCAAAUUUGGCAAUUCGAGGUGCACACUUUGAACCAACGGAUUGGAUUCCUCGAGUCGAAUCAAGGGCUGAGACUUUUUCCCGUUGAAGACAAGAUUACCCUCUUUCCAGCCCUAUAAAUAGGAGCCAAUUUCAUGCUCAGGGGGAGGGGAAAAUUGAGCUCAAAAUUGGCAAAAAAUCAGCUUUUCUUGCCCGGUUUUCCUGCAACCAGCCUUCUCUUUCCUUUUUCUCUCCGCCGUGGCCUCCAGCCGCCACCACUGAUCUCGCCACCAUCCUUCCCACGAAACACCACAUCCCAUCCAUCACCCAACAACUUCACCACAGUCACAGUACCUCUCUUUCUCUCCCUCUCUUCUCUGCAAAAAUCUUAUCCUCUGCCACCGUGACUCCAACAGCGGCGGCGACAGCAGAAGUAGCAACCAUCUUGCCCAAAAGCUCUCUUCCACUCCUACCAGCAGCAGCCGGAGUAGCAGCUCCUUCCUCAGUCACACCAACAGCUCCAGCCGUGAGCUUUCCUUCUCCUCUGCAGGAAUCUGCUCCUUCUUCUUCCAGCCGGGACCAGUGCACGCCGCCGUCCUCGCCGCCUCUAGUCGCACCGCGCACCACCAGCUAGGCCGCCGACUCACUCCACGCCAGGUAAUUCUCUCCUCCCCGCUCCACCCUUUUCUUCUUCGUGUUCUUCGUAGCCGCUGCAUGCAAAAUUCAUUUCUGCAUGCAGUGGAUAAUUAAUUAGCCACCUGCUUGGGCCCGACCCCAAAAAAAAAAUUCAAAAAAAAAUUAAAAAUCAUUUCAAAAAAUUUGUGAUUUUCUUAAAUAUUUUUCUACCAAGUUUGCUUAAUAUUAGGUUGCAUACUUACAUUGUAAGAUAAAAGUCCGGUAUUAAAACAUCCGGUUUCCUCCGAAAUAUUUCAAAAAAAAAAAUUUUCAAAAAAAGAAAAAAAUAUUUUAUUGCAUACGGCCAAGUCCUAAAGAAUUUUCCAAGCAUGUUUUUAUGUUUAAGAAGAAAAAAAUGCAUCUUUCUCACGUUUUAAAAAUCCAAAAAAUGGAUAUCAUAACUAGUUUAUGAUCAUCCGUUAGGGUUUGGCCAAAAUAUCAAAAACCUUUUUCCAACUCUUUUUUUUUUUUUCAGGAUCCAGAUGUAGACUUUAAUAUUUGUGGGGUGUAAAAUUACACGAUAAAGUACACCCUCGGGUAUUAAACAUACAAGGUGUAAAUAAAUGCAAUCCUAAAAUUCAGACUUUAGAACGGUUAGGAUUUAACCCAAUAAGGUAGAGACUCCCUCACGAAGGGAGAUCUGCCUUGAACCUUAGAAAAGACCAACGAAUAGAAACUCGACCUAGAAAAACAAUCAAACAACAAUGCAGCUUACCUUAGGUAGGGUGCACUGGGGGUGAUGCGUCUUCCCCUUGCACAACCAGUCCCUUACUCAGACUCUCGCAGACCAUAGGUUCCUAGUGACCAUAAUACUAGGUGGCGACUCCAACGAACCAAGCAAAACACAAAUAAAAGAAAAAUCGCCAGCAGACGCCGUGCGGAUUUUCCGACGUGCGACAAUCAUCAAUCUCAGCAACUCAAUAAACCUGUCCAAGACUCCAGAUCUUACUGGAAUUCCAAAUCUCGAGAGUCUGAUUCUUGAAGGUUGUACAAGUUUGUCUGAGGUCCAUCCAUCACUUGGAAGUCACAAGAAUCUUCAAUAUGUGAAUCUUGUGAAUUGCAAAAGUAUUAGGAUUCUCCCAAGCAACCUCGAAAUAGAAUCACUCAAAGUUUUCACUCUUGAUGGCUGCUCAAAACUUGAGAAGUUUCCAGAUGUAGUAGGAAACAUGAACUGUUUGAUGGUGCUUCGUUUGGAUGAGACUGGUAUUACAAAACUAUCUUCAUCGAUUCAUCAUUUGAUUGGCUUAGGUCUAUUGAGCAUGAACAGCUGCAAGAACCUUGAAAGCAUUCCAAGUAGCAUAGGUUGUUUGAAAUCCCUUAAAAAACUCGAUCUGUCUGGCUGCUCUGAACUUAAAUAUUUAACAGAGAAUUUAGGGAAAGUUGAAAGUUUGGAGGAGUUUGAUGUAAGUGGAACUUUAAUAAGACAACUGCCAGCAUCCGUUUUUCUUUUAAAGAAUCUUAAAGUAUUAUCUUUGGAUGGAUUCAAAAGACUAGUUGUGCUGCCUUUUUUGUCUGGUCUGUGUUCUUUAGAAGUACUGGGUUUACGCGCUUGCAAUCUAAGAGAAGGGGCACUUCCUGAAGAUAUUGACUGCUUUUCUUCAUUGAGGUCUUUAAAUCUGAGCCAGAAUAACUUUGUUAGCCUGCCUUAAAGCAUAAAUCAGCUUUAUGAAUUGGAAAUGCUUGUCUUGGAGGAUUGCACAAUGCUUGAAUCAUUGCCUAAAGUUCAAACGGUAUAUUUGAUUGGUUGUAUAAGCCUAAAAACAAUUCCAGAUCCGAUAAAGCUAAGCAGUUCUAAAAUCUCAGAAUUCAUAUGUCUUAACUGCUGGGAAUUGUACUAUCAUAAUGGCCAAGAGAGCAUGGGGUUGACGAUGCUUGAAAGAUACCUCAAGGUCUUCUCUUAAUCAUACCCCAACCUUUUUCUAUCUCUCUCCCUCUCCCUCUAUCUAUCUAACACUUUUGUUUUUCAUGGUAAAGGGUUUGUCUAAUCCAAGACCUGGAUUUGGUAUCGCUGUUCCAGGAAAUGAAAUUCCAGGGUGGUUUAACCAUCAAAGUAAGGGAUCUUCAAUUAGUGUGCAAGUGCCUAGUUGGAGCAUGGGGUUUGUUGCGUGUGUUGCAUUCAGUGCAAAUGGUGAAAGUCCUCCUCUUUUUUGUCAUUUCAAAGCCAAUGGAAGAGAGAAUUAUCCUUCGCCGAUGUGUAUUAGUUGUAACUCUAUCCAGGUUCUGUCAGAUCAUAUUUGGCUAUUCUAUCUAUCUUUUGAUCAUCUUAAAGAGCUUAAAGAAUGGAAGCAUGACUCCUUUAGCAACAUUGAGUUGUCAUUUCAUUCUUCCGAGCAACGAGUAAAGGUGAAGAAUUGUGGUGUCUGUUUGUUAUCUUCUCUAUAUUUUACACCACGACCAUCUUCUGCCUUAUUGUUACAAGCAAAGAAGCAGCUUCUUCAUUUAAAGAUUCUUUAGCUUUUUCUUCGUCGUACCAUCAAUGGAAGGCCAACGUUUUCCCUGGCAUCAGAGUCGUAGAUCGGGCCCGGAGAUUCAUUGUCCCAGUCGGGAAGGAACCAGAGAAAGUAAUGGCAAUUAGAUCAAGACUCUUUGAAGCCAUUGAAGAAUCAGGGCUGUCAAUUGUUAUAUUUGCAGGAGAUUGUGCUUCUUUACCUUGGUGCUUUGAAGAACUUGUCAAGAUUGUCGGAUUCAUGGAUGAGAUGACAUCGGACAUUGUGUUUCCAGUUUCUUGUGAUGUCGAACAAUCAAAGAUAGAUGAUCAAAAAGAGAGUUACACAAUUGUCUUUGAUAAUAUUGGAAAAAAUCUUAGGGAAAACAAGGAGAAGGUACAAAGGUGGAUGGAUAUUCUUAGUGAAAUUGAGAUUUCAUCUGGAUCGAAAAGGUAAUAAUUACUUCUUCUUCUUUUUUUUGUGUAGCUCGACUUAUCAACCACUUCAAGUAAAUGAAACUGGAGAUGCUGAAAUAUCGACUUUCAGAACUUAAUGUUAACAAAUCUUUUUUCUUUUUUUUUUUUUUUUUUUUGCAUGGGAAAAACACCGUGCAAGGUUCAGUACACAAUGGGGUUACAAGUUUUUUUUUUUUUUUCAAGGUAGAUUAUGAAUUUAAGAAAAAUUAAUAUUAAACUUAGUUGGGUUUAUGCUCUAGAUUAAACCGACAUAUUUUACUAUGGACAAUAUUUUUUUUUUAGGUUUGUUAUAAAUUCAAAAGGAGAAAAAUAUUGGUCAGGUAUCCAGGUCACGAGUUUAUUUUAAAGGUUGAGUAUAAAUUUAAAAAAAAAAAUUUCAACCCAGUUGAGGUGUGCAUUUUUAAUUUUAGAAAUUUUUUUAGAAGAUGAAUAUAAAUUUAUGAAAAAACAAUAAUUGAACCUCGUUGAAUUCAAGGUUCGGGUCACAUUUAAUUUUUUUUAAGGUUUAAGGAAAAAAAUAUUGAACCUGGUUGAGUUUAUUAACUAAGUUACAGGUUUAACAAGUUAAGUCACAAUAACCGGAAAAUUAUUUUUUUUUCUAAUGUUGCUUUUUUUUCUAAUAUUUUUUUUUCUAUAUCCUUUUUUUAGAUAAUUUUCAAUUUAUGUUUUAAUUAAUAUCACUAAUAUGUGAUUCAUUUUGUUUAUUUAACCUUUUUUAAUAUAAAUUAUUUUUUGAUGGUGUUGUAUGUAUUUGUUUUUAAAUGUUUAAUAUAAAUUUAAGAGAAAACAAUAUAGAGGUUGAGUUCAUGAUCUGGGUCACAUGUUUAUUUUUAUUUUUGUUAAAGGUAACUUGAUUGAGUUCAUGCUCCGAGUUGUGGAUUUAACGAGUUAAGCCACAACAACAAAACAAUGUUUUUUUAUAUUACUUUUUUUUACUGAUAUUUUUUUAUAUAUCUUUUUUAAAAUAUUUUUUAAAUUUAUGUUUCAAUUAAUAUUCCUCAUAUGUGAUUAUUGUUUUAUUUAUUUUUGGAUAGUUAUUGUUUUUUAUGGUAUUGUUCGUAUUUAAUUUUUAAAAAACUUAUUAUGAUUCAUCAAUAAUGUUUUUUAUCUUUUUGUAUAAAAUAACUUUAUUUUAAAAAAUAAAAAAUAUUUAUUUUCAGAUAAUAUAAUAUGUACAACAACCUUAUAUAAUAUUUUUUAUAUUUUUAUUUUAUUUAAUCAAUUUAAUAUGUAUGUUUUUUCUAAAAUCAUUUAAUUGAAUAAAAAGAUUAAUUUCAAUAAAUAAAUUAAAAAAAAUAUAACUGGAUAAAUGUUCUGUUUAUUAACACAUUUGAAUUUUUUUAAUUUUAUUUUUAGUUAUUUUUAAUAUAUUAUUAUUAUUAUUAUUAUUGUUAUUAUUAAUUCCCAUAGUUAUCAAUUUAUUUGAUUAAAUGUAUGUAUGAGCUUUUUAAUUUACAGUUUAAAUUUUUUUAUGUAUAAAAUUGCAUCAGAAAAACAUGCAUGCACAACUUUUUUGUAAGAGAAAAAAAUAUCUAGUAUGUACAAGAGUAUCAUUUUACUUUUUUCACAAACAUCUUGCAACCAAAAAAAUAGUUAGUGGGUGUUGGCCCUAACAAAAUGCGGCCAUUGGAUUGGCUUAAUUUACUAAUCUCAACAAUGUUUGGCCUUUGCUUCUUCUUCUUUUUUUUUUUCUUUAUAUGUUUUUUAAAAAACAUUUAUAUUUAGAUUAACAUCCUUUUUUUUUAUGUUGUUUAGAGAUCCUCUUUGAAAUGAUGAUUGUUUUUUAGUUAUGUAUUUAAUUUUUGAGAAAUGUUUUUUUUAUGUUUUAAUCUUUUGUAUAGAUGAACUUUAUUCUUGAAAAUAAAAAAUUUUAUUUUCAAAUAAUAUUUAUAAUAUAUGCAGUCUUGCAUAUUAUUUUUUUUCAUUUUAUUUUAUUCAAUUAAUUUAAUGUGUAUAUCUAUUUUUAUUAUCGUUUGAUUGAAUAAAAAACUUGUUUUAAUUAAUAAAUUUAGUAAAUACAAUUGCAUAAAUAUCUCGUUUUUUAAAAUUAAAUAUCUUAAUCUAUAUUUGUUUCUCGAUUUUUUCAUUUUUAUUUUUAGUUAUAGUUUAUUGUUGUUGUUUUUUACUUGUUAACACACAUGAUUCUUAAUUUAUUUAAUUAUAUUUAUAUAUAUAUUUUUUAUUUUUACUUAGAAUUUUUUAAAUAUAAAAAUCUAUAAAUUUUUUAUUAAAAAGUUUUUUUUGACACCCAACAAAACAAAACAUGUAAGAUGUAACAUCGAUUCCAUGUACAGUUUGACUAUACCUGAGCAGGAGCAGCUGCUCGAGCAUCUGCAGUGGUGGCAGCAGCAGCUCGAGCAUAAGCUGAUGCUCAAUCAGCGGCAGUGGCAGCGGCAGCAGCUGCAGCUCGAGCAUAAGCUGAUGCUCGAUCAGCAGCAGCUCCAGCAAUGGCGGCAGCAGCAGCUCGAUGAGCUGCUGCUCGAUCACCAGCUGCGACGGCAGCAGCAGGUGCUCCAGCAGCUGCAGCAGCAGUAGGUGCUCCAGCAGCUGCAGCAGCAGCUCCCUGGGUUUGGAUUAGGAAUUUAACUUGCUUUAGCUUGAAGAACUUCGUCAGUUUUUGCUCAUGGUUUUGGUUUGGGGUAAUUAGAUUCACAUUUUACUAUGUAUGGAUUUUCUUCUUAAAUUUAGGAUAAUCUCAUGUUUGCGGAUGGAAGGAUUGUUUCCAUAUUAAAACUUUUACAUGGAAAGCCAUUAUUUUGGAAUCGCUAUUCUGCCUAUUUUUUAAACUCUGGUUUUGGGUGUAAGUGUUAGAUUUAAAUUAAAAACAAUAUAUAUUUCUAAAAGAUAAAACCACUAAUUUCUUAUCAAUAUAAUUUUUUUUCAUCAAUUUCAUUCAGAAUUCUUUGAAAUUAAUUUUUUAUUUAUCUAUAAUUAAUUUUAAGUAUUUUAAUAUUUCAUGUUAUAAUUAAUACUCAUGCAAAAAAAAUAUUUUUCAACAAAAUCUUAACAUAUUAAUUUAAUUUUUGAUUAAAAUUUAAAUACAAUAACUAUGUUUUAAAACUAAUUUCUCCUAACUGUCAAUAAAUCAAUUCAAUUCAAUAGCUUAAGCUAUUAGGUGAGGUCUCAAGAUAUGAUUUAUAUUAUUUCUAACACCCUCUCAAGUGAAAACAUUUUAAACUUGAAUUUAUAUAAGGUCACAUUACCUUGUGUUUAAUUUUUAUAAAAUAAAUAAGGAUGAUAUUGGGAUUUGAACCCGUGAUCGUUUGGUUAUCAAGGCUUUGAUAUAACGACAAAAAACAAGUUUAACUUAAUAACUUAAAUUAUUAAGUAAAAUUUCAAAAUAUAAUUUAUAUUAUUCACGUGUAUUUUACAUUCAAAAUACAUGAAAAUUAAUUUUACAUACGGCUGAGCUGUGCUUACGGAACAGGCACUCUGCACACAAAAUGAUAGUUCUUUAUUUUAAGAAGCCUCUUUAUUAUUAUGUAAUAUUAUUGUGUAAUAGUUAUUUUUUUCAAUAUUUUUUAUUUUAAAAUAUUUUAAAAUAAUAUUUUUUAUUUUUAAAAAAUAAUUUUUGAUAUCAGUAUAUUAAAAUAAUAUAUAUAAAAAACUUAAUUGAAAAUAAAAAAUAAACUUAAUUUAAAAAAAAUAUAUUUUUAAAAUCUAAAAACAAACAAAUAAUCUACCCGACAACCUAUUAGAUCAAAUCACGAGGAAAGGUGGCAUCUUUAACUUGUUACUUUUACGUAAAAAGUGUUUGUUUUUUUCUUCUCAAAAACAGAAAACCACCUUCGAUGUGCAAUGCAACAUUUCAUGCCCCAAGGUAGCUAGCUGCUGUCAAAACCCUGCGAUAUUGGAAAUUAAAGUUUGCUGAUAGUAAUUUUAGGUUAUAUCUUUGGUGAACAUCUUGGAUUCAAUUUGCCAAAUUCUCAGUUAUUCUUGAAUUAACAUAAAUCUUGCAACUCAAGAUAAAUUUUUUUUUUUUACAAAGACUUAUUUUUAUUAAUUUAUAUUUUGUAUUUUAUAUAUUUCCUUCUAUUUUUAGUUAAAUAUAUAUAUUUUUACUAAUUAAUAAACAAUUUUUAUUAUUAAUAGCUUUAUAUUUACAACUAUAUAAACACAUAAAUAUUAAUUUAUAUAAUCACUUACUCCAAAAUUGGACUUGCUUCGUUUGUAACUGGCGAAAUAUCAACCCAUGAAGAUUUUAUGGGAAAACCCUGUUAUUUCUAAGUGAUUGGUUAGCAAUUCACGAUGAAGAGAAAGACCACACCACUUUAUUGAAUGAAAGCUGGUUUAUAUAAUCAAACCAUUACAACAGAAAUCAGAAAAAUAAGCAACCCACGUUUGACUCUCCUACAAACGUGGUUAACAAACAAAGAAUAAAUCAAAUCUAAUCCUUUGAUCCUAUUAGCUAGGAUAUUAUUGACUGACUUAGUCCUAACAAUCCCUCCCUUAAACUGCAUUGCUGUCAGUAAGCAGUUUAUUCGUUUGGUACCUCACAAACACCCAGUAAGCUUCUUAGUUUCUCAAAUGCAUCCAUCUUCAAAGCUUUUGUCAUAAUAUCAGCAAUUUGAUCUUGUGUAUUGCAGUGCUUCAGCUCAAUUAUUCCUUCCUUGCACAGCUCACGUAGAAAAUGAAAUCUAAUAUCUAUAUGUUUGCUUCUGCCAUGCAUAAUCGGAUUCUUUGCUAAUUUAAUUGAAGACAUAUUAUCACAGUGUAUGAUAGUAUGUGUCCCUUGCUUGCAAUCUAUCCUUUCAAGUACUCUUCUCAUCCAUACUGCUUGACACGCACAAUGAGCUGCAGAUAUAAAUUCUGCCUCAGUUGUUGAUAAAGAGACUACCGGUUGUUUCUUGGAGCUCCAAGCAACUGCUCCUUCACUUAGCAUAAAAACAUAUCCCGAAGUACUCCUACGAUCAUCUUGAUCCCCGGCAUAGACACUAUCAGAGUAGGCCAUUAAUCUUUCAUCACUUGCAGCUUCUCUUUUAUAAUGGAUGCCCAAGUUCACAGAUCCCUUCACAUAUCUCAAAAUUAUCUUAAUAGCCUGCAUAUGUAGAGUUGUAGGUCUCUCCAUGUAUCUACUGAUCAGACCAAUCCCAAACAUGAGAUCUGGCCUGGUUACUGAUAAAUACAUGAGAUUUCCAACCAUUUGUUUGUAUUGAGUAACAUCCACUUGCUCGCCAUCUUCAUUUCUCAUCAGCUUCAUACCUGGUAUCAUUGGAUUGCGAACUGAAUUUGCCUUUUCUAGACCAAACCUCUCCAGUACUUCAAGUGCAUAUUUUCUUUGCUUAGAUAAAUUCCUUCAUCAUUCUGCACGACUUCUACUCCAAGGAAGAACUUCAUUUUACCUAAAUCAGUCAUAUCAAACUCUCGUUUCAUUGAAGCUUUGAAAUCAGCAAACAUCCCCUCAUCACUUCCAGUGAACACCAAAUCAUCUACGUAUAUGCAUACUAUCAGAAUUUUCUUGUCUUCUUGAAUUUUAACAAACAGAGUAUGCUCACUUGGACAUCGAGCAAAACCUUCCUUCACAAAAUAUGCUUCAAUCCUGCUAAACCAGGCCCUUGGUGCCUGCUUCAAACCAUAUAAUGCUUUCUUCAACUUGAGGACUUUGUGUUCUUCUCCUUUUUUUUCAUAGCCGAGAGGUUGCUCUACGUAUACAUCUUCGUCUAAUUUCCCAUGAAGAAAUGCACUCUGUACAUCAAGUUGAUACACCUUCCAUUUUCUUUGUGCUGCUAUUGCUAGAAUCAUCCGAAUUGUGUCCCAUCUUGCUACUGGUGCGAAUACCUCAGUGUAGUCGAUUCCAUGUUGCUGUGCAUAUCCCUUUGCUACAAGUCUGGCCUUGUAUUUGUCAACUUCACCUUUUUCAUUAAGCUUUGUCUUGUAUAUCCAUUUCACCCCAAUCUUCCUUGAAUUAUUCGGCAGCACAGUUAGUUCCCAUGUGUCAUUCCUUUCUAUCGCAGCAAUUUCAUUGUCCAUGGCUUCUCUCCAUUGGUGAUUUUUUUCAGCUUCUUCAUAGGUGUGUGGAUCUCCAGCAGUAGUGUAUAACACCAUAUUUUGUGUUUCCUCUUCUUUAGAUAAGCUUGCUCCCAUGACAUAAUCCUCCAUCCAGUGUGGUGCUCUUCGAUUUCUGACACCUGCAGCUUGAAUAUGCUCAUUUUGUUCUUCUGCUUCAAGUUCUUCAACAGCAUCUCCAGUACCUGCUUCAUCUCUAAUUUCAGCAUCUCCAGUACCUGCUUCAUCUCCAAUUUCCCUAAUCUGUUCUUGUGUCUGCUCCUCAUCUUUUUCUAUUCUUCUUCAUGUAUACUGUCAUCAUUAUCUCCCCAGCGUAGCAGUAUACUAGUGUUGUCUUCUGCCCAGUUCCAAGUUGCAUUUUCUUCAAAGAUGACAUCACGACUAAUUAUCAACUUCUUUGUGAGAGGAUUAAACAUUCUGUAACCUUUUGUUUCUUCACUGACUCCCAACAGUACACAUUUUAUGCUCCUUGAAUCCAGCUUUGUUCUUUUUUCAUGUGGUACAUGUACAUGACCAAUGCAACCAAACACUCGAAAAUACCCCACUGAGGGUUUGACUCCACUCCAUGCUUCUUCAUGUGUGACUUCUUUUACUGCUGCAGUAGGACUCCUAUUUAGUGUAUGUAUACACCAAUUUACAGCUUCUGGCCAGAAUUCUCUGGGAAUGUGUUUUUCAGACAAUAUGCUUCUAACUAGAUUCAUUAUUGUCCGAUUCUUCCUCUCAGCAACACCGUUUUGUUGAGGAGUAUAUGCAGCCGUUAAUUGUCUCUUGAUCCCAUUCAUACUGCAGUACUCAUUAAACUCUUUCGAAGUAAAUUCACCACCUCUAUCCGUGCGUAAACAUUCCACCAAGGAACCAGCCUCUUUUUCAACUAGAUUCUUGAAUUUUUUGAACAUAUUAAGAGCAUCUGAUUUUUCUGAAAUGAAAUACACCCAACACUUUCUACUAAAGUCAUCAAUGAAAGUGAUUAGAUACCUCUUGCCACUAUUGGAUUCCGGAUUCACAGGUCCACAGAUGUCUGAGUGGAUGAGUUGUAAUUUGUGUGCUGCUCUCCAGUGACUUUUCUUUGAAAUGUUGUCUCUGUGUUGUUUGCUGCUCAAGCAAUCUGCACAUACUUUGGUAGGAGCUUUAAGUAGUGGCAGCCCAUUAACCAUUUUGUUGUAAUACAGCAUCCUCAAACCUUUGUAGCUGAGAUGAGCAAAUCUGCUAUGCCAUAAUUGUGCUUCACUUUCUUCACUGGUUUGAAAGAAAGCCACUGAUUCUUUUGGAGGUAUUGUUGCAAGCAUUAUGAACAUUCUGUUGACUGUCAUGGCUAUCUCCAUGAUGAGGCCUCUACUUGGAUGAAAUAGCUUGCAUGUAUUAUUUUUAAUCAGUAUUGUUAAUCCUUUCUCCUGUAGUUGCCCUAUGCUGAGUAAAUUGUUUCUCAGCUCCGGAAUGUAAUAAACUUCAUCAAUCCUUUGUAUUGCACCAGCUACUUUCAACUUUACACAUCCCUUGCCCAUUACUGUCAUUCUCGAAUUGUUGCCAAGCUUGACUGAAUGUCUAAAUUUUUCAUCUAAUUCUGUAAACCAUAGUUUAUUCCCACUCAUAUGAUUGCUGCAACCGGAGUCCAAAAACCAUACCUCUUCUCUAGUUGAGUUAUGAAGUUCCACAUGUGACAUCAACAACAUUUCUUCUUCGCAAUCCAAUUCUGCAUAAUUUGCUGUUUUUUCAUAACCAGGACAUUCAUAAGAGAAAUGUCCUAGUUUAUGACAUCGAAAGCAUUCAAUAAUAGCUUUAUUGAAAGAUUGUCUUCCCCAGCUCCUGCCUCUGCCUCUGAAACUUCCUCUGAAUCCUCCACAGUUUCUACUCCUUCCUCCAAAUCGAACAUCUUCUCUUGCUUCAGACAUGACCUUAAGAACUUGCUCUUCCUCUUUGUGCCCCUUCAUCCUUUGCUCAUGUACGAGCAAACUACUUUGAAGUUCAUCAAUAGUCAUUUCAGCAAGGUUAUUUGAUUCUUCGAUUGAGCAUACGACAUAGUCAAAUUUUGUCGUCAUAGAUCUCAAAAUUUUCUCAAUAAUAACAAUCUGCUCCAUUCUUUCACCAUGUGUUUUCAUUUUGUUGACAAUGGUAAGAGUUCUCCCAAAGUACUCAUCAACACUCUCACCAUCCUUCAUUCCGAGUAGCUCAAAUUCUCUCCGCAACGCUUGUAGUUGUGCUCUUUUCACCUUAGUGGACCCUUGAUAUUUCUGACGCAUUGAAUCCCAUAUUCCCUUUGCAGAGUCUCUAUCCAGGAUUGUUUCCAUGAUAGUGCGAUCAAUGGAUUGAAAAAGAUAAUUUUUCACUUUUAAAUCUUUCAAUCUCAGCUCCUCCAUGUGUUUCUGUUGGACCUCCGUGUGUUCUGCUCCAGUUGUGCUUGCAGGAAUUCCACUCUCUAUUAAACUCCAGUAAUCUUUGGAACGUAGCAGAUUUUCCAUUAACAUAGCCCAAUGAUCAUAGUGACCAUCAAAUCUGGGAAUCGCUGGUUGAACAAAGUUUCCCUCUGCCAUGGCUUUGGCUUUGAUUUCACUCCUCUCUACAGAAUAUUUCACUCCUCUCUGUGUUUCAGAUGGUUACCACUCAACUCACUGAUUUCUCACACUCCUCUCUGUUUUUACUCUUCUCUUUCUCGAGAACGUUCACUCCUCUCUCUUGAUCAGACUCUUUUGUUGAAGCUCUGAUACCAAUUGUUAUUUCUAAGUGAUUGGUUAGCAAUUCACGAUGAAGAGAAAGACCACACCACUUUAUUGAAUGAAAGCUGGUUUAUAUAAUCAAACCAUUACAACAGAAAUAAGAAAAACAAGCAACCCACGUUUGACUCUCCUACAAACGUGGUUAACAAACAAAGAAUAAAUCAAAUCUAAUCCUUUGAUCCUAUUAGCUAGGAUAUUAUUGACUGACUUAGUCCUAACAAACCCAGUUUUGUUUUUUUGAGAAAUAGUGGUAGUACCAAUGGGAAUCGGUGUGGUGGAUUUUGUUCAAGAGGGUAUGUGAGUGUAGCUGAGGCAUUGUCAUCAACAGAUGUUGAAGAUAAUGUGUCUGGUGCCGAUGAAGUGCAAGAAUUGCAGCCAGAAAUGAGGAAAGAAGAGGAGCACUUUAGCCGGAGGAGGCUACGUGCUAACCCUGGAAUAGGAUCAAGGAAGCAUAGGGUCUUAAGGAGAAGGCAAGUGAAGAUUGAGGCGGAAGCAUGGGAACUGGCAACGAAAGAAUAUAAGGAGCUUUUGAAGGAUAUGUGUGAGCAUAAGUUGGCUCCUAAUUUGCCAUAUAUGAAGAGUUUGUUCCUUGGUUGGUUUGAGCCUUUUAGAGAUGCAAUUGCAAAAGAGCAGGAGUUGAUUAGAACGGGGAAGAGUAGGCAGGGUUAUGCUCUGUAUUUUGAUCUGUUGCCAGCUGACAAGAUGUCUGUUAUUGCAAUGCAUCAACUCGCAGCAAUGGUAAUGACAGGUGGGCAACAUGGAUGUGCAAGAGUUGUGACUGCUGCUUGUAUGAUUGGUGAUGCAAUUGAGCAGGAGGUAAGUAAUUUUUAAUGUUUUAUUUGCUUAUUUUUACUUGCAGUUUGAUUUGUAGACAGAGGAUAAUGAGUGCCCAUAUAAAAAUAUUGAAAGAUAAGGGAAAACAUAAAGUUUCUUAAAUUUACUUUUAGACAACCUUCAUCUGAGGUGAUGAACUAGGAAGAAAGAUGAAAGUUACUAUGUACAAUUAUGAGAUAAAAAUCAGCUAUGGAGCUAGUAGUGCCUGGAAAAUUAGAUUUUGAAGUUACGUUCCAUAAAGUUUUGUCGAAUGUUGAAUGGGGUUUUUCUGGAUUUCUUUUUUAUAUAUCUAUAGUUUUUACUUUCAGUCCAAGUUUUUCUGCUGUUCAUGGUUCCAGGGAGGACACUAAAUGUAGGUACGAAAAACAAUGUAGUGUAAGAUCGUUUAGAUACUACGUUUUUACAAUUUUUUCAUUAUGUGUUAAACUUUUCAUAUCACGGGCCUUAUUAGGCUGAAUAUUCUAUUACGCCUUUCUUUUUUGCGCUACAAUUUCUUCAAAGCAUGGGCAUGGUGGACUCAUAAGAGUGACAUUCAACUUUCCUUUGUCAGAGCUCAUCUCAUGUUUCGACAUUGUUUCACUAUGGAUUUAUACUUUUGCAUUUCCCUGUUGGGGACAGCAAUUAUCUUUAUCAUUUCAAUUAUGUGUGUUCUUGUUUGUGCCUUUCUUUUGUAAGUUGUUUAAGUUUUUCUCUUAGUUUAGACUUUAAAGGCACGCGUGACACUUUGCUCUACUGUCUCUUCUGAUUAUGGGAGUUGCUUCCUCUUUUCUUUUCCUUUUUUUUUAAAAAAAAAAACUAUACAAUGAAGAGAUAUUUAGAUGUACCAUUCUUAAUCCAUUUUUUGGACCUCCUACCUCUUCAGUCUUGUUCUCUUUCUUUGAACCGAGGACUGAAUCUGUAACAGUUUCUGUGAUGAAACAGAUUAGAAUACACAAUAUCUUGGAGAAAACAAGGAAGAGAAAGGAAAAGGCUAAUGAGAGCAAGAAUGGUGUAGAAGGUGAAUCCCCUGCUGUCAAGAAAAAAGGUUACUGAUUUGAUUAAAAAACAAAAGCUGCCAGCUGUGAGGAAGAUUGUGAAGGGGAAGGAUGAUUCAAAACCAUGGAAUGCAGAUGCUAGGGCUAAGGUUUGUGUGCUUGUAAUCAUUGAUAAAGGCUAAUUUUCUUGAACAAAUGUAUCGUGUACGAAUUUGAUUUCUGUCCUUGCACUUUGCAGGUUGGAAGCCGUCUAAUUGAAUUGCUGUUACAAACAGCUUAUAUACAGCCUCCCUGUGAUCAGUUAGCUGAUACUUCAUCUGAACCUCGACCUGCAUUUGUACAUACAUUCAGAACUGUGUCAUAUGAAAAUAAGUAUGGAGUUAUUCUUUAAUUGACUCGAUGAGCUUAAUUUAUCUUUUCUUCCUUGUAAGUGCUCCUAACUGAUGCACAAUGGCCUUUUCUUAAACAGGAAGGGUGCGAAAAAAUACGGUGUUAUUCAAUGUGACCCACUAGUCCUCAAAGGCCUAGAGAAAACUGUGAGUAACCCUGUCAUAUUUUGUUCUUCUAGUGAUAUCUAGUUUUCAUAUUUUAUCAUCCUUUAUGACAUGAACUUGUGUCGGGGUGCCAUAUACUUUCAAAGCAGAUAGGUUAGUUUCUAGAUUUUAGAGCUGAAACAGAUAAGAUUUGUAGCCAAUUUCCAUGGUGCCUCUUAAGUUGCAGAUGUUUGUCUUUCAUUCUUUUUUCUUGCACAAGAAGUCAUAAAAAUGUUGUUUCUCCAAACAGGCUAGGCACAUGGUGAUUCCUUAUAUGCCAAUGUUGGUGCCACCACUUAGAUGGAGAGGGUAUGUUAACUUGUUUUAUAUUUACAGUUUUUCCACGAUUGUCUUGUUUUAAUUUAAUAUUUUUUAGUUGGAUAUAUUCCAAGUUCAGAAAUAUUAACAUAGUGUUUUGGUUACUUCUGCUUGAUGCCUGGAGCUGUUUUCAAUUUUCAUGUCAAGUUAAAUGCUUAAAAUGGUAUAAUAGAUGAAGGGAUGAAUCUCUGAUUAUAAAGACUGGAAUUCCAAUCCCAAUUUCAGUGAAUUGAAAUUUACAUUUCGGCAUGUUUCAAGGCUCUGCCUCUCCAUUUCUGUAACCUCCAUUGGAAGGGAAACUAAUUGUCUUGCGGUGAAGUGCAUCUUGGCUUCAAAGCAGCUUUUCCCCCAAUCAGUCUUGGUGAUGUGCAUCUUUCCUACAUUCAUUCAGAAGCAGUUGCACGAUGACGUCUGUCAGGAGUCAUGGCUAUGUUUCAGAGGAUAAACCAAGAUGAUAAUAUGAAAAUGUCCUUCAUGUAAUCUUAACUCUCAAUUGAUGCCGGGGUCUACUGGAUCAUGGACAGUCUUUGAAUAACAUUAUCCCCAGUAUGAUCUGAAUGUGCUCCUUCAUUGAUUAUCUUUCUUUGAACACUCAUGUUCUCAGUUUACCGAUUCAUUAUUUAAUCAUCUUUAUUUGCUCCCGGUUGAUCUGAAUACUGUUUGUUUUUCCUUUUCAGAAUCCACUAUAUUGCCCCCAAUGCCCUUUGCAGUUAUGAUAAAGGACCUGGCAUUUAAGUAGCUUUUUGGUGUGUUCUAAGCUCAUCUUAGAUAAUUGUGUCAUAGCUUGUGAUAUUUACCUCUCUCUUACUCGUGUCGAGCAUAACCUCAAUGCCCUUUGCAGUUAUGAUAAAGGAGCUCACUUGUUCUUACCAUCCUAUGUCAUGAGGAUACAUGGUGCUAAACAGCAACGUGAAGCAGUUAAGAGGGCACCUAGGAAGCAGCUACAACCAGUUUUUGAGGUCUGUACAUAUUAGAUGCAUUGCAUGGUUACUGAUGCGUAUUUUAUUGUUUGAACUAAAUCAUCUUUUGGUACUAACAUGUGAUGUUCUUUGAACACAAUCUUAUACUGAUUAUUGUGUAUACCUUCACAUGCUAUCACAUGUGUAGAUUUUACCAGCUUAGCUUCUGGUUUAACAAGGAUUCUCUUUUGUUUGAAUUAAUUUUCCAGGCCCUGGAUACACUAGGGAAUACCAAAUAGAGGGUAAAUAAGAGGAUACUUGGUGAUAGAAUAUGGAGUAAUGGAGGCUGUCUUGCUGAUUUGGUAGACCACAGUGAUGUGAGUAUCUUUUCUAACUUUCCUCAAUGUAACUCUUUUACCUUUGUGUUCCAAGAAUUGAUCAUGAUGACUAUAGCAAUUAAAAAACCUUUCUCGUUUAAUUUCUUCAUUCAGGUUCCUUUACAUGAGAGGCCAGAAACAGAGUUUUUCAAUUUUCCUUCUUUUGAAAAUGAUUUGUAAAUAAGCUGAAUGUUUUUCUCUUCCCCUAUAUUUAGCUGCUUCUCCCACUACAUACCCUCCCCCUAUGUCAUGUUCUUUUUGUGGUUGGAUUGCUCCAAGUUCACUCAUUAUUUUUAAAUUCAAUAAAAAAAGACAGAAAAUAUAUCACAAUAUAAUUUAUGUUUUGAAUUCUAUAAUUUUCUUUUAUCUUUUUAGUUAAAUAUAUUUUUAUCUUUUUUAUAUUCAAAAUACUAAACAAACACAACAUGCAUGUAAAUAUGAAUACACAAUAUCCAUACCCUAACAAAAAUAUUAAUUUAGUAAUAGUUUUUUUUUAUAAGCCUAACAAAUUGUCGCUUUGGUAGGCAUGCUUUGAAAUAGAAUAUGAAUUUGGGAAGGUAUUUUUUUUUAAUUAAUUGAUAAACUUCUAUAUUUUUCUCUUAGAUGCGCCAACAAUUUUUAUUAUUUAUAUUUACAACUAUAUUAACACAUAAAUACAUAUACAUCAAUAUAUAUAAUCAAUAUCAAUAUUUACACCAAAAUUGAACUUGCUUAGUUUAUAAAUAGCAAUGCGCCAAGCCCAAACGUAUUGAGUCUGGUGUUAGCCAAAUCUAGACGCGGUGGUUCUAGCAUUAGCUAGACCCAAAAAAUGAUUAGGUCUAGCCACUGUCAGACCCAAAUCUUGAUAGGUCUAGCGCUAGUUAGACCUAGCCAUGAUUAAGCUUGGUAGUGUGUCAAGCCGACGCGUGUUGGACAUCCAUCAAGUCUUUUCAAGCAAUAGAAGUUCAGAAAAACAAAAGAGAUGAGAGUUAAAAAAAAAAAAACAUGUGAGAAAGCAUGCGAUAAAAACAAAAAAAUACUAUUAGAAUUCACAGUAAAAUAAAAAAAAUACUAGUCAGUUUUUCUAUUGAUGUAGAAUAGGAAAGAAGACGAGGGAGAGAAUAGAUGACGGAGGAAAAUUGUGUUGAAGAAUGUGGGGAGGAGAGCAGUAGGAGUUGAUAUUCAGAUUUUAAAUGUCGAUUGUCAAAAGCCUUUCUAAAACAUAAUAUAUAUGCGUUCUCUUCUUAUGAGGUUUGAUAAUUGGUAAGAGUGUCCUAUAAAAUAAUUCCUAAUAAAUGCUAAAAAGUCAUAAUAAAACUCUUAAUUAAUACUAAAAAUCUUGUUAGUGUAAAUGAAGGAAAAUAGAUUUGGGUAAUAUUAUUUAUAUAUUAAUAAAGUAAUAUAAGAAAAAAAGAUAAAAAGUUAUAUCCUGACAAUAACCGUUAUAAUUAUUCACCACUCUUCAGCCUUGUAAUUAUGUCUGUUAUACAGUAUUAAUAGACAAGUAAGAAAAAAGAAUAUUGAAAAGAAAAGAAUGUAGAACAAAAUAGACUCUCAAAGAAAAUUCUCGGCCAAUGAUCCCAUUAAAAUUGUUUCUGCAAAUAAGGUAUACUUAGAUAGUACAAGAAAAUGAUGAUUAUUUAUUAUUUAAUGUGAUUGUGCUUAACUAGUAAUACUGAUCAAAAGAGUAUAAUUUGAAUGAAAAAGAACUCAAGGGAUGCACAAAUGUGCAGGAUUGUUAUCCGCUUUACAACCUUACAUGUUUCAGUAUAAUAAGCGUUAGGGAUAUUCAAGGAAACUGAAAAAUUGAUUAAACCAAAAACAAAGCAAUCCAAAAAAUCAAAUUAAGAAGAAAAACUCAAUAAACUAAUUAGAAAAUAAAAAUACUUUCCAUCCAGUUUAGUUUCAAUUUUAAAAUUUUAAAACCAAUUGAAUCAGAUCAAGUCGUAGACUAGUCAUUAUUAUUAUAUUCCCAUUAUUAUUUCCUAUUUUAUAGAUUUUUCUACAUUGAAGCUUUUGAAAAGAAAUAUUAACAUUGAUCAUUCAUGCAUGCACUUUUGACCAAAUUUUUCUCUUGCUUUUUUAUGUUGUUCCACUGAGAUGACUUUUUUUUUUGUUUUUUUUUGUGAAUUGAAAUUAUAUUAGAUGUUUGUAAUUGUUUCAUCUCAUUUAUAUUUAUUUUUUUAUUUUUGAAAAGUAAACUUCCUUUAAUUAAAUUUUUCUUUUUUUUGCUAUUUUUUUUUGUAGGGUUUACUCUUUUUUCUUCUUUGAUUAUUCUUAUUGUAAUAUCAAAUUAUCCCUUUGUUUUUUGCAGGUCUUAUCAAGCUGUUUGGUUUUUUUAUUUUGAAUAAAUCGAACUGAACUGAUUUAAUUUAAAUUGAUUUUUAAUUCAUUCCGGAUCGGAUAAUAAACACCCCUAAUAACCAUCAAAUCAUUUUCUCACGAAAUGGAACCGGAGAAUAAACAAUUAAACACCCCUAAUAAUCAUCUUGGCUUCCAGCUAUCUCCAAAUUGCAAUCACAUCAGGCACAUGUCGUUGCAUUCGCAUUCACCCCCUGACUAUGAACAGGAACCCCAAUUAAGUGAAAUGGUCCACAGCGUUUUCGGUCAACCAAGUCGGCUACCACUUGCAGCACAAUUAAUCAAAAAACGAUGUGAAUUAUGAUUUGAUGUCGAACCAGGUGGACUAUCAGCUGCAGCCACAAUUAUUUGAUGCAUAGCAAAAUAAUUAUUCAGAAUCACAGUACCUUGGCAGUCCUUUCCAGCCAACUUGAUGUGUUGUGUGGUAAUCCGAUGAAAAUCAAGAUCCCAAAGAGGGUGAUGCCGCUGAUGUAGUAGUUGCAGUGCCGAGGACUUUUAUGUAUAUAUAAUUAUGUAUACUGUGUUUUUUAUUUUUAUUUUACUCGGUCUCAUAAUUAAAUUUUUGUUGCAUAAUUUUUAAUUAAUAAACAUGUAAUUAUAAAUGAAGGAAAGAAAAAAUUGGAUGGACUUGUUUGUUUCAAUUUUAUUUUUUUGGUUUUAUCUUUUUUAUUUGUUUUUUAAAGCCUUUUUUAAGUCUUAAUCAAUUCUUUAUUUUUUAUUAUUUUUUGAGGUAUAAAAGUAUUUUCCAAAGAAUAUUUUAAAGUUAUUGGGCAAAUAACAUUGUUAGCCACGGAGAGAUCAAUGGUAUAAUGAUUGGACUCAAAAACUUUCAAAGACAAAAUCAAUAGUAUACUAUACGAUCCCUCAAACUCAUUAACCCCUCACAACUACCUCAAAAUUGCAAUCACAUCAGGCACAUGGCGUUGCAUUCGCAUUCAUCCCCUGACUAUGAAAUGGAUUUCCUGGAAAUUGAUCUCCUUGGUCUGCAGGAACCCUAAUUAAAUGAAAUGGAUUUCCUGGAAAUUGAUCUCCUUGGUCCACAGCCUAUUUUCUCCGAGACCGUCCAACCUGUUGAAAACUUGCAGUUUGGUGGUGGGUGUUUAGUAACAAAUCAAAGUGGGGUCCAUUAAAAAAAUUAAGUUUGAAAGAUAAUUUUUUUUAACAGUUUUUACAUGUUUUUUAACCGAGUUUCGUAAAAAUUUCUAAAACCUGUUUGUUUUUUCAUUUCAAAAACGCUUUUGAAAAAAGUUUAUUUUUAUUUUUAUUUUUUUCUUUGCUUCAAAUUAAUAUUUUUUUGUGUUUUCAAAUCAUUUUGAUGCGCUGAUAUUAAAAAUAAUUUUUAAAAAUUAAAAAACAUUAUUUCAAUUAAUUUUCAAGUAAAAAACACUUUGAAAAACAACCGCAACCACACUCUCAAACAAAACUACCAAACAUUUUAUAGAUGUUUUUUACUAUACAUAAACUUCAACUAUAAUUUUUACUAAAAUAUAUCUAAAUCCAACUAAACAUAACUAACCAUAUUUUUUUAAAUCUUAUUUUUUUCAAAUCAUGAUUAUAAAAGCUGUCUAAAAAAUAAACACGCUCUCAAGUCAGUUGGACCAGUUGUAUGAUGAGACCAUGUUUCUGUGCGACAAUAUGGCUUUUUAUUUUUUUAUGUGAAUAAAAAGAACAAAACCCUCAAAUAUCAAAUCUUUAUAUGUUUGAAUAUCUAAAAAGAUGAAAAAGCAAAAAUUUUCAAACUUUUUUCCUCUAUUUUUUUAAAAAAGGGGAAAAAAAGCAAUAUAGGUCAUGGAUUUCUUUUUUUACAUGGAGAGUAGUUAGAUCUCAUUAAAGCAAAUAAUUCAUCAAUCAUAAUCAAUACUCAAAACAAAGCAUGCAAGUACACCAUGAAUACUGUUGAUGGUAAAAAAUUAAAAAUGAUGUGUAAAUUGAGAUGGAGAGCUAAAUAUAUAAAAAUACAAAAAAAAACGAAUGCUAAAGUCAAAUUAUGAACAUCUAAAAGGCAUCUUGUGUGCGACUAUUUUCAUGUCACUAUGCACGACAGAAAAAAGAGAGGAUGCUAUAUUCAUACAUCAAUCAAAGAAUGUGUGGAUCCAAGGAGAACAAUGAACAUCCAGAAGGAGUCUGAAAGUGAUGAAUUAAGAUUUUAUUUGUAUAUUUUUAUAAAAAUUCAAGAAAGAUUUAUAAGUUUAAAUUUCCAGAAAUAUAAGCAUGCACCAAUGAAAAUAUGUUAGGUCUGACGCUAGUCAAAUCUAGACACAUUAGGCUUGGUAGUGUACCAAGUCCCGGACAUGCUAAGUCUAGUAGUUUGAAAUGACUUUUUUUUUUGGACACGCUCAAGAUAAUGAUCAUCCUUUCUUGAGUCUAAUCUAUGAAAAUAGCUCAUUCUCUAUGAGCAUUAGCUAUAAAAGUCAUUCAAAGACCUAUUAUAUUUCAUUAAAUAUUAAUAUAGAUGUAAGAAAUAUUUAUCUAUCAUUAAAUGUUAGAUAGAUCUCUUCAUAAAAAAACAAGAUUUAUAGGUUAUAAAUACACAAUGAAACUUUUAGAAUAGAAGUUCAUAAUCUUUAUUUUUUACUGCAUAUAUAAUUUCAAAGCAUCUCUCUAAAAUAUUAUUAUAUUUUAAAAAAAAAAGAUAUUUAUUUAAGUAUGGAUUUCAUUAUAAAUCAAAGGUAUUAAUAUGAUUUUUAUUAUGGAAAGAAAAAAGCAAAAAACUAUUUGCUAUUAUUUUUAAUUUUAACAAUUCUAAUUAAUAGAAUAGCUAUUUGAAUAGCUAAAAUACAUUUCUUCUACUAAAAUACUAUUUUUACAUACAAAAGCCAACGUCUCUUUAUCUAUGGUUAGCUUUUGUUUUUCUCUUUAAAGACACAACAAGAAGAAGAAAAGAAGCUUGCAAACCUAAAAAUUUUAACAUUAUUAUAUAAAACUGAAAACUGAAAAUAUUAAUAUAAAUAAAUUUUGAUUUUGAAAGUGUAAAAUUUAAACCUUAAAUUAUAUCUUUGAAUUUUCAUAUUACUUCAUUAAUUUUAUAAAUUUCUCAUAUUAAUUAUAUAAAAAAUAACAUGAUUAUAUUAUAUAAAAAAUAAUUAAACUAGUUAUAUAAUUAUAUUAAAAUUAGUUUAAUAUAAAAUAUAUUAAAAUAUAAUUAGCUUUUUCUAAAUGGUUUUUUACCAUUGGAAUGCACAUAAAUAAAUAAAAUUAUAUUUAUAUUAUUUAAAAAACUAUUUUAUCAAUUUAAUUUCAACUUUUAAAAAUAGCAUGUUUUAUAGGAGUUGCUCGUGUGCAGAAUUAUACAAGGGAGAGAGGAAGGAAACAAUGGGAAAGAGACAAAAGAAGUCCAAACAUAAUAUAACCCCUGCUCUUGACAGGAAGGUGCCUCUGCUGCCCAGUGCGCGUUCGAUAUCCCUAUAAUUUCUGGUUUGGGAAAGUGGUUUUAGACCCGUUUGGAAAUUUGAUUUUUUUUAUAAUUAUUUUAUAUAUAUAUUUUUAAUUUGUUUUGAUGUAUGUAUAUUAAAAUUAUUUAAAAAAUAAUAAUAAAUAAAAUUAUUUUUAUAUAUUUCUAAAAAAAAUUACUUUUAAAAAAUAAUUACUACUAUAUUUUUAAGCAUCAUGGUAUAAGAUUUGAGAUGAGAUAUUAGUAAUGGUAGAAGAAUUGGUGUUUGAGAUUGGGAAAAAUCAAAGUUGGACUGUUUGUCAUAAAAAUAUUAAAGUUGGAGAUUCUAAACUCAAUUUAAUAUGAAUUUUUUUACUUUGUUUUUCGUUAAUUAGUUCCAGUUAAUAGGUUGGUGGCUAAGUUUAUUUUUUAAAAAAAUCAAUGGGAAUUUAUAAUAUUUAAUAUAAGAGUUUCAUAGUUAAUAGUUUGAAAAUUCAUUAAAAAAUACUUUUCAAUUGUGAUGUGUGGGGCCAAUCCCUGCUCUUGACAGGAGGUGCCUCUGCUGCCCAAUGCGCGUUCGAUAUCCCUUUCAUUUCUCUUUUCACUUUUUUCUCCACCGAAACUCCAUCUUCUUUACAGUGUAAGAAAAGGAUCCGUAAGGAAACUUACCAGUACGAGUGAGUUCUUGACCUAAAGGAACCGGAAACAAUUCGAAGUCAUUGGAAUAAAAAGAAAAGGAAAGGGCUUUCGAAGUUGGUUACUAAGAUACCAGAAGAAUAAACAUUAUUAUUAUUAUUAUUAUUAGAAUUAAUAAAGAAAUAAAAGACCAUGAUGUUUUACUAUAGAUAGAUCGAAGCCUAGAUCAUAUAUUUUUUUUCAAAACAUUGAUUUCAAUUUAAGACCGAUUAAAUUGGAUUGUACUAGAUUUUGAAGUUAGAAGUAGGUCUCCGGAAGAUAUUAGGACGAGUUUGAGGAUUUGUUUUUACUGGAAAUGAAGAAAAAAGGUGUUAGGAUGCACAUGGAUAAUAUUGGUGGCCCUUGAUUUCCUGACUAUCGAAGCAUCCUCGAGAAAACAUAUAUAGCACCACAUGUUCUUCCAAUAAAUAACGUGUUUUUUUUUUUUUUAGAUUAAUGUGAAUAAUUGGAUCAGCUUACGUGUACCUCGACUAAUCCUAUAGGCCAUGAAGUUAACGACCAUGUAAGCCUCCAGUGGCCAUCAUAUGAGCAACCACAAGGCUCGAACCUGAGACCACAGAAAAAGUAAAUCCCUUAGUCCCAAGUUCUUACCACUGGACCACCACCUAGAUAGUUCUAAAUAUUCUUUGUUACUUCUUGUUGUGGAUAUCGGAUUAAAAGUUAUUUUUCAAUAGAAAAAAAAAAGAUGUGAGCACUGUCAACUUUUUUUAAGUUGAAGAAAUUUUUUAUUUUGCAAAAAAAAUGCAUGUUUUUAAUCAAAGCAAUCAGAAUUAUAUACAAUAAAAAAAUGUUAAAAUGCAAAUCAAAGAAUAAAUCUAGAAACUAGGUGAUAAAUACGGUUCAAAAUAUAUGAUUUCAUGUAGCCAAAAAAAUAUUAACAAUUUAAGUUCUAUCAACAUAAAAUAAUUCCUUAGUCCUUUUUUUAUUAUUUAUUGUCAAUAAAAAAUAUGUUUGUGUUUGAUAUUAUGUUUUUAUCUUGCGUUUGAAUACAUUUUAAAAAUAUGUUUGUCUUGUAAAAAUAUCAAAUUAAUAUUUUUUAAGUAUUUUUUAAUGUGUUUAUAUAAAAAAAUUUUAAAAAAAUUUAUACCGCAAUAUUAAACGCACACUAAAUAUCUAAUAGACUCCAAAGGUUCGAAAUAACCAUAAAAAAACAUAUUCAUAAUUAAAUCCUCUUUAUACUAUUAUUGUGAUUUUUUAAAUUUUAUUUAUUUAUUUAUUUAUCAGAAUAUUUAUUUUUUGAAGAAAAAAAAUUACGAGAGUCAUAAAAAAAUUAAUUAAAAAAAUAAUUAAUGGUUUUAUAAUUAUGCCAUGAAUGUAUAUUUUUUAUGUAAUCAUGCAGUAAUAAAAAAGUUGUGCGGAAAGCCAAAAAUCAAAAUUUAUUAUAGAGCCAACGGAAAUAAAGGUCGCGAAGAGGGUGAUGCCGCUGAUGGUUGGUUCUCUUCCUCCUUGUGAGCUUUUGUGGACACGUUCGGCCUCGGACAUUAAAGUUGAGGCAGGUAAUUGAUGGUACUGCAAUUGUGAGGAACGUGCGGUAGAAGAAAUAUUGGAUUAUCUCUUGGAGUCUUCGUCUAUGGUAUGUUAACUAUGGGUAGAAAGUGUCGGGAGAUGAGUGGCUGGGAUUCAUUAAUGAAUAGCGGCGUUACGAAUUUUCAUUAUUGGACGGAAAACCAUUUUUAUGAGUUUGCAUUUCAGGGUGUAGGCUGACGAAAAGCAUGGUUGAAUAGUAGCUAUGGGGUGGCAGCCCGCAUGACAGUAACUAUUUGAAUAUCUAAAAUACAUUUUCUUCUACUAAAAUAUUAAUUUUACAUAUUUACAUAUAAAAGCCAAAAACAAGGAGAAAAUAUAUACAGAACAAGCCUUUAGCCAACUUCUCUUUUAUCUGUGGUUGGCUUUUGUUUCUCUCCUUAAAAACAGAACAAGAAGAAAAAAAAGCUUGCAAACCUCAAAACCUAAAAUUUUUAACAUUAUUAUACAAAAUUGAAAAUUAAAAAUAUUAAUAUAAAUAAUUUUGAUUUUAAAAGUUUAAAGUUUAAAAUUUAAACUUUAAAUUAUAUCUUUAAACUUUCAUAUUACUUCAUUAAUUUUAUAAAUUACUUAUAUUAAUUGUAUAAUUAAUAACAUGAUUAUAUUAUAUAAAAAAUAAUUAAACUAGUUAUAUAAUUAUAUUAAAAUAUAAUUAGCAAUUUUAAAUAGCUUUUUACUAUUGAAAUUGCACAUAAAAAAAGCUAUAUUUACAUCCAUUUUUUCAAUUUAAUUUUUAACUUUUAAAAAUAGCAUGUCUUAUUGAAGUUGCCCUUAUGCAGAAUUACAAGGGAGAGGAAGACAAAAGAAGUCCAAAAAUAUUUAAUUUUUAAACAUAGAUGCUUGACUUGAGAAUUCAUUACAAAACAUGAAUCAACUCAAUUGUGAUGUGUGUGGCCCAACCCCUGCUCUACUGCCCAAUGCGCGUUCGAUAUCCCUUUCAUUUCUUUCUCUACUUUUUCUCCACCGGAAGUCCAUCUUCUUUACAGUGUAAGAUCCGUAAGAAAAUCAUUGGAAACUUACCAAUACGAGUUCUUGACCUAAAGGAACCGGAAAAAAAUCGAAGUCAUUGGAAUAAAAAGAAAGUAGUGAGGGCUUUGGAAGUAUGUUACUAAGAUACCAGAAGAAGAAAAAAUAUUGAGCCUGGCUGGAUCUUGUGCCUCUUUAGCCAACACUGACCACACUGUUUGUUUCGUCUAGAUUCGUGUAAUACUUGUAGAAAUUUGGUGUUUUCUGAUUUAUAAGUAGAAUUGUACAUGUUCCAGCUUGAAAUUGCUAUUUGGUAGAUUUAAUUGCCAUAUUUCUUGAUCUUACCUUCUGUUUCGUGUUUGAUCACAAGAGCAGGCCUUACACAAAAUAGCGUGGAAAGCAAUUUCUGAACCAAGCUAGCUAGUUGAGCCUAGAAGGAUCGGUACUAAUUUAUCGCUAUAGGGAUUUUCAUGGCUUCCACCAGCGUGCAAGGAAUAACCUCAUCUUCAUCUUCUCCUCCUCCACUAUAUAUGCAUGAUGUGUUCCUUAGUUUUAGAGGCAAAGAAACCCGGAACAACUUUAGUAGUCAUCUAUAUUCUAAUUUGAAACAGAGAGGCAUCGAUGUAUACAUGGAUGAUAGGGAGCUCGAGAGAGGAAAGGCCAUCGAACCUGCUCUCUGGAAGGCCAUCGAAGAAUCAAGGAUUUCAGUCGUUAUAUUUUCAAGAGAUUACGCUUCUUCACCAUGGUGCCUGGAUGAACUUGUCAAGAUUGUUCAGUGCAUGAAAGAGAUGGGGCACACAGUUCUGCCAGUUUUUUAUGAUGUGGAUCCCUCAGAUGUAGCCGAGCGGAAACGGAAAUAUGAGAAAGCCUUCGUUGAGCAUGAACAAAAUUUCAAGGAAAAUAUGGAGAAGGUCCGGAACUGGAAAGAUUGUCUCUCUACAGUGGCCAAUCUAUCAGGCUGGGACGUGCGGCAUAGGUAAAUCAUCCAUCCACUUUUAUUCACAAAUCCACCCUUUAUUGUUUCAAUGAUGAACAUAGCUUCUUUCUUUUAAUGUUUUUCAAUUGAAACAUGUGAUUAAACAUCAAAAUAAUCACAAUUAAACAAGUAUAUCACUACUAAUUCUUGAAUAAAUAAUUGUUAGUAUAUAUUUUUGAUCCAUUAAAUAGCUAUUCCUAGCUUUUGUUCUUGUGUGCAUGCUUCUUUAGUAACCGUGUGAUUCUAUAGGCAAUAAGAUAGCUAUUGUAAGGAUCAUUCUUAGCAUCAAUACAAUCCUAGUUCCGUUUGCAGUUUAUUCUUUCCUUUUCCUCUCUGUUCUUGAAGCUAUAUAUUGUCAAGCCCUAUCUUUCUCAAAGAUUGAUUUAUUAAUUUCCGGCUAACAGCCAUACAUUUUCGAGCUAAUAUUUAUUUUCCCAUUAUCACUAUCUGAUUUGAUUUGCACACAGCAUGAUUAAUGUUUUCCACCACCAUAUGCAGGAAUGAGUCGGAAUCAAUUAGAAUAAUUGCUGAAUACAUAUCGUACAAACUAAGUGUCACUCUGCCAACAAUUAGCAAAAAAUUAGUUGGAAUAGAUUCUCGUCUAGAGGUAUUAAAUGGCUAUAUAGGUGAAGAAGUAGGCAAAGAAAUCUUUAUAGGGAUCUGUGGAAUGGGUGGCAUAGGUAAGACGACUGUUGCAAGGGUACUAUAUGAUAGGAUUCGUUGGCAAUUUGAAGGCAGCUGCUUCUUAGAAAAUAUCAGAGAGAUUUUGCUAAGAAAGAUGGACCACGUCGUUUGCAGGAGCAACUUCUUUCUGAAAUCUUAAUGGACGUGCUUCUGUAUGGGAUUCUUAUAGAGGGAUUGAGAUGAUAAAGAGGAGGUUACGACUUAAAAAGAUUCUUCUUCUCCUUGAUGAUGUAGAUGACAAAGAACAACUAAAAUUCUUGGCUGAGGAGCCUGGAUGGUUUGGUCCAGGGAGCAGAAUUAUCAUAACAAGCAGAGAUAAACAAGUGUUGACUAGAAAUGGUGUUGAUAGAAUUUAUGAGGCUGAGAAAUUGAAUGAUGAUGAUGCUCUUACGUUGUUUAGCCAGAAAGCUUUCAAAAAUGACCAACCUGCUGAAGAUUUCGUGGAACUAUCCAAGCAAGUUGUGGGUUAUGCUAAUGGCCUUCCACUGGCUCUUGAAGUUAUAGGUUCGUUUAUGCAUGGAAGAAGUAUCCUUGAAUGGAGAAGUGCGAUUAAUAGAAUAUAUGAUAUUCUUGACCGUGAAAUUAUUGAUGUGCUUCGCAUUAGUUUUGAUGGCCUCCAUGAAUUAGAGAAGAAAAUAUUUUUAGACAUUGCCUGUUUCCUUAAGGGGUUUAAAAAAGAUCGAAUAAUAAGGAUACUUGACAGCUGUGGAUUCCAUGCACAUAUUGGAACACAAGUUCUUAUUGAGAAAUCUCUCAUAAGUGUCUCUCGGGAUCGAGUCUGGAUGCAUAAUUUAUUACAGAUAAUGGGUAAGGAAAUUGUUCGUUGUGAGGACCCUAAAGAGCCUGGAAAGCGCAGUAGAUUGUGGACAUACAAGGAUGUCUUCCUUGCACUGAUGGACAACACAGUGAGUAGCUGAUAAAGAACAUUAUCCAUAAGAUUUCAUAACUUUUAUUUUAAUUUACGCUCAAUCUCUACUUUGUAUUUGUUUUUAACUUGUAUUCCCUUUUGGUUGACAGGGAAAAGAAAAAAUAGAAGCCAUUUUCUUAGACAUGCCUGGAAUAAAAGAGGCACAAUGGAACAUGAAAGCCUUCUCUAAAAUGAGUAGACUAAGAUUGCUCAAAAUCGACAACGUGCAGCUUUCUGAAGGACCUGAAGAUCUUUCCAAUGAGUUACGAUUUAUUGAAUGGCAUUCUUACCCUUCAAAAUCAUUGCCAUCUGGUUUACAGGUGGAUGAGCUAGUUGAACUUCACAUGGCUAACAGUAGUCUUGAGCAAUUAUGGUGUGGGUGUAAGGUGAGAUCACCUAAUUUAAGGGCCUUUGUAUUUCUUUUUAUCGUUUUCCUAUAUAUGAUUGAUAGAAGUAUCCAUAUUUCUUCUCCCCUACCUGAUUGCAGAGUGCAGUUAAUUUGAAAAUCAUCAAUCUCAGCAACUCACUAUACCUGACCAAGACUCCAGAUCUUACUGGAAUUCCAAAUCUCGAGAGUCUGAUUCUUGAAGGUUGUACAAGUUUGUCUGAGGUCCAUCCAUCACUUGCACAUCACAAGAAGCUUCAAUAUGUGAAUCUUGUGAACUGCAAAAGUAUUAGGAUUCUCCCAAACAAUCUAGAAAUGGAAUCACUUAAUGUUUUCACGCUUGAUGGCUGCUCAAAACUUGAGAAGUUUCCAGAUAUAGUAGGAAACAUGAACGAAUUGAUGGUGCUUCGUUUGGAUGAGACUGGUAUUACAAAACUAUCUUCAUCGAUUCAUCAUUUGAUUGGCUUAGGUCUAUUGAGCAUGAACAGCUGCAAGAACCUUGAAAGCAUUCCAAGUAGCAUAGGUUGUUUGAAAUCCCUUAAAAAACUUGAUCUGUCUGGCUGCUCUGAACUUAAAUAUAUACCAGAGAAGUUGGGGGAAGUUGAAAGUUUGGAUGAGUUUGAUGCAAGUGGAACUUCAAUAAGACAACUGCCAGCAUCCAUUUUUAUUUUAAAGAAUCUUAAAGUAUUAUCUUUGGAUGGAUGUAAGAGAAUAGUUGUGCUGCCUUCUUUGUCUGGUCUGUGUUCUUUAGAAGUACUGGGUUUACGGGCUUGCAAUCUAAGAGAAGGGGCACUUCCUGAAGAUAUUGGCUGCUUAUCUUCAUUGAAGUCUUUAGAUCUGAGCCAGAAUAACUUUGUUAGCCUGCCUAAAAGCAUAAAUCAGCUUUUUGAACUGGAAAUGCUUGUCUUGGAGGAUUGCACGAUGCUUGAAUCAUUGCCUGAGGUUCCAUCUAAAGUUCAAACGGUAUAUUUGAAUGGUUGUAUAAGCCUAAAAACAAUUCCAGAUCCGAUAAAGCUAAGCAGUUCCAAAAGCUCAGAGUUCAUAUGUCUUAACUGCUGGAAAUUGUAAAAUCAUAAUGGCCAAGACAACAUGGGGUUGACCUUGCUUGAAAGAUACCUCAAGGUCUUCUCUUAAUCAAACCCCAACUUUUUUUUAUCUCCCUCUCCCUCAAUCUAUCUAACAUUUUGGUUUUUCAUGGUACAGGGUUUGUCUAAUCCAAGACCUGGAUUUAGUAUCGCUGUUCCAGGAAAUGAAAUUCUUGGCUGGUUUAACCAUCAAAGUGAGGGAUCUUCAAUUAGUGUGCAAGUGCCUAGUUGGAGCAUGGGGUUUGUUGCGUGUGUUGCAUUCAGUGCAAAUGGUGAAAGUCCUUCUCUUUUUUGUCAUUUAAAAGCCAAUGGAAGAGAGAAUUAUCCUUUGUUGAUGUCUAUUAGUUGUAACUCUAUCCAACUUCUGUCAGAUCAUCUUUGGCUAUUCUAUCUAUCUUUUGAUUACCUUAAAGAGCUUAAAGAAUGGAAGCAUGCAUCCUUUAGCAACAUUGAGUUGUCAUUUCAUUCUUAUGAGCCAGGAGUAAAGGUAAAGAAUUGUGGUGUCUGUUUGCUAUCUUCUGUAUAUAUUACAUCACAACCAUCUGUCCAUUUUAUUGUUACAAGCAAAAAAGCAGCUUCUUCAUAUAAAGCUUCUUUAGCUUCUUCUUCAUCUUACCAUCAAUGGAAAGCCAAUGUUUUCCCUGGCAUCAGAGUCGCAGACACUGGUGAUGCUUUCACCUAUUUAAAGUCAGAUCUAGCCCAGAGAUUUAUUAUCCCAUUCGAGAUGGAACCAGAGAAAGUAAUGGCAAUUAGAUCAAGACUCUUUGAGGCCAUUGAAGAAUCAGAGCUCUCAAUUAUUAUAUUUGCCAAGGAUUGUGCUUAUUUACCUUGGUGCUUUGAAGAACUUGUCAAGAUUGUCGGAUUCAUGGAUGAGAUGAGAUCGGACACUGUGUUUCCAGUUUCUUAUGAUGUCAAACAAUCAAAGAUAGAUGAUCAAACAGAGAGUUACAUAAUUGUCUUUGAUAAGAACGUCGAAAAUUUCAGGGAAAACGAGGAGAAGGUGCCAAGGUGGAUGAAUAUUCUCAGUGAAGUUGAGAUUUCAACUGGAUCGAGAAGGUAAUAAAUCUGUGCUCUUUAUAACAUCGGUUCCAUGUAUAGUUUGACUAUGCGGUGGGGAUGGGAAAAAUAAUGUUUAGUUCAACCAAAAAGCAUUAAUAGUCCUUUUUAUCUAAUCUAUUUUUUUGUGACAAUUUUACCUGAACCAAAGAUACCUGCUUUACCAAAUCUGAAUAUGGAUAUAAAUUAUUUUUAUUCAUUUGGGUUUGGAGGGAUUAAUAAUUUUAAAGUUUGAAAAAGUUCCCAUUAUGCCACAACACUUCUGACUUCUCCUUCUCACUCUUAGCGGCAUGGGAGCUCCAGCAACGCAGCAGCAGCAGCAGAUCCAGCGGAUCCAGCAGCAGAUCCAGCUCCAGCUCCAGCUCCAUCUCCACCAGCAGCAGCGGAUCCAGCUGCUCAAGUGGAAGUGGCAGCCCCAGCUGCUCGAGCCCCCGCUGCCCCAGCUGCUCGAGCCCCCGCUGCCCCAGCUGCUCCAGCGGCUGUGGCGGCAGCUCCAGCAGCAGCUCCAGCAGCGGAUCCAUUGGAUCCAUUGGAUCCAGGACUGCGACAACUUGCGUGAGCAGCAGGUGCGUGAGCAGCAGCUUGAGCAGCUGUCUGAGCAGCAGCUGCUUGAGCAGCAGCUUGAGCAGCUGUCUGAGCAGCAGCUUGAGCAGCUGCAUGGGUUUUCGGGAAGAAUCUAACUUGGUUUAGCUUGAAGAUCUUCGUCAGUUUUCCAUGGAUCUAAUUUCUUAUUAGCUCUUGAUUUCUUUCCUUGUUAAUUACCAUCAAAGUACAGUGAGCAGUGAUUGCAAGACAUCCUGUGAUCUUCCUUCUUGUUUGCAUGUUCAUCAAAGUAGCCAACACGAGGGAAAAAACAUGGCAAGGAUUUUCAUCAUGCUAGGACGGGUCCUUGUUUUUGCUCAUGGUUUUGGUUUGGGGUAAUAAGACUCACAUUUUGCAAUCUAGGCUAUCGGUAUAUUUUUAUUUUGGCGUCUCGGUGUUUCUGUGACCGUAGAUUCCAAGAGGUUUUUCCAGCUACUAAUUCUAUAAAUCUAAUGAAAACAGAAAUGAGAAACUCGUCAGUUUUUCUAUUGAUGUAGAACGAGGAAGAAGACGAGGGAGAGAAUAGAUGAAGAAUAGAAAGGUGACGUAUAAAGGAAUGUGGGGGGUGGGGGGGGGGGGGGGCGUGCAGAUUUUAAAUGGAUAUGGGUAAUAUUAUUUAUAUUAAUAAAGUAAUAUAAAAAAAAAAAGAGGAUAAAGAGUUACAUCCUACUAAUAAAAAUCAAAUAUCAUUAACUCUUCAUUCUUAUAAAUAAAUAUGUCUGUUAUACAAUAAUAAACAGUAAGAAAAAAUAUUGAAAAGAAAAAAAUAUAGAACAAAAUAGAGGAGAAUGGAUUCUCAAAAAAAAAAAAUCUAAUUUAAUUUUCAGAAGAAUUGUUAAAUAAAGUAGGCUUACUGAGUAAUGUGAUGUGAUAGUAAUUAUUUUUUAAUUUAAAAAUAUUUUUAAAAUGUAAAACAAUAGUAUUAAUUAAUUGUCAAAUUAUGUGCAAACAUUAUAUAUAUUGUCAAAUAUAUAUAUAUAUAUAUAUAUAUAUAUAUUAUUGCUUAUGUGUAUUUAUUGUUGUGCAAUUCUUUUCUCCUCUGUCUGUCUUGUUGAAACAAACUAGAAAGAAAAAUAAUGUGCCAGUUAGAAAUUGAGGGUUGAACACCAACUUGGUGAGAUUGUCUGAAACUUAAAAAGUAAAAAUGUAAUGGCUGGGAGUCGAACUUGGGUAGGCCAAAUACGCAAGAUUUAAGUCUCAUUCACCGCUGGGCCGUUGCUUGAGUUUUGUCACGCAUACAAUAUAAAUAAUAAUCAAACCUAAGACCUUAAGAAGGAACUACUGCAUUUAGUUGUGUUGUGGAUGUAUACAUUAAUAAUAUAUAUAUUUAGAAACAAAGGGUAUAAUUCUGCGUUGGUGAUUUAUAUUAAUGAUGUGGACUAAUUUUUGUGCAUUUUAUUUCCAUGUGCAAUUCUAAAUUAAUGAUAUGUGCAUUGAUUAGUUAUGAUAAAUUAAUUUAUAUAUGUUAUGACUACAAAUUUAUUAUUCACAUAUGUUUAUAUAUAUAUAUAUGUAUACAUGUUUUCCAAACACAGUGUAAUUCCAUGUUUAACCUAGUAGAAUUGUGAAUUUAUUGAAUUCUUAAAAUAUAUGUUAUUUUAAAUAUAUGAUCCUUACGUAAUUAAUUAUGAUAUUAAUAAUAUGAUUAUGAAAAUAGUGAGCUUUCGAUUUUUGAUUUUAAAUAUGAUGUGAAAUCAUUGUUGGCAUAAUUAAUUGAUAUUAAGGAUAUGUAUAUAUGUUUUAGUCAUCUAUUAAAUGUGAACCUCUGACUAAUAAAAUAAUUUUUUAUGUGAAAAAAAAUAAGAAAUGACUAUUGCUACCAGGAAUAUUGUGGCCGAGCUCAAUAUGAUCUUCUUAAGCCAACAAGCCUAAAAUUAAUUAAUAUAUACAUGGUUGUUUCUAGUUCACAAGGUACAAGAAGAAAGAAGCGUAUGCAUCAAAGUGAAUCUCAAUAUAAGCAAGGUAAAGAGAAAUCCAUGGAAAAGGAAAACAUUCUUCUAAGAAGAAAAGGAACAAUCACCAAGAGGUUCCUCUGGUCCACAAAGGGAUUUGAGCUUUCGACAUCUGCUGAUCUCAAGUUGCAUAACCCCACUCUUCAAUUUCCUGACAUAUAAAAUUGAUGAUGGAUCGACUGUGAGACUUGCGAGUCACAAGAGGUUNNNNNNNNNNNNNNNNNNNNNNNNNNNNNNNNNNNNNNNNNNNNNNNNNNNNNNNNNNNNNNNNNNNNNNNNNNNNNNNNNNNNNNNNNNNNNNNNNNNNNNNNNNNNNNNNNNNNNNNNNNNNNNNNNNNNNNNNNNNNNNNNNNNNNNNNNNNNNNNNNNNNNNNNNNNNNNNNNNNNNNNNNNNNNNNNNNNNNNNNNNNNNNNNNNNNNNNNNNNNNNNNNNNNNNNNNNNNNNNNNNNNNNNNNNNNNNNNNNNNNNNNNNNNNNNNNNNNNNNNNNNNNNNNNNNNNNNNNNNNNNNNNNNNNNNNNNNNNNNNNNNNNNNNNNNNNNNNNNNNNNNNNNNNNNNNNNNNNNNNNNNNNNNNNNNNNNNNNNNNNNNNNNNNNNNNNNNNNNNNNNNNNNNNNNNNNNNNNNNNNNNNNNNNNNNNNNNNNNNNNNNNNNNNNNNNNNNNNNNNNNNNNNNNNNNNNNNNNNNNNNNNNNNNNNNNNNNNNNNNNNNNNNNNNNNNNNNNNNNNNNNNNNNNNNNNNNNNNNNNNNNNNNNNNNNNNNNNNNNNNNNNNNNNNNNNNNNNNNNNNNNNNNNNNNNNNNNNNNNNNNNNNNNNNNNNNNNNNNNNNNNNNNNNNNNNNNNNNNNNNNNNNNNNNNNNNNNNNNNNNNNNNNNNNNNNNNNNNNNNNNNNNNNNNNNNNNNNNNNNNNNNNNNNNNNNNNNNNNNNNNNNNNNNNNNNNNNNNNNNNNNNNNNGCACUAAGCCAGCCCUCAUCUAUAUAUUAGAAAAGUGUGCUUAAUAGUCAUAUCUCUUUUCUUUCAAGUGUGUUUUGUAGCCCUUAUAUACUAGAUAAUGCACUUUAUAGUAAUAUUCAUUUUUCUUUUGAGUGCACUUUUUAGCCCUUGUAUACUAGAUAAUGUGCUUUUGAGCUCUAUCCAUUUUCCUUUUAAGUGCGCUUUCUAUCCCUCAUCCAUCAAAUAGUGCACCUUUUAACCUUAUUUUUUUUCCUUUUGAGUGCGCUUUCUAGCAUUCAUCCAUCAGAUAAUAUAUUUUCAAGUCCUAUCCUUUUCUUUUUAGUACGCUUUUUAGUCAUAUCAUUUUCUUCCCAAGUGUGCUUUAGAACUCUCAAUUCUAACACUCUUGGAAAGAUUAACUAUUUUUUUAACUGUAAAUCUAUGAUGUUGUGUCUUUUCUUAUUUACAACUUACUAUUUAAAGUCUCUUAUAAUUUUUUUUGUCAUAGGCAUUGUAAAGAUGAAGCAACUGUUAUAACCUAAUUUUGGGUUCCCCCAAAUUACAAGUUUUUUAAAUGAAAAGCAAUAAAAAAAUUGAAAAUGAAAAAGACUGAUAAAUUAAAAAAAAAAACAGGUUGAGAAGGGUUUCAAAUGCAUGGAAGAACCAAGCUGGAGUUGUAGACAAAAUUGAAAUCCUAAUUGUACCUAUUUGUACCCAAGAUCAAAAGACAAUGUAGAUUAAAGGGCAAAUUCAAUUAUUAUUGGAUUAAUUUGUAUUUUAAUAGGUCAACUUGAGUUAAUCAUGACCCUACUUAAAGGUUUUAUUAAGUUUAAAAAAUAAUUUGGGUCAAAUUAAGAGAAAUAAUUAAGUGUAACGACUUAAUUAGACUUUUAAUAGGUUAAAGUUAUUUUUAUUAGAAAUUUAAUUGGUGAAAAAUUAAGUUUGAAAGCUUAAUUUGGGCUUAAUUGAGAAUAUUAAAAUUUUAGAUGAUCAAAUUUAUUGUUUUUAAGCUUAAUUGUUUGAAUUCAGGGAUAUAAUUGUAAGAAAAUCAAAGUUUAGUGGUCAAUCAAGGAUCAAAUUAAAGAAAUUCAAGAUUAAAAACCUUUAUGCAAAGGAGCAAAAAUUUAGGGCUCAAAUUCGGUUGAAAACAAGGAUGAAAUUUAAAAAAUUAAAAGUUUGAAAUUCAAUUAAAAAUAAAAUCAAAGAACCUUUAUGUAAAAGCAACGUGUUUUUCGAAGCCAUCUCUCCCCUCCACAUCCCUCACACCAUGACACUAAACAUACCUCUCUUGUGACCUGCUAUUGUACCCCCAUCAAGAGCAGAAAAACAAGUCCUUUGGCAGUACUAAGAACACUGCCAAUCCGGCUUUUGUGGCUUUGUUUGGACAUGAGAAGGGUGGUCCAACACGUCCCUCACCCUCUAUAAAUGCCAACCUCAUGGCAACCAUAUGGCAGGGGGGGUAAAAAAGAAAAGAAAAAAGAAGACCAAACACUACACUAACACUAAACCCUCUCUACACCGACGACCUCACAAAAAUCAAACAACCUCAUCUCUUCCUGUCCCAAAGAACAACAACUAGAGACCAUUGAAAGAGCUAUCACAUCAACAAUUGUUUUUCUCUCCUAGCAUUCAUUCCUCCAUCGAUACUCUCUUGUGCACCAGCAACAGCCUUGACAGACCAAAAUUCAUUUUGUUAUGUUUCAAUUCGUGAGUUUGAGAGAGAAAAAAGAAAGUCACUUACGUACUAUUGGGUGAGGUCUUAGUUUUUUCACCGGUUAAAAGUUGUUUUGAUAUUUGAUAUGGAUUUAUUAAGAAGUGUGGGGUGUUUAUUAGGUGUUUUCAAGUUAAAAAUAAAAAAAAAAGUUAUUUAGGUUCAAGAAAAUGAAACCUAACUUUGAAGACCAAACACCUAUCCUUGACCCUUCAGGAAACACCAUCCAAGAUGUUGUGUCUACCCUUAUCCUUACCAUCUCCUUGUAUUUUGUUGGAGAUUCUUCCCAUUUGAAAGAUAAAAAUAUUGAACUUCUCUCCAACCUUCGGUGCAAGAAACUCAGUGACUUUCAGUGGUACAAAAAUACCUUCCUUACUCGUGUUAUGCUUCGAGAAGAUUCAAACCAACCAUUCUGGAAAGAAAAAUUCCUUGCAGGCUUACCAAUUCUCUUAGGAGAAAAGGUCCGCAACAAGAUCAAAGAUACCUUUACAACCAAAACCAUACCAUAUGACCAGCUUACAUACGACGAACUUGUAAGCUUCACACAAAAAGAAGGUCUUAAGAUCUGCCAGGAUCUCAAACUUCAAAAACACCUAAAGUGGGAAAUAAGAUGUACCAGGUAAGAACUUGGUAGUUUCUGUCACCAGUUUGACCUUUCCACCAAAAAACCCUCCUACAGUGGAACCUGUUCACAACCCAAAAAAUAUUCGAACCACAAGCCUCCUUAUAAACAAUCGGCCCAUAAAUACCGACAACAAUUUUAUCCCAAACCAGAUCAACCUUACUACAAAAAGCUCUACAAAUUCAUCAAACCCCACAAACCUUUCCAGUCAAAACCCAAACCAAAAUUUGACCUAAAAAAUAUCACCUGUUACAAAUGUAACCAGAAAGAACAUACAGCCCGUUUCUGCAAAGUCAAUACCAAACUUCAUGAGCUCCAAAUAGACGAAGAUACCAUCAACCAAAUACAAAAUCUUUAUAUUGAAGCCACAUACACUAACCACUCUCCUUCAGACACUUCUGAAGAAGAAUUUCAAAUUGAUGAAAUAGUAACCACCAAUGUUACUUCAGAUUCCUCUACGGAUUCCAAACAAAUUAACCUCCUAACCCAAGACCAAGAAUUCAUUCUUGAGGCUAUCAAGAGACUUGAUGAUCCCCAUCUUCAAAAAACCUACUUGGAUAGACUGUUGAAAGAUUUUCACCAACCAGAACACCCUCCAUAUAAUCCUCCAAACCGCUCUUUAUUACCCUUUACCAGCAUCAAUACAUAUGACCUUAAGAAGAUUCUUAACAAAAAGAAGUCCAAAACCACAGUAACCAUUCCAGAAUUAUAUUAUGAGAUCUAAACCCUUAAAUCCGAAUUACAAACCUUGAAACAAGCCCAACAGAAAGACUCUGCCAUAUUACAACACCUCCUGUCUAAAAUUAAAAGCCAGUUUGACACUGAAUCUGAACCAGAAGAUCAAACCAUUGAAUCUCAUGCAUUGCCCCAUACACUUACAAACAUUGAGCAUAUCCCAGAUGAUUUCCUAAAUGUAUUAACACAAAUAUUUUCAAAAAAAUAUUUGAUUAAAAUUACUCUGAUUUUUUCAGAAGAUUUUAAACUGGACACUAUCGCCUUAUUUGACACAGGUGCAGAUUUAAACUGCAUCAAAGAAGGCGUAGUUCCAAAAUGAUUUUUACAAAAUACCUCUGAAAAACUCUCUGCUGCUAAUAAUUCAAAAUUGCAUAUUGCAGGAAAAACCCAAGCCUCUGUUUUCAACAUGAGCAUUUCUCUUAAAACAUUCUUCGUUGUUACAAAAGAUAUAAACCAUACCAUUAUUCUUGGCACUCCAUUUAUUGACAUGAUCACUCCAUAUCAAACACAUCAUGAUUGUAUUACUACCAAAAUCAAUAGCAUCAAACUUGUUUUCCCAUUCUUAGAAAAAUCUAAGACUAGAAAUUUAAAUUUAAUUAAAGCAUGUUCCAUACAUACAUAUCAUAUCAAUGCACUGAUUCAUGGAAAACAAUUCCAUUUACAUGAUUUACAACACCAUGUUUCCUUUUGUCGUAUCAACAAGCAAUUACAAAACUCUGAUUUACAAAAGAAAAUUAUUGAUUUACAAACUAAGAUUGAACAACAGAUUUGUUCAGAUUUGCCUAAUGCUUUCUGGAAAAGAAAAACANNNNNNNNNNNNNNNNNNNNNNNNNNNNNNNNNNNNNNNNNNNNNNNNNNNNNNNNNNNNNNNNNNNNNNNNNNNNNNNNNNNNNNNNNNNNNNNNNNNNNNNNNNNNNNNNNNNNNNNNNNNNNNNNNNNNNNNNNNNNNNNNNNNNNNNNNNNNNNNNNNNNNNNNNNNNNNNNNNNNNNNNNNNNNNNNNNNNNNNNNNNNNNNNNNNNNNNNNNNNNNNNNNNNNNNNNNNNNNNNNNNNNNNNNNNNNNNNNNNNNNNNNNNNNNNNNNNNNNNNNNNNNNNNNNNNNNNNNNNNNNNNNNNNNNNNNNNNNNNNNNNNNNNNNNNNNNNNNNNNNNNNNNNNNNNNNNNNNNNNNNNNNNNNNNNNNNNNNNNNNNNNNNNNNNNNNNNNNNNNNNNNNNNNNNNNNNNNNNNNNNNNNNNNNNNNNNNNNNNNNNNNNNNNNNNNNNNNNNNNNNNNNNNNNNNNNNNNNNNNNNNNNNNNNNNNNNNNNNNNNNNNNNNNNNNNNNNNNNNNNNNNNNNNNNNNNNNNNNNNNNNNNNNNNNNNNNNNNNNNNNNNNNNNNNNNNNNNNNNNNNNNNNNNNNNNNNNNNNNNNNNNNNNNNNNNNNNNNNNNNNNNNNNNNNNNNNNNNNNNNNNNNNNNNNNNNNNNNNNNNNNNNNNNNNNNNNNNNNNNNNNNNNNNNNNNNNNNNNNNNNNNNNNNNNNNNNNNNNNNNNNNNNNNNNNNNNNNNNNNNNNNNNNNNNNNNNNNNNNNNNNNNNNNNNNNNNNNNNNNNNNNNNNNNNNNNNNNNNNNNNNNNNNNNNNNNNNNNNNNNNNNNNNNNNNNNNNNNNNNNNNNNNNNNNNNNNNNNNNNNNNNNNNNNNNNNNNNNNNNNNNNNNNNNNNNNNNNNNNNNNNNNNNNNNNNNNNNNNNNNNNNNNNNNNNNNNNNNNNNNNNNNNNNNNNNNNNNNNNNNNNNNNNNNNNNNNNNNNNNNNNNNNNNNNNNNNNNNNNNNNNNNNNNNNNNNNNNNNNNNNNNNNNNNNNNNNNNNNNNNNNNNNNNNNNNNNNNNNNNNNNNNNNNNNNNNNNNNNNNNNNNNNNNNNNNNNNNNNNNNNNNNNNNNNNNNNNNNNNNNNNNNNNNNNNNNNNNNNNNNNNNNNNNNNNNNNNNNNNNNNNNNNNNNNNNNNNNNNNNNNNNNNNNNNNNNNNNNNNNNNNNNNNNNNNNNNNNNNNNNNNNNNNNNNNNNNNNNNNNNNNNNNNNNNNNNNNNNNNNNNNNNNNNNNNNNNNNNNNNNNNNNNNNNNNNNNNNNNNNNNNNNNNNNNNNNNNNNNNNNNNNNNNNNNNNNNNNNNNNNNNNNNNNNNNNNNNNNNNNNNNNNNNNNNNNNNNNNNNNNNNNNNNNNNNNNNNNNNNNNNNNNNNNNNNNNNNNNNNNNNNNNNNNNNNNNNNNNNNNNNNNNNNNNNNNNNNNNNNNNNNNNNNNNNNNNNNNNNNNNNNNNNNNNNNNNNNNNNNNNNNNNNNNNNNNNNNNNNNNNNNNNNNNNNNNNNNNNNNNNNNNNNNNNNNNNNNNNNNNNNNNNNNNNNNNNNNNNNNNNNNNNNNNNNNNNNNNNNNNNNNNNNNNNNNNNNNNNNNNNNNNNNNNNNNNNNNNNNNNNNNNNNNNNNNNNNNNNNNNNNNNNNNNNNNNNNNNNNNNNNNNNNNNNNNNNNNNNNNNNNNNNNNNNNNNNNNNNNNNNNNNNNNNNNNNNNNNNNNNNNNNUAUUUCUAAAUUUGAUAUGAAAUCCGGGAUUUUGGCAAAUCCAGAUGAUCCCAAAGAUAGAUACAAAACUGCUUUUACAGUUCCUUUUGGUCAAUAUGAAUGGAAUGUCAUGCCUUUUGGUUUAAAAAAUGCCCCAUCUGAAUUUCAACGCAUCAUGAAUGACAGCUUCAAUGCACAUUCAAAAUUUUGCAUUGUUUAUAUUGACGAUGUACUUAUUUUUUCACAAUCCAUAGACCAACAUUUCAAACAUCUACAUACAUUCUUUCAUACUGCAAAACAAAAUGGUUUAGUUGUUUCUAAAACAAAAAUUUCUCUUUUCCAAACCCGUGUCUGUUUCCUAGGCCAUUAUAUUUGUCAAGGUACUGUCACACCAAUAGCUUUAACCUUUACAAGUAAAUUUCCUGAUAAAACCCAAUUGCAACGAUUUUUAGGCAGUCUAAAUUAUGUUCUGGACUACUAUCCCAAUAUUAGUCGUCUAGCCAAGCCUUUACAUGAUAGAUUAAAAACCAACCCCAUUCCUUAGUCUGACCUCCAUACCGAUCUAGUCAAACGAAUUAAGAAACAGGUUCAAAACAUUCCUCUCCUUCAUUUAGCUAAUCCUUUAGCUCCUAAAAUAGUCGAGACCGAUGCCUCUGACAUAGGAUAUGGUAGGAUUCUUAAACAAGUACAAGAUAACAAAGAACAAAUACUCCAGUAUACAUCCGCCCACUGGAAUGAUUGUCAAAAAAAUUACUCUACUAUCAAAAAGGAAAUCCUUUUAAUUGUUCUUUGUAUUACAAAAUUCCAAAGCGAUUUAUUAAAUCAAAAAUUUCUUUUACGUGUUAACUGUAAAUCUGCAAAAGAAGUUUUACAAAAAGAUGUCCAAAAUCUUGCUUCAAAACAGAUUUUUGCCCGAUGGAAAGCUAUUUUAAGUAUUUUUGAUUUUGAUAUUGUUUACAUUAAAGGAGAUUCAAAUUCUAUCCCUGAUUUCCUAACCCGAGAAUUCCUCCAAAACAGGUCCUGAUGCCACCUAAAGCAAGGGCUAAAGACAAGGGGGAAGCCCCCCAAACACAGCCUACAAAACCAGAAAGCCCCAAGCCUUCUGCAAAACUCGUGUCUUUCGCCAUCCUUUCUGUCAAACCUGUCAAAUCAUGGUAUGAGGCAGUUCUUGAAGAAGAAGAACCUACAAAAUCACCACAGGUCCAACCCGACACUAUUCAACAUUGGGUUGACACCAUCUCCAAAUCACCAGAAUUACUCAUGGCAUUACAAAAAGUGUCCCAACAGGCCUAUAACGACUCCGUAUCUCCAACAGGUAGUAUUUCCAAAUCCCUUUCAAAACCCCAAGGAGGUUUUUCUACUUCAAAACCCCUCCUUUCUUUACAACAAACCAGUUUUCCAAAAACCAAAUCCAAAUAUAUUUUCAAAACUACUUUCCAAAAUAUUUUAACUAUAGAAGAAGGAUUUUAUCAUGAAAAUCCUUCCAUUGUUGCUUCAAAGAUUUUCCCUCCAAAUUGGUACUACAAACCCUGGAAUUUAGCCAAACCACAAUCCUACUAUGCCACCAUCCUUGAGAUUACCAAUUCUGUCAAAUUCAAACACUUCAAACUAUAUUCUGAUCAUAUUGAACCCGCAUAUUCUACAUGCAUCAUUCACAAAGUUAUUCACCCUAAAGAUUGGGGGCAAUCCUUACAUCAACCUCUCUCCUUCCCCAUGCACUUUCGUACAAAUCCUCAGGAUUUCAAUACUACCUAUACGUAUUGGGAUUACCAACAGCCAUGGUUCAGUGCCUUCCUCCUACAAAAUCAAAACCAUAGCCACUCUUGGCUUUUCUACUUCCAUAAUACAAUGAAUACUACAAACUUUCCCCUCUGGUUCCUCCAAUGGUGGGACUACUAUGGUUGUCACGUUGACUACCUCAAAGACCAUCCUCUGGUUGAAAAUGGUUACCUCCAUUUCAAAAAUAAUUUUCAACAGCCCCUUCUGAAAGGAAGUUUUCUUCCCUUCUCAUUUUCUGUACAAAGUUUUUUGUUCCAUGGGUAUGUUCCUGGUUCUAUGACUAUAAUCUACAAAACGGACACCCAGUACUUGUUCGGAAAUUCAAAAUUAAAUGGUGGGAUUCCUUUGCAACUGAGUCCAAAAGUUCCAAAUUAGCUGUUACGGAAUGGUUACAAAAAUAUCAAAAGACUCCCAUUAUUGAUCAUCAUCCUGAAUCAAAGUUUCUAGCCCGAAAGGCUCAAACAGCAGCUCUCCUUGCCUUUGCCAGAACUGAAGAGGAAUACUUACAAAUAGUACAAGGCAUUAUACAAAGCCAAGAUCCAAAAACAGUCUUGUCACACUCUAGCUCAUCUGGCUCGAUAUCUCCUGCCAUUUCCCUUGGAGAUGAUAAUGAAGAUGACUGCUUUGGUAUCUUGCCACCUAUCAAGUGACAUUAAAAAAAAAGUAUUUCGAACUUUCUCAGGCUUAUCUGUUUAGAGCUCAUAUCUUUUUGACUCACCUGUUUUGAGUCUCUUUGCUAAAGCCCAUUUGUUUUAGGCUUUUCCUACAAAUAUUACCUGCUACUAUAAACAUACAAAUCAAGUGUCGGUAGCAAGAAGACAACAAAUGAAAGUCCCACAAAAAACGUGGGCAUCCUCCAUUUUGUCAUCACUCAAUCAUGGCAGGCAAUACCACAUGGGUUCACAUGGGUUCUGAAGGCAUCUCCAAACUUUUCAACAAGAUGUUUUGGCCUCUUCUAGGACAACUCGUCUAUAAAAAGGAGACUCCUACAACCUCAGGAGACAGACUAAUUUUUUCCCAGAAAAUUUUACUCUCCCCUGUAAGUCAUAUCUGUAACCCAUUCUCGUAACCAAUAUCUCCUGUAUUAAUUUUCAUUACAAAUUUAAGUAAGAUAAUCUUAUUUUUAUCUAUAUUUUGUUAUAUCUGUUCCUGUUCUUUUUAUUCUUAUGAUAUUUAUCUUUUUAUUCUUGUUAUAUUUAAGUAUGCUCUAUGUUUGAUCAAGGAUCCUGACAUUGCUGGUCUUGCCUUGUUCAUUCGCAUCAGAAAUCUGUUUAUAUUCUUCUGUUCUUGUUCUUUUAUAAAAUCAGUAUAUAGGCUGGAAACCUGUGACCCGAUCUUUUAAAUCAUUCUCAGGUAUAACAACGCCACGUACUGAACCCUUUGUUUAUAUUUAAAUUUGCUUAUAUAUAUGGCCACCUAACGUUGAGAAGGAAAGAUGAACGAAUUAUUCUCACAAUAUUACUUUGUUUUAACAUGGUAUCAGAGCAACAAAUUUGAUACCCUUUUUCUCUUUUAUUUCCCGAAGUUUAAAUUGUUAGAGUACAGUGCAUUAGAUUAUAACAAGUGUCUAUAGUUAGUUAGUUAGUUAGAAAAGUUACAUGCAGUUAAGCUGUUACAGCUACAUGUGUGUGUGUGUGUGUAACUAACUAACUAUAGACAAAUUAAGCAAUUGAAUAACAGAAAGAAGAAGAUUAAUAAGUUUUCAUUUUUCUCAUCUCUCACUCAAUCUCUCUGUAUAUUACAACUUGAUAUACAUGUUAACAUGGUAUCAGAGCUAUCAGCUCACGCUUGAAGAUCCUCUCUAUUGCUUCCACAUUCUCUCUGCUUCUUCUCUAAAUUCUGAUCUCUGUUUGAUAAUCUUGAAACUUUUCAAUAGUGAUUGCUUCACAACUUCAACUUCUGCAUUCUCCAAUCACAGCUCUUCUCUCCUCUAUUCCCACAUCUAUUAAUGUCAAGCUAGAUGAUUCAAACUACCUCAAUUGGAACUUUCAGAUGUGACUUCUUCUUGAAAGCAAUGGCAUUAUGGGGUAUGUUGAUGGAUCAAUUCAUUGUCCACCUCAACUCAGCUCAACUUCAAGUGAAUCUGGUAUCACCUCUUCUUAGAAUGAUGAAUACAUAGUCUGGAAAAUGCAUGAUCGAGCCAUCAUGCAAUUGAUCACUACUACAUUAUCACCUGUUGUUAUGUCUUGUGCAAUUGGUAGCACUAGCUCCAAGGAUUUGUGGAAUCGAUUGAAGGAACAGUUUUCAAUUGUGUCUAGAACUAGCAUUUUUUAGAUGAAAUCUAAUCUACAAACAAUCAAGAAAGGGCAGAUUCGAUUUCACAAUAUCUUCAUCGUAUUAAAGAAGUUAGGGACUAUCUUUUGGCUGCUGGUGUAUACUUUGCUGAUGAAGAUAUUGUUAUUCUAGCUCUAAAUGGCCUGCCUACUAAGUAUAACAUGUUCAGAUGUGUUAUAAGGGGGCGUGAAAGUGUGAUCACACUGUAUGAUUUUCGAUCACAGUUGCUUGCAAAGGAAGUGAUUGUAAAGGCAUCGGCUCAUGCUCCUCUAAUGACAGCUGUUGUUACUCAUUUUUGGACCCCAUGUGCUGGAGACGGUGUAUACCUCUUUUGAACCAAGUGUAGGAGUUUAACUCAUGUUUGCUGGAGGAUUGAUAAAAGUAGAGAAAGAAAUAUUUUUUUCGAAACCCUGUUUAAGCUGUUUUCUGCUCUCUUUAUCCUUCCCCUUUGCUGCCAAAAUCAUCAGGUUUUCUUAGACUAACUAGGGGUCUUCAUAAUGCUAAAUUCAUUCCUUCGUUAUCUUGUUUUUUAAGGUUGGAUAAAUCCCUUAAAUUUUGCACUAAAAAAAAACUGAUUCUGCUGCUAUCGCAAUUUUUUAUUCCAAAUUAGGCUCUGAUUCUGACUUGGUUUUGUACAUAUCUAACCAUCCUAGCUAUAUUCUGUCACUCAUGACAUGUUGAAAAAUUGACCUACACCUUUAUUGGGUCCUAGGGAUCACUGAUCUUAGGGCAGACUCUUAGUCAGAUUUGGAUGCUCGGCAUUGUCAAAUCAAGAACCUUUCUGACCAACGAGAUUACUGCCAGAUUCUGUUCUUUAAAACGAUUUUAUCUCCCUUUGACUCCUUCAUCAAAGUUGUAGUUCUAGACGCGUAGAUAAAUUUGGGCUUUUGAAUCACUUGAUUUCAAUAUCAGAAGCUCAAGAUAUUCCUGUUUGAAUAUCUAGUGUGAAAGCAGGGAUUCCUGCCACAAGAAGGAUUUUUUGCCCAAGUUCGCGGGACUGAUUCGAAGGAUUUUUUUUGGACCAAAGACUGAAUCGAAAAGUGCUAAAAUGAGGGAUUGAAUUGAAGAAGGAUAUUGAAAGCUGGAGAGGGGGGUUGGAUCAUCAUAAAUGACAGGAUUUUUACCACAUCAAAUAAGGAAAAUAAGACUUUGCCGCUGCACCCUCCAUCUGAUUUCUUUCCUUCUCUGUAAAUUCUAAUGUUUUUCCUUUAUCAUCACGCCUGAUUUUUAGAGCUGCAACCACGUUUUUAUUGCCUCAUUUUAAAGGGAGCAGCUGGCUCUAUGGAAGGAAAGAAAAGAGCCGCACCAUCCUCUAACUAGGAAAGAAAUCACUGGUGAUCACAGAAUCAGAAUCAAAUAUUCUGGUUUCCUAUUUCUGCUCACCCGAUAUUACACCCUAGAGUUAAUGUAAUAUUUGUUUCCUAAACAAAGCCAUGUAUAGGCUAUAUAGAAGCCUCGGCUGCUGACCUAAAGAAAAAAAAAGAAACACAGAAAAAGAAAGGAAAGAACAGAAAAAAACGAGAAAAGAAAGACAAGAAGAAACGAGAGAGAGUCAAGGCAGAGAAAGCCAUAAGAAGGACACCGUCGAAAGUAAGGAAAAACACAGAGACAAGGGCGACAACUCCACCAGCACAACACGCCUUCAUCGCCAUCAUCUUCGUCAUCUCGCGAGAAAGCAUCAGCAGAAGGAGAGAAAACGAACAGAGACCAAAACCGGCGUAGCCUAUCUGUUUCGCUGUCCCCAGAAGCAGCAACCAUUGGCUGAGCGCAAAAGCUUCAGCACCUGUCGUCUUAGUUCGUCUCAGCGCCAGCUUUCAAGAAAAGGAAAGCAGAACAGAGAAGAAGGGACAGAGAUAAAAGGAGGAGAAAACCGGAGAGAAAGGAGCAGAAAAAAAACAGCAAAGAGAAAGAUAAGAAAAACGCAAGAGAGGUAGAGUAAAAAGAAAAAAUAGAAGAAAAAACCAGUGAGACCUACAGUUCUAGAUGUUUUAACGUAGAGGAAAGAAAAACUAGAGAAGCAGACAUAAAUACAGAGCAGGAGGAAAAUAUUUGAAACAGACGAACACCGGAUCAACCAUCACGCUUUCAACGUCGCUGCAGCUUCUUCCCUUCCGUUCCCAGGUCUGUUUUUUUUCUCUUCACCUCCCAGCAUGCAUGUUUUUUGUUUUGUGUUUGCACUGUUCAAGUAAAUUAAUUCACUUGAACAGUGCUCGCCAGCUUUCUUUGAACUUUACCUGCGCCCCCCCUUUUUUUGUGUCCAGCCGGGUCACUGGCUUGCGCAAGUGACCCAGCCGGACUUCCUUACUUUUUUUUUUAAAGAGGAAGAGAUUUAUUUUCUGAAUAUUUAUUUUAAAGUCUGAAUUUUUUUUAUGUUGUAAAAAAAUAUAUACCAAUCUCGUAAUUAAAAUACCCGGUUUUCGACGCAACUGCGGCAAAUAUACAUAUAUAUCAAAAUUUGUUUUCUUGUGUGUUGCAUACGGCUAAUACCCUAACAUCUUUUUGAAUUUCCUCUUAAAAAAACAAAUAUUUGAAGUUUUGAAAAUGUGUUUUGGCAUGAAUUUCUUAAACACAAAAAUUAUUUUCUUGCAUUUAUGGAUUUUACAACAUGUUUGUAAAACUCCAAAGGGUGUUGGCCAAUAUUUUAAAAAAUAUAAAAAUCUUAUUUUGGGGGGAAUUCAUCUAUUAUUCACCGCUAAUGUUUGGAUAAAGAAAUCCUUAAAGGACGAAUAUCCAAAAUAUUAUUGGGAAUAAUUUGUUAUUAUUCACUGUUAAUAUUUGGAUAAAGAAACCUUGAGUGGUAAAUAUCUGAAAUAAUUUUUUAGGAAUAAUAAAUCCUCACACAUCCUUGAAAGAAGCCUUGAUUAUAAUCGAGGACAUUUCAAUUUUUUUUACUCCACGGUUUACGAGCCGUGAGAGUAUAAAACACUAAGGCAAAAAUAGGCUUUUAAAGCGCUCUAGAUUUCUAAAUUUUUGUCCCUCCUUGCGAUUUACGAGUCGCAAACUCUUGAAAUACCAAGGGAAAAUGAGCUUUUAAAGCACAUGGAAUCUCCUUGGAUUUCUAUCUUAAUAAAUAUAGUUAGAAUCAAACCUAGAAAAAACUGAUGGAAUUAGAAAACACCAACACCAUAGCAAUUAUAAGACAAACCAAACACCAAGCAACUUAUCUUAGGUAGGGCGUACUAUGGGUGCUAAUACCUUCCCUUUAUGCAACCAGUCCCUUGCCUUAGAAUCUCUGAAAGACCAGUUAGGUUUCCUAGUGACCAUAAUACUAGGUGGCGACUCCUUUAUUCACAAAACAAAAAAAAACCCCCCGAAAUCAAUCGAGGGUCGCCACUCCGCCGCGAGGGUGCGACAACAUCAAUGGCUGCUGAUACAGGUUUUCUUGUGAAUCAUGGUCCAUCUCAGGCUGUUAACAGAGGUUUUAAGCCUUAUAGUGGGAACAUAAACAAUGGUAGAGGUCGAUUUAUUCAGGGAGCUAGAUAGUUUCACUCUAGACCAGUGUUUUCAUCUAUGGCACAUAAACAUCCACACUCUAAUCCUGGAGUUCUUGGCCCUUCCCCUGGUCAGCAGUUUCACAGUAAUUCUGCAUCCAUGAUGCCAAUCUGCCAAUUAUGCAAUUCUAAGGGACAUACUGCCCCGUUCUGUGAUGCUUCCUCUUAUAAGAAAACCAAAUGUCAUAUAUGUGGUAGAACUAAUCAUACUACCUGGUUUUGCUUUUAUAAUGACAAAGGACCAAACUAUAUUGGCAUGCAUACUUCUAUUACUUACUCUUCACAACAGUCUUAUCCCACACAACCACCAACUAUGCAGCAUCCCUCAUACCGAGCUCCUUCACCACAUCUCUCAUUCUCAUCUUUUUAGUUUCCAGACCAACAGCCCACUAUGCAAGCCAUGCACACCAUGCUCAACUCUGCAUCUCCAUCAUCCAAUUCUUCAGGAUCAUCUCAAGUAUGGCUCGCUGAUUCUGGUGCCACCAAUCAUACGACGGCAGAUUUGAAUAAUCUGAUAUUGGCCUCACCAUAUCCAAUAGCUGACACAAUUCAUACUGCCAAUGGUGAACGUUUGAAAGUAUCUCAUGUUGGUCAUUCUAUCAUUAAUUCAUCUAUGUCUCCACUCAAAUUGAAUUCUGUGCUACUUGUUCCUCAAUUAACUCAGAAUCUACUGUCAGUCCAUCGGCUCUGCCUUGAUAAUAAUUGCUGGCUUAUUUAUGAUGCAUUUUGCUUUUGGAUUCAGAACAAAGCCACAAGGAGGAUUCUUUACAGAGGCUUGUGCAGUAAUGGACUGUAUCCUAUCCAUGCUUUUUCACCUUCACAUUCCACGACAUCGCCAACUCAGGCAUUUCUUGGACAACUCAUUCAGUCCAAUCUAUGGCACCAUAGGUUAGGACAUCCCACAAAUUCUAUCGUCUCCCUCAUGCUAAAUAAAGCUCAUAUUCGUGUUCCCAAAACUUCUUCCCCUAUGUUGUGUCAUCCUUGUCUUGCAGGGAAAGUUAGCAAACUACCUUUUCCACAACAUCAUUAUAAAUUUACUUCUCCCUUUGCCAUUAUCCAUACUGAUUUGUGAGGACUCGCACCAUGUAUAUCAGUGGAUGGUUAUAAAUAUUAUACUAUCUUUAUUGAUGAAUGUACAUGUUAUUGCUGGCUUUUUCCCCUAGUCAAUAAGUCUGAUUUGUUCUCUAAAUUUGUUGCCUUCUAUUCCUUUCUUGUUACACAAUUUUCUGCUACUGUUAAACUCUUCAAACUGAUGGGGGGGGUAUACUUGCAAUCAUUUGAAACAUUUUUUUCUUGACAAAGGCAUUGCACAUCACCUCUUUUGUCCACACACUCUUAAACAAAAUGGGGUAGCUGAGAGGAAACAUAGACAUAUUAUGGAAACUACAAUCACUCUAUUGCACACAACCAAAUUACCAUAGACAUAUUAUGGAAGCUACAAUCAUUCUAUUGCACACAGCCAAAUUACUAUCUCAAUUCUGGUCCUAUGCAUGUUUAACAGCUAAAUACCUCAUAAAUCGUAUGCCAACUCCUGUCCUUCUUCACAACUAUCCUUUAGAGAUGUUAUUUGGGUCUUCUCCAGAUCUUAAUCACCUUAGAAUAUUUGGUUGUGCCUGUUUUCCUCUCCUUCACCCUUAUAAUCAUAACAAAUUACAGCCCAAAACUACCAAAUGUGUGUUUCUUGGGUAUGCCAUCAAGUAUAAAGGUUAUUUGUGCUAUCAUGUGCCUACACUGCGAUUGUUUAUUUCUAGACAUGUUAUAUUUGAUGAACAUCAAUUUCCCUAUCCUGAAUUCCUACAUAUCUCUUCACCCACAGUUCUGUCAUCACCGUCCUAUUCCUCUUCCACAUGUCCUAUGAUUCUUGUUAAUACAGAGAACACAGUUAUUCCUUUCUUCUAAUCGUUUACAAUUUUUAGCUGAUAAUUCGCUUAAAUUUAAUUUUGAUUCCAGUCAUAAAUGUGACGUUUGUCCAUUGGCAAAACAAACUCGUCAACCUUUUCCUUCUAGUUCAAUUUCAACUUCGAAGUGUUUUUCUCUUAUUCAUUGUGAUAUUUGGGGUCGUUAUAAAACCCCUUCUAUUUCUGGUGCUUUUUAUUUCUUGACCAUUGUGGAUGAUUUUUCUCGUUUUACAUGGGUUUUUUUAAUGCGUAACAAGAGUGAGACACAAACUCUACUUCGUCAGUUUUUUCAUUAUGUUCACACUCAAUUCAAUACAAAGGUUCAAAAACUCCGUUCUGAUAAUGGGGCUGAAUUUCUUUCAUUAAAAAAUUUCUUUCUUGAGGAAGGCGUCCUUUUUCAACACUCUUGUGUAUAUACACCUCAGCAAAAUGGUGUCGUUAAGCGCAAACAUAGACACAUCCUUAAAACUGCUCGCGCUUUAUGUUUUCAAUCUCAUUUACCCAUUACUUUCUGGGGAGAAUGUAUUCUUACUGCCAUCCAUAUUAUUAAUCGCCUUCCUACUCUGUUGCUUAACAAAAAAACACCAUUUGAGAUUCUUUACAACAAACUUCCUGAUUAUUCUCGCAUGCGAGUUUUUAGAUGUGUUGCUUUUGCAACUAUAGUCAAUCCAUCCUCAAAAUUUUCUCCCAGUGCCACAAAAUGCAUUUUUCUUGGUUGCCCUAUGGGACAAAAAGCUUACAAACUUUACGAUAUUGCAACUCAGAAAAUUUUCACCAAUCGGGAUGUAGUAUUUCUUAAGGACACCUUUUAUCAUCCACCACAAGUCUAUCUUCCAGCACAUAAUCCACCAGGCUUGCCUAUUCCUCUUCCUAUUGUGUCUGAUUCUUAUUCCCAUCUUCCUCCCUCAUCAGUCAUCAUCGACCCCUUUGAUCCCCCCAUAUCCUCUUCACCUGCACCAACCGACCCAGUACCUUCUCUUCCUGAGCCACCUUCCUCUACUCCAUUAACUCCACCAGCUGCACAACAAACCCCUGUUUAGCCGGAUGACCUUGUCCUUCCUGCACCUACUCUGGUUAUUCCUGAUCAGCCACUUCGCCGUUCUCAACGCCCUAGAGAAGCCAAUGUUCGCCUCAAGGAUUAUGUUUGCUCGCAGGUGAUUCUGCCUCCACACCAAUUGUUCUCAGCCUCGUCUGCACCUACACCAGGUACGAAGUAUCCUCUCUGUCAUUUUAUUUCUUAUAAUCGGUAUUCUCCAUCACAUCUCUGUUAUAUUGCCAAUGUUAGUCGUGAUGAGGAACCUCCUUCAUAUGAACUUGCUAUGACUGAUCCUAAGUGGCAGGAAGCUAUGAAUUCUGAGCUUCAAGCUCUCAUUGACAAUCAGACAUGGAGCCUUGUUCCUUUGCCCUCUGGCAAACGCCCGAUCAGUUGUAAAUGGGUGUAUCGCAUCAAACGCAAGGCUGACGGGUCUGUUGAGCGCUAUAAAGCUCGCCUGGUCGCUCGGGGUUUCACACAAACUGCUGGAAUUGAUUAUCAUGAUACUUUUUCCCCCACUGCAAAAAUGGUCACUGUCCGCUGCCUCCUUGCUAUUGCUGCCAGUCUGAACUGGCCUUUACAUCAGCUAGACGUUAACAAUGCUUUCUUAAAUGAUGAUUUAUUGGAAGAAAUAUAUAUGUCUCCUCCUCCUGGUCUUCGGCGACAGGGGGAGAACAUUGUGCGUCGCCUCCACAAGUCACUAUACGGCCUUAAGCAAGCAUCUCGACAGUGGUUCUCUAAGUUCACAGAAGCUGUUCUUGCUGCUGGUUUUUUUCAGUCAAAAGCCGACUAUUCCUUGUUCAUCAAAAGAGAUGGCACAUCUCUUACUAUCCUAUUGAUCUAUGUAGAUGACAUUUUGAUAACCGGGAACAACAUUGAAUCCAUCAAAGGUUUAAAGCAGUUCCUUCAUACUCGUUUCCGCAUCAAAGACCUUGGUGAUCUGAAAUUCUUCUUAGGCAUUGAAAUAGCCCGUUCCAAGAAAGGCAUUUACAUUUCCCAGCGCAAAUAUGCUUUGGAAAUUAUCAAAGACAGUGGAUACUUGGGUGCCAAACCAGUUGAGUUUCCUAUGGAAGAAUGCAGACUUUCAAAUACAGGAGAAUUGCUCAAAGAUCCUUGUAUAUACCAGCGUCUAGUUGGUUGAUUAAUUUACUUAACCAUCACUAGACCUGAUAUCACAUAUUCAGUUCACAUUCUCAGCCGAUUCAUGCAUGAACCACGACAACCUCACAUGGCUGUUGCUCUUCGAGUUGUUCGUUAUUUAAAAUCAGCUCCUGGUCAAGGUUUGCUUCUUCAUUCAAAUAACUCAUUACACUUAACGGCAUUUUGUGACUCUGAUUGGGCGGGUUGUCCUGUCACUCGCCGCUCCACCACUGGGUAUUGUGUAUUCCUUGGCAAAUCUUUAAUUUCAUGGAGAACAAAAAGGCAAAAGACAGUUUUCUUAUCAAGUGCGGAAGCUGAAUAUAGAGCAAUGGCAGGUACAUGUUGUGAGCUUACUUGGUUAAGACAUUUAUUAACAGAUUUACAUAUGCCAGUUUCAGAUCCUGUUACUCUGCAUUGUGAUAAUCAAGCUGCCUUACACAUUGCAAAAAAUCCUGUAUUUCAUGAGAGAACUCGGCAUAUUGAAAUGGAUUGCCACUUCAUUCGGGACAAAAUUUUACGAGGUGAAAUUGCUACUCGAUACGUGAUUUCUUCACAACAAUUAGCAGAUGUGUUUACAAAAGCUUUGGGAAAAGAGAAGUUCAAAUAGCUCAUGUGCAAGUUGGGAGUUAUUGAUAUUCACUCUCCAACUUGAGGGGGAGUGUUGGAAAUUAUAUUAAUAGUGUUUUGAUGUAAAUAGGAAAGUUAUAUCUUGAGAUAAGUAGGAAAGAUACGUAAGAAUAUUUUGUAUCAAUCUGCAUUCAAUUAGCUGUCAUUUCUUAUCAGUCUCUGAUGUAUAAGGGAACCCUAAUGUAUCUUGUAUAUAAAUUGAACUUAAUCAAUACAGAAAAGCAUUCCGCUUGAAUAGUUUUUUACUUAUAAAGUUUUGUUUGGACAUUGUUUCACUAUGGAUUUAUACUUUUGCAUUUCCCUGUUGGGGACAGCAAUUAUCUUUAUCAUUUCAAUUAUGUGUGUUCUUGUUUGUGCCUUUGUUUUGUAAGUUGUUUAAGUUUUUCUCCUAGUUUAGACUUUAAAGGCACGCGUGACACUUUGCUCUACUGUCUCAUCUGACUAUGGGAGUUGCUUCCUCUUUUCUUUUCCUUUUUUUUUUUAAAAAAAAAGAACUAUACAAUGCAGAGAUAUUUAGGUGUACCAUUCUUAAUCCAUUUUUUGCACCUCCUAGCUCUUCAGUCUUGUUCUCUUUCUUUGAACAGAGGACUGAAUCUGUAACAGUUCCUGUGAUGAAACAGAUUAGAAUACACAAUAUCUUGGAGAAAACAAGGAAGAAAAAGGAAAAGGCUGAUGAUAGAAGAAUGGUGUAGAAGGUGAAUCCCCAGCUGUCACGAAGGAACAAGAAAACCUAAGAAAAAAGGUUACUGAUUUGAUUAAAAAAACAAAAGCUGCCAGCUAUGAGGAAGAUUGUGAAGGGGAAGGAUGAUUCAAAACCAUGGAAUGCAGAUGCUAGGGCUAAGGUUUGUGUGCUUGUAAUCAUUGAUGAAAGCUAAUUUUCUUGAACAGAUGUAUCGUGUACAAAUUUGAUUUCUGUCCUUGCACUUUGCAGGUUGGAAGCCGUACAAUUGAAUUGCUGUUACAAACAGCUCAUAUACAGCCUCCCUGUGAUUAGUUAGCUGAUAGUCCAUCUGAACCUCGACCUGAAUUUGUACAUACAUUCAGAACUGUGUCGUAUGAAAAUAAGCAUGGAGUCAUUCUUUAAUUGACUCGAUGAGCUCAAUUUAUAUUUUCUUCCUUGUAAUUGCUUCUAACUGAUGCACAAUGGCCUUUUCUCAAACAGGAAGGGCGCCAAAAAAUAUGGUGUUAUUCAAUGUGACCCACUAGUCCUCAAAGGCCUAGAGAAAACUGUGAGUAACCCUGUCAUAUUUUGUUCUUCUAGUGAUAUCUAGUUUUCAUAUUUUAUCAUCCUUUAUGACAUGAACUUGUGUUGGGGGGCCAUAUACUUUCAAAGCAGAUAGGUUAGUUUCUAGAUUUUAGAGCUGAAACAGAUAAGAUUUGUAGGCAAUUUCCAUGGUGCCUCUUAAGUUGCAGAUGUUUGUCUUUCAUUCUUUUUUCUUGCACAAGAGGUCAUAAAAAUGUUGUUUCUCCAAACAGGCUAGGCACAUGGUGAUUCCUUAUAUGCCAAUGUUGGUGCCACCACUUAGAUGCAGAGGGUAUGUUAACUUGUUUUAUAUUUACAGUUUUGCCACGAUUGUCUUGUUUUAAUUUAGUAUUAUUUAGUUGGAUAUAUUCCAAGUUCAGAAAUAUUAACAUAGUGUUUUGGUUACUUCUGCUUGAUGCCUGGAGCUGUUUUCAAUUUUCAUUUCAAGUUAAAUGCUUAAAAUGGUAUAAUAGAUGAAGGGAUGAAUCUCCUAUUAUCUACACUUGACUUUUGUUUUUCUAUUUGAAAACAGAGCAAGAAGAAGUAAAGAAACUUGCAAACCUCGAAGUCUAAAAAUUUUAACAUUAUUAUAUAAAACUGAAAAUUAAAAAUAUUUAUAUAAAUAAAUUUUUAUUUUAAAAGUUUAAAAUUUAAACUUAAAAUUAUAUCUUUUAACUUUCAUAUUACUUCAUUAAUUUUAUAAAUUACUUAUAUUAAUUAUAUAAUUAAUAACAUAAUUAUAUUAAAAUAUAAUUAACUUUUCUAAAUGACUUUUUACUAUUGAAAUGCAUAUAAAUAAAAAAAACUAUAUUUAUAUUAUUUAAAAAGCUAUUUUAUCAACAAAAAAAAUUAACUUUUAAAAAUAGCAUGUCUUAUUAGAGUUGCACUUAUGCAGAAUUAUAUAAGGGAGAGGAUGGCAAAGGGAAAGAGACAAAAAAUAAUUUAAAUACUCAUUAGCCAACGUCUCUUUAUGUACAGUUAACUUUUGUUUUUUUAUUUGAAAACAGAACAAGAAGAAGAGAAGAAACUUGCUGUGACGUUUUGAAAAUCAAAAAGAUUGGGAAAGGCAACAAAGCCCUUGGAGGUUUAAAAGUGGGUAUAAUAAAUAAGGGGUAUUGUUGUAAUUGAAUAAAACAUGGUAAGAAUAAAAAGAAAAAAAAAGAAGAAGAGAUCUGAAAAUUUAGGGCGAGUGCCGGCAGGAGAGAAGGGAGAAACAAGAAGAAAAAGAGAAAAGAGAGAAAGAUAAAGGAAGAAGAAGAAGAUAAGUAUAAAGGUACGAUGUAGGCUUUGAAAUGCAUAAAUGUGCCUUCUUUUAGCUUUAAAUUUCAGUUUUGUUGAAUAUUAGCAUUUUGAGAUUUUGUUUUGGGUUUAAUUAAUGAAUUGAUUUGAAUGUUAUGGGUUGAUUAUUAUGAGUAAUGAUGAGUUGUUUAGUUGAUUUUGGAAGAUUUUAGGUAAAGAUGAUAAUUUUGAGUUAUGAUUUGUUUAAAUGGUGAAUUUGAGUUAGAAAUAUUGAUAUAACAGUAGAUGAUCUAUGGAAAUUCUGGGUUUGAGGUUGAAGAUGACGGAAAUUAAGUUUGGUCCCUCAAUUUGUGAAAAUUGCAGUUUAGUCCUCAAACUUUGAAAAAUUAAAGACUGGUCCCUGAAGCAUAAUUAGAGAUUCUGGACAGAAAUGAGGAUGAAUUAUGGGCAAAAUUCCAGUAUAGUCAUGAAUUUAUGAUAUUUUUAGUUUGGUCCUCCAAUUUGACAAAAGUUACAAUUUGACUCUAAAAAUAUGAUAAAAUUCCAGAUUGGUCCCUAGCUGUAAUAUUAGAUUUUCAGAUUGGUUUGAUGAAUAAAUGAAGGUUAUUUAGUGAAUUAUUAUCAAGUCUUAUUAUUUGUUUUAUUAUGGGUUAGAUUUCGGGAAAGUCCGUUUAAUUUUUGGGUUUUUGGAAAAAAUAACUAGUUUAGUUUAAAAACAUAUGGGGUUAUGGAAUAUACCCUUAGUUAAGUGUAUUAAAUAGGCUGUAUGUUCUUUCAAGUUAUUUUUGCUUUUUAUUAAGAUAAUCCUGAUAUUCUACUAGUGGAACAUUAGUAGAAUUUUCUUCGGUAUUUGCUUCCGAGUUCUGUUUGCUUUCGAGUUAGAUGAGUGUAUAAUUUUUCAUAUGCAUAAGAAAUAUUAUAAAUAUUUGAGUUGUUAAUAUGAAUUGGAUCAUGCUUCUUGAUAAUAUAUAUGUUGAUUAUUAUUCUUGUUACGAUAAAGCAUGAUCAAUUUUUUAAUCUGAAUUUUUGAUAUGAACCAAUAUAUAUUUUGAAUUGAUAGCUUCCCAUUUGAUUAAUGUCAUGAGUGGAGCCUUGAAAUAUGAAUAUGUCUAUUUGAUUAUGAUUAUGAACUUAUUGUAUAUGCCAGUCAGAAUACCCAUGCUAACAUGUUAGUGUUAGUAUUUAUGCACAUCAUAUAUGAACCCUAGUUGGCUAGGGGAGUCACCAACCUGUGUGGACUGAUCAUCCCACAAUACGGAGCCUCAUGCUCAUUGCAUUUUGAUUUUCUGACGAGCUUUACCUUAUGAUAUUCUUGUUAUGACUUAUUUGAGAAACCUUCCUAUAAGAACCUAGAGCCAUAAUUGUAUAUAUAUUCCUCAUUCUUGUAUUACCUUAUGUGUGUAUAUUGAACGUUAUCUACUUAAUGAGUUGUUGAACUCAUCCUCUCAUUAUUUAUCUUUUCAAGCUUAUAGCUUGUUAGCGGGUCACUUUUGUUGGACCUUUAGGAUCUGUUCUUUUGGUUGUUAAUUAUACUUUCCUUUUUAUAUAUCUAGGUAGUGCUCCACAACUAUAAAAUUGUAUUAACUCUUGUAUUAAAACAAUUAAAUUAUAUUAUGAAGUUAGUUUUGUUGUUAUUGUUGCGUUGAACUCUGAUUUAGUUAUUUAAACGAUAAGUUGGUAUGUAAGUUUGGGUUCGCAUAGAUAUGAAACCUUGAAGAGGAACCUUGUCUAUGUGCCGGUCAUGGAUUCGGGAAUCAGGUCGUGCACUUGCAAACCUCAAUGUCUAAAAUUUUUAACAUUAUUAUAUAAAACAGAAAAUUAAAAUUAUUCAUAUAAAUAAAUUUUUAUUUUAGAAGUUUAAAAUUUAACUUAAAACUAUAUCUUUUAAUUUUCAUAUUACUUCAUUAAUUUUAUCAAUUACUCACAUUAAUUGUAUAAUUAAUAAUAUAAUUAUAUUAAAAUUAGUUUAAUAUAAAAUAUAUUAAAAUAUAAUUAGCUUUUCUAAAUGGCUUUUUACCAAUGGAGAGCUAAUUAUAAUGCUAAUUGGUUUAAUUUGUUAAUUACUCACAUUAAUUGCUAAAUGGUAGAUUUAAUUGCCGAAUUUCUUGAUCAUACCUUCUGUUUCAUGUUUGAGCACAGGAGCAGGCCAUAUACAAAAUGGCGUGGAAAGCAAUUGCUGAACCAAGCUAGCUAGUUGAGGCCAGAAGGGAUCGGUACUAGUUUAUCGCUAUAGGGAUUUUCAUGGCUUCCACCAGCGUGCAAGGAAUAACCUCAUCUUCAUCUUCUUCUCCUCCACUAUAUAUGUAUGAUGUGUUCCUUAGUUUUAGAGGCAAAGACACCCGGAACAACUUUACCAGUCAUCUAUAUUCUAAUCUGGCUCAGAGAGGCAUCGAUGUAUACAUGGAUGAUAGGGAGCUCGAGAGAGGAAAGACCAUCGAACCUGCUCUCUGGAAGGCCAUCGAAGAAUCAAGGUUUUCAGUCAUUAUAUUUUCAAGAGAUUACGCUUCUUCACCAUGGUGCUUGGAUGAACUUGUCAAGAUUGUUCAGUGCAUGAAAGAGAUGGGGCACACUGUUCUGCCAGUUUUUUAUGAUGUGGAUCCCUCAGAGACAUAUGAGAAAGCCUUCGUUGAGCAUGAACAAAAUUUCAAGGAAAAUUUGGAGAAGGUCCAGAUCUGGAAAGAUUGUCUCUCUACGGUGACCAAUCUAUCUGGCGGGGACAUACGGAAGAGGUAAAUCAUCUAUCUACUUGUUCUUAUUCUCAAAUCCUCCCUGUAUUGUUUCAAUGGUUGUCAAGGAACCAUCUCAACCCAAUAGCUUAAGCUAUUAGGUGAGGUCCCAAGAUAUGAUUUAUAUUAUUCUCUAACACACCCCCUCAAGUGAAAGCCCUUUAGGCUUGAAACUUGCACAGGCCCACUUUACCUUGUGCUUAAUUUUUAUCAAAUAAAUGGGGAUGGUGAGAUUCGAACUCGUGACCGCUUGGUCAUCAAGGCUCUGAUACCAUGUCAAGGAACCAUCUCAACCCAAUAGCUUAAGCUAUUAGGUGAGGUCCCAAGAUAUGAUUUAUAUUAUUCUCUAACAAUGGUGAACAAAGCUUUUUUUUCUUUAAAAAAAAUGUUUUUCAAUUGAAACGUGUGAUUAAAUAUAAAAAUAAUCACAAUACUACAAGAAUAUCAAAACUAAUUCUUGAAUAAAUAAUUGUUAGCAUAUAUUUUCGAACCAUUAAAUAGCUAUUAAACGACCCUUUUGUCUACGAUCAAACUAAUUUUUCUCUAAUUUUGACUUUUAAAAUAAAAGAGGAGCACAUCUCAAAUCUCAAUUGUCACAGUUUUUAUAAAAUAAAAAUUGAAAACAAGUUAAAAAAAUUCUUGAACUUUUUGCUAAUUUCUAUUAUUUAAUAGAUUGAAUAAUAAAAUUUGAAUUAUCUAAAUUGAAUUUAUUGAGGCAUCUUUAGAAAAAGUCAAUAUUACAAAGACACUUUUAGUAUCACUAGAAUAAUUUUUUCUGAUUGUAUUAUGGAAUAAUAGAGGAUAACUUUAUCAAUUGUAUUAACAAAAAUUUAAACCCUUGGGAAAUUUCUUGUUUACUUAUGGAUUGUAAGAAUGAAUUUACUAAUUUUUCAUUCUAAAAGAUAAGAGGAUCUUUUUAUAAGGGCUAAUUGUCAUUAUAAAAUUGAUAGGGAUAGUUAGGUAUUUCUAAAAAACAUUUGUACAGUAUAAUUAAUUAGUUGCCCUUAAAAUAAUAAUAAAAAAGAUUAGCUAUAAAGAUUUUUUUAAGAUUUCACUUUUCACCGUACAAUAAAAUAACUUAUUUCCUUUAAAAUAAAAAAUUAUUACCUUGUCUUCAAGAGCUUAUUCAUACUUUAUUUUUUGUGAUAAAAAAAGAAGAAAAGUCAUCCUGCCUUAUUUUAAAAUAGAACAUACAAGCGAGUAAGUCGUCUCGCCUUACUUAAGCAGCACGAGUAACGAUUUAUGACACCUAAAAAGUGCCUUUAUUGAUGAUUUCUAAUUCAUCACGACAUGACCUACCUCCUUGAGUAAUUCUCUCUGGAUUGGCGCUAGAAGACUUUUUUUCUUUUCUCUCACUUCUUGAGUUUCGCAUCCAACCUUCUAAAAUUUUCUAGUAGCUUUUUAAUUUUUUUGUUUUAUAUUUAAUCUAUAUUUUUUUAAUUAAUAUUUUUUUGUAUUUGAAUUAUUUUAUAGAAUUGAAAUUUGUUUUCAAUUCUAUACCUUUUAAUUUUUUAAUCUAUUAGAUUUGAUUCUCAUUUUUUAAUUAUAAUUUAUUUUAUAUAAGAUUAUUUUUAAUUUUUUUUUUGAUUUCAUCCUUCAUUUUUUAUUGUUAUGUUCUUUUAUGUUGGCAAAUUUUUAAAAUAUAUAUAUAUAUAUAUAUAUAUAUAUAUAUAUAUAUAUAUAUAUAUAUAUUAUUGAUUUUCAAGGUAUGACAGAUAAUAUAUAUAUAUACACACACGCAACUUGACAUGUAGGUCUCACAUGUCAAAAACAAUUUCCUAUCUUUUUUUGUUAGGUUAUUAUGAUCAUUUCAUUUAUUAUUUUGCACAAAAAAAUAUGUGAACUAAAGUUAAUAUUUAUUUCAAAUGAUCGCUAAAAAAGAGUUAAUUUUUUGCCUAAAAUAUUGUUAUUUUUUUCCCAAUUUAAAUAAAAAUAAGUUUAUAUUAAUGAAAUGAUCAUUAUAUUGAAAUUAAUAUUAAUAUUGUAUAAAAAUUGAAAGACCAAAUAAAAGAUUAAAUAGAGAAGAAAGACAAAGAAAUGGGUUGAAACAAUAAUCAAAGUAAAAGAGAAAAUUUGAGUUGCGUGUGAUACAUGUGUAUCUUAAGGUGUGUGGAUUGGAUUUGCGCAACCAAUUAAAUUAUGUGAAAAAUUAUUUUCGGGCUAUACUAGUAUGAGAAAAAACUCGAAAAUUAAUAAAUUUAAAGUUGUUUUUUUAAAAUUUAUUAUGCAAGAUAAUUGAAUUUUUUGUUAAAAAUAAUUAUAAAAACAACUUAGUGGUUGACAAAAAGUAUGAUAGAACUUCUUUUGCUUUUUGGUCUGUUAAAACCAAACUUCAUGGAUAUUUUAUUUCCUACCUUUUGUUCUUGUAUGCAUGCUUCUGUAGUAUGUGUGAUUCUACAGGCAAUAAGAUAGCUAUUGUACGGAUCAUUCUUAGCAUCAAUACAAUCCUAGUUUCGUUUUCAGUUUAUUCUUUCCUUUUCCUCUCUGUUCUUGAAGCUAUCUAUUAUCAGGGCCCUAUCUUUCUCAAAGGUUGGUGUAUUAAUUUCCGGCUAACAACCAUACAUUUUACAGCUAAAAUAUGCUAAUGUUUAUUUUCCUAUUUCAACCAUGAUUAAUGUUUUGCACCCUCCUAUGCAGGAAAGAGUCGGAAUCAAUAAAAAUAAUUGCUGAAUACAUAUCGUACAAACUAAGCGUCACUCUGCCAACAAUUAGCAAAAACUUAGUUGGAAUAGAUUAUCGUCUAGAGGUAUUAAAUGGCUAUAUCGGUGAAGAAGUAGGCAAAGCAAUCUUCAUAGGGAUUUGCGGAAUGGGUGGCAUAGGUAAGACGAUCGUGGCAAAGGUAUAUUAUGAUAGGAUUCGUUGGCAAUUCGAAGGCAGCUGCUUCUUAGCAAAUGUCAGAGAAGUUUUUGCUGAGAAAGAUGGACCACGUCGUUGCAGGAACAACUUCUUCUGAAAUCUGAUGGAACGUGCUUCUGUAUGGGAUUCUUCUAGAGGGAUUGAGAUGAUAAAGCGGAGGUUACGACUUAAAAAGAUUCUUCUUAUCCUUGAUGAUGUAGAUGACAAAGAACAACUAGAAUUCUUGGCUGAGGAGCCUGGAUGGUGUGGUCCAGGGAGCAGAAUUAUCGUAACUAGAAGAGAUAAAAAAGUGGUUACUGGAAAUAAUAAUUAUAACAUUUAUGAGGCUGAGAAAUUGAAUGAUGAUGAUGCUCUUAUGUUGUUUAGCCAGAAAGCUUUCAAAAAUGACCAGCCUGCUGUAGAUUUCGUGGAACUAUCCAAGCAUGUUGUGGGUUAUGCUAAUGGCCUUCCACUAGCUCUUGAAGUUAUAGGUUCGUUUUUGUAUGAAAGAAGUAUCCAUGAAUGGAGAGGUGCAAUUAAUAGAAUGAAUGAGAUUCCUGACGGCAAAAUUAUUGACGUGCUUCGCAUUAGUUUUGAUGGUCUCCAUGAAUCAGAUAAGAAAAUAUUUUUAGACAUUGCAUGUUUCUUGAAGGGGUUUAAAAAAGAUCAAUAACGAGGAUACUUGAAAACCGUGGAUUCCAUGCAGGUAUUGGAUUACCAAUUCUUAUUGAGAGAUCUCUCAUAAGUGUCUCUCGGGAUCAAGUCUGGAUGCAUAAUUUAUUACAGAUAAUGGGUAAGGAAAUUGUUCGUUGCGAAUCCCCUGAAGAGCUUGGAAGGCGCAGUAGACUGUGGACAUACGAGGAUGUCUGCCUUGCACUGAUGGACAACACAGUGAGUAGCUAAUAGAGAACAUUAUCCAUAAGAUUUCAUAAAGAUUAUUUUAAUUUAAGCUCAAUCUAUACUUUUGGUUGACAGGGAAAAGAAAAAAUAGAAGCCAUUUUCUUAGACAUGCCUGGAAUAAAAGAUGCACAAUGGAACAUGGAAGCCUUCUCUAAAAUGAGCAAACUAAGAUUGCUCAAAAUCGACAACGUGCAGCUUUCUAAAGGACCUGAAGAUCUUUCCAAUAAGUUGCGAUUUCUUGAAUGGCAUUCUUACCCUUCAAAAUCAUUGCCAGCUGGUUUACAGGUGGAUGAGCUAGUUGAACUUCACAUGGCUAACAGUAGUAUUGAACAAUUAUGGUAUGGGUAUAAGGUGAGAUCAACUAAUUUAAGGGCCUUUGUAUUUCUUUUUAUCGUUUUCCUAUAUAUGUAUGAUAGUAGCAUCCACAUUUCUUCUCCCCUGCCUGAUUGCAGAGUGCAGUUAAUUUGAAAAUCAUCAAUCUCAGCAACUCACUAAACCUGUCCAGGACUCCAGAUCUUACUGGAAUUCCAAAUCUCGAGAGUCUGAUUCUUGAAGGUUGUACAAGUUUGUCUAAGGUCCAUCCAUCACUUGGAAGUCACAAGAAUCUUCAAUAUGUGAAUCUUGUGAAUUGCGAAAGUAUUAGGAUUCUCCCAAGCAACCUUGAAAUGGAAUCGCUUAAAGUUUUCACUCUUGAUGGCUGCUCAAAACUUGAGAAGUUUCCAGAUGUACUAGGAAACAUGAACUGUUUGAUGGUGCUUUGUUUGGACGAGACUGGUAUUACAAAACUAUCUUCAUCGAUUCGUCAUUUGAUUGGCUUAGGUCUAUUGAGCAUGAAGAACUGCAAGAACCUUGAAAGCAUUCCGAGUAGCAUACGUUGUUUUACCAUGCUUGAAAGAUACCUCCAGGUCUUCUCUUAAUCAUACCCCAACCUCUUUGUAUCUCUCUCUCUCCCCUUCUCUCCAUCUAACAUUUUGGUUUUUCAUGGUAUAGGGUUUGUCUAAUCCAAGACCUGGAUUUGGUAUCGCUGUUCCUGGAAAUGAAAUUCCAGGCUGGUUUAACCAUCAAAGCAAGGGAUCUUCAAUUAGUGUGCAAGUGCCUAGUUGAAGCAUGGGGUUUGUUGCGUGUGUUGCAUUCAGUGCAAAUGGAGAAAGUCCUUCUCUUUUUUGUCAAUUCAAAGCCAAUGGAAGAGAGAAUUAUCCUUCGCCGAUGUGUAUUAGUUGUAACUCUAUCCAAGUUCUGUCAGAUCAUAUUUGGCUAUUCUAUCUAUCUUUUGAUUACCUUAAAGAGCUUAAAGAAUGGCAGCACGGAUCCUUUAGCAACAUUGAGCUGUCAUUUCAUUCUUUCCAGCCAGGAGUAAAGGUGAAGAAUUGUGGUGUCUGUUUGUUAUAUUCUCCAUCAUCUCAAUCUUCUGCCCAUUUUAUUGUUGCAAGCAAAGAAGCAUCUUCUUCAUAUAAAGCUUCUUUAUCGGUGUCUUCAUCUUACCGUCAAUGGAUGGAAGAUCUUGUGAUAAAAAAAAAGUGGUUCGCUGUUUAUAGAACACACAAGCGAAUAAGUUGUUCUGCCUUAUUUAAGCAACAUGAGCAAUGACUUAUGACACCCAAAAAAGAUCUUCAUUGAUGUUUUCUCAUUCACCACGAAGAAUCAGGGCUGUCAAUUAUUAUAUUUGCAAGAGAUUGUGCUUCUUUACCUUGGUGCUUUGACGAACUUGUCAAGAUUGUCGGAUUCAUUGAUGAAAUGAGAUCGGACACUGUGUUUCCAGUUUCUUGUGAUGUUGAACAAUCAAAGAUAAAUGAUCAAACAGAGAGUUACACAAUUGUCUUUGAUAAGAUUGGAAAAAAUCUCAGGGAAAACGAGGAGAAGGUACAAAGAUGGAUGGAUAUUCUCAGUGAAGUUGAGAUUUCAUCUGGAUCGAGAUCAGCGGAAAGGUAUCAUUACUUUUAUUUUAUAUCUCGACGUAUCAACCACUUCAAGUAAAUGAAACUGGGAAUACUGAAAGAUAAGAACUUAAUGUCAACAAAGUUGGAAAAAUAUGAUAAAAGAUCAUAAUUUUUAUUUUUGACUUUCGAAUUGGACUAAAAUUUCUGUAGAUUAUUCCUAAGGCUUAGUUUUACCAUGCAGGGAUGGGGACAAGAAUGUCCAGGUUUCAGGUACUUUUUCUUCAGCUUUCAUGUAUAGCUUUGCUUGUGUAUCGUUUAAAACACAAGAUAAAAUCAUCUUAUUGUUAAAAUUGAAUUGCUGAAUAGACUAAGCUCACUCUAGUCAUACAAAGCAAUGGUUAAUGUACUUGAUACAAAGAAUAGGAAGCAAACAAACUGAACUAUGAAGUACAAAAUUCCAAAGUUAGCACAAAAAUAAAGAAAAAAAAUUAGGGAUGUAUCCCAGUUCAAUUGGUUGAGUAACAUAAUCUAUUGAUUUAAAAAAAAAAAAAAAACAUAAAGCAUUGCGCUACUCACCAUAGCAUAACCUCUAAGAAUUAAAAUCUCAAAAAGUUGUGCUAGGAGUAGCGCGCUCAACCUUUAAAUUUUUUAUGCUAGAGGUUUUGAUAUAUAUAUAUUUCUAAACAAAAAAAAAUUUAAAAUAUAUUGGUUAAGAAAAAAAUUUAAAAUUGUUCAAUGACUGUCUACAUUACAUAACAGAACAUCAAAUCUUUGAUGGGAUUUAAUCAAGUAACCUGAAAAGGUAGCCUCACUGGUGUCAUAAUAACAUUCACAGACUUAGCUUUCAUGGUAGUAGCUAUCUCUCAAGCAACUUUAUUUAUUAUUUAUUUCUUAAUUUCCUUUCCUCAAGUGAUCACUUGAAAAGAUAGCUAUGUGUUUUGAUUGAUGUAUAAUUGUCUUUAAGAACAUACCAUCCUUUUCAAUCUUCAUAGCUCAAGCUCAAGUAUUCAUUGCUGCCCCAAAAUGGAAAUCGAAUUCUUGUACAAAUAUAGUUUGAUAAAAAAAAAAGGUUAUCUUUGUUCGUUGCUUCUUCAUCAUCAUUGUCAUUAAAUGUUUCUAUCUUGAGUCUUAGAUUUUGGAAAUGUAAACAAAAUUCCAAGAUUAAUUUUUGUAUUGUUAUUUCAGGAAGAGUCAAGCCAAGAAGGUAGUUUGUAUUCCAGCACCAGCUGCUGCAAACAGCAGGUCUAGUGGAGAAGUAGUUCCAUCUGACUUGUGGGCAUGGAAAAAAUAUGGACAAAAACACAUCAAGGGUUCUCCUUAUCCAAGGUGUGUGUAUAUAUAUAUAUAUAUUAUAUGAAGUUGAUAAGAUUACAAAGAACAAACAGCUGGAUUUUUCAGUUCUCUAUUCUCUCUAACAAAUUAUAUCAUUGCCUGGAAAAAUGUUUCUUGAUUUAAUUCUUCUUCUUCUUAUUACCCUGAAUAUAUUUUUGCUUAGUAAUGCCCUGAAAAAGUUCUGGUGAACCCAAGUAAUGCUUCCCGAGACACUGAGCUCAAACAGUUUGUUGUUCGGUGCAUAAACAACAUUUUAAGCAUUGAUUGACUGGUUGUAACUUGCAGUGCUAGUGUUGAUGAAUGUGUAUGCACUAUUGUUCUUUGAGCUCAACAGCUUCAAGAGUUCCCAAUUUGCAUGCUCAAAUGAUUGGCAGGAAGUGAAUCCAAAACACUGAGUUUCUUAGCAUAUAAUAUUGUUGUGAACAAUUAGUGGUUUUCUUGUCAUCUUUCUGAUCAGUUUUCAGUUUUGAACUUUGAUUUUCUUUGAGUAAUUAUUAUUGUGAAAGUGGUCUGUAAAUGUUUGGUUAAGAAUUGCACUGAAUGUUAAAACGUAUUGUCUUUCCUUCCAGAGGUUACUACAGAUGCAGCAGCACUAAGGGUUGCUUAGCAAAGAAGCACGUAGAGCGGAGCCGAAAUGAUCCUAACAUGUUGGUCAUCACCUACAAUUCUGAGCAUAACCAUCCAUGGCCAACACAGAGAAAUGCACUUGCUGGCUCAACAAGGUCUCAGCCAACAAAGAGCAAUGCAGCUUCAAAGAGCUCCACAGGUGCUCAAGCACGAAAAACAGCAAAUACAAAGGAAGAUCAGAAGGAGAGUAGCAAUGAUACAUUGUCUCCUACCGAUAUUAUUGGUGGUAGCUCAACAGCAAGCGCAUCUGUUAAAGAGGAGUCUGAUGACAUUGAGAAGCAGAUGGAGAUGGAUGAUAAUGAAUUCAGUGAAGGGUUUUCUUAGAGUUACUGUUGGCGGGAAAGACCACUAGUGGUGACUUUUAAAUAACACACUGUUUUUAUUUCAAAAUAACAAGAAGAUUACAAGCUCUCAAACUCACCCACUCUUUCUCGUAUUUUCCACACACAUUGCAAUGCUUUCUUGAUGUCUAUUUAUAGACAUGAACGGUAGGACAGAAAGGAAAACCAGAGAACAUGCAGAAUAUAUUCCACCAGCUCAUCUUUCUACUUUUUACUAAAGUAGAUGAGUUGUUCCACUUUGUUGCUUUAAUGGAGUGGGACUACCUCACAUGGUAAUGUUCUAACAAUUGGUCCUUAUGAUUGAGGUUAUAGCAACAAAUUCUCUCAUGGUUUAUUUGCUUUCUAGUUAACUUCUUUGGUAAAACUGGAUCUGUGAUGUUUGCUAAGGACACAACUUUCAUAGACUUCAUCUAGAUGAUUAAUAUGGGGCAUAACUUUGACUAUCUUUUUACUUACUAGCAUCUUCAAACUUGUAAAAUUUAGAUGUUCAAGCCUUAGGUGCCAAAGUCACUCUUCAUUGUUGGUGAUGACACUCAAAUACUUUGCUGGAGCAUAUUGGAUGUUUAUAGGAAACAUCUUAUUCUUGAACAUCUUCACAUAGGCAAUUAAUCUCCUAUUAUAAUCUUCAAUUGUUAGAUUACAGUUCUUCAUAAGAAGAGUGUAACCUUUCUCUAGAAGUUGGCCUAUACUCAGCAAGUUAUGCUUAAUUGCUAGAACAUAAUAAACAUCUGCAAUGUAGCUAUGAUCGCCAUUCUUCAAACGAAUUGGGGUGUUGCCUCUUCUUUUCAUUGGAACUUUUGAGGUGUCUCCAAAAAUGACUAGACGUUUUACAGUUUCAUCUAGAUCUCCAAAUAGAUCUCGUUGACCACUCAUGUGAUUGUUAGCUCCAGAAUCCAAAUACCAUAUAUUUUUCUUGUUGUUAUCCAUUUUUGGGUUUCCACAAAAAAAAUUUGAAAAUGAGAAAAUACAAAAAAAAAAAUAUAUGAAAAAUAUUAAAAAAAAUCCAAAAAAUAAUAGGAGCGAGAAAAGGACUGGAAUGCUGAAAAAAGGACAAAAUUGGUUGAGAAGGUUCAAAAAUACAAAAUAUUAAAAUUUAACAGUAUAUUUUUUACUGAUGGGAGUCCUGUUGACAAAUAAAAUUCAAGUUGAGAAAGAAAAGUUUAAAAUCAAAUAUUUAUGGACUCAAGUAAAUUUUAUCUAAGGUUUAAUUGAAUUUAUGGAGGGUUUGAUUACAAGAAAAGAUUGAUUUUCAAAUCAAUUUAGGCUUUUAUUGGAAGAAAUUAAAGUUCUAGGGUCUAAUUAUAAUUUUGAAGAGUUGAUUUGGUCAAAUCAUAGGCUUAAUUGCAUAAUUAUUAAAUUUUGGUGGUCAAUUAGGGACUUAAUUGAAACAAUUCAAAACUAAGAACUAAAUCAGAAAAGGUGCUAAAAUUAAGGGGUCUAAUUACAAUUUUUCCGAGGGGCUUGAUUACAAAAUUACAAAAAAACAUCCAAGGACCAAAUCAGAAAUAUGCAUUUUGAAUUAGCAAACGGCGUCAUUUCCUUGAGAACUGUUGAUCACCUUCUUCAUCUGCAACGGUUUCGACAGUUAAUGAGCGCUAUCAAUGGAGCCAUUUCAACAACAAAAACAGCAGAUUGCUUCAGUUAUGGGGAAUGUUUCACGGCUACUAUUCCUCUACAUGCCGUUACCAAGUUGGACGUUGCACUGCAGGCCAUUCUUUGGCUUAUAAAAGCCAGAGAAAGACGAUGAAAUAAAGGGGAGAACGACAAAAGGAAAACGAGAACAAAGGGAGAAAGGAGAGGUGACAGUGGGGAAAAAAAAAGAAGGGGAGAGAGUCGCACCAUCACUGCCAACGCCAUCGUGAUCAGCUCAUCAUCUACUUCGUCCAGCAGCCACUGCCAUUACCCAUCACAAACGCACCAGCACUGCACAAAGGAGGGGAGAAAAAGAACGAGACAGGGGAAACGAGAGAGGAGAAAGAAGAACAGAGGAGAGAACACAGUGAGAAAUUCAGGAAAAACAAAAGAAGGGCGCAUGAGGAUAUAGAAACCAAAGAGCAAAGGAACAGCAGUAGGACAAAUCGAACGGCGAAGCCAAAACGCAAAGACAGCAGGGGAGGUUAACACCACCAUCGGUUUCCUUUCCCCAGAAGCAGGUAUGUUCAUGUCCUUUCUUCGCAACAAUUGACGCCAGUUUUGUCUAGAAAAACAAAAAGAAACAGGAGACGAAAGUAAGCCAAAAGAUCGCCAUUUCGUUUUUACUCUGUUAAUAACAGCUAUCUGCAAAAAACGAAGGAUGAACAGUGCGAAGGUAAUAUAAUUACACGCAUAGAAUUUUACGCGUGCAUGGCUUGGUCAACCCACAUGGGUGGCUGGGUCCAGCCCAGCCAUUUGGGCCGGGCUGGACCCAGCCCCAAAAAUUCUUGAAAAAAUUAUUUCAAAAAAGGCUGUGAUUUUCCGCAAAUAUUUCUAUUGUAUUUUAAUCAAUAUUGGUUUGUAUUUUUAUACUAUAAAAAUACAAAUUUGGUAUUAAAAUACUCGGUUUUCGUAAAAAAAUAAAAAAAUAAAAAUAAAAUAAAAUGUUUUGUUUUCAUGCAUACGGCUAAGUCUCUCAAAAAUAAAAAUAAAAAUCAUAUUGUAUUUUCAUACAACAAAGAAAAUUUCAAAAAAUAUGUAUUAGCAUGCAUUUUGACUUUAAUAACCAGUUUAUUAAAGUCACGAGAACUAGGCCAAUAUUUCAAAAAUUCCAAAAAAAUUAUUUUGUUUUCUUUUAAUAACUGGGGUUACGACCUUAUACGCAAGACGUAUUCUAGAUAUUAAAUUCUUUUAUUGACAUCAGAAUUACCCGUUAAGAUAAGGAUCUCCUUACCGAGGAGAACUUUUCUUAAACCAUAGAUGGACCACCAACUAGAAAACAUGACAAGACCUUAGAUUUUAUCAUACAAUAAAACAAUGCGGCUUACCUUAGGUAAGGCGUAUUUGGGGUGCUAACACCUUCCUUUUACACAACCAGUCCCCGUACCCGAUCUCUGAGACCAGUUAGGGUUCCUAGUGACCAAAAUACUAGGUAGUGACUCCCAUUCCAUUUUUCCACUAAUAAAAGACAAGAAUACCUUGUCUCCCUAUAUUUGCCGCAUUAGAUCAUAUUUUGAGGGUGUAUGUUUUCGCCGCGACGCCGCACACGUGCGACACUCCUGAUUCUCGCCUAGUCCUUGUUGGACUAAUAAUGCAACUGGUCCUCUUAUGGUGAUAUUAUUAUCUACAUAGUUGACUUCUCCUUCUACCUCUGAUGGAGCUUUUCUUCGACAUUCAAUGCUAUAGUGCCCAAAUUGAUUGCAUUUAUAACACUAGAUAUUUCUCUUGUCAUAGUUGUUAUAACUGCCUCCCCUUCCUCUAGGAGUAAAUGUUUGUUAUCCUCGACCUCCUCUAAUGGUGUUUCUACCACCUCUUCCUCUGAAUUCUGUGUUCCAAGAUCCUCUUCAUUGGAAUCGUUUAAAUCCCCCUCAGCUUUGUUGACCGCUUCCUUGAGUGGUAUAUCCAAUUGUUGAAAUCUCCCUACCCUCCUUGAGAGAUAACUUUGAUUGUAAGGCAUGUUCAAUUGCCUUAUCUUUUUUUACUAUCUUUUGUUCAUGAGCUUGUAAAGAACUCAUAAGCUCAUCCAUUGUCAACUUGUCCAAUUCUUUGGAUUCUUCAAUAGCGACAAUAACAAAAUCAAAUUUUGAAUUUAGGGAUCUCAAAAUUUUCUCAAUAAUCCGAGCAUCUGAAAGGGCUUCUCCAUUUCUUCUCAUGUGAUUGACUAUCACCAUAAUUCUCGUGUGAUAUUCAGAAAUAGAUUCUAAUGACUUCAUUUGUAAUUAUUCAGAUUCACCUCGCAAAGAUUGAAGAAGAAUCUUCUUGAUUCUGCCAGCACCUUUAUAUUUUUGUUGAAGAGCCUCCCAUAUUUCUUUUGAUGUUUCUGCGGAAACUAUGAUCUCAAAUGUGGCUUCAUCAAGACCUUGAUAAAUGAUAGUCUUUAUUGUGUUGUCUUUCUUUCUAUGGGCUCUCAAGACUUGUUUUUGUGUCUCUUGUAAUGAUUCUUCUGCUUUUUUGGACUCUGAUUCAUCAUAACCAUAUUCCACAAUCUCUAUACACUCUUGAGAACCAUGAAAUGCCUUCAAUCUUAUAAACCAAUUAUCAUAGUUGUUUUUGGUCAGCUUUGGGAUAAGUGUUUGUGCAUUUUCUGUAGUCAUUUUAUUCUUUAAAUGACUAUAUCACUUUAUGGGAGUUGAAUUUGGCAAAACGGACACUGUAGAUGGUUUCAGAAUGCCCACAAAUGUAGGGUCAGAAAUAAGGUGAACCGGUCCAAGAAACGAUUUUGGAUGUCGAAGGGUUUGCUGCAGUUGAACUGGGAAUAUUCUGGGAAUGUUUGUUUGGCUCAGAUCGGCUCGGUUGGCGGUUAAGCGGCUCGGUUAGGGUACAACUUAGGAGGCUCGGCGCGACUCAAAUAUGAUGUGCGUGUGGCUUAGUAGUCUUCUUCCUCUGAGCGCGUCGGAUGCGCGUGGGCUACAGUGCUGGAUUUUCAGGAGGCGCAUGUGAGACACCCCUUGCUCCAAUGAAUCUAAUUUUUGUACCGAUAAGUUUGUAUAGAUGAACUCUACACCGUAGAAUGGUCAAAAUGUGUUUUGGACAAUUUUGAAAAUUCAGGUAUAUCCUAGAAACUCCUCUAUUUUCUGAUCAACGAGGCUCUGAUACUAAUUGUUGGUGGGAAAGACAAUUGGUGGUGGCUUUUAAAUACUUAGAAAAGAUAAAACACACUGUUUUUAUUUCAAAAUAACAAGAAGAUUACAAGCUCUCAAACUCGCCCACUCUUUCUCUCAUGUAUUUUCCACACAUUGCAAUGCUUUCUUGAUGCCUAUUUAUAGACAUGAACGGUAGGACAGAAAGGAAAAACAGAGAACAUGAAGAAUAUAUUACACUAGCUCAUCUUUUCAAGUGGAAAAAAUUAUUCAAGCACAACCUCCACCCUCUCCUCCCUCCCUUUGGUCAAUCAUGUGGGCAUUCCUUAAAUUAAAAAAAUAUAUAGACAUACAUGCUUUUAUUGCAUUGAUGGGAAAUAAAAUGGAAGAAGAAGACAAGAGUAUGUAUAUAAUUAUAUUUGUUUGAUGUUGUUGUUUAGAAUUUUUUUAAAUUUUUUUAAAAAAUAUAUUAAAAUAAUUUUUCUUUAAAAAUAUCACUCAAGAUUUCAAUAAUCAGUGAAGAUAUUAGAUUAAGCUUAAAUUAUUUAAAAAAGUUUAAUAGACUCGGUUUUAAAAUAUAUUGGUUUAUUGUAAUCAUCCAUGAUCAGAAAGCCUUCAAAUUUGGCACCAUUGAAUUAAAAAAAUUUCGAAGUUUAUGCUGCUGAGCUACUCCAAGCAACGCAAUCUUUGAGAAUGUAGCGCAACUUAUUGAAAUUUAAAAUUUCAACAAGCUGCGCUACUCCUAAGGACAACCACCAAUAGUGUAUUAUUUUUUUCACGCAUGCUACUUUGCAAAAAAAAAUGUUGUCACGUGUGCUAUUUUGUGAAUAACUCUAAGAAUAAUGAUCAACUUACGGGAAAAAAAAAACAAAAAAAUGAUUAGUGCAUGUAAUUUUCUAGUAAUUACACCUUAAAGUCUAGCAAUAUCUAGGUUUCUUCUUCUUUUUCGUUUUCUUAUAAGCGUCUGUCGUAGGUUUGGCACAUAACAUUAAAAAAAGUAAGCACAACUUUUUUUAAUGUUAUGUAUUGUAGACUGCAUGACUCUUUCACAAUAACGCACUCACAUUUCUCAUCACUGUGCAGAACGUGUUUAGGCUGUUGAAACUUUAGAUCAUAAUCGCUUGCCCUUUUAUCUUAAGCUGAUUUAAUACAUUUCUCCCAAUUUCAUUUGUAGCAUGGCAAGUUAAAAAAUCUAAUUAUCUUCGAUCCCCACUGAAACCCUUACCUGGAUGUGGAUCCUGAUUCAUACAUGACUCCAUUUCCAACUGUACGCAUUAUUUGCCCACAAAUAGUAAACUUUAAUUUCUAAUUGUCAUUGUUGUGAGUGUACUGAAGUUGAUGUGAAGGACUUAUUCAAACAUGAUACUAGAGGAAAUUAGUUCUUUACUUGAAGGCUGGUUGGAGUAUAUCCUUAUCAUUAGAUUGUUUUUUUUAAAAAAAAAAUAGUGAAGAAAGAUUAGCUCUGCUACUGCGUCACUAGCUAAAGAAAGUGCAUAUUAUUUGGGAUUUGCUCCUCUCAAAUCACAACUUAAUAUAAUUCAUCAUGUUGGAAACAUUCUAGCUUUUGAAUUCAUAUUAAUGUCUGGUGGACCCCCACGAUUAUUGUUUUGGUGUUGAUGAAAAGGUUUGGCCAUUGAAAUUAGGUUUGCCCCGACUGAUGUGGAGCUUGUGCUUUACUACUUGAAGAGGAAGAUAUGUGAGAAAGGUUUUGAGCUUGAUAUUAUUCGCGAUGUUGAUGUUUACAAGUGGGAUCCUGAGAGUUACCUGAGCUAUCCCCAUUGGAGAGCGACUGGCAAUGGUACUUCUUCAGUCCAGGGGAUAGGAGAUAUCACACUGGAGCAAGGUCAAAUAGGGCAACCCGACAGGGGUGGUGGAAAGCUACAGGGAGAGAUCGCAGUACUGUGUACAAUUCUCGAAAAGUUGGAGUUAAAAAGACCUUGUUUUCUAUAGAGGUCGUGCACCAAGAGGAGAGCGAACUGAUUGGAAGAUGCAGGAGUAUACUUUGUGUGAAGAAGAACUCAGGGGACGGGCAAAUGUGCAGGAGUUUUAUGCCCUUUACAAGCUUUGCAAAAAAGGUGAAAUGGAUUUCAUGGAAAUUGAUCUCGGUCCACAGCCUAAUUUCUCCGAGACGGUGUGACGUAGGACACAAAUCCCAGCUAAAUUAUUUAAAUUGUAAUAGUUAUUUAAUUGUUAAUUUUCUUUAGGAUUUUUUAGUUUUAUUUAAUUAGGCAUGUGGUUUCCCUAGGAAAUUAGUAAUAAUUCUAGAGUGUUUUUUUUUCAUAUUCGGUUUUUUUUGGACUUUCCAAAAUCACCAAUCAUCCUGCUGCUCUCCUUAGUGAACUUGUAUCACUUUCCCAAUGACAUGCUCGUUUUGGUCACCCAUCUUUAAAACUUGUCAAUUGAAUAAUGUCUCGGCAUCAUCUGCUAGUCACAACCGAGCUCUCUCCUGUGGUUUAUCAUGCAUACUAACUUGGUAAGAGUCAUUGUCUUCUGUUAUGAAUUGUUCAAUGGUACUGAGGGUAUAAGAUAAGUCUGACAUAAAUAAGGAAUGAGAGAGGUUUUUCAUGAGAGGUAGUUGUCUUUGGUAAGUUCAAUUUUGGAAAGAGUAGUGGUAGAGGAUUGUGGACGGGAGCAGAGGUUGUAGAAUUAAAGGAAGACAUUGGAAGAAGAUAAGACCAGUUUUGCUCUAAUACCAUAAAGAGUUUCAACGUUUUUGGAAAUUGCUUUGAUGUCUUUUGGAUGCAUGAAGUAUUAUUAUUUAUAGAUUAGUUUGCGACAUCAAUGAUCUGUACAUGGAAUACAUUUUGAAAUUUAAAUUAUGCGGCUGUGUACAUUAUCUUCGGUUUUAAAGGUCAUCUUCAACAUAUUUGAAUGUGUUGUCAUCUACAUGAUAUUCGACUAGUUUGGAAGUUGAUUGAGCAGAUUGUUUCUAUUGGAUGUGUGCUUGAUUUUUGGAUGCAGUUGUUGCUUUGCUUUCUGCAAAAUUGGUUGUUAAUCAAGUAGAUGAUUGUGACUUAAUUGAUGGUGCAAACCCUGGUAAAAAAAAACAAAUAUCGGUAACAUUACUGAGUAACAGUAAGAAGUCUGUAAAAGAAAUAAAAAGAGGGUUUGAUGUAUUAAGAAGUUUAAGAGUUAAAGUGUUCUUUUGAAGAAGGAACAAUUGGGCUUGGAGGGAAAUGUGGAGGAGAGCUUGAUUCAAUUUGUUUUGGAUUUUAAUUUUUUAUUCCGUAAAGGUAAGAAAACUCUCUUCCAUGAUGUUUCAUUGUGUUGUUUUUUAUGUUUGUUCUUGAAUUGAGAAGAAUUGGUAUUAUGUAAAGUGGUUCAAGACCUGUUUGGAAAUUUGAUUUAAAAAAAAAAAAUAAUUUUUUAUAUAUUUUUAAAUUGUUUUGAAGUGUUUAUAUCAAAAUUAUUUUUUAAAAAAUAAAAAUAAUUAUUUUUAUAUAUUUCUAAAAAAAAAUACUUUAAAAAAUAAUAACUACUAUAUUUUCAAUCACUCAUGGUAAAAGGUUUGAGAUGAGAUAUUGGUAAUGGGAGAAAAAUUGGUGUUUGGGAUUUGUAAAAAUCAAAGAUGGGCUGUUUGUGAUAAAAAUAUUAAAGUUUGAGAUUCUUAAAUUCAAUUCAAUAUGAUUUUUUUUUGUUUUUCGUUAAUUAGUUCCAGUUAAUAGGGUGGUACGUGGCUAAGUUUAUUUUUUUAUAAGAAAAAUAAUGGGAAUUUAUAAUAUUUAAUAUAAGAGUUCCAUAGUUAAUAGUUUGAAAAUUCAUUAAAAAAUACUUUUCAAUUGUGAUGUGUGUGGCCCAACCCCUGCUCUAGACAGGAAGGUGCCUCUGCUGUCCACUGCGCGUUCGAUACCCUUUCAUUUCUCUUUUUGUUUUUUCUCCACCGAAACUCCCAUCUUCUUUACAAUGUAAGAAAAAGAUCCGUAAGAGGUUGGAUUCUGUUUUGUUAUACAAGCACUAGUUUAUUAAACAUUAAAAAAAAAAACAUUAUUAUUAUUAUUAUUAUUAUUAGAAUUAAUAAAGAAAUAAAAGACCAUGAUAUUGUUUUACUAUAGAUAGAUCGAAGCCUAGAUCAUAUUUUUUUUUUUUCAAAACAUUGAUUUCAAUUUAAGACCGAUUAAAUUGGAUUGUAAUAGAUUUGAAGUUAGAAGCAGGUCUCCGGAAGAUAUUAGGACGAGUUUGAGGAUUUGUUUUUACUGGAAAUGAAGAAAAAAGGUGUUAGGAUGCACAUGGAUGGUGGCCCUUGAUUUUCUGACUAUCGAAGCGUUGUCGAGAAAACAUAGCACCACAUGUUCUUCCAAUAAAUGACGUGUCCUUUUCAACUUCUUGUUGUGGAUAUCGGAUUAAAAGUUACUUUUCAAUGGAAAAAAAAAAAGCGUGGGCACUGUCAACUUUUUUUAAGUUGAAGAAUUUUUUUUUUAUUGUGAAUAAAAAGAGUUGACGCAUGUUUUUAAUCAAAGCAAUCAGAAUUAUAUACAAUACAAAAAAUGUUAAAAUGCAAAUCAAAGAAUAAAUCUAGAAACUAGGUGAUAAAUACGGUUCAAAAUAUAUGAUUUCAUGUAGCCAAAAAAUUAACAAUUUAAGUUCUAUCAACAUAAAAUAAUUUCCUAGUAUGUUUAUCAGAAUGUUUAUUUUUUGAAGAACAAAAAGUUAUGAGAGUCAUAAAAAAAAUUAAUUAAAAAAAUAAUUAAUGGUUUUAUAAUUAUGCCAUGAAUGUAUAUUUUUUAUGUAAUCAUGCAGUAAUAAAAAAGUUGUGCGGAAAGCCAAAAAUCAAAAUUUAUUAUAGAGCCAACGGAAAUAAAGGUCGCGAAGAGGGUGAUGCCGCUGAUGGUUGGUUCUCUUCCUCCUUGUGACUUUUUGUGGACACGUUCGGCCUCGGACAUUGAGAUCGAGGCAGGUAAUUGCGUGGACUGGUGGAAGAAAAAUUGGGUUUUUCCUCUCGGAGUCUUCGUCUAUGCUAUCUUAUGGGUAGAAAGUGUCGGGGGAUGAGUGGCUGGGAUUCAUUCAUGAAUAGCGGCUUUAAGAAUUUUCAUUAUUGGACGGAUCGAGAACCUUUUUUAUGAGUUUGCAUUUGGUGUUCAAGCUAUGGUGGCUACAUUAUCCAAGAGGUUGGAUUCUGUUUUGUUAUACAAGCACUAGUAUAUUAAAAAUUAAAAAAAAAAUAGUAAUAAAAAAUAGAAUAAAAAUUAAAAAAUAAAUAAAUUAGAGUGUAACUAAGUUUUUUCAAUUGAAGGGUUAACUGAAAAGAAAAAUAACUUGAACAAAAACAAAAAUAAAAAAUAAUGAGGAUAAAAUUGAAAAAAAUAACACACCAUAAACUUGGAUUGAAUAGUGAGAUUAAAAGCCAAUAAAACUUUUAUAAAAGAGUUAAGGGAAAAAAAAAAAGAAAUCCAAAGAAUAUAGACCAAAUAAAAAAAGGAAUAUGUGAAAAUUCAAAAUCGAAGGAUUAAAUUGAAAAGAAAUAACACUUAUAUAAAAGGGCAAAAGGAAACAAAAAUAUAAAUUGAGGACCAAAUUAAAAACAAUAAAAUAAAAUAAAUUUGGAUUGAAGGAUGAAAUUGAAAAAAAAAGUAUCAUAAAAGAGUCAACUAAAAAAACUAGAAAUAAAAAAAAAAAACCAAAUUGAAAAGUAUAAUAUAUUAUAAAUUGGAAUUGAAGGAAUAAAUUAAAAAGAAAUAAAACUUUUAUUAAAGGCUCAAUGAUGAAAAUAAAAAAAUAAAAGAAGAAGGACCAAAACAAAAAUACAAAAAACAAAAAAACCAAUAUGCAAUUUUUGGGGGGCAAUAAAAAGAAAAGAUCUACUAACAACAAACCUAUAAUAAUUGAAUUGUUGACGAGAGGGAAAGAGGUGAUUGUAGAGCGGUUGUUGGGGCUGCUGGUAUGGGUGGUGGAUGUUGUGGUGGUUUGAUAUGGCUAUUUGGGUUGGUGUGAAGGAGUGGAGUUGUUGCAACGAUGACAGAGGGGCUAGUUCAUUGGUUAAGGUUUCUGACAAGGUGAGGGCGAUCAAGAAUUGAGGUUUUUGUAUUGAUAGAAAUGCAGAAAAAACUCCAAUCUUGAAAGCAAAAAAUGACAUCACUAGUAGGAAAGGAAGUGUUAUUGAAAGCUAUGGCGGCGGCAAUACUAAAUUGCAUGAUCUUGUGUAUCUUAUUCCUUACUAGUUUUUAAUUGGAAACUUAUAAAUCUAUGGAAAAUUGAAAGGCGCACCGGAGAAGUUGGAAAUAUCCGUUAAAAUCAAAGCUUACGACGACAUAAGUUUUAAAGAAUUUGAUUAUUUCAAUAAGGCCUUUCUAUAAAAGUGCUUAAAGAGAUUCGAAUCAAUAUCCCAAAAAGUUGGAUUGGGAAAGCGGUUUCAGACCGUUUGGAAAUUUGAUUUUUUUAAAAAAAUAAUAAUUUUUUUAUAUUUUUAAAUUGUUUUAGCAUACUUUUAUCAAAAUUAUUUUUUAAAAAAUUAUUAAAAAAAUUAUUUUAAUAUAUUUAAAAAAACACACUUUAAAAAAAUAACUACCAUUAUACAUCCAAGCACCCUUGUUAAAAGGUUUGAGAUGAGAUAUUGGGAAUGGGAGAAGAAGUGGUAUUUGGGAUCGGAGAGGAAUUAAAGUUGGGUUGUUUGUGAUAAAAAUAUUAAAGUUGGAGAUUCUAAACUCAAUUUAAUAUGAUUUUUUUUUUUGUUUUUCGUUAAUUAGUUCCAGUUCAUCGGGUGGUGGCUAAGUUUAUUUAAAAAGAAAAUCAAUGGGAAUUUAUAAUAUUUAAUGUAAGAGUUUUGUAGUUAUUAGUUUGAAAAUUCAUUAAAAAAUACUUUUCAACUGUGAUGUGUGUGGCCAAUGCGCGUUCGAUAUCCCUUUCAUUUCUCUUUUUGCUUUUUCUCCACCGAAACUCCAUCUUCUUUACAGUGUAAACUUACCAGUACGAGUUCUUGACCUCAAGGAACCGGAAAAAAAUUCGACGUCAUUGGGCUUGGCUAGAUCUUGUGCCUCUUUAGCCAACACUUACCACACGGUUUGUUUCGUCUAGAUUCGUGAAAUACUCGUAGAAAUUUGGUGUUUUCUGAUUUCUAAGUAGAAUUAUACAUGUUCCAGCUUGAAAUUGCUAAUUGGUAGAUUUAAUUGCCGAAUUUCUUGAUCUUACCUUCUGUUUCAUGUUUGACCACAGGAGCAGGCCUUACACAAAAUAGCGUGGAAAGCAAUUGCUGAACCAAGCGAGCUAGUUGAGGCCAGAAGGGAUCGGUACUAGUUUAUCGCUAUUGGGAUUUUCAUGGCUUCCAGCAGCAUGCAAGGAAUAACCUCAUCUUCAUCUCCUCCUCCUCCACUAUAUAUGCAUGAUGUGUUCCUUAGUUUUAGAGGCAAAGACACGCGGAACAACUUUACUAGUCAUCUAUACUCUAAUCUGAAACAGAGAGGCAUCGAUGUAUACAUGGAUGAUAGGGAGCUCGAGAGAGGAAAGACCAUCGAACCUGCUCUCUGGAAGGCCAUCGAAGAAUCAAGGUUUUCAGUCAUUAUAUUUUCAAGAGAUUACGCUUCUUCACCAUGGUGCUUGGAUGAACUUGUCAAGAUUGUUCAGUGCAUGAAAGAGAUGGGUCAAACUGUUCUGCCAGUUUUUUAUGAUGUGGAUCCCUCAGAGGUAACCGAGCGGAAACGGAAAUAUGAGGAAGCCUUCGGUGAGCAUGAACAAAAUUUCAAGGAAAACUUGGAGAAGGUCCGGAACUGGAAAGAUUGUCUCUCUACGGUGGCCAAUCUAUCUGGCUGGGACAUCCGGAAUAGGUAAAUCAUCUAUCUACUUAUUCUUAUUCUCAAAUCUGCCCCCUGUAUUGUUUCAUUGAUGAACAAGCAUGAUAGUAAAUGUGUAUUUUUUUCAUAUGCAUGAAUUUUUAUUUUUAUUUUUUUAUGAUAUUUUGAACUGAUGUGAUCAAGCAUUUCUAAUCUUUAUAUAAAACUUCUUUCUAUUCUUAGGUUUUUCUUUAUAUUUUGAAAAUAAAAUAAAAUAUUAAACAGAAAAAUUAAAAUGUAUAAAAAUGUUGAAAAACAAAUCUAGCAUGAACAAAUAAAAAGUUAGCUUAAAAAAUUAAAAAUGGUGAAGAAAUGACAACAAAUUCAUCAUAAGAAAUAAAAAAUUGGCCAAAGUUUUUGAAUAUGUUGGUUUUAGCUUUUCAAAAUAAAAUAAAGAGAUUUUCCAUCAUGAAUUAAAAAAUUCAAACUAUUUAUAAAUCAAAGAGACAAAUUUAUUUAUAAUUUUUUUUGUGAAUAUUUUUAUUUUUUUUUAUUUGGAAUUAAAAUUUUAUAGGUUUCUUUCUUUUACUAAUGCAUUGUAACAAUGAAUUUACUAAUUUUUCAUUCUAAAAAAAAAUAAACUACUUAUUAGGGAUAACAGGGUCUUUUAUAAGGGUCAAUAGUCAUUAUAAAAUUAAUAGGGGUAGUUAGGUAUUAUUUUUUUACGGUAUAAUUACUUAGUUGCCUUUGGGGCUCUUUUAAGAUUUUUCACUUUUCAGGGUGCAAUAAAAUAACUUUAUUUCCUUUAAAAUUAAAAAUGAAGUACCUUGCCUUCAAGGGCUUAUUCAUGCUUUUUUUUUUCUUUUUUUGUAAUAAAAAAAGAAGAAAAGUGGCUGGCUUGUUUGUAGAACACACAAGCGAGGAAGUUGUUCUGUUUUAUUUAAGCAACACGAGCAAUGGCUUUUGGCACCUAAAAAAAGCUUUCAUUGAUGUUUUCUGAUUCACCAUGACAUGAUCUAUCUCCCUGAGUGGCAUGUGUGGAGUAAUUCUUUCUGGUUUGUCACCAAAUGACCUUUUUCUUUUCUUUUCUUUUGUCUUUAUCCUUGAAUUCCGCACCCGACCUUCUAAACUUGUAUAGUAACCCUUCAAUUUGGUUUUUUUUUUUUCAUAUUUGGUCUUUUUUUUUAAUUGAUAUUUUUUUAUUUGAAUUAUUUUUAGAAUUGAAAUUUGUUGUUAAUUUUAUACUUUUUUAAUUUUUUAAUCUAUUAGAUUUGAUUCUCAUUCUUUUGAUUACUAUUUAUUUUAUGUAAGAUUAUUUUUAUUUUAUUUUUUUAACGAUUUCAUCCUUCAUUUUUUAUUGUUAUGUUUUUUUUACCUUGGCAAGUUAUAUAUAUAUAUAUAUAUUUCUGAUUUUAUACUUUAACAUUGAAUUAAGCUUUUUGGUUGAGUCUGGAUUUAGGAUUUCAUAUUUUAAAAAGCAACUGGAUGUUUUCAGUUUAUUCUUUCCUUUUCCUCUCUGUUCUUGAAGUUAUCUAUUAUCAGGGCCCUAUUUUUCUCAAAGGUUGGUGUAUUAAUUUCCGGCUAACAGCCAUACAUUUUCGAGCUACAAUAUGUUAAUGUUUAUUUUCCCAUUAUCACUAUCUGAUUUGAUUUCUGCACACUGCAUGAUUAAUGUUUUGCACCCUCCUAUGCAGGAAUGAAUCGGAAUCAAUUAAAAUAAUUGCUGAAUACAUAUCGUACAAACUAAGCGUCACUAUGCCAACAAUUAGCAAAAAAUUAGUUGGAAUAGAUUCUCGUGUAGAGGUAUUAAAUGGCUAUAUAGGUGAAGAAGGAGGCAAAGCAAUCUUCAUAGGGAUUUGUGGAAUGGGUGGCAUAGGUAAGACGACUGUUGCAAGGGUACUAUACGAUAGGAUUCGUUGGCAAUUUGAAGGCAACUGCUUCUUAGCAAAUGUCAGAGAAGUUUUUGCUGAGAAAGAUGGACCACGCCGUUUACAGGAACAACUUCUUUCUGAAAUCUUAAUGGAACGUGCUUCUAUAUGGGAUUCUUAUAGAGGGAUUGAGAUGAUAAAGCGGAGGUUACGACUUAAAAAGAUUCUUCAUAUCCUUGAUGAUGUAGAUGACAAAAAACAACUAGAAUUCUUUGCUGCGGAGCCUGGAUGGUUUGGUCCAGGGAGCAGAAUUAUCAUAACAAGCAGAGAUACAAAUGUGUUAACUGGAAAUGAUGAUACUAAAAUUUACGAGGCUGAAAAAUUGAAUGAUGAUGAUGCUCUUAUGUUAUUUAGCCAGAAAGCUUUCAAAAAUGACCAGCCUGAUGAAGAUUUCGUGGAACUAUCAAAGCAAGUUGUGGGUUAUGCUAAUGGCCUUCCACUUGCUAUUGAAGUUAUAGGUUCGUUUUUGUAUGCAAGAAGUAUCCCUGAAUGGAGAGGUGCAAUUAAUAGAAUGAAUGAGAUUCCUGACGGCAAAAUUAUUGAUGUGCUUCGCAUUAGUUUUGAUGGUCUCCAUGAAUCAGAUAAGAAAAUAUUUUUAGACAUUGCAUGUUUCCUGAUGGGGUUUAAAAUUGAUCGAAUAACAAGGAUACUUGAAAGCCGUGGAUUCCAUGCAGGUAUUGGAAUACCAGUUCUUAUUGAGAGAUCUCUCAUAAGUGUCUCUCGGGAUCAAGUCUGGAUGCAUAAUUUAUUACAGAUAAUGGGUAAGGAAAUUGUUCGUUGUGAAUCCCCUGAAGAGCCUGGAAGGCGCAGUAGAUUAUGGACAUACGAGGAUGUCUGCCUUGCACUGAUGGACAGCACAGUGAGUAGCUGAUAGAGAACAUUAUCCAUAAGAUUUCAUGAAGUUUAUUUUAAUUUAUGCUCCAUCUCUACUUUGUAUUUGUUUUUUACUUGUAUUCCCCUUUUGAUUGACAGGGAAAAGAAAAAAUAGAAGCCAUUUUCCUGGACAUGCCUGGAAUAAAAGAGGCACAAUGGAACAUGGAAGCCUUCUCUAAAAUGAGCAAACUAAGAUUGCUCAAAAUCAACAACGUGCAGCUUUCUGAAGGACCUGAAGAUCUUUCCAAUAAGCUACGAUUUCUUGAAUGGCAUUCUUACCCUUCAAAAUCAUUGCCAGCUGGUUUACAGGUGGAUGAGCUAGUUGAACUUCACAUGGCUAACAGUAGGAUUGAGCAAUUAUGGUAUGGGUGUAAGGUGAGAUCACCUAAUUUAAGGGUCUUUGUAUUUCUUUUUAUCGUUUUCCUAUAUAUUUAUGAUAGUAGCAUCCAUAUUUCUUCUCCCCUGCCUGAUUGCAGAGUGCAGUUAAUUUGAAAAUCAUCAAUCUCAGCAACUCACUAAACCUGAUCAAGACUCUAGAUUUUACAAGAAUUCCGAAUCUCGAGAACCUUAUUCUUGAAGGGUGUACAAGUUUGUCUGAGGUCCAUCCAUCACUUGCACGUCACAAGAAGCUUGAAUAUGUGACUCUUAUGGAUUGUGUAAGUAUUAGGAUUCUCCCUAGCAACCUUGAAAUGGAAUCACUUAAAGUUUGCAUUCUUGAUGGAUGCUCAAAACUUGAGAAGUUUCCAGAUAUAGUAGGAAACAUGAACAAAUUGACGGUGCUUCAUUUGGAUGAGACUGGUAUUACAAAACUAUCUUCAUCAAUUCAUCAUUUGAUUGGCUUAGAAGUAUUGAGCAUGAACAACUGCAAGAACCUUGAAAGCAUUCCGAGUAGCAUACGUUGUUUGAAAUCCCUUAAAAAACUUGAUCUGUCUGGCUGCUCUGAACUUCAAAAUAUACCACAGAAUUUGGGGAAAGUUGAAGGUUUGGAGGAGAUUGAUGUAAGUGGAACUUCAAUAAGACAACCGCCAGCAUCCAUUUUUCUUUUAAAGAGUCUUAAAGUAUUAUCUUUGGAUGGAUGCAAAAGAAUAGCUGUGAAUCCCACGGGUGACAGGUUGCCUUCUUUGUCGGGUCUUUGUUCUUUAGAAGUACUAGAUUUAUGCGCUUGCAAUCUAAGAGAAGGGGCACUUCCUGAAGAUAUUGGCUGCUUAUCGUCAUUAAAGUCUUUAGAUCUGAGCCAAAAUAACUUUGUUAGCCUGCCUGAAAGCAUAAAUCAGCUUUCUGGACUUGAAAUGCUUGUCUUGGAGGAUUGCAGGAUGCUUGAAUCAUUGCCUGAGGUUCCAUCAAAAGUUCAAACAGUAAAUUUGAAUGGUUGUAUACGCCUAAAAGAAAUUCCAGAUCCGAUAAAGCUAAGCAGUUCCAAAAGAUCAGAGUUCAUAUGUCUUAACUGCUGGGCAUUGUACGAGCAUAAUGGCCAAGACAGCUUUGGGUUGACGAUGCUUGAAAGAUACCUCAAGGUCUUCUCUUAAUCAUACGCCAACCUUUUUGUAUCUCUCUCCCUCUCCCUCUAUCUAUCUAACGUUUUGUUUCUUCAUGGUACAGGGUUUGCCUAAUCCAAGACCUGGAUUUGGUAUCGCUGUUCCAGGAAAUGAAAUUCCAGGCUGGUUUAACCAUCAAAGUAAGGGAUCUUCAAUUAGUGUGCAAGUGCCUAGUUGGAGCAUGGGGUUUGUUGCGUGUGUUGCAUUCAGUGCAAAUGGUGAAAGUCCUUCUCUUUUUUGUCAUUUCAAAGCCAAUGGAAGAGAGAAUUAUCCUUCGCCGAUGUGUAUUAGUUGUAAAGCCCUUCUCUUUUCAGAUCAUAUUUGGCUAUUCUAUCUAUCUUUUGAUCAUCUUAAAGAGCUUAAAGAAUGGAAGCAUGAAUCCUUUAGCAACAUUGAGUUGUCAUUUCGUUCUUGCCAGCCUGGAGUAAAGGUGAAGAAUUGUGGUGUCUGUUUGUUAUCUUCUGUAUGUAUUACACCACGACCAUCUUCUGCCCAUUUUAUUGUUACAAGCAAAGAAGCAGCUUCAUCAUAUAAAGCUUCUUUAGCUUUUUCUUCGUCGUACCAUCAAUGGAAGGCCAAUGUUUUCCCUGGCAUCGGAGUCGCAAAUCCAGCCCAGAGAUUCAUUGUCCCAGUCAUGAAGGAACCAGAGAAAGUAAUGGCAAUUAGAUCAAGACUCUUUGAGGCCAUUGAAGAAUCAGGGCUGUCAAUUAUUAUAUUUGCAAGAGAUUGUGCUUCUUUACCUUGGUGCUUUGAAGAACUUGUCAAGAUUGUCGGUUUCAUGGAUGAGAUGAGAUCGGACACUGUGUUUCCAGUUUCUUGUGAUGUUGAACAAUCAAAGAUAAAUGAUCAAACAGAGAGUUACACAAUUGUCUUUGAUAAGAUUGGAAAAAAUCUCAGGGAAAACAAGGAGAAGGUACAAAGAUGGAUGGAUAUUCUCAGUGAAGUUGAGAUUUCAUCUGGAUCGAAAAGGUAAUAAUUACUUCUUCUUAUUUGUGUGUGUUGCUCGACUUAUCAACCACUUCAAGUAAAUGAAACUAGGAAUGCUGAAAUAUCGACUUUCAGAACUUAAUGUUAACAAAUCUGUUUUUUUUUUUUGCAUGGGAAAAACAGUACACAAUGGGGUUACAAGUUUUUUUUUCAAGGUACAUUAUGAAUUUUAAAAAAAUUAAUAUUAAACUCAGUUGAGUUUAUGGUCUGAAUUAAAUUGACAUGUUGUACUGUGGAUGAUAUUGUUUACUUUAUUUUUUUUUAAGUUUGUUAAAAAUUCAAAGGGAGAAAAGUAUUGAACCGGUUGAGUGCAUAAUCCAGGUCACAAGUUUUUUUGAAUGGUUGAGUAUAAAUUUAAGAAAAAAAAAUUUCAACCCAGUUGAGGUUUUUUUAUAAAGAUUCAUUUUUUGAUGGUGUUGUGUAUUUUUAAUUUUUGAAUUUGUUUUUUUAAAGUUGAAUAUAAAUUUAAGUGAAAACAAUUAUUGAACCUCAUUGAAUUCAUGGUCCGGGUCACAUAUUUAAUUUUUUUAAGGUUUAAGGAAAAAAAUAUUGAACCCGGUUGACUUCAUGAACUGAGUUACGGGUCUUAAGAGUUAAGCCACAAUAACCGGACAAUUUUUUUUUCUAAUGUUGCUUUUUUUUACUGAUAUCUUUUUUUAUAUAUCUUUUUUAAGAUAAUUUUCAAUUUAUGUUUCAAUUAAUAUCCCUCAUCUGUGAUUUGUUUUGUUUAUUUAAUCUUUUUUUUAAUAUAAAUUAUUUUUUGAUGGUGUUGUAUGUAUUUGUUUUUAAAUGUUGAAUAUAAAUUUAAGAGAAAACAAUAUAGAGUCUGGUUGAGUUCAUGAUUUGGGUCACAUGUUUAACUUCUUUUUUUGUUAAAGGUUGAAUAUGAAUUUAAAGGGAAAUCAAUAUUGAAACAGGUUGAGUUCAUGCUCCGGAUCACGGAUUUAACGAGUUAAACCACAACAAUGAAACAAUGUUUAUUUUUCUGAUAUUGCUUUUUUUUACUGAUAUUUUUUAUAUAUCUUUUUUAAAAUAUUUUUUAAAUUUAUGUUUCAAUUAAUAUUCCUCAUCUGUCAUUAUUUUUUUGUUUAUUUAUUUAUUUUUGGAUAAAUAUUGUUUUUUAUGGUGUUGUUCGUAUUUAAUUUUUAAAAAACUUAUUAUGAUUCAUAAAUAAUUUUUUGAUCUUUUUGUAUAAAAGAACUUUAUUUUAAAAAAUAAAAAAAAUUAUUUUCAUCUAACAUAAUAUGUACAACAACCUUGCAUAAUAUUUUUUCUAUUUUUAUUUUAUUUAAUCAAUUUAAUACGUGUGUUUAUUUUUAAUAUCAUUUGAUUGAAUAAAAAAAUAAAUUUUAAAAAAUAAAUUCAAAAAAUAUAAUUGGGUAAAUGUUCCGUUUAUUAACACAUUUGAAUUUUUUAAUUUUAUUUUUUGUUAUUGUUAAUAUAUUUUUAUUAUUAGUAAUUCACAUAGUUAUCAAUGUACAUGUAUGUAUGAGCUUUUAAAUUUACAGUUUAAAUUUUUUUAUGUAUAAAAUUGCAUCGAAAAAACAUGCAUGCACAACUUUUUUGUAAGAGAAAAAAAUAUCUUGUCUGUAAAAGAGUGUCAUCUUAUAGUGGGCCAUAACAAAAUGCUACAAUUGGAUUGGCUUGACUUAGUAGUCCCAACAACACCUGACCUUUGCUUUUUCUUCUUUUUUUCCUUUUAUAUGUUUUUUUUUAAAUUAUAUUUAGAUUAACAUCCCUUCUUUUUUUUAUGUUAUUUAGAGAUCCUCUUUGAAAUGAUGGUUAAUUUUUAGUUAUGCAUUUAAUUUUUGAGAAAGUUUUUCUGAUUCAUUUAUAAUUUUUUUAAUUUUUUGUACAGAUGAACUUUAUUCUUGAAAAUAAAUUUUUUUAUUUUCAAAUAAUAUUUCUAAUAUGUGCAACCUUACAUAUUAUUUUUUUUCAUUUCAUUUUAUUCAAUCAAUUUGAUGUGUAUGUCUAUUUUUAUUAUCGUUUGAUUGAAUAAAAAACUUGUUUUAAUUAAUAAAUUUAGUAAAUAUAAUCGCGUAAAUAUCUCGUUUUUCAAAAUUAAAUAUCUUAAUCUACACUUGUUUAUCGAUUUUUCCACUUUUAUUUUUAGUUAUAGUUUAUAGUUGUUUUUUUUACUUAUUAACACACAUAAUUCUUGAUUUACUUAAUUAUAUUUAUGCAUAUUUUUUUCCACUUAAAAUUUUUUAAAUACAAAAACAUGUUGAUAAAAAUCUAUCAAUAAAUUUUUUAUUAAAAUUUUUUUUUAACACCCAACAAAACAUGUAACAUCGAUUCCAUGUGCAGUUUGACUAUACCUAAGCUGCAGCAGCUGCUCAAGCAGGAGGAGCAGCUGCUCGAUCAGCUGGGGCAGCUCAAGCAGCAGAUGCUUGAUCAGCAGGUGAUGCUGCAGUGGUGGAAGCAGCUCAAUAAGGAGCAACUGCUCGAGGAGGAGCAGCUGCUCAAGCAGCAGGAGCAGCAGGUGCAGCUCGAGCAGCAGGUGCUCGAUCAGCAGGUGCUCCAGCAGUGGCGGUGGCAGCUCGAUGAGCAGGUGCUCCGGCACCAGCUCGAUGAGCGGUGGCGGCAGAUGCUCCGGCACCAGCUCGAUGAGCGGCGGCUGCAGGUGCUCCGGCGGCGGCAGCAGGUGCUCUGGCUGCAGCAGGUGGGGUUGGGGCAGGUGCUCCAGCUGCAGCGGCAGCAGCUGUAGCAGGUGCAGCGGCGGCACCAGUUUGAUGAGCGGCGGCAGGUGCUCCAGCUGCAGUAGGUGCAGCGGCGGCAGGUGCAGCGGCAGCUUGGUAGUGUGUUAGACCGAGGCGCGUUGAGUCUGGCAUUGACCAGACCCAAUAGAUAAUUGAAUUUAACACCAUAAACACUCCCUAGUCAAAGGUUUGAGAUGGAAUAUUUGCAAUGGGAGAGGAAUUAGUGUUUGUGAUCGGAACAUCAAAGUUGGGUUGUUUGUGAGAGGAAUAUUGAAGUUUAAUUUAUAAUUAAUUUAAUGUCAAAGGAUGAAAUUAAAAAAAAUAUAAAUAAAAAAAUCCUAGGUCAACCCGCUAAAUUCGCAACACGAGUCAUAAAGCUAAAAUAAUUUUAUAAAAAAAAACAUCAACAAAUUAUAAAACUCAAUCUUUAAAAAAUAAAAUGUUGAAAGAUAAAAAAAAACAUGUAGAUUUUUUUUUAAAAAAUACCAUUGCAAAUUUUAACUUGGUAAGAUUUUAUGUUAAUAGUACUAUAUUAGAUGAGUCCAGCUCACCAUAAGCUACAUGGAUGAAUAUGAGUUAAUGGUGAGUCGAGCUUGUAUAAUAAUUUAUGGGUAACAAAAGUUGUGCCCAGUAUUUCUAUAAUACGACGAGGUUUAAUUUCUUUUCUUUUCAUGGUUAUCUCUCAGUGGAUAGCAGCAUCAAUCAUAAGAACUUCUAUAUUUAUAUUUAAUUUAAAUACUAAUUAAACGUGAUAAGAGUGGGAGUUAAAUAUAACGCUUCACAUCAAAUGCUCUUGAAAAAACCAAAAUCUACUUCUUUUCAUUCUGGUUGCAUUCGCUUUCACCCCUGACUAUGAACAGGAACCCCAAUUAAAUGAAAUGGAUUUCUUGGAAAUUGAUCUCCUUGGUCCACACUCCACAGCAGAUAUCCGUGGCCUGCAGGAACCCCAAUCAAAUGAAAUGGAUUUCCUGGAAAUUGAUCUCCUUGGUCCACAGCCUAUUCGGUUAAACCAAGUCGGCUACCACUUGCAGCACAAUUCAUCAAAAGACGAUGUGAAUUAUGAUUUGACGUCAAACCAGGUGGAUUAUCAGCUGCAGCCACAAUUAUUUGAUGCAUAGCAAAAUAAUUAUUCAGAAUCACAGUACCUUGGCAGUCCUUUCCAGCCAACUUGAUGUGUUGUGUGCUAAUCCGAUGAAAAUCAAGAUCCCAAAGAGGGUGAUGCAGCUGAUGGUUGGUUCUCUUCCUCCUUGUGAGUUUUUACAUAAUAAAAUAGCGGCCUUAAUUACGAGAGUUCUUCCAUUUUUACAUGAAAAAUGGCUGGGAUUUCCUUUCGUUAUUUAUUAAUCUCUAUCACGACCACAAAAUUACUAAACGCCGACCGAAUAUGAUACACAAGUGCACUAAUUUUUUUUGGUUUAUUAAAGAUUAUUGGAGUGCAUCUUCCUUGGAUAAUUGUAGACUUUAUUUUCCUAAUUAAUAAAAAAGAUUUUUAUCCAUUGUGGUUAUAUCAUAUUCUGGUAGCUUUAAUGCUUUAUAAAUAAAGUAUUGAUCAUAAGAACUCUAUCAACCUUACUUUUUCUUGUUGUCAAUUUCAAUGGCCAGUGAAUCUAACUACAACAUCCGAAGAACAUAUUGCUUUAGUCAUAAUCUGGUCAUAGAUGAUUUCCCCAUCACAAGCUAUAAGUGCCUCUAUAGAGAACCCUAAUCCCUUCUCCAUGCUUCUUGACAGCCUCUUAAAAAAGGUUCAAGCUUGGGACUAAUGGGUUUGUUUCCUCUGUGGUCUAAGGUUCGAGUCCUGUGGUUGCUCAUAUGAUGGCCACUGAAGGCUUACAUGGUCGUUAACUUCAGGGCCCGUAGGAUUAGUCGAGGUGUACGCAAACUGGCCCGGACACCCGCGCUAAUAAAAAAAAAAGGUUCAAGAUUAGUCAUUUCAAAUGAGAAAAAAAAAGAAGAAACAAUCAUAAAGAGCGAAUCUUGUGAAUAAAUUACCGUAUUUGGACGCAACGAAACCGAGAAAAAACUAAGGUAAAGUCUAGACAAGAGCGCGCGCAUAAACUAUUUAUUGAUGAGCUUGUUCGUAUCAACAUAAAUAAAUAUCAAAGUAAUCCAGGCAAACUUUUGCAGAUUACGAAGAAUCUAAGUCGACAAAAAAGCUUUCAAUCAAAGUGUAUAUAUAUUUGAUAUAGAUUCAGUUUAGUAAUAAUUGUUUUUUAAUAUUUUAUUUUUAUUUUUUUAAAAUUAAUUUUUAACAUCACAAGCAUAUAAAAACAAUAUAAAAGAUUGAAAAAUUACAGUAAACCAUAUAACUUUUUGAAAGAUUUUAUACACGAAACCCUUGCUUAAUGACCAUAUAACAAUAUAAAAUUAAUACAAUAUAAAAUUAAUACACUUGGACAGUACUUUUGCUACAGUUUUUUGGAUAGUUCAAACUCAUUUAAAGUAUUUUUAGUUGGAUGUUCAUAUAGGUGAAAACAGAAAGAUUACUGUUACCUGAAAAACAUGAAGUCGAGAUGAAGGUUUACAAGGUCAAAGACAGCGAUCAGACACUCAUAAAUGCAAUGAAUCAGCUUGUUUUGGACAUCCAUCAAUGCAAGAAAUGCCCGUUUUCAAGAACUCUAAGCAACUCCUGAAUCCAGAACAAAACCCUCAAAUAUCAGAUCUUUAUAUGUUUGAAUAUCUAAAAAGAAGAAAAAGCAAACAAAUUUUUUUCUAUUUUUUUAAAUUCAUCUUAAUCUUAUUUUUAUUUAUAUUUAGAUCAAUAUAUCUUCUCUCUUUUAUGUUAUUUAGAAAGCCUAUUUGAAAUGACAAUUAUUUUUUAAUUUUUUAGAAUGUUUUUCUGAUUAAUUUUUUUUUUAAUCUUUUGUAUAGAUGAACUUUAUUUUUUAAAAUAAAAAGAAAUUUAUUUUCAAAUAAUAUUUUUAAUAUAUGCAGCCUUGCAUACUAUUUUUUUUAUUCAAUCAAUUUAAUGUACAUGUCUAUUUUUAUUAUCGUUUGAUUAAAUAAAAAAAUUAUUUUAAUUAACAAAUUUAGCAAACUCAACCAUAUAAAUGUCAUGCAUGUCUUGUGAAAUUAAAUAUUUUGAUCUACACUUGUCUCUCGAUUUUUUCAGUUUUUAUUUUUACUCAUCGUUUAUGAUUUUUUUCACUUUUUAACACACAUAAUUCUCAGUGAGACCUUCAAAACAGAGAUGUUCAUAAUCUUCAUUUUUUAUUGCAUAUGUAAUUUCAGAGCAUUUCUCUCUAGAAUAUUAUUAUAUUGUUCUUUUUUUAAAAGAUACUUAUUUAAGCAUUAGAGAGUCCUCACCUUCACCAAAUAAGAUCUUUUGCUGGUACUAACCACAAACUAUCUUGUCCUACCAAACACCCAGUAUAAUCUAUCAGUCAUAUUGAGUAGGGAUAAUGAAUGAGAUUGUUAAGAUCAUUUAAUUAACUAAUUAUUUAACCUGGAAGUCUAUUUCUAAACUACUUGAAUUUUUUUGGACUUCAUCAUAAAACAUGUUCAUAGCAAAAAAAAAAAAAAAAACCCUGAUUCAGCAAAGCAAGUUAUAAGGGGUCUAUAUUUGCUUUCAUUAACUAAAAUAGCAAGAGCAACACAAUCCAUAUAUACAGAGUGUGUUCAUCCAAAUCAGUUGGAAAUUGAUGAUCCAAAUAACAGGAAGCAUUACAAACAACGCCCUGCAUGCCAUAGAGAUGAACAUUUUUUUUUCUAACCACCUGUAAAUCAAAGUGCACUAGGCUGACCAAUAAGAAACUGGGAACAACACGCAACCGCUAUUGAAUCCAAGCUCGUCUUUCCUCCUCUCCUUUUUCUUGGGUCAAAAAUCAUCACUACCUCUCCUUUUAAUCCCUGUUAAAAAAACCAAAACAACCUUCAAAAACAACCUUAUUUUCCAACAAACCAUAGACAAAACCUGCAGUGUUAAAUUUGAAGUCAAUUGUUUGGAAAGUUGUCGAGCAUCAAGAGCAGUAGAGCAACUACAAUGGAAGAGGUCAGUGGAAAGAGAAAACCAAAAAACUAUUAUUUUAGCUAUUAUUUUCAAUUUUAACAACUCUUAUGAUAUAUUUGAAUAGCUAAAAUACAUUUUCUUCUACUAAAAUAUUAUUUUUACAUAUUUACAUAUAAAAGCCAAAAACAAGGAGAAAGUAUAUACACCCUUUAGCCAACAUCUCUUUAUCUAUGGUUGGCUUUUGUUUCUCUCCUUAAAAACAGAACAAGAAGAAGAAAAGAAGCUUGCAAACCUCAAAACCUAAAAUUUUUAACAUUAUUAUAUAAAAUUGAAAAUUAAAAAUAUAAAUAUAAAUAAUUUUGAUUUUAAAAGUUUAAAAUUUAAACUUUAAAUUAUAUCUUUAAACUUUCAUAUUACUUCAUUAAUUUUAUAAAUUACUCAUAUUAAUUGUAUAAUUAAUAACAUGAUUGUAUUAUAUAAAAAAUAAUUAAACUAGUUAUAUAAUUAUAUUAAAAUAAGUUUAGUAUAAAAUAUAUUAAAAUAUAAUUAGCUUUUUUAAAUAGCUUUUUACCAUUGGAAUUGCACAUAAAAAAAGCUAUAUUUACAUCCAUUUUUCAAUUUAAUUUUUAACUUUUAAAAAUAGCAUGUCUUAUUGAAGUUGCUCUUAUGCAGAAUUACACGGGAGAGGAAGACAAAAGAAGUCCAAAAAUAUUUACUUUUUAAACAUAGAUGCUUGACUUGAGAAUUCAUUACAAAACAUAAAUCAACUCAAUUGUGAUGUGUGUGGCCCAACCCCUGCUCUACUGCACAAUGCGCGUUCGAUAUCCCUUUCAUUUCUUUCUCUACUUUUUCUCCACUGGAAGUCCAUCUUCUUUACAGUGUAAGAUCCGUAAGAAAAUCAUUGGAAACUUACCAAUACGAGUUCUUGACCUAAAGGAACCGGAAAAAAUUCGAAGUCAUUGGAAUAAAAAGAAAGUAGUGAGGGCUUUGGAAGUAUGUUACUAAGAUACCAGAAGAAGAAAAAAUAUUGAGCCUGGCUGGAUGUUGUGCCUCUUUAGCCAACACUUACCACACGGUUUGUUUCGUCUAGAUUCGUGUAAUACUUGUAGAAAUGUGGUGUUUUCUGAUUUAUAAGUAGAAUUUUACAUGUUCCAGCUUGAAAUUGCUAUUUGGUAGAUUUAAUUGCCAUAUUUCUUGAUCUUACCUUCUGUUUCGUGUUUGAUCACAAGAGCAGGCCUUACACAAAAUAGCGUGGAAAGCAAUUUCUGAACCAAGCUAGCUAGUUGAGGCUAGAAGGAUCGGUACUAAUUUAUCGCUAUAGGGAUUUUCAUGGCUUCCACCAGCGUGCAAGGAAUGACCUCAUCUUCAUCUUCUCCUCCUCCACUAUAUAUGCAUGAUGUGUUCCUUAGUUUUAGAGGCAAAGAAACCCGGAACAACUUUACUAGUCAUCUAUAUUCUAAUCUGAAACAGAGAGGCAUCGAUGUAUACAUGGAUGAUAGGGAGCUCGAGAGAGGAAAGGCCAUCGAACCUGCUCUCUGGAAGGCCAUCGAAGAAUCAAGGAUUUCAGUCGUUAUAUUUUCUAGAGAUUACGCUUCUUCACCAUGGUGCCUGGAUGAACUUGUCAAGAUUGUUCAGUGCAUGAAAGAGAUGGGGCACACUGUUCUGCCAGUUUUUUAUGAUGUGGAUCCCUCAGAUGUAGCCGAGCGGAAACGGAAAUAUGAGAAAGCCUUCGUUGAGCAUGAACAAAAUUUCAAGGAAAAUUUGGAGAAGGUCCGUGUUGGGUAAUUCCAGAAAUCAAACACACAUAAAUUUACGUGGUUCGGCAACUUGCCUACUCCACGGAACUACUGGUUUGUAUUAAUCAAUCAAAGAAACAAUACAAACAAGGAGGAGGAGAACACUCUUCUCAACUCAACUCUACUCACUCAAGCUCUCUCUACUGCUCUCUGUUCUGCCGCACGCCCUCAGCUCUUCAAUAUGUCUAUUUAUAGACUAAGCUGGGAACAAGAGAUUAUGGCCACCAUGAACUUCCACUUUGUGCUAAGUGGGAUGAGUUGUUCCCACCAUGUGCUUCCACUUUAUGCUAAGUGGGAGAUGAGUUGUUCCCACUAGCAUAAAGUGGAGGUGGGGCAUUGUUUGUCUCCAUUAUUCUAACAAUCUCCCACUUGGAGACAAACAAUGAAAUUAUCUUUUAUCCUUGAAGACUAACUGAAGUUUUACACAACUUCAGUUUAUCAAGUGUAACUCCUUUGGUUAACAUGUCAGCUGGAUUCUUGCUUCCACAGACCUUUUCUAGCAUCAGUUGUUCAUCGUCUAGCAAUUGUCGGAUGAAGUGAUAUUUGAUCUGAAUAUGCUUAGUCCUGGAGUGAAAUGCUGGAUUCUUGACAAGGAAGAUUGCACUCUGACUGUCGCUAUACAGAGUUCCCUUUCCAUUCAUCUUGCCCAAUUCUUUUAGGAAACUCUGUAGCCAUACUAUCUCCUUUGCAGAUUCUGAAACUGCAACAUAUUCAGCUUCUGUUGUUGAAAGAGCGACGAUCUUUUGCAAGGUAGAACUCUAGGAAACAACAAUACCUCCUAGAGUAUAUACAUAUCUUGUAGUUCUCUUUCUGCUAUCAACAUCUCCUGCUAGAUCAGCGUCUACAAAACCUUCAAGUUUCAAACCACCAGCUAUGAAACUGAGACAAGUUUUCGAGGAACCUUUUAAGUAUCUCAUGAUCCAUUUUACCGCCUCCCAAUGCUGCUUUCCAGGAUUGCUCAUAUAUCGGCUUACAACUCCCACUGCAUGGCCAAUGUCUGGUCUGGUACAGACCAUAGCAUACAUCAAAGAGCCAAUAGCUGAGGCGUAUGGAAUCUUAUCCAUAUGUUCACAUUCUAGCUCAGUUUUUGGUGACUGGUCUUUGCUGAGCUUGAAAUGAUUCCCCAGAGGUAUACUUACUAGUUUAGCAUUAUCCAUACUAAACCUGCUGAGAACCUUCUUGACAUACUCUGUUUGUGAAAGCUUUAGUAUGCCUUUGUCUUUAUCUCUGAUGAUUCUCAUGCCAAGUAUUUGUUUAGCAGCUCCCAGAUCCUUCAUUUCAAACUGUUUUGACAAUUGUUGUUUCAGCUUGUCAAUCUCCUCAAUGCUGGAUCCUGCAAUCAACAUAUCAUCUACAUACAUUAGUAGAAUGAUGUAGGAGUUGUCAAAAUAUUUGACAUAGCAACAAUGAUCAGCUUGACAUCUUGUGUACCCCGAACUGCACAUGAAGUUGUCAAACUUCUUGUACCACUGUCUUGGAGCUUGCUUCAAACCGUAUAGGCUUUUCUUUAGCUUGCAGACUUGGUUCUCCUUUCCUUGUAUUGCAAACCCCUCUGGUUGUUGCAUGUAAAUGUCUUCCUCCAAGUCACCAUGAAGAAAUGCUGUUUUUACAUCUAAUUGUUCAAGAUGUAAAUUUUCUGCAGCUACUAUCCCCAAAACAACUCUGAUUGUUAUGUGCUUCACAACUGGAGAAAAUAUCUCAGAGUAGUCAAUCCUUUUCUUCUGUUGAAACCCUUUUAUAACAAGUCUUGCCUUGAACCGUUUGCUUCCGUCAUGCUCAGUCUUUCCUCUGUAAACACACUUGUUUUGCAAAGCCUUCUUUCCUUCAGGUAGUGUGGUUAGAUCCCAAGUCUUGUUCUUCAACAACGAAUCCAUCUCAUCCUUCAUGGCUAACUCCCACUUGCUUGAGUUUCCAUCUUGUAAAGAUUCUUCAUAAGUUUGCGAUUCACCACCAUCUGUCAGCAAAAUAUAAUUCAGUAGAAGUGUGAAUCGUUGUGGGGGCUUCACAGUCCUUGAAGACCUGCGAACAUAAACAAUGGGUUCACUUGGCUCCGCAUCUUCCUGUGUAGUAGUGGGUACAGAUGUGCUUGAAUCUUCUUGCAAAGGCUCUUGAUUUUUGUUCUGCUCAGUAACAUCAGGAAGCCCUUCUAAUCUUAUGAAUUUAGAUUUUUGUGGACUUGUAUCUGAAUCAGCCAUAUCUGUUUCUACACUUGAUCUGUCUUUGUACAAAACUUUAUCAUUUAAGAUCACGUUCCUGCUUCUGAUAAUCUUUCUAUUCUGAUCAUCCAAGAACCGAAACCCAAAUUCUUCAUCUCCAUAGCCAAUGAAGAAACAUUUCUUGGAUUUGGCAUCUAGCUUGUUGCGAGCAUUAAAAUCUAUGUGAACAUAGGAAACACACCCAAAGACCUUGAGAUGAGAGAGUUUUACCUCUUUUCCUCUCCAUACAUCCUCAGGCAAUCUGAAUUCCAAAGGAACUGAUGGACCACGGUUGAUUAAGUAAACUGCAGUAUGAACUGCAUCAGCCCAGAAUGUUUGAGGUAACCCUGAAUGCAACCUCAUGCUUCUGGCUCGUUCAUUGAUGGUCCUGUUCAUCCAUUCAGCAAUGCCAUUCUGUUGUGGUGUGUCUGGAACGGUCUUUUCCAUUCUGAUACCAUUGACAGCGCAAUAUUCUUUAAAACCUCCAUCAAUGUAUUCUCCUCCAUUAUCAGAUCUUAAGCAUUUCAACUUCAGACCUGAUUCAGUCUCAACCAUAGCCUUCCAUUUCUUGAAUGUUUCAAACACAUCAGAUUUAUUUUUUAGAAAGUAGACCCAUACCUUCCUGCUGAAAUCGUCAAUAAAGGUCACAUAAUACCGAGAACCUCCAAGAGAUGCCACUGGAGAAGGUCCCCAUAAAUCUGUGUGUACUAGCUCUAGCUUUCUUGGUCUUAAGGUCUUGCCAACCUUUAAGAAACUAAGCUUCUUUUGUUUUCCAAGAAUGCAACUUUCACAAAUGUCUAGAUCAAUAUUUUUUAACUCUGGCAACUUUCCCUUCGACUGAAGUAUCUUCAUCCCCUUUUGACUCAUAUGGCCGAGUCUACAGUGCCAUAGAUGUGCCUGAUUUUCUGGUUUAGUAGAGGCAAUAAUGUCUGCAAAUCUUGUGGUCAUAUAUAAGGUGCCGAUUUUCUUUCCACGAGCCAAAACCAUUGCUCCCUUCGAUACAUUCCACAUACCUCCAGAAAAAAGGAUUGAAUGACCACUAUCGUCAAGUUGUCCGAUGAAGAUCAACUUCUUCUUUAAUCCAGGAACAUGCCUUACAUUUUGCAAGUUCCAUAUAGAUCCAUUCAUUGUCUUGAUUUGCACAUCUCCUAUACACACAAUAUCCAUUGGUUGUCCAUCGGCCAGAUAGAUUACACCAUGAUCUCCAGCAACAUAGUUUUGCAUCAUUUCAUGGUGUGGUGUACAGUGGAAUGAAGCACCAGAAUCAAGAAUCCAAUCAUCAAUUGAACUUUGUACAGCAAGAAUCAAAGCAUCUUAUACCUCAUCUGUGGUAGCGUUUGCAAAGUCAGCUUCAGGUUUUUUCAGUUUUGUGCAACUCCUCAUGAAAUGACCAGGUUUGCCACAAUUCCAACAUUCAACCUGCUUUCUGGGUCCAAACUUGCUUUUACUUCUGUAUCUGGAUUUUGAUUUGCCUCUGGAUAAGCCUCUAUCCUGUCUCCUCCCUCGAGUGUUGAUGUUGAGAGCUAGCCUGAACCUGAACUUUCAUCUGAGUCUUUCCUUCUCACUUCUUCGGCCAAAAUCAGGUCUCGGAUGUCAUCAUAUUUCAGUUUGGAUUUUCCAGCUGAGUUACUCACGGCUGUUCUCAUACCUUCCCAACUGCUUGGAAGUGAAGCUAGCAAAAUGAGUGCACGAAUCUCAUCAUCAAACUCAAUCUCAAUAGAUGACAAUUGAUUUGUGAUGGUAUUGAAGUUGUUGAGAUGUUGUGUAACAGAGGUGCCUUCUAUCAUCUUUAAGUUGAACAACUUUUUCAUCAGGUGCACUUUAUUAUUUGCUGAUGGCUUCUCAUACAUCCCAGACAAGGCUUCCAUUAAUCUUGCAAUGGAUCUUUCUUUUGUAACGUUGUGAGCAACUCUUCUUGAUAAGGAUAGCCGGAUAAUGCCCAAAACUUAUCUAUCAAGAAGUAGCCAUUCUUCUUCUUGCAUAUUCUCUGGUUUGCUCCCCAACAAAGGAAGAUGAAGUUUCUUCCCAUAUAGAUAGUCUUCGAUUUGCAUUUUCCAAUAUCCAAAAUCUGUCCCAUCAAAUUUUUCAAUUCCAGCAGCCUUUAUUUCAUCUACCAUUUUUAAUAAUUUUAAAUUUGAAUCUGCUGAAUCUGAUCUUACGGAUGUGUCCGGAAUGGCCAAAAAUGUUGGAAACAACUCUGAAAUCACCCAGAUCGGACUUUGAUGGCUCAGAUCUUAUCAAUCAAACUUUUGGAUCAAUGACGAUGCAGAUGAAGCCGCGUGUCAGAUGAAAUAGUGUCUGCGGCGCACCGGAUCAAACCUCAACAUGAUGAUGUGGCAUAGAUGACGUGUCAGACACAUAAGCAAACUGGGCCCACCAUAGAUGACAUGUCUCAGCCAUGUGGGUUUAUUGCUGACGUGGCAUUAGCUGACGUGGAUGAUGACUGGUCCAAUGACAUGUCUGCUGACUGUGCGGGAUUGCUGAUGUGUCUACUGACUGGCUGAUGACGUGGCGGGUCAACCUGGUUCGGUUGCAGGAAUUCUAGCGAAGAAGGAGCGUGUGGUGCGUGUGGCGCGUGGGCAAUCCUGACGUAGGCGCGUGUUGGCGCGUUAGGGCAUGCAGAACAUUGGUUCUUCGCUGGGUUUUCACCAGUGGAUUUGUCUUGUCUUCCCCUACACGAUGGUAUGUUUAAAAACACAUUUUGAGAACUUUUAUUUCUGGGUUUGGAUCAAACACCCUUUUUUUUCAAGAACAAGCUCUGAUACCAGUUGUUGGGUAAUUCCAAAAAUUAAACACACACACAAAUUUACGUGGUUCGGCAACUUGCCUACUCCACGGAGCUACUGGUUUGUAUUAAUCAAUUAAAGAAACAAUACAAACAAGAAGGAGGAGAAAACUCUUCUCAACUCAACUCUACUCACUCAAGCUCUCUCUACUGCUCUCUGUUCUGCCGCACGCCCUCAGCUCUUCAAUGUGUCUAUUUAUAGACUAAGCUGGGAACAAGAGAUCAUGGCCACCAUGAACUUCCACUUUGUGCUAAGUGGGAUGAGUUGUUCCCACCAUAUGCUUCCACUUUAUGCUAAGUGGAGAUGAGUUGUUCCCAUUAGCAUAAAGUGGAGGUGGAGCAUUGUUUGUCUCCAUUAUUCUAACAGUCCGGAACUGGAAAGAUUGUCUCUGUACAGUGGCCAAUCUAUCAGGCUGGGACGUGCGGCAUAGGUAAAUCAUCCAUCCACUUUUAUUCUCAAAUCCACCCUGUAUGGUUUCAAUGAUGAACAUAGCUUCUUUCUUUUAAUGUUUUUCAAUUGAAACAUGUGAUUAAAUAUCAAAAUAAUCACAAUUAAACAAGUAUAUCAAAACUAAUUCUUGAAUAAAUAAUUGUUAGUAGAUAAUUUUGAUCCAUUAAAUAGCUAUUCCUAGCUUUUGUUCUUGUGUGCAUGAUUCUUUAGUAACUGUGUGAUUUCUAUAGGCAAUAAGAUAGCUAUUGUAAGGAUCAUUCUUAGCAUCAAUACAAUCCUAGUUCCGUUUUCAGUUUAUUCUUUCCUUCUUUCCUUUUCCUCUCUGUUCUUGAAGCUAUCUAUUGUCAAGCCCUAUCUUUCUCAAAGAUUGAUUUAUUAAAGCCAUACAUUUUCGAGCUAAUAUUUAUUUUCCCAUUAUUACUAUCUGAUUUGAUUUGCACACAGCAUGAUUAAUGUUUUCCACCACCAUAUGCAGGAAUGAGUCGGAAUCAAUUAAAAUAAUUGCUGAAUACAUAUCGUACAAACUAAGUGUCACUCUGCCAACAAUUAGCAAAAAAUUAGUUGGAAUAGAUUCUCUUCUAGAGGUAUUAAAUGGCUAUAUAGGUGAAGAAGUAGGCAAAGCAAUCUUCAUAGGGAUAUGUGGAAUGGGUGGCAUAGGUAAGACGACUGUUGCAAGGGUAGUAUAUGAUAGGAUUCGUUAGCAAUUUGAAGGCAGCUGCUUCUUAGAAAAUGUCAGAGAAGAUUUUGCUAAGAAAGAUGGACCACGUCGUUUGCAGGAACAACUUCUUUCUGAAAUCUUAAUGGAACGUGCUUCUGUAUGGGAUUCUUAUAGAGGGAUUGAGAUGAUAAAGAGGAGGUCACGACUUAAAAAGAUUCUUCUUCUCCUUGAUGAUGUAGAUGACAAAGAACAGCUAAAAUUCUUGGCUGANNNNNNNNNNNNNNNNNNNNNNNNNNNNNNNNNNNNNNNNNNNNNNNNNNNNNNNNNNNNNNNNNNNNNNNNNNNNNNNNNNNNNNNNNNNNNNNNNNNNAGGGAGCAGAAUUAUGAUAACAAGCAGAGAUAAACAAGUGUUGACUAGAAAUGGUGUUGCUAGAAUUUACGAGGCUGAGAAAUUGAAUGAUGAUGAUGCUCUUACGUUGUUUAGCCAGAAAUAGGUUUUUCCAGCUACUAAUUCUAUAAAUAUAAUGAAAACAGAAAUGAGAAACUCGUCAGUUUUUCUAUUGAUGUAGAACGAGGAAGAAGACGAGGGAGAGAAUAGAUGAAGAAUAGAAAGGUGACGUAUAAAGGAAUUGGGGGGGGGGGGCUUUUAAAUGGAUAUGGGUAAUAUUAUUUAUAUUAAUAAAGUAAUAUAAAAAAAGAGGAUAAAGAGUUACAUCCUAAUAAUAAAAAUCAAAUAUCAUAACUCUUCAUUCUUAUAAAUAAAUAUGUCUGUUAUACAAUAAUAAACACUAAGAAAAAAUAUUGAAAAGAAAAAUGGAUUCUCAAAAAAAAAAAUCUAUUUUAAUUUUCAGAAGAAUUGUUAAAUAAAGUAGGCUUAUUGAGUAAUGUGAUGUGAUAGUAAUUAUUUUUAAAUUUUUUUAUUUGAAAAUACAUUUAAAAAAUAUUUUUAAAAUGUAAAAACAAUAGUAUUAAUUGUUAAAUUAUGUGCAGACAUUAUAUAUAUAUAUAUAUAUAUAUAUAUAUAUAUAUAUAUAUUAUUGCUUAUGUGUAUUUAUUGUUGUGCAAUUCUUUGCUCCUCUGUCUGUCUUGUUGAAACAAACUAAAAAGAAAAAUAAUGUGCCAGUUAGAAAUUGAACGUUGAACACCCACUUGGUGAGAUUGUCUGAAACUUAAAUAGUAAAAAUGUGAUGGCCUCAUUCACCACUGGGCUGUUGCUCAAGUUUUGUCAUGCAUACAAUAUAAAUAAUAAUCAAACCUAAGACCUUAAGAAGGAAGAGAUUGCUGGCUGCGUACUGCAUUUUAGGGGUGUUCAAAAAAACCGAUUAACCGAAAAAACCGAAGAAAAAUUAACCGAAAAAACCGAACCGAGAUAAAAAACCAAUUAAACCGAUUUUUAAAAUCAUAAAUUCUAAUAGGUCCGGUUCGGUUUCGGUUUUAAAACUGAAACCAACAAACCGAACCAGACCAACCAAAAACCCAAAGCUAUACAAAUUAAGAGGGGUAUAAAUAGUUAAAUACUGAAACCUAACCCUAAAAGCCGUCGCUUGACCCCUGAGAAUAUUUAUGUCAAUCUUCCUUUCCCUUUCAAAUUUCAAUUGCUCUGCCUCCUCCAUCUCUAAAGUGAUUCUCAUCUCUUCAUCUACGUUUAUCUCCAUCUCAAAAGUGAGCCAAACACAAACUCAUCUCCUUAACUUCUCUUCUCUUUACUUUUGCACAAUCCUUCUUUAUUUCUGCUUAAGUUGUUGCAGUUACAGUAGAAGGAGAUGGAUCCUGUAGAGAAAAGAUAACAAGGUAAUUUUUUACCCAGUACUUGGUGUUUGCCCAGGGAUCCAAGGUAUAUCAACAGGAAACAAUGAUUAAUGACCGAAGUUGAAUUUAUAGCUUUUGUUAUUUACUGCAACAAAGACGGAUCUAUUACAAAAUCCUCUGAAUGGUUAGCUAAACUGCAUUGUUCCUCGCUUGUCAGCUCAAGAUUGUAAUAACUGGAAAUAUAAAAUUCCAAACAAGGAAAAAUUAGUGUUUGAUCUGUGAAGGGAUUCGGUUUUCUGGUUUUUUGCCAAAAAAACCAGAUUUAACCGAACCGAACCGGUUCGGGUGAUAUUUCAUAAAAUUAAUAUAACUCGGUUCGGUUGGUUUUUUUAGUCUAAACCAAACUGAACCGAACCGUGAACACCCCUACUGCAUUUAGUUGUGUAGUGGAUGUAUACAUUAAUAAUAUAUUUAGAAACAAAGGGUAUAAUUCUGCGUUGGAGAUUUAUAUUAAUGAUUUGGGCUAAUUGUUGUGCAUUUUAUUUUCAUGUGCAAUUCUAUAUUAAUGAUAUGUGCAUUGAUUAGUUAUGAUAAAUUAAUUUAUAUAUGUUAUGACUACAAAUUUAUUAUUCACAUAUGUUUAUAUAUAUGUAUACAUGUUUUCCAAACACAGUGUAAUUCCAUGUUUAACCUAGUAGAAUUGUGAAUUUAUUGAAUUCUUAAAAUAUAUGUUAUUUUAAAUAUAUGAUCCUUACGUUAUUAAUUAUGAUAUUAAUAAUAUGAUUAUGAAAAUAGUGAGCUUUCGAUUUUUGAUUUUAAAUAUGAUAUCAAAUCAUUGUUGGCAUAAUUAAUUGAUAUUAAGGAUAUGUAUAUAUGUUUUAGUCAUCAAUUAAAUGUGAAUAUGUGACUAAUAAAAUAUUUUUUUAUGUGAAAAAAAUAAGAAAUGACUAUUGCUGCCAAGAAUAUUGUGGCCGAGCUUAAUAUGAUCUUCUUAAGCCAACAAACCUAAAAUUAAUAUAUUCAUUGCUGUUGCACUUUAGGUCGUGGCGAAGAGACUUGUUUCUUUCUUCUGCAUCCGGGUUCGAUCUUCUCUGUGCAUGCCUGUAACCCCCGCGGUGUCUUACAUGUUCACUGGGCUUGCAGGAUAUUCAGUAGGUCCGAGGAUUAGUUGUGGUGCGCGUAAGCGUAAGCAUCAAAGUGAAUCUCAAUAUAAGCAAGGUAAAGAGAAAUCCAUGGAAAAGGAAAACAUUCUUUUAAGAAGAAAAGGAACAAUCACCAAGAGGUUCCUCUGGUCCACAAAGGGAUUUGAGUUUUGGACAUCUGCUGAUCUCAAGUUGCUUUAACUGGGGGAAAAUAUUUAGUGGGAAGAACUCAGGGGACAACAAGUAAUGCCAAUUUUUUUAAAAGUAGUGCAAGCAUAACCCCACUCUUCAAUUUCCUGACAUAUAAAAUUGAUGAUGGCAUGGAAUGAAUCGACUGUGAGACUUUGCGAGUCAGAAAACAAUUUCUCUAACUGCAACUUAUGAAAAUCAUUAGCCAACAUUAUUUUAUUAAUGCGUGCAGGAGACCAUCCAAAAGGUGGACCCAUAAGCUUACAUUUUGCAAUCUCAAGCUCCACUAAAGAAGGAAGGUCGCUGGGCAGUGUUGUUAGGCUCGAACACUUUUUUAUGCAAAGCACUUGAAGGCUUGGGAAAGCUCUGCCUUUAGAUUUCCAUUCACGCACUUACCAAAAAAAAAAGAUUUCCAUUCACGCCAUUGCAACAUCCUCUCAAAAGUUAGGCUUUCAAGGGAUUGGGAUGGGUUUCCUACGGUCGUGGGACUUCCAUAGAACUCAUAACCAACAGACUUUAAAUUAUAGAAGUCUUCAAUCAAGAGCCUUUUUAGAGUUUCUAACUGACCAAGAGAUGGUAAAGAAACACAUUAUUUACAUCCACUAAGCCUCAGAUCGACCAUAUUUUUGAAAGAAGUGUGUCCUAUCCAUCCUGGAAGUUUUUUACCUCUUUAACAAAUUAUAGAAAGAGUUUCCACUUUUGCACUAAGCCACAAUGCUUCAAGUACAUCUUCUUCUGUUAAAGAAUCAUCAGUAUCCCUCAUGUCACCCCAUCUUAACUCUAAUUCUUAAGAUCCUUGCCCUUCAAAUUGGCUUCAGAAGCAUUUAGACCAUGAAAAGCUCAAGCUUUACUAAAGAUAAUGCUCUUUAUAGUCCUAUCUCUUUCAUUCGAGUGCGCUUUCUAUCCCUUGUAUACUAGAUAAUACGCUUUCUAGUUAUAUUUAUGUUUCUUUCGAGUAUGUUUUUUAGUCCUCAUUUAUUAGAAAGUGUGCUUAAUAGUCAUAUCUCUUUUCUUUCAAUUGUGUUUUGUAGCCCUUAUAUACUAGAUAAUGCACUUUAUAGUAAUAUUCAUUUUUCUUUUGAGUGCGCUUUUUAGCCCUUGUAUACUAGAUAAUGUGCUUUUGAGCUCAAUCCAUCUUCCUUUUAAGUGCGCUUUCUAUCCCUCAUCCAUUAGAUAGUGCACCUUUUAACCUUAUCUUUUUUCCUUUCGAGUGCGCUUUCUAGCCCUCAUCCAUCAGAUAAUACACUUUCAAGUCCUAUCCUUUUCUUUUUAGUACGCUUUUUAGUCAUAUCAUUUUCUUCCCAAGUGCGCUUUAGAAAUCUCAAUUCUAACACUCUUGGAAAGAUUAACUAUUUUGUUAACUGUAAAUCUAUGAUGUUGUGUCUUUUCUUAUUUACAACUUACUAUUUAAAGUCUCUUAUAAAAUUUUUUGUCAUAGGCAUUAUAAAGAUGAAGCAACUGUUAUAACCUAAUUUUGGGAUCCCCCCAAAUUACAAGUUUUUUAAAUGAAAAGCAAUAAAAAAAUUGAAAAUGAAAAAGACUGAUAAAUUAAAAAAAAAAAAAACAAGUUGAGAAGGGUUUCAAAUGCAUGGAGGAACCAAGCUGGAGUUUUAGACAAAAUUGGAAUCCUAAUUGUACCUAUUUGUACCCAAGAUCAAUAAAGGGCAAAUUAAAUUAUUAUUGGAUUAAUUUGUAUUUUAAUAGGUCAACUUGAGUUAAUCAUGACCCUACUUAAAGGUUUUAUUAAGUUUAAAAAUUAAUUUGGGUCAAAUUAAGAGAAAUAAUUAAGUGUAAGGACUUAAUUAGACUUUUAAUAGGUUAAAGUUAUUUUUAUUAGGAAUUUAAUUGGUGAAAAAUUAAGUUUGAAAGCUUAAUUUGGGCUUAAUUGAGAAUAUUGAAAUUUUAGAUGAUCAAAUUUAUUAUUUUUAAGCUUAAUUGUUUGAAUUCAGGGAUAUAAUUGCAAGAAAAUCAAAGUUUAGUGGUCCAUCAAGGGUCAAAUUAAAGAAAUUCAAGACUAAGAAUCUUUAUGCAAAGGAGCAAAAAUUUAGGUCUCAAAUUCGGUUGAAAACAAGGAUGAAAUUCAAAAAAUUAAAAGUUUGAAAUUCAAUUAAAAAUAAAAUCAAAGAACCUUUAUGUAAAAGCAACGUGUUUUUCGAAGCCAUCUCUCCCCUCCACAUCCCUCACACCAUGACACUAAACAUACCUCUCUUGUGACCUGCUACUGUACCCCCAUCAAGAGCAGAAAAACAAGUCCUUUGGCAGUACUAAGAACACUGCCAAUCCGGCUUUUGUGGCUUUGUUUGGACAUGAGAAGCGUAGGCCAACACGUCCCUCACCCUCUAUAAAUGCCAACCUCAUGGCAACCAUAUGGCAGGGGGGAUAAAAAAAAGAAAAAAGAAGAUCAAACACUACACCAACACUAAACCCUCUCUACACCGACGACCUCACAAAAAUCAAACAACCUCAAUCCCUGUCCCAAAGAACAACAACUAGAGACCAUUGAAAGAGCAAUCACAGCAACAUUUGUUUUUCUCUCCUAGCCUUCAUUCCUCCAUCGAUACUCUCUUGUGCACCAGCAACAGCCUUGACAGAUCAAAAUUCAUUUUGUUAUGUUCCAAUUCGUGAGUUUGAGAGAGAAAGAAGAAAGUCACUUAAUAUUGGGUGAGGAGAGAGAAAGAGAUAGAUUGCCACAAUUCGAUAAUAAAAAAAUUGAUUUGGUUCCACUUGCCGAGAGUGGAAUUUCAUUGUGGUUUCACACCUUUUAUCUUAUCAGACAAAUAUAGAUCGAAGCUUGUAAUUUUUUUUUGAAUUGGAUGAUUUCUUAGUUUUUUUACCGGUUAAAAGUUGAUUUGAUGUUCGAUUUGAAUUUAUUGAGAAGUGUGGAGGUAUUUAUUAGGUGUUUUUAAGUGAAAAAUAACAAAAAAAAUAUAUUUGAGUUUAAGAGAAUGAAACCUAACUUUUAGAUCACCUAAUUUAGCCGGAAAGGUUACCAAUUUAUCUUUUCACAAUACAAGAUUAUAUAUUUUAAAUUGCAUUUAUCUUCUAAUUUUUUGAUUUAAUAUUUAAUUACUAUCACAACUCUUUUAAAUAAUUAUCACUGCACAUUAUUAUCAAUUUAUUUUAUUAAAUACACAUGUUAAAUUUUUAAUUCAUAGUUAGUUUUCUUAUAUGUUAAAAAAAACACUAACAGCCCCUAUCUUUUUUUUACUACAAAAAAUAAUGUUUGAUUCACUCGUUAUGAAGUUGCUAGUUAAGUUAUCAUGCAUUGAAGAGGUUGAGUUUUAGAGGUGAGUAUGAUAGGUAAUAAUAUAUAUGCCUUUUGUUUUGAAACUUUAAUUUCAAUUUAAAACUAUUUAAAGUGGAUUAGAAUUGAUUUUGAAGUUAAAAAUGGGUUUAUAUAAACUAUUAGGAUGGGUUUGAGAUUCUUAAGCUGAAAAUGAUUGAAAAUGGCAUUUUUGAUACCCAUGGAUGGUGGCUCUCGAUUUUCUAGCUAUCGAAGCGUCGCUUAGAAAACAUAGCAGGAAUCAUACCCACAGUAUAGCUCGGAUGCAUUGGCUGAUUGAUCAAGAAAGGGUUCUACGAAACUACAAAAUUAACCAUUGCCACUCAUCUUCUAGAGUGAAGGAACCCUUCUCCAGAUCUGGUCAUAGUUUUUUGGAUAAUUCAAACUCAUUUUUUUGGAUAACAAAAAGAUUGCUGUUACCUGAAAAAAUGAAGUCGAAUGAAGGUUUACAAGGUCAAAGACAGCGAUCAAACACUCAUAAAUGCAAUGAAUCAGCUUGUCUUGGACUUCCCACAGAUACACCUGUUUUCUACCACACUUAUUUUGGGACUCAUUAUAUCUGAAAAUGUCUUCAGCAAAGCAUAUUCUCCUUCUUCUUCAUUUUUUAAUCUUUUGAUAUGCAUAUUAAUUCAACAUUACAUAAGGGCUAAGGCUUUUGUGAAUAAGGGGCUAUUCACACAAAAGAAUAAAAAGCCAUGAACAAAUGUGCAGCAGACAUCCAUCAAUGCAAGAAAUGCCCAUUUUCAAGAACUCUAAGCAACUCCUAAAUCCAGAACAAAACCCUCAAAUAUCAAAUCUUUAUAUGUUUGAAUAUCUAAAAAGAAGAAAAAGCAACCAAAUCUUUAUAUGAACUUGACAUCCAUCAAUGCAACAGCGUCACCGUUUUAUCCGGGAGCACGAGCACUUGUCUGAGCAGCAUCUGCUUGAGCUGCCGCCUGAGCAGCUAAUAAUCUGAUCAAUCAAUACUAACUACAAACGUAGUCAAAUUGUAUCCUAUUUGAUGUUAUUUUCGAUGCAACUGUCAGUCCGCUAAACAAUAUUUGCUUGAUCUUGCACAACCAACAUACAUACAUGAAGAAAAGAAGUAUUCUUUUUCCAUUCCAAUAGCCAAAAAAAAAAAAAAAGGCAAUCACAUUUCCAUGUUCUUCAAAGCUAUUUGUUAUGCAACUUCCUCACCAACUGUUAACACUCAUUAAUCUCUAACAGCAGUAGACAUAUAUGAAGAAGAAAUCAACAAUAUUCAUCCCACUUUAACACCCCAAAAAAGGUGGGUUAGAAAUCACCCCACCCACCUUCACUAACUUUCCUUACCUUUUGAUAGCCAACAAUACAACGCGAAGAAAAUAAGUGUUCUUUUCCCAUUUUCAAAGCUAAAAAAAAAAAAAAAAAGAGUAAAUGAAGAAGUAUGGUGUGUGGUAUCUGAGUUUAUCCUAUGUCGGGUUCUAUCAAAAGCUGGUUUUUGCUUGGUGAGACCAGGUGUAUUUAUACAUUAACUUCAAAUUUUUUUAUGAAGAAGAAAAUCAUGUCAUUAGCUAACCAAGAUGGCUCGUUAAAGCGAGCUUGGGUUUUGUGCCUAGCUUGAUGAAGCAGCUUGGAAGAGAUCGAAGUUGGUGUGCCAGUGUAACAGGGUAUUUACACACCAACUUAAAACUUCAUUUGCUUUUUUAAAAAAAAAAAUCUUUAGUUAAUAAUAAAUCUCACAAUUAUUAAUUAUUGGUUAUAUAUACUUUUUUACUAUGUAUCAUAUUGGUGCCCACCAGUGCAGUUUCAUCCCUCAGCAGGGUCUGGAUCCAGCAGACCAGCAAAGACAGCAGCUUGUUCUUUAGUCUUGCCAUCAGCAAUGUGAGCAACAGCUUCGUCAGUUAAGCCGGCACUAAAAUCAUGGGAUGUUUUUUAAAUGGAAAGAGUGAAAUUAAAUUGAUUUUUAGAAUCAAAAUUUAAUUACGGAUCUCAUUGAAUAAAUAAAAAAAUUACGGAUUGAAAUCGAGAGGAGAUUUAAACCUAAUUUGAAUCUAAAGAGCCAAAACCACUCUGUUUGAUUUAAAUCGAAUGGCAUGUUUUGCAUAAAAUGACAUGGUUUUGGUAAUUAAUUAAUUAAUAAAUAAAAGAAGCGAGAAAAAGAAAAGAAGGAAAAGACGUCGUUUUACUGUGCACCGUGUUCUUUCUCUGUGCCAGAUUUUGAAGAUAAGAGAUGGUUUUUCCCCUUUGUUUAAACCCUUUUUUUAGGCCCUCUCUCUCCUCCAUGAUAUUAGCUCGGAAAGAGUGCAACAACAGAUAUAUUAUGCAUAAAUAAUAUGUAAAAUGAGUUGUCUAUGUAAACGGUGUUCUAUCGAUUUAUAAGAUAGCUAGGUAGGUGUUGUUAUGAUAUGUGUUUUACUGACAAUUUAUAAUUAAGAAAUGGUAGGCAUUAUAUAAUUAACAAUUUGUGAGAAAGGAUAGCAGUACCAUACUAAUAACAAUUGUUUGGUCUGAGUUGUUUAAGUGGUGACCCAUACUAGUAGCAGUUGUUAAGUCAGGUCUAAAGAUAUUCGCACUCUCUCUUUUCUAUGAGGCCUUUGGCCCCAUCAUGUAUAAAGAAAUAUUUCCAAGGAAUCCUAGAGAUCGAAAUUCUCUCCAUCUGUGCAACUUCCCUUGGAUUCUCGCUUUUCGUCCUCACCAUUCUAAUGAUAUGCUUCCCGAUGACGUGCGAAGUAGAAACCGACAGCUUGGCCAAGUAGCAGUUGUUAAGUCAGGUCUAAAGAUAUUCGCUCUCUCUCUUUUUUAUGGGUCCUUUGGCCCCAUCAUGUAUAAUGAAAGAUUCAUUUGUGAAUGAAAAAUAGAGCUUUGUUCCAUUAGGAGUUGAAACCACCUAACUUGGCUUAAUUAGAUGUGACUAUAGAAAAAUCUAACAAUAAAUUUCAUUAAUCGUAUUUAAUGUGAUGAAUGUUCUUUGUAGCAGACGUACGUGAAGUGAUUUGAAAAAUAUAAAUAUUGAGUUUUAGAAACAUACAUUUCGUGAAAAUAAUUAUAUAAACACUUAUUGCACUAACCAAUAGCUAGCAGUUCAUACAUUAAAGUGUCCUUUCAUUCAUAUUAGUCUAACAUAGUGAUUCCUUUCUUUAUCCUCAUACUUUUUGUUAUUGAUUGCAUCCUUUAGUUUGUUGUUUGUUGGUUUUUUUUUAUUAGUAGUCUCUUUUAUUGGCAUGUUCUUGGUAAUCGAAGGUUUUUAUCAUAUUUUGAAACUUGAUUUGAGAUCAAUUUAAAUUUAAUGAGAUGAUGUUUGAAUUUUUUCCAUAAAGACAAAAUUUAGAAAAAAGGAUUAAAAAAAAUGCACUUUUGUCCCUUUUUCUUUACAUAUUUUUACUUUUGUUCCUUUAGUUUUAGCAUUUUAGGUUUUGGUCCAAAAUUCAUUAUGUUAUGUGUCGCACGUGUGCGGCGUCGCGGCAAAAACAUCCACCCUCAUAAUUUUCUUAUUAUCUAAUGUUAUCUAAAAAUGUGGCAAAUGUGGGGAGACAAUGAAUUCUUGUCUUUUAUUAGUGGAAAAAUGGGAGUCGCCACCUAGUAUUUUGGUCACUAGGAACCCUAACUGGUCUCAGAGAUCAGGUACGGGGACUGGUUGCGUAAAGGGAAGGUAUUAGCACCCCAAAUACGCCCUACCUAAGGUAAGCUGCAUUGUUUUAUUGUCUGAUAAAAUCUAAGGUCUUGUCGUGUUUUCUAGUUGUUGGUUCGUCUAUGGUUCAAGAAAAGUCUUCCUCGGUAAGGAGAUUCUUAUCUUAUCGGGUAAUUUUGAUGUCAACAAAAGAAAUUUAAUAUCCGGAAUACGUCUUAUGUAUAAGGUCGUAACCCCAGAUAUUAAAAGAAAACAAAAUAAUUUUUUUGGAAUUUUUGAAAUAUUGGCCUAGUUCUCGUGACUUUAAUAAACUGGUUAUUAAAACCAAAAUGCAUGCUAAUACAUAUUUUUGAACUUUUCUUUGUUAUAUGAAAAUACAAUAUGAAUUUUUUUUAAUUUUUGAGAGACUUGGCCGUAUGCAUGAAAACAAAAUAUUUUUUUAUGUUUUGACAAAAACCAGGUAUUUCAAUACCAGAUUUGUAUCUUUACAAUAUAAAAAUACAAACCAAUAUUGAUCAAAAUGCAGUAAAAUAUUUGCGGAAAAUCACAGAUUUUUUUUUAAAUAAUUUUUGAAGAAAUUUUUUUUUCUUUUUUUCGGGCUGGGCUGGACCCAACCACCCAUGUGGCUUGACCCAACUAAGCCAUGCACGCGUAAAAUUCUACGCGUGCAUAUAUUACCUUCGCACUGUUCAUCCUUCGUUUUUUCGUGCACCAGCAACAGCCUUGACAGAUCAAAAUUCAUUUUGUUAUGUUCAAAUUCGUGAGUUUGAGAGAGAAAAAAGAAAGUCACUUACUAUUGGGUGAGGUCUUAGUUUUUUCACCGGUUAAAAGUUGUUUCAAUAUUUGAUAUUAAAAAGUGUAGGGUGUUUAUUAGGUGUUUUCAAGUGAAAAAUUAAAAAAAAAAGUUUUUUUAGGUUCAAGAAAAUGAAACCUAACUUUGAGACCACCUAACUUGGCCGGAAAGGUUACCAAUUUAUCUCCCCGUAAUACGAGAUCAAAUAUUUUAAAUUGUAUUUAUCUUCUACUUUUAUAUUUAAUAUUUAAUUAUUAUUAACAACUCUUUUUAAUAAUUAUCAGCACAUAUUAUUAUCGAUUUAUUCUAUUAAAUACAUAUGUCAAAUUUUUAAUUCAUAGUUUGUUUUUUUAUACACUAAAAAACUAUUAACAAUCCCUAUCUUUUUUUUAUUAAAAGAAUAAUGUUUGAUCUCACUCGCUGUGAAGUUGCUAGUUACGUUAUCAUGUAUUGAAGUGGUUUGGUUUUAGAGGUAGGUAUGAUGGGUAAUAAUAUAUAUGUAUUUUGUUUCGAGAUUUUAAUUUCAAUUUAAAACCAUUUAAAGUGGAUUAGAAUUGAUUUUUAAGUUAAAAAUGGGUCUAUAGAAACUAUUAGGAUGGGUUUGAGGUUUUUAUGCUGAAAAUGAUUGAAAAUGGCCUUCGAUUAAUUAUAUUAUUAAAUUAACUAAUUUUAUUUAAUAUAAUCAAGUUAAUCACCAAAAUCUUAUAUUUUUUUUAAAGUAGUCUCAACAUUAUUUUUCCAUGUUAAAAAAAUCACACGGUAGAUAGCAAUCCGCGAGCCACCUAAUACUAAUACAUCAUUAGCUAACAUCCACUGGAGGAUUUAUUUUAUUGAAUAUAUAUAUAUAUAUAUAUAUAUAUAGACACACACAUCAAUCUUGGGUUCCCACUAGGAAAUUUUCUAGCUAUCGAAGCGUCGCUUAGAAAACAUAGCAGGAAUCAUACCCACAGUAUAGCUCGGAUGCAUUGGCUGAUUGAUCAAGAAAGGGUUCUACGAAUCUAAUAUAGUUUGUUUUCACUUGACUACAAAAUUAACAAAGGCCACUCAUCUUCUAGAGUGAAGGAACCCUUCUCCAAUAUCAAAUCUUUAUAUGUUUGAAUAUCUAAAAAGAAGAAAAGGCAACCAAAUUUUCAAGCUUUUUCCCUCUAUUUUUUUUUUUUGGGGGGGGGGGGGGGGAGCAAAAAAGGUCAUGGAUUUUUGCCAUUUUUUGGUUACAUGGAGAGCAGGGGGAUCUCAUUAAAGCAAAUAAUUCAUCAAUCAUAAUCAAAACUCAAAACAAAGCAUGCAAGUACAAGUACACCAUGAAUUUUAAUGUUGAUGGUAAAAAAUUAAAAAUGGUGUAAAUUGAGAUGGAGAGCUAAAUAUAUAAAAAGACCAAAAAACAAAACGAAUGCUAUAAUCAAAUUUCGAACAUCUAAAAGGUAUCUUGUGUGCGACUAUUUCCAUGUCAUUAUGUACGACAGAAAAAAGAGAGGAUGCUAUAAAAGAAUGUGUGGAACCAAGUGAAACAAUGAACAUCCAAAAGGGGAGUUUGAAAUUGAUGAAUUAAAUUUUUAUCUCUAUAUUUUUUUAAAAAAAUUAUAAAUAUAAAUUUUCAGGAAUAUAAAUAUAUUACAAUGAAAGCAUGUUAAGUUCGACGCUAGUCAGACCCGUGCAUGUUAGACUUAACAAUAUACCAAGCCUCAAACAUGUUAGGUCCGACAAUGUGAAAUGACCUUCCUCUCUUUUAGACUAAAUAUAUUGUUUUAAACAACAAUAAUUUAUACAUUAAAGGGUCUUUUCGAUCCUACUAGACCAACAAAAUUAUAUAAAUAUUUAAAACAAAGCUAUUAAUAUGAUAUUUAUUAUGGAUUAUAUUCUAUUAUGCCUUUCAUUGUUAAAUUUUGUCAUCCAAUUUAUAAUUUGAAGUCAUUGGAGCAUAGCUAUUUGAAUAGCUAAAAUAGCAUCUUCUUACCAAGCUUACCGAUCGAGCCAAAAGCAAGUUGAAAGUAUAUAUACCCGCUAGUCAACAUACCUCAAUUGUGAUGUGUGUGGCUCAACCCCUGCUCUUGACAGGAAGGUGCCUCUGCUCGCAAUGCGCGUUCCAUAUCCCUUUCAUAUCUCUUCUCACUUUUUCUCCACUGAAACUCCAUCUUCUUUACAGUGUAAGAAAAAGAUCCGUAAGAAAAUCCAGGAAACUUACCAGUACGAGUUCUUGACCUAAAGGAACCGGAACAAAUUCAAAGUCAUUGGAAUAAAAAGAAAGAAAAAGGCUUUCGAAGUUGGUUACUAAGGCUAAGUUUGUUUUCCGGAAUUUAUUUUCUAGAAAACUAUUUUCCAAACUUUCUUGUGUUUGUUUGUCAUUAGAAAAGUUAGUCAACGAAAAAUACUUUUCAGUCAAAGGAAAAUUUGACUUGGUUUACAGGAAAAUAUUUUCCUGAAAAAUUUGAGCGGAAAACACUUUCCGGAAGUUGUGAAAAAUUUAGAAAUGUCAAAUUUGAUCCUCAAACUUUUGAUUGCUAUAUAUAUUUUGUUUUGAAUAUUUAUUUUUCAAUUUCAUCUCUUAAAAUUUAAUUUUUAUAAACUUUGGUCCUCAUUUUUAUAAUUGUUAUUUGCUUUUCCCUUAUCAUUUUUUUAUUGAAAUUUUUUAUGUAUCAAAUUUGAUCCUCAUUCUUUUGAUUGUUACUUAUUUUAUUUGAAAUAAUUUAUGAAAUGUUAAUUAUUAUUAUUUUAAUUUCUUCAUCUUUUUUUUUAGAUUUGAUCUCUAUUAUUUUGAUUAUUAUUUAUUUUAUUUGAGAUAAUUUAUGAAAUUAUAUUUUUUUUUCAAUUUCAUUCUCAUUCAACUUUUUAAUUUGUAAGAUUUGUUUCUCAUUAUUUUAAUAAACUUGAGAAAAAUAAAAUAUUAAUAAGUUAUUUUCCAACUCAUUUUCCAUGACAUAACCAAAUACUGAAAAGUGUUUUCCAACUUAUUUUCCAUUACACUACCAAACAUCAGAAAAUAAUUUACUUUAAAAAAAAAACUACUUUCCAGCAAACAAACAGAGCCUAAGAUACCAGAAGAAAAAGAAAUAUUGGGCGUGGCCUGGAUCUUGUGCCUCUUUAGCCAACACUUACCACCCGGUUUGUUUCGUCUAGAUUCGUGAAAUACUCGUAGAAAUUUGGUGUUUUCUGAUUUCUAAGUAGAAUUGUACAUGUUCCAGCUUGGAAUUGCUAAUUGGUAGAUUUGAUUGCCAAAUUUCUUGAUCUUACCUUCUGUUUCAUGUUUGACCACAGGAGCAGGCCUUACACAAAAUAGCGUGGAAAGCAAUUGCUGAACCAAGCGAGCUAGUUGAGGCCAGAAGGGAUCGGUACUAGUUUAUCGCUAUUGGGAUUUUCAUGGCUUCCAGCAGCAUGCAAGGAAUAACCUCAUCUUCAUCUCCUCCUCCUCCACUAUAUAUGCAUGAUGUGUUCCUUAGUUUUAGAGGCAAAGACACGCGGAACAACUUUACUAGUCAUCUACAAACUAAUCUGGCACAGAGAGGCAUCGAUGCAUACAUGGAUGAUAGGGAGCUCGAGAGAGGAAAGACCAUUGAACCUGCUCUCUGGAAGGCCAUCGAAGAAUCAAGGUUUUCUGUCAUUAUAUUUUCAAGAGAUUACGCUUCUUCACCAUGGUGCUUGGAUGAACUUGUCAAGAUUGUUCAGUGCAUGAAAGAGAUGGGGCACACUGUUCUGCCAGUUUUUUAUGAUGUGGAUCCCUCAGAGACAUAUGAGAAAGCCUUCGUUGAGCAUGAACAAAAUUUCAAGGAAAAUCUGGAGAAGGUCCAGAUCUGGAAAGAUUGUCUCUCUACGGUGACCAAUCUAUCAGGCUGGGACAUACGGAAUAGGUAAAUCAUCUAUCUACUUAUUCUUAUUCUCAAAUCCUCCCUGUAUUGUUUCAAUGAUGAUCAUAGCUUUACAAACAACGCCCUGCAUGCCAUAGAGAUGAACAAUUUUUUUUCCUAACCAAUUGUAAAUCAAAGUGCACAAGCCCUGACCAGUAAGAAACUGGGAACAACACCCAAUAGCUACUGUAGUGAAUCCAAGCUCGUCUUUCCCUUUUUUUUUUUUUUUUUUAAACUCAUGAGCUAUAAAUACAUAAUGAGAUUUUUAGAAUAAAGAUUCAUAAUUUUCUUUUUUUAUUGAAUAUAUAAUUUCAAAGCAUCUUUCUAAAAUAUUAUUUUAUUUCUUUUAAAAAAUAUAUUUAUAUAAGCAUCGAAUUUCAUUAUAAAUCAUGUUCAAAAAAAAAAAUUCAGCAAGCAAGCUAUAAAGGGGUCUAUAUUUGCUUUCAUUAACUAAAAUAGCAAUAGCAACACAAUCCAUAUACAUAGUUGGAAAUUGAUGAUCGUCCUGAUAAUUAAAAAAAAAAAAAAAACAGGAAGCAUUACAAACAACGCCAUAGAGAUGAACGAUUUAUUUUUUUCCAACCAACUGUAAAUCAAAGUGCACAAGCCUGACCAAUAAGAAACUGGGAACAACACGCAAUAGCUAUACUGAACAAAUAAAUCAAACCGCGAAAUACAUGAAACUGGAGACGGUCAACAAAAACCAAACAAGACAAACUUAUAGUGCUGGAACCAUCAUCAUCACCCCAUCUUUUUUUUUUCUCUCUGUCCCCUUUUAGGAACCACAAUUCUACACUUCUCUUCCCACUUUAUCCUCCCAUCUCAUCUCUUUUUUUAUCCCUGUUAAAAAGACCAAAACAGCCCUAAAAAACAACCUUACUUUCCAACAAACCAAAGACAAAACCUACAGUGUUUUACCAGUUACAGUGAUUUCACUGCAUGUUUUAGCUUUUUGUUAAUUAAUAUAUUUUAUGUGAAAAAAAUAAUAUAAAUAUUUAAAACAAAGCUAUUUUCUAACUUUUACACUAAAUAUAUUAUUUUAAACAACGACAAUCUAUACAUUAAAGGGUCUUUUUGAUCCUACUAGACCAACAAAAUUAUAUAAAUAUUUAAAACAAAGCUAUUAAUAUGAUAUUUAUUAUUGAUUAUAUUUUAUUAUGCCUUUCAUUGUUAAAUUUUGUCAUCCAGAUUAUAAUUUGAAGUCGUUGGAGCAUAGUUAUUUGAAUAGCUAAAAUACAUUUUCUUUUACUAAAAUUCUAUUUUUACAUAUCUACGUAGCAUAGCCAAAACCAAAAGGAAAGUAUAUAUACUCGUUAGCCAACAUAUUUUUAUCUAUAAUUAGCAUUUGUUUGUCUCUUUAAAAACAGAACAAUAGAAAAAAAAAGCCUGUAAAUCUCAGAGCCUAAAAAAUUUGAUAGUAUAUAUAAAACUGAAAAUUAAAAAUAUUCAUAAAAUUUUGAUUUUAGAAAUUUAAAAUUUAAACUUCAAAUUAUAUCUUUUAACUUUGAUAUUACUUUAUUAAUUUUAUAAAUUACUUAUAUUAAUUAAUUGUAUAAUUGAUAACAUGAUUGUAUUAUAUAUAAAAUAAUUAAACUAGUUAUAUAACUAUAUUAAAAUAAGUUUAAUAUAAAAUAUAUUAAAAUAUAAUUAACUCUCCUAAAUAACUUUUUACCAUUAAAAUUGGACAUAAAAAAACUAUAUUUACAUCCAUUUUUAUCAAUUUAAUUUUUAACUUCUAAAAAUAGCAUGUCUUAUUGAAGUUGCUCUUAUGCAGAAUUACAAGGGCCAAAGGGAAAGAGACAAAAGAAGUCCAAAAAUAUUUAUUUUAAACAUAGAUGCUUGACUUGAAAAUUCAUUACAAAACACGAAUCAACUCAAUUAAUUGUGAUGUGCGUGGCCCAACCCCUGCUCUUGACAGGAAGGUGCCUCUGCUGCCCAAUGCGCGUUCGAUAUCCCUUUCAUUUCUUUCUCUACUGUUUCUCCACCGAAAGUCCAACUUCUUUACAGUGUAAGAUCCGUAAGAAAAUCAUUGGAAACUUACCAAUACGAGUUCUUGACCUAAAGGAACCGGAAAAAAUUCGAUGUCAUUGGAAUAAAAAGAAAGUCAAGGGCUUUGGAAGUUGGUUACUAAGAUACCAGAAGAAGAAAAAAUAUUGAGCCUGGCUGGAUCUUGUGCCUCUUUAGCCAACACUUACCACACGGUUUGUUUCGUCUAGAUUCGUGUAAUACUUGUAGAAAUUUGGUGUUUUCUGAUUUAUGAGUAGAAUUGUACAUGUUCCAGCUUGAAAUUGCUAAUUGGUAGAUUUAAUUGCCAAAUUUCUUGAUCUUACCUUCUGUUUCAUGUUUGACCACAGGAGCAGGCCUUAUACAAAAUAGCGUGGAAAGCAAUUGCUGAACCAAGCGAGCUAGUUGAAGCCAGAAGGGAUCGGUACUAGUUAAUUUAUCGCUAUAGGGAUUUUCAUGGCUUCCACCAGCGUGCAAGGAAUAACCUCAUCUUCAUCUUCUCCUCCUCCACUAUAUAUGCAUGAUGUGUUCCUUAGUUUUAGAGGCAAAGACACCCGGAACAACUUUACUAGUCAUCUAUGUUCUAAUCUGGCACAGAGAGGCAUCGAUGUGUACGUGGAUGAUAGGGAGCUCGAGAGAGGAAAGACCAUCGAACCUGCUCUCUGGAAGGCCAUCGAAGAAUCAAGGUUUUCUGUCAUUAUAUUUUCACGAGAUUACGCUUCUUCACCAUGGUGCCUGGAUGAACUUGUCAAGAUUGUUCAGUGCAUGAAAGAGACGGGGCACACUGUUCUGCCAGUUUUUUAUGAUGUGGAUCCCUCAGAGGUAGCCGAGCAGAAAGGGCAAUAUGAGAAAGCCUUCGGUGAGCAUGAACAAAAUUUCAAGGAAAACUUGGAGAAGGUCCGGAACUGGAAAGAUUGUCUCUCUACGGUGGCUAAUCUAUCAGGCUGGGACGUGCGAGAUAGGUAAAUCAUCUAUCUACUUAUUCUUAUUCUCAAAUCCUCACUGUAUUGUUUCAAUGAUGAUCAUAGCUUCUUUUUUUUUUUUUCAAUUUAAACGUGUGAUUAAAUAUCGAAAUAAUCACAAUACAACAAGAGUUUCAAAACUAAUUCUUGAGUAAAUAAUUAUUAGUAUAUAUUUCCUGUAAAAUUAAAAAUACUUACCUUAUCUUCAAGGGCUUAUUCAUGCUUCUUCUUUUUUUGUGAUAAAAAAAAAGAAAGUGGUUGGCUUGUUUGUAGAACACACAGAAAGUUGCCUUAUUUAAGCAGCACGAGCAAUGACUUAUUAAAUCACCAAUUUGUGCUUCAGAUCGCGAGUUUCACAUGUUAAUUAUAGUUAUUCCAAGUCGAUCUAGUAUUUUGUCAUCACAAUUAUAUUUUUAAUUAAAUAUAUCAUUCAAUAUAUUAUUAUCUUAAUAUUUUAAAAGUGUUUUUAUAGCAUGUAUUGAAUUUUUUACUGUCAAAUAUUAUUAUAUUUUUUAAAGGUUAGAAACAAAUAAUAGGUUAAAGAACUACACGUUGAAGUGAAGUUUUCAACAAGUGGCAACUUAUCAUUAGUAUUUUUAAAAGGUUAUCAUCUAUGGUUCAGUUUUUAAGGUAUGACAUAUAAGCUACAUGAUUAUUUCUCAAAAUACUAUAGGUGGGAAAAAAACUUUUCAAAGUAGCACGGUUUCAUCCAUAGUUAAAGAAAAAAAUAAGGGAAGGAAAACCCAGCGUGACCCGGGGACCCUGUUAACUCGACAAGACCCGUUCAAAACCUGGUUGCGACCCAUUAAUUUUUUUUUACUCAAACGACGUCGUUUUGAUUUUUUUAAAAAAAAAUUGACCUGGACCUUGGACCGGACCGGCCACCAAGCCGGGUCUCAAAACUAUGGUUUCAUCAAUUGCAUAGGUCUCACUUACGCAACUUGACACAUCCAGGUCUCACAUGUCAAAAAAAAUCUUCCUUUCUUUUUUUGUUGGGUUGGUCCCUCAAUUUUUAUAUUUAGUUAACUUUAGUACUAUUAUUACGAUCAUUUCAUCUAUUCUUCUGCACACAGAAAAAUAUAUGAAUUAAAGUUAAUAUUUAUUUCAAAUGCAAUCGCUAAAAACGAGUUAAUUUUUGCCUAAAAUAUUGUUAUGUUUUUGCCCAACUUAAAUAAAAAUAAGUUUAUAUUAAUGAAAUGAUCAUUAUAUUGAAAUUAAUAUUAAGAUUGUAUGAAAAUUGAAAGGCCAAAUGAAAGAUUAAAUAGAGAAGAAAGAUGAAGAAAUGGGUUGUGAAAAUGGCAUACGUGAUAUCAGUGCAUCUCAAGGUGCGUGAAUUGGAUUUGCGCAACCACUUCAAAGGUUAGUCUGGGAAAUGUUUUUUGGGCUAUGCUAAUAUGGAAAAAACUCAAAAUUUAAUAAAUUUAAAGUUGUUUUUGUAAAGUUAAUUAUGCAAGAUAAUUGAAUUUUUUGUUAAAGAUAAUUAUAAAAAUAACUUAGUGGUCGAAAAAAAAUAUAAUAGAAUUCCAUUUGCUUUUUGGCCUGUUAAAACCAAACUUAAUGGAUAUUUUAUUUCCUAGCUUUUGUCCAUGCUUCUUUAGUAACUGUGUGAUUCCAUAGGCAAUAAGAUAGCUAUUGUAAGGAUCAUUCUUAGCAUCAAUACAAUCCUAGUUCCUUUUUCAGUUUAUUCUUUCCUUUUCCUCUCUGUUCUUGAAGCUAUCUAUUGUCAGAGCCCUAUCUUUCUCAAAGGUUGGUGUAUUAAUUUCCGGCUAACAGCCAUACAUUUUCGAGCUACAAUAUGCUAAUGUUUAUUUUCCUAUUAUCACUAUCUGAUUUGAUUUCUGCACACUGCAUGAUUAAUGUUUUGCACCCUCCUAUGCAGGAAUGAGUCGGAAUCAAUUAAAAUAAUUGCUGAAUACAUAUCGUACAAACUAAGCGUCACUCUGCCAACAAUUAGCAAAAAAUUGGUUGGAAUAGAUUCUCGUCUAGAGGUAUUAAAUGGCUAUAUAGGUGAAGAAGUAGGCAAAGCAAUCUUCAUAGGGAUAUGUGGAAUGGGUGGCUUGGGUAAGACGACUGUUGCAAGGGUAGUAUAUGAUAGGAUUCGUUGGCAAUUUGAAGGCAGCUGCUUCUUAGCAAAUGUCAGAGAAGUUUUUGCUGAGAAAGAUGGACCACGUCGUUUGCAGGAACAACUUCUUUCUGAAAUCUUAAUGGAACGUGCUUCUGUAUGGGAUUCUUAUAGAGGGAUUGAGAUGAUAAAGCGGAGGUUACGACUUAAAAAGAUUCUUCUUAUCCUUGAUGAUGUAGAUGAAAAAGAACAACUAGAAUUCUUGGCUGAGGAGCCUGGAUGGUUUGGUCCAGGGAGCAGAAUUAUCAUAACAAGCAGAGAUAAACAAGUGUUGACUAGAAAUGGUGUUGCUAGAAUUUAUGAGGCUGAGAAAUUGAAUGAUGAUGAUGCUCUUACGUUGUUUAGCCAGAAAGCUUUCAAAAAUGACCAACCUGCUGAAGAUUUCGUGGAACUAUCCAAGCAAGUUGUGGGUUAUGCUACUGGCCUUCCACUGGCUCUUGAAGUUAUGGGUACCUUUAUGCAUGGAAGAAGUAUCCUUGAAUGGGGAAGUGCGAUUAAUAGACUAAAUGAUAUUCCUGACCGUGAAAUUAUUGAUGUGCUUCGGAUUAGUUUUGAUGGUCUCCAUGAAUCAGAUAAGAAAAUAUUUUAGACAUUGCAUGUCUCCUCGAGGAGCAGCAGCUGCAGCUCGAGCAUAAGCUGAUGCUCGAUCAGCAGCAGAAGUUCCAUUAGCAGGUGCUUCAGCAGUGGCGGCAGCAGCAGCUCGAUGAGCAGCUGCUCCAGCAGCAGCAGGUGCUGCUCCAGCGGCAGCAAGUGCAGCAGCUCCCUGGGUUCUGGUUAGGAAUUUAACUUGCUUUAGCUUGAAGAUCUUCGUCAGUUUUUGCUCAUGGUUUUGGUUUGGGGUAAUUAGAUUCACAUUUUACUAUGUAUGGAUUUUCUUCUUAAAUUUAGGAUAAUCUCAUGUUUGCGGAUGGAAGGAUUGUUUCCAUAUUAAAACUUUUACAUGGCGGAAAGCCUGUGCUCUGGAAAAUUUCAACCAUUAUUUUGGAAUAGCUACUCUGCCUACUUUUUUUACUCUGGUUUUGGCGGGUAUAUGUGUUAGAUUUAAAUUAAAAACAAUAUAUAUUUCUAAAAGAUAAAACCAAUAAUUUCUUAUCAAUAUGAUUUUUUUUUCAUCAAUUUUAUUCAGAAUUCUUUGAAAUUAAUUUUUUAUUUAUCCAUAAUUAAUUUUAAGUAUUUUAAUAUUUCAUGUUAUAAUUAAUAUUCAUUCAAAAAAAUAUUUUUCAACAAAAUCUUAACUCAUUAAUUUAAUUUUUUAUUAAAAUUUAAAUACAAUAACUACGUUUUAAAACUAAUUUCUCCUAACUGUCAAAUAAUCAAUUCAAUCUAAUAACUUAAGCUGUUAAGUGAAGUCUCAAGAUAUGAUUUAUAUUAUUCUCUAACACCCCACUCAAGUAGAAGUAUUUUGGACUUGAAUUUGUAUAAGGUCACAUUACCUUAUGUUUAAUUUUUAUUAAAUAAAUGAGAAUGAUGAAAUUUGAACUCGUGAUUGUUUGGUUAUCAAGGCUCUGAUAUAAAUGGCAAAAAUAAUUUUAAAAAAUAUAUAUUAAUAUUGAUAGUUUUUAAUUUAAAUAUUGUAGAUUUAACUAUUGUUAUUACAUCAUGAAAUAAAUAAUACUUUAUAUAAAAUAUGUUUUAUUGUUCCAUUGAACUAUCUACAAUUCCAUCACGUAUGAAAUACAUCCGACAAGGAUUACAGUUUUCACAAAUUUCUUAAGAGCGCAACAACAUCAGGUAAAAUAUAAUCAGGAAUAAAAUUGGAAUUGCUAUCAAAUUCUGCAAAUGUUACGUCAUCAAACAAUCUCUGUCUAAUUAUACACUACAAGAUUUCACAGUUUUACUGAUGGAAAAAUUCCUUCAGUGUGUGAUUAGAAGUUCGUCGAUGAUUUUUUUACCGACGUCAUCACCGACGGAUUACGUCCGUCGGCUUUUCUUUUGUCGGUGAUUUCCCAUUCCGUUGCUAUAUCGGUCGGCAACACAAAAAAACCAUUUGCCGAUGGUUUUACAAACAUGAUUUGUGCGCCAAAAAAAAAAGAUUCCCGCUUGAAAUAUACUGACGAAUUUUUAGUCCGUCGGUGAUAUCGUGAAUUACCGACGACUACUAACCGUCGGUAAAUCUGUCGGUGAGUGUAUGAAAUACCGACCGAAUAUAUCCGUCUGUAAAUUCGUCGGUAAGUGUGGUAGCUACUGUUAAAUGCUGACAGAUUAAUUCCAUCGGCAAGUCUGUCGGUGAGUGUUUAAAAUACCGAUCGAAUGAAUCCGUCGGUAAAAUCCUUGGUAAUAGUUUUUUUCUAAAUUUGUUUUUAAAAAAUUAUUUAGGAUAUAUAAUAUAAAACUAUAUAAAUUAAUUGUAAUACAAACCUAUGCAAAUAAAAUUUAUAUUAAACAUAAAAAAAAAACAAAGUUAAAUAAUAUUCAUUACAAACUGAAUAUGUUUCAAAAAAAAUAUUAAAUGAAGUUUUAAAGGUAAAUAAUGUUUAUUACAAAUUAAUAUAAAGGUGGAGCUGGAGGAGGAGGAGGAGAUCCUGGAGGAGGAGGCUGGAGGUUAUACAGCCAAAAAGGAUUAGGCGCACAUGUUCCACUAUUUGCCAUGUUCAUAACCAUUUCAUGAAGCUGUUCAUAAGCCGCUUUUUGUUGUUCAUACUCCGCUUUUUGUUGUGCUUGAGACGCUUUGAUUUGCUCAGACUCCGCUCUUUGUUGUGCAUAAGACGCUUUGAGUUGUGCGUACUCCGCUGAUAGGUGGUCGUAUUUGUCGGUGAGCUGAGCCGUGUGUUGCUGCAAUGCCACGAACUCCUUAGAUUGGGAGCUCGAUAUUGAUUGGGAGCUCCCAACGGUUGAAACACUACGGGUCGACCACAAGUUGUCGGCCAUUGUGUUGGAGAACCCGUAAACCCGAUUUUUAUCGGGUCCACCUGACGAGCCAACCUCCAUCCACAAAUUCAGAUCGAAUUUUGGAUGGGUCAAAAUAUCGUCCCCGUAUCUCUCCUUCAACCGAUUAUUAUAGGUCUCCUGAAAAUAAAAAAAAAAGUAAUCAUCAUAUUCAAUUCAAUAAACAUAAUAACUUACAUAAUAACUUACAAAAUAAAAUGGUCGAACAAACAUACCACGAAAUGUUGAGCACAGUUAUCAACGAACUGUUGCGCCCCCUUUUAGCGGUCAUGACUCCGCACGUGCGUCUCCACAAACAGCUCCAUCGGGCUCGGCUCACGUCCAAGAGACGCAGCCUAUAAUGAAAAAAGAUAUAUUAACAACAACUUAAUUUAAUGAAAUAUUUCAUUUAAAUUAAUCUUACCAUCUGUUUCACAUGUGCAGCAAACGAAACGGAGCCGCCAGUGUGCGUUGCAACCGAGCCAUGAAUUGGCCGAUUCCGGAUGCCAGCACCAGACUGUGAGCGUCGUGUGAACCGAUCAGACGUCACGUGCUCAAGAUAGUGCGGCCAUAUAUCUUCCAGGAUGUAUAUCGGUUUGAAAUCCCUCCAAACCGCAACAUCAUUCCAGCCUUGGAAACCCCUAUCCCUCACGGUUUGUUUUUCCCUUUUCUGUACUUCAUACCAAAAAUCACGCAACCUACUUCACGCAACCAAAAAUUACAUUUUGAAACAUAAAUUUUAGUCUAAAAAAAUCUUGUAUUUUUUUCGAUCUUACCUAGGUGCCGCGUGAUUUUCCCACACCCUCCUCACAACAGUGUUAUGCUCACUGUCCUAGCAGAAUUUGUGCUAUGUAUAAAUAAACAAGUUUAAAUAAAAACAAUAAUUUAUUUACAAUUAUAUUAAUAAUUUAUUAGAAAUAAGCUGAAAAUUAUAAAUUAACACCAACCUGAAAUCUGCCAAACAUGCAUUGAUUUGAGGCAUCCAUUCAGGAUGCUUGGACAUCUGACUCCAUUGAAACAAUGGAAUCUCCAUCGACGAUUUAAAUGCCGAUGAUAUUACUCGGGUGGCCUCAAUGUUUGUGAACCUGAAAAUAAAUGAAAUAAAUUAAAUAGUGAUUACUUCAUAAAUUAUGUUGUAAUUUUAAAAAAAAAAUUAAACCUUAACAAACUUAUAUUGAAAGGUCGUCCUUCCACUGUGCCUCGUACUUGCGGGUAAAUUGAUUCCACUGCGAAGGCACGCCGCCUCUGCGCUGUGAAGUACCGCUGGAAGAGGCAGCAUCGGUUGACGGCGCAGGUGAUGUAGGUGCCUCUCAAGGAAAUAUCAUCAUCGUUGCUAGACGAACUAGCUGCGACCGUACGUGAGCGACUAGCUCUGGUUUUCAUUCUACGCAUCUCCAUAAUUUUAUACAAAUAAUUAUAUAAUUGAAUUCAAAUGUUAAAAAAAAAUUCGACAGCACCUCCCCUAUACCGGAUACUACUCCCCUAUACUGGAUACUACCCAAAUCCACAAACCUGCACAUAUUAACAAAAGCCACAACCAAUUGACCCAAUCUAUACUAAUUAUUCCAACAUAUUCAAUUACUAAUCCUAAGGUAAAUUCAACAUUAAGAAUUACAAUUCAACAAAUUAUUCAAUAAUUAUGCCAAUACAACAAUAAAAUAUAUUCAAUAAAUAAAAAAAACUGUAGACUGACAAUUAAAAUUAAUUGAAAAAAAUUAAACAUAAAUCAUGCAAUAAUAGAGUAUAAUUAACAAUUAUUCCAAAAUAUUCAAUUACUAAUACAAAGUAAAUUCAACAUUAACAAUUACAAUUCAAAAAAUUAUUCAAUAAUUAUACCAAUACAACAAAACAAUAAAUUAAAAAAAAAACUCUAGAAUAACAAUCAAAAUAAAUGCAAAACAUUAAACACAAAUCAUGCAAUAAUAGAGUAAAAUUAAUAAUUAUUCAAACAUAUUCAAUUACUAAUUCUAUGGUAAAUUCAACAUUAACAAUAAAUAUUCAACAAAUUAACUAAUAAUAAUUAUGCCAAUACAACAAUAAAAAAUAUUCAAUAAAUUCAAAAAACAAAUUAUAGACUUUAGCAAUGAAUUAUGCAAAAACAACUAUAGACUUUAUCUACAUUACAAAAAAUACACCAAAACAAAAAACAUACCAAAAACAAAUAGCAAAAAAAAAAACCCUUAAAGCAAAAAACAUACAUACCUUUUAAACUGAUGGAGAUUCAUGAGAAAAAUUGCUAGAGAUUGCUGGUGAAACCUUUGAAGAACGGAGAGGAAAAGAAUCGGUGAAAAACUGAGGAGAAAAUUGGUGAAAAAACUGAGGAGAAGAAAAAAUGAACUGAAACGGCGGAUGGGGGGACUUAUAUGGCAGUUUUACCGACGGAUUCACCGAUGGAUAUAAAAUUAAUUAUUAUUUUAAUUUAUUCCGUCGGUGAAGUGUCCAAAAUCCGUCGGUAAAUGUUGAAUUUCGCACCAAAAUUUUUAAUGACCCUCCAUAUUUUUCGUGGUCCGUCAGUAAUUCCGUCAGCGAGCUGACGCGGUCACAGAUGCAUUUAAUGCACAACCCUUUGGAAUUCGCGCGGUCCGUCGGUAAUGGCGUCGGUAAAAUUGACCCGCCGACAACUUGCCGACGUACUUAUAUCCGUCGGUAUAGUCGUCGGUGAUUGUGGCAUUUCAAGUAAUUAUUUUCGAACUCCCUGUGAAAUGCCGACGGACUUAAUCCGUCGGUAUGCACGACGGUGAAUAUGGCAUUUCAAGUAAUUAUUUUCGAACUCUUUGUGAAACGCCGACGGACUUAGUUUGUCGGUAUCGACGUCGGUGAUUGUGGCAUUUCAAGUAAUUAUUUUCGAACUCUCUGUGAAAUGCUGACAGACAUAUAUCCAUCGGUACGGACGUCGGUGAUUGUGGCAUUUCAAGUAUUUAUUUUCGUGUUACAAAAUAUAUCAUCCAUGAUCUAUAAUUAUUUCAAGUAAUUAUUUCGUGAUUGUGGCAUUUCAAGUAAUUAUUUCAAGUAAUAAAUAUUUCGUGUUACAAAAUAUAUCAUCCAUAAUCUAAAUUACAUGAAAGAAAGGGUUUUACACAGGGCUUAAAUUUGAUUGUUAGUCAGAAUUUUCUUCUUCUUCGUCAUAAAUUGAAUUGUCAUCACCCUCAUCGCAAUCUUCAAUAUGGAUAUUGUCUUCUUCAUCCACAUUUGCUUGUCCGCUAGAGCUUAAAACAACAUUCAACUCCUCUGCGUCAACAUCAACAAGACUAUCAUCGAAAACACAAAAAAUUGAAUUUUCUUCCAAUUCAAUCGAAGGAGCAACUCGAUAUGGUUCAACCAGCUCACUAACUUGAAAGACUUCAUCUCGCACACUUGUGUCUUCGUUCUCAUCCUGAACAACCUCGACACGACCCCGGGGUUUUGUUUUUAAAACGGACAACCAAUCCACUCUUGAUUGAUCCUUUCUAAAUGAAGGGGUGUAUGUGUAAUAAACUUGUUGACAUUGCUUUGCGAAAACAAAGACAUCGUUUAUGUUGCGGAGUCUAGCUUUUGAGUUGAUUUCGACCAGACCAUAGUGCGGAUCAACUCUGAUUCCUCUGUCAGUCGUGUCAUACCAAUAGCAUUUGAAUAAAAACACUCUAUUCUGUUCGUUAUGAUAUUGCAGUUCGACGACCUCUUCUAAUCUACCAUAGUAGUCAACUUCUAACUCAUUACUAGUGGAUCCCUUAACACAAACACCGCUGUUGUAUGUCUUUCUUCCUUGCCCAUAUUCUUCAGUAUGGAAAACAUAUCCAUUGACAAAAUACCCAUUGUAGAACUUACAUUUUCUUCUAGGCCCAGGCUUAGUGAAGACAAUGACUUAGGCGCACUCAUUUCCAUUUGAUAAACCUUGUAUGUAAUGUACAUCAAUAAACAGUAAAUGAAUGAGAAUCUCGUAAUGACAUGCAUACGUACAGUAAUUUUGCAAGCUAGGAUGAGUUUGUGAUAGUGCUUACAUGUGUUCUGAACCACGUGGCAAACUGUUCAUCUUGUAAUUGAAAGAUCUGGGAUUCGGUCAGCUAUGAGUUAUUGGAGAGCAAAUAUUGUCGAUGUUGCCUACAAGUGAUGAUGAGUGUAUGAUAUUACAAUAUAUAAUUAACAGUAUAUUACUAACAAAGUUUAAUUAGUAUAAACUUACUGAAUAAAAGGUCUCAGCUCAUCACAGUAAAUAGAACAUAGUUGUGUGCUUGUUUGAACUCUAUUUCCGAAAAAUAUCUUCCUCUUACGACAUUUUUAGGUGUGGGUCGUCCAGUAUUGGAGAAUAUUGACAAGUUCCCACUGGAAGGCACUUCACCGCCAUCAUCAUGCAGUGGAACGCGAUUGAUUCUCGUUCUCAGAUGAGGUUUGAAAUAGUACAAGAUAAAUGUUGAGAUCUCCUCAACAAUAUAGGCCUCACAUAUCGAAGCCUCAACAUGCGCCUUGUUCUUAACCUUUUUCUUGAGAUUAAACAAGUACCUGCAUUGAAAUAUUAAUCAAGUAUUUUCAAUUAAGAAAAACAUAUAAAAUACUUUUAUAUAUGAAUUACAUUGCAACUGUAAUAUCUAAUCGUUCGAAUGGGUACAUCCAUCUAUAUUGGACCGGUCCUCCAGCUUUUGCCUCGAACGGUAGAUGUAUAGGGAGAUGCUCCAUUAAGUCAAAAAAUGAUGGAGGGAAUAUCAUCUCAAGUUUGCAUAGUGUCUCGACGAUAUUCGUUUGAAGCCUCUCAAUGUGAUCAACAUUCAACUUGCUGGAGCAUAUAUCUCUAAAGAAAUGACUGAUCUCCGUGAGUGCAUCCCAUAUUCCCUUUGGCAACAAAUCACGAAAAGCUAAUGGGAUGAGUGUUUGCAUAAACACGUGGCAGUCAUGACUCUUCAUUCCAUACAAUCUGCAGUCCUCUAUAUUAACCAACCUUGAUAUGUUCGAUGCAUGUCCAUCCGGAAAACGCAGACUCUUAACCCAUUUGUAGACUAGUAGUUGUGCGUUUUUCUCUAACACAAAGCUUGCUCUUGGUUUUGCGACCCGUGACUCAUCAUAAACCAACUCCAUAUUUUUACGGUUACAGUAUAAAGCUAUAUCCAAUCUAGCCUUGAUGUUGUCCUUUGUCUUCCCCUUCACAUCCGUGAUGGUGUUGAAAAUGUUCUCAAACAUGUUCUUUUUGAUGUGCAUGACGUCAAGGUUAUGGCGGAGCAGAUUGGUCUUCCAAUAAGGAAGCUCCCAAAAGAUACUUCGCUUUACCCAAUUAUGGGUCAAACCAAAACCGGGAAACUUUUGCUUACCUGAUUGAAGGCCAAACACAAUGUCACCGUACUCUGAGACAACAUCAUACAAUUCUUCACCAGAAAGAUGCGGGGAUGCAACAUCUUUUUCAACUCUGCCAACAAAGAAAUCUUUUCUGUUCUUUCUGUACCUGUGAUUAAGUGGCAAGAAGCAACGGUGACAGUCAAAAAAAGAAGCUUUACCUCCAUUUGCUAGCGUGAAUGCCUUGUUGUUUUCCAUGCAGUAUGGAUAUGCGAGUAUCCCAUGCGUGCUCCAACUAGAAAGCAUUCCAUAAGCUGGAAAAUCAUUGAUAGUCCACAUCAAAGCCGCCCUCAUAAGGAAAUUUUGUUUCCUCGAUAUAUCAUAAGUCAGAGCUCCGAAGGACCACAACUACGCCAACUCAUCAAUCAACGGUCGAAGACAAACAUCUAUAUUCCGCCCCGGGCUGCUUGGACCAGGUAUGACAGUAAAUAAAAACAUGAACUCCGACCUCAUACACAUUCCCGGUGGAAGUUAUAAACUGUGAGUAUGACCGGCCAACAAGAAUAAGGAGCAGCAAAUGACCCAAAUGGGUUGAAUCCGUCUGUACACAACCCAAGACGCACAUUCAUUGAUUCAGCUGAAAAGUGAGGAUGGACACUGUUAAAGCGUUUCCACGCUUCGCCGUCAGAAGGAUGAACCAUCACUCCAUCAACCGCAUGGUGUGCUUGGUGCCAUGUCAUGUGCUCAGCAGUCCUUGGUGACAUGAAUAACCUCUGCAGUCUAGGUGUGAUCGGGAAGUAUCUAAGUUUUUUAUAUGCCACUAGAGUCUUUCCCCUGCCAGUUCUAGGUUUGUAACGGGAAUGCCCGCAUGUCAUGCACUCAGUCAUCUCAGCAUUUUCAAGGUAGUAUAACAUGCAGAAGUUAGGGCACAUGUUAAUUUUCUGGUAUCCUAAACCGAUGGGUUUCAUCAUGGACUUCGCAGCAUAGAAGUUCUCUUUCAGCCUGUUCUCUUCAGGUAAAAUGCUUCUUGCCCAUUCAAUAAUCGUGGGAUACCCGGCCUCACUCAACCCGUGAUCUGACUUGAUGGUGAACACCUGUGCUACGACCGAUAAUUUACUGUGAUUCGUGCAGCCAUCCCAUAAUGGUUCGUCAGAAUCUUUCAACAAAUCAAAAAACCUAGCUGCAUCUACAUUAGGUUCUUCUUUUACGAUUGGACAUUAACUGACAUUACCUUGAUUCAUUCUCAUUGCAUCCAUAACCAUAUUUCUGUAAGGAUUAGUGUUGUCAUUUGCCGCUUCAUGCACGUUGCUAGCACUAGAAGUAGACCUAACCACCGUUUCUUCCAUUCUCCUCUCACUAACAUAUACUUCUCCAUGUGCAUACCAACAAUGGUAAUUCUCCAUAAACCCUUUGUGUAGAAGAUGCAUCAUUACAACAUCUGGAUGCAUAUACUUUUUAUUUUGACACUUCCUGCAUGGACACCUAAUACCGCCUCCAGUAAAAUUUCUAGGAAUAGAUGUUGCGAAAUUAAUAAAACCCUGAACCCCGUUACAAUAAUACAUCCUCCGCAAUCCUUGGGGUGAAUCUCGAUACAUCCAUGAUUUAUAUCGAACCUCUAUAAAAUUAUGAUGACAUCAUGUAUUAAUUAACUAAGUUAGGUAAAUAAACUUGCAAAAAUAUUACUUUACCUCGAGAUUAUCCAACAAACAAAUCACAACUUCUCAUAAAUAUUAAAUAUUCAUUAUCAUUUAUCAACGUCCAUACAAAUUAAAAUAUAUAAAUUUACAGAAAUUACCACUCCGCAAUACCAUUGAUAAAACUUUAAACGGACCCAUUAAGCAAGCUAUUAAUUAUUUCAAAACAGCACAUGUACUUCGGUAGUUCCAUAAAGUUUUAACAAUUUACAAACAAAUACAAUCUUACAAAAUCUAAAACAAACCAUAACAGGUAUAGAAUUAUACAUUCAUAUACUACAAGUUUGUUUGAGAAAUAACAAUAAAACAUGUACAUCUACUAACAAAAUACAUAUACUAAAAAAACAAUAAAAUUGACAUUUAAUUAAAUGUUAAAAUUUAAAAAGAUAGAAUUACUUACAAAAAUUGAUAAAAUCCGUCGGUAAAUUAGAACACGGAUGCUGUGACCACAAAACUUCAAGAAAUAUAACUUGUUGUGCUGAUAUGAGGGAGAUUUUUGUUUGGGGGGGGGAGGGGGGGUUGGUUGUUUGCAAAUGGGGAGAGUUGGGAUUGGGAAGAAGAAGGAGAAAUAGGGGAGGAGAGCGUCGGUAGAUCGAACAUAUAUUAACUUUUCCCGACGGUUUCACCGACGGACACUCCGUCGGUGAAACCGUUGAUGAUUCUGACGGAACAAUCGACACGUCACCGUACGAAUCUGCCAUUUCAAAUCCGUCGGUGAUUCUGUCAGCAAUAUAAACGGUGGUCACUGUACAAGUUGUCUUUUUGAAUCCGUCGGUGAUCCCGUCUGAAAAAAUAACCCGCCAAAACCUCCACGUCAGUGACCCGCCUUUUUUUUACGAGGGAAACUUUUCCGUCCGUAAUUCAGUCGGUAACUACCGAUGGAAAUUUUCCGUCAAUAGUUACAGACUGAAUUACGAAUGAAAUAUUGUCCAUCGGUAAUUUCAACCUCAAAUUACCGACAGAAAUAUUCUGUCGGUAAAUCCGUUGCUAUUUAGCGAAUUUUUGGUAGUUAACACUAGUUUUUCGAAUAAAACACAAUUAAAAAAAAAUAUUUUUUUAUUUUUAUUUUGCCGGGUCGAGCCCGGUUCAAUGCAUUUUUAGCUUUGGACCGGACCUGAUCCGGCCGGAACAAUGGAGAAUGCCUCCACUGUUCAUGUGAACAGUAGAGCCAUGCUCAACUGUUCAGUGAUUCCUCCCCCAAAAGAAACAGCAAAAUUGUGCUUCUACAAAACCUGUAGCAUAGCCAUAUUUCUGGUGGGUUCUACAAGCAUAAACUUGUGUUUUUUCCUUAACCAAACAGUAAUAUCUGUGGCUGCGAAUGAACCUCACCCACGACCACACUACCAAACGGGCGGCAUCUUUAAUUUGUUCCUUUUACUUAAUAAGUGUUUGUUUUUUUCUUCUCAAAAACAGAAAACCACCUUCGAUAUGCAGUGCAACAUUUCAUGCCCCAAGUUAGCUAGCUGCUUCAAAACCCUGAAAUAUUGGAAAUUAAAGUUUGCUGGUAGUAAUUUUAGGUUAUAUCUUUGUGAACAUCUUGGAUUCAAUUUGCCAAAUUCUCAGUUAUUCUUGAAUUAACAUAAAUCUUGCAACUCAAGAUAAUUCUUAUUAAUUUUUUUUACAAAGACUUAUUUUUAUUAAUUUAUAUUUUGGAUUUUAUAUAUUUCCUUUUAUUUUUUAGUUAAAUAUAUUUUUAUUUUUUUUACUAAUUAAUAAACUUCUAUACUUUUCUCUUAGAUGCACCAACAAUUUUUAUUAUUAAUAACUUUAUAUUUACAACUAUAUAAACACACACACACACACACACACAUAUAUAUAUAUAUAAUCACUUACUCCAAAAUUGGACUUGCUUCGUUUGUAACUGGUUUGAGACAAAAAUAAUAAAAUUUAAUUCUACAUUCCUAAUUAUGCUCUGCAAAUUACAAACAAUAAAGAUUAAUAAAAUUAUAUGCCAAAAUUAUUUUUCUUUGUUAUUUCUAAUUGGCCCAACUUUAUCUUAAGAAUCCACCCAGGACUUGCAAUUUAUAACCCCAAGCCCUUGGAAACUUUAGAGAUUAUACAAAUGCCCCUUCUAGUCCUAGAUUCAUUGCAACACAUGUAGUGAAAAGAGAGAAACAAACAAGACGAUUUAGCCAAAAACCUCAAAGAAGGUUUAUGCAGGGUUUAAGGCGGCCGGUAUGCUAAUACCACUAUCAUACCCUCUCUAUGAACUCAUUUCCUUUCUCAAAUUGCAUUACCCGCGCAUUUUAAUUCAUUUCUCAAUCACUUCAAUUCCAUUUCUUUUUUUCUUUUUUCUUUCUCAUUUCCUUUAAUUAGAGUGCCAACUCCCGUAUAUUUUCUACCAAAAAUUUUGAUCCUUUGAUUACUUUUGAUAAGAAACCCACAAUUCUAUCUCUAAACCAUCCACAGUUAUGUGGAGAAACGUCGCAAAACAAGCCACUUUGAAAUCCCAAUCAAAGUCCCUCAAUUUCCCUUCAUUUCCAAGAACUUACAGCUUUUUAGGAGCCUCUAAAGAACCCAUCUUUUUUGAGAAACUUAAGUUCCAUUCGCUUAAUAACACAAGUCCACGACUGAGUUUUCGAGCAAUUGGCGAAAUAUCAACCCAUGAAGAUUUUAUGGGAAAACCCCGUUUUAUUUUUUUGAGAAAUAGUGAUAGUACUAAUGGGAAUCGGUGUGCUGGAUUUUGUCCAAGAGGGUAUGUGAGUGUAGUUGAGGCAGUGUCAUCAACAGAUGUUGAAGAUAAUGUGUAUGGUGCGGAUGAAGUGCAAGAAUUGCUGCCAGAAAUGAGGAAAGAAGAGGAGAAAGAGGAGCACUUUAGGAGGAGGCUACAUGCUAACCCUGGAAUAGGGUCAAGGAAGCAUAGGGUCUUAAGGAGAAGGCAAGUGAAGAUUGAGGCGGAAGCAUGGGAACUGGCAACGAAAGAAUAUAAGGAGCUUUUGAAGGAUAUGUGUGAGCAUAAGUUGGCUCCUAAUUUGCCAUAUAUGAAGAGUUUGUUCCUUGGUUGGUUUGAGCCUUUUACAGAUGCAAUUGCGAAAGAGCAGGAGUUGAUUAGAACGGGGAAGAGUAGGCAGGGUUAUGCUCCGUAUUUUGAUCUGUUACCAGCUGACAAGAUGUCUGUUAUUGCAAUGCAUCAACUCGCAGCAAUGGUAAUGACAGGUAGGGAAGAUGGAUGUGCAAGAGUUGUGACUGCUGCUUGUAUGAUUGGUGAUGCAAUUGAGCAGGAGGUAAGUAAUUUUUAAUGUUUUAUUUGUUUAUUUUUACUUGCGGUUUGAUUUGUAGACAGAGGAUAAUGAGUGCCCAUAUAAAAAUAUUGAAAGAUAAGGGAAAACAUAAAGUUUCUUAAAUUUAAUUUUAGACAACCUUCAUCUGAGGUGAUGAACUAGGAAGAAAGAUGAAAGUUACUAUGUACAAUUAUGAGAUAAAAAUCAGCUAUGGAGCUAGUAGUGCCUGGAAAAUUAGAUUUUGAAGUUACGUUCCGUAAAGUUUUGUCGAAUGUUGAAUGGGGUUUUUCUGGAUUUCUUUUUUAUAUAUCUAUAGUUUUUACUUUCAGUCCAAGUUCUUCUGCUGUUCAUGGUUCCAGGGAGGACACUAAAUGUAGGUACGAAAAACAAUGUAGUGUAAGAUCCUUUAGAUACUAAGUUUUUACAAUUUUUUCAUUAUGUGUUAAACUUUUCAUAUCACGGGCCUUAUUAGGCUGAAUAUUCUAUUACGCCUUUCUUUUUUGAGCUACAAUUUCUUCAAAGCAUGGGCAUGGUGGACUCAUAAGAGUGACAUUCAACUUUCCAUUCUUAAUCCAUUUUUUGGACCUCCUACCUCUUCAGUCUUGUUCUCUUUCUUUGAACUGAGGACUGAAUCUGUAACAGUUUCUGUGAUGAAACAGAUUAGAAUACACAAUAUCUUGGAGAAAACAAGGAAGAAAAAGGAAAAGGCUAAUGAUAGCAAGAAUGGUGUAGAAGGUGAAUCCCCUGCUGUCAUGGAGGAACAAGAAAACCUAAGAAAAAAGGUUACUGAUUUGAUUAAAAAACAAAAGCUGCCAGCUGUGAGGAAGAUUGUGAAGGGGAAGGAUGAUUCAAAACCAUGGAAUGCAGAUGCUAGGGCUAAGGUUUGUGUGCUUGUAAUCAUUGAUAAAGGCUAAUUUUCUUGAACAAAUGUAUCGUGUACGAAUUUGAUUUCUGUCCUUGCACUUUGCAGGUUGGAAGCCGUCUAAUUGAAUUGCUGUUACAAACAGCUUAUAUACAGCCUCCCUGUGAUCAGUUAGCUGAUACUCCAUCUGAACCUCGACCUGCAUUUUUACAUACAUUCAGAACUGUGUCGUAUGAAAAUAAGCAUGGAGUCAUUCUUUAAUUGACUCGAUGAGCUCAAUUUAUAUUUUCUUCCUUGUAAUUGCUUCUGACUGAUGCACAAUGGCCUUUUCUCAAACAGGAAGGGCGCAAAAAAAUAUGGUGUUAUUAAAUGUGACCCACUAGUCCUCAAAGGCCUAGAGAAAACUGUGAGUAACCCUGUCAAAUUUUGUUCUUCUAGUGAUAUCUAGUUUUCAUAUUUUAUCAUCCUUUAUGACAUGAACUUGUGUCGGGGUGCCAUAGACUUUCAAAGCAGAUAGGUUAGUUUCUAGAUUUUAGAGCUGAAACAGAUAAGAUUUGUAGGCAAUUUCCAUGGUGCUUCUUAAGUUGCAGAUGUUUGUCUUUCAUUCUUUUUUCUUGCACAAGAAGUCAUAAAAAUGUUGUUUCUCCAAACAGGCUAGGCACGAGGUGAUUCCUUAUAUGCCAAUGUUGGUGCCACCACUUACAUGGAGAGGGUAUGUUAACUUGUUUUAUAUUUACAGUUUUUCCACGAUUGUCUUGUUUUAAUUUUAUAUUUUUUAGUUGGAUAUAUUCCAAGUUCAGAAAUAUUAACAUAGUGUUUUGGUUACUUCUGCUUGAUGCCUGGAGCUGUUUUCAAUUUUCAUGUCAAGUUAAAUACUUAAAAUGGUAUAAUAGAUGAAGGGAUGAAUAUCUGAUUAUAAAGGCUGGAAUUCCAAUCCAAUUUCAGUUAAUUGAAAUUAAUAUUUCAGCAUGUUUCAAGGCUCUGCCUCUCCAUUUCUGUAACCUGCAUUGGAAGGGAAACUAAUUGUCUUGCAGGUGUUUAUUGAAAACAUGGUGAAUGUGAGAUAUGAGAUGGAAGGUUUUGUCUAGGAUUCUCAACAAAACAGAGAACAGUGUCUUUAAACAUUGAAGAGCAUUUGCUAAUCACAACCAUGUCUAAUACGGGAAAAUUAACAUUAUUGCCACAGGCAGGAGAAUUUAGAGAUUGCUAUGGAAUUCUUUAUUAUAAUGUUUUUGAUGUUAAAGGGAGAGGUAUACUUCAUGGAAAAGAAUGAUUGGCAGUUAGAGAUAAAAUAUAGAGAAAGAAAAGGUGUUAGGUUUUCUUCAAGGAUGCUGUGGUGGAUUAUUUUAGCGGAAGAAAAGAUAAGAGUAGCGAAUUGUUGUUUUCAUGUGAAGUCAGACACCUAGUUAAUUUAGGAUUAGGAUAGUACAUAGAGAACUUGAUUGAAGUAGUUCAGUUUCUUUAGGUGAUGAUUCAUAGAUAGGUAUUUAUUUUAAAUUUCAAAUGUGCCAGAAGUGCAAGGAGACAAUAGAUGAUUACAUGGGCAAAAUGGCACAGACGGAUCUCUGCAGUCAAACUGAGAUUUUUGAACCUUAUUGUUUCGCAAGUUAGUUAGGAUAUGUUUUUCAUGGACUUUGGUUAAGUUUUUCAUGAAUAGGUGAUCACAAUCCUCAUUGGAAAAACUACACAUGCUUUGGAAUAUGAAGAGGCCUCUAUGGCAGCUUCUGCCAUUCAACCUAUUGCCUUUAAAUCUGAUAAGCUCCCUAGCGCUUUUGGUUGUAAAUUGCCCAUUAGGACUGAGAUUCCUGGACACACUUUCUAUCUACAAAAAGAAAAGAUUUAAACCAGUGAUUGCACUCUGAAUAUCUUAAUUUGAUCAGAUUGAGCAUCAGACGAAAACCAUUCCAUGAAUUGGUUUUGGGGAAAGAGCACUUUGUUUACUAGCAAGUUUAUAGGGGGUCUUGGCUCUUUCACUCAAUCAUCAUGCAAGUUGCAGGAGGCACAUUAGCAUAGUCCCCACUAAAAUUAAUUUUAGAUCCUUGUAUACAAAUUUGGAAGAUACAAAUUCUUCAUACAUGUUCCUUACAUAUGCUACUUUAAUCUGGAAUUUAAUGAGUUUGUGGUUGGAUUCUGGUUCCCAUGUAGUUGUAGCAACUCUUAACACCACUAUAGCUUCUAGUAACAAAUCAGGACCUGGCAUUUAAGUAGCUUUUUGGUGUGUUCUAAGCUCUUCUUAGAUAAUUGUGUCAUAGCUCUCUUACUCGUGUCGAGCAUAACCUCAAUGCCCUUUGCAGUUAUGAUAAAGGAGCUCACUUGUUCUUACCAUCCUAUGUCAUGCGGAUACAUGGUGCUAAACAGCAACGUGAAGCAGUUAAGACGGCACCUAGGAAGCAGCUACAACCAGUUUUUGAGGUCUGUACAUAUUAGAUGCAUUGCAUGGUUACUGAUGCAUAUUUUAUUGUUUGAACUAAAUCAUCUUUUGGUACUAACAUGUGAUGUUCUUUGAACAAAAUCUCAUACUGAUAAUUUUGUAUACCUUCACAUGCUAUCACAUGUGUAGAUUUUACCAGCUUAGCUUCUGGUUUAACAAGGAUUCUCUUUUGUUUGAAUUAAUUUUCCAGGCCCUGGAUACACUAGGGAAUACGAGAUGGAGGGUAAAUAAGAGGGUACUUAGUGUUGGUGAUAGAAUAUGGAGUAAUGGAGGCUGUCUUGCUGAUUUGGUAGACCACAGUGAUGUGAGUAUCUUUUCGAAUAUUUCUUUUGAAGCUUUUGAAAAGAAAUAUUAACAUUUAUCAUUCAUUUAUGCACUUUUGACCAAAUUUUUCUUUUGCUUUUUUAUGUUGUCCCACUGAGAAGACCUUUUUUGUUCUUUUGUGUGAAAAAAAAAAACUAAAUAAACUAAUUUCAGUUUUUAAAUUCUAAAACAGAUUGAACCAGAUGAAGUCAUAGACUAGUCAUUAUUAUUAUAUUCCCAUUAUUAUUUAUUAUUCUAUAGAUUUUUCGAAGCUUUUGAAAAGAAAAAUAAACAUUGAUCAUUCAUUCACUUUUGAAAAAAAAUUCUUUUGCUUUUUUAUGUUCCACUGAGAUGGCCUUUUUUUUUCUUUUGUGAAUUAUGAUUUGACGUCAAACCAGAUGGAUUAUCAGCUGCAGCCACAAUUAUUUGAUGCAUAGCAAAAUAAUUAUUCAGAAUCACGGUACCUUGGCAGUCCUUUCCAGCCAAAUUGAUGCGUUGCGUGCUAAUCCGAUGAAAAUCAAGAUCCCAAAGAGGGUGAUGCAGCUGAUGGUUGGUUCUCUUCCUUCUUGUGAGUUUUUACAUAAUAAAAUAGCGGCCUUAAUUACGAGAGUACUUCCAUUUUUACAUGAAAAAUGGCUGCGAUUUCCUUUCGUUAUUUAUUAAUCUCUAUCACGACCACAAAAUUACUAAACGCCGACCGAAUAUGAUACAAAAGUGCACUAAUUUUUUUUGGUUUAUUAAAGAUUAUUGGAGUGCAUCUUCCUUGGAUAAUUGUAGACUUUAUUUUCCUAAUUAAUAAAAAAGAUUUUUAUCCAUUGUGGUAGCUUUAAUGCUUUAUAAAUAAAGUAUUGAUCAUAAGAAUUCUAUCAUCCUUACUUUUUCUUGUUGUCGAUUUCAAUGGCCAGUGAAUCUAACUAUAACAUCCGAAGAAUAUAUUGCUUUAGUCAUAAUCUGGUCAUAGAUGAUUUCCCCAUCACAAGCUAUAAGUGCCUCUAUAUAUAACCCUAAUCCCUUCUCUAUGCUUCUUGACAGCUUAUUAAAAAAGGUUCAAGAUUGGGAAUAACAGGUUUGCUCCCUCUGUGAUCUCAGGUUCGAGUCCUGUGGUUCAAGGGCGAAGCUAGGAUUAUUUGAUAGGGGGGCCAAAAUAAUAUAAAAAUAUAUAAUUUUUUUUAAUUUAUUGUAUAUGAAUUGUUAAAAAAAAACUGCAUGAUUUAGUUUUAUUUAAAGAAGUAACUACAAACAUAUGACAAUUUUUGUAUAAGAUAAGAGGUUUAAAACAAUAUCAAAUUGAGUCAAAGUUAAGAAGUUAAUUUCAUCUUCAUAAUAUAUUCAUCACUUUAAUUUUGUUGGUCUUUGUACCUAUCAAAUAUAAACAUACAAAAUAUAUAAGAAACAUUAGCUAAAGCGAUGCAUUAUUUAUGUUUGAUAAAACUUUGAAAUAAAGUAAAAAAUAAUAAAGAAUGAUUCUUACAUAUUUAUUUUAAUUGUGCUCGUCGUUCUUUCAUAGAGUAGAAAUCAUCGAUUAUUAUAUCACUUGUGAAUCUUUCAGCAAUUUCUUUUUCUAUAUAGACAAUCAAAUAAUUUGCAAGAAAAUCAUCCUCCAUCCGAUUGCGAAGUUUUAUUUUAACAAUCUUCAUCGCUGAAAAAGCUCGUUCAGUAGUUGCUGUCGAAACAGGAAGAGUUAAAAUAAGCCGAAUCAACCUGUCAACAAGUGGAUAAAUUGUUGAUUUUUCUGUUUCAACCAAUCCUUGACAUAAUUCAGCAAUCGAUGACAUAUUCUUUAACUUUGGAUGAUUGGGUACAUCAAGCUCAUAAUGCUGCAACUGAAAUCUCAAAUGAGUUUUUUCUUGGUCAGAAAAGUCUUCAGGAUAGAACUUGUCAACAAGUAAGCAUAUAUCUUCAACAUUGAAUAAUUUAUAGUUAUUUUUAGGAUCUAAAGCUGUGCUCAACUUAAGAAGCUCGAUUGCCUGCUCAUUGAAUCUAUUAUUUAGCUCUUGCAACUGUUGAUCAAUGAUAGCUGUAAACAUAUCAACUCGAUAGUGAUGCUCAACUGUUAUUGAUUUUGUUUUACGGCGAGAUCGUCCCACACUAGAAAAACAAGCAUCCAUAUCAGGAACUUCAAUGUCUUGAUGCUUACAAAAUGAUAUCACUUCUUCUAAAAGAGUUUCCCAGCCAUCAUCUCUUAACUUCUGAAUUAAAGUCUUUGUGGUAGUCACCAAAUGCAUAGCAUUUAAAAUGUCUUGAGAUUUCUGUUGCAAAGCUUGGCAAAGCACAUCAGUAAUUCCCAUAACAUUCUUCAUUAUAUGCAAGAUGAAUGCAAAAUCAAAUGACAUUAGCAACUUAAAUGAAAAAGCUGCAUCACCACAUUGAGAAUAAGUAGAUCCAUCUAAAGCGAUGUUUUCAAGAACCAAGCAAGUUGCCCCAUACAUUUUUAUCAAACUGCAAAUUGAUUUGAAGUGCGAACUCCAUCUGCUAUCUCCAGGUCGUUGCAAACCACCUACUUGAUUAACUCCUUUACCCGUUUCAAUCUCACCAAUAUCAACUAAAUGUUCAAUUGUAGCUGCUUGAAAAGCCCGCAAUUCAUCAUUACGCUUGCAAGAAGCACUAACAAUGUUAAUAAUAAAAAUCAAGUUCUGAAAGAAAGUGUGAACAUCAGAUAUUUCUCUAGCUGCAGCAAUAAGAGCCAAUUGUAAUUGAUGAGCUAAGCAAUGUACAUAAUAUGCAUAAGGGCCAUCAUUAAUGAAUAAAGCUUGCAAUCCAUUCCACUCUCCACGCAUAUUACUAGCACCAUUAUACCAUUGGCCCCUAAUAUUUUGAACAUCAAGAUUGUGAUGAUAUAAAACAAAGAAAAUCUCUUUCUUAAGAGUUGAAGCAGUUGUAUCUUUGACAUGAACUAUAUCCAAAAAUCGUUCUCGUAUAAAUCCACUUCUAUCAACAAACCUUAUAACAAGGGCCAUUUGCUCUCUUCUAGAUUCAUCUCGAGCUUCAUCAACAAUUAAGCAAAAUCUUGCAUCACCAAUGUCAUGACGAAUUGAAGACUGAACAUUUCUAGCAAAGACAUGCAAAAUUUCUUUUUGAAUUUGAUGCGAGGUGUAUUUAGCAUUUUGUGGAGCAUUAUUCAAAACAAGAGCACCUACUUGUUCAUUGUAUGAUGCUAAAAGUUCCAACAUUUCAAGAAAAUUACCUCGGUUUUUUUAUUCUGGACGUUCAUCAUGUCCUCUAAAAGCACAUGCUUGAAAUGUGAGCCAACGAACAAUAUCUAUUGAAGCUUUAAUACGCAAUCGAUUAUUUAGAAUUUCUUGAGUAGUUUGCCUCUUAACUACCUUCUCAAUAUGACAUGACUGAUUUCUCAAAUUUUCCAAGCACCUGGUAGCAAAUCUAUGAGCUGAAUUCGGAUUUUUUCCCAUAUGAGUUAAAAAAGCACAUCGUUCCCCGUCAUUAACUUUCUUCCAACAAUUGAAUCCUUUAAUAGUAAAUGUGUCUGAUCUUGGCUUUCCAGAUGACUUACUUGAAAAUAGAUAGCAAGGGAAACAAAAUGCAGUAUUUUUCUCUGAAUAUUCAAGCCAUGGAUAACUUUUGAACCAAUGAAACUGAAAUCGACGAGGAUGUUUUUUACCAGUCAGCGGAUAUUCAGACAUCAAAGGUUGAUAUGGCCCCAAAUUAAUGUAUGCCCUUCUAAUUUCAUCUUGUUGAUUAACCGGGUAUUCCCAAAUUUGAGGACGAUUGCUUGGAUCUCUAAUCAGAUGAGUAGUGUCGAUUCUAGUUGGAGGCCGCUCGUUAAUCAAUGCAGGUUCUUCAUAAACUGAAGCAUAUUGGAGUUGUUCAACUAUAACUUCAACAUUACACAUUGGAGUUGAUUCACUAGGCUGUGAGUUAUCAAUAUUUUUUCUCUUUUUCUCAAAAAAGGAAUCAAUUCUUCUUAUUUUGUUCAUGGUUCAACCUAAAAUCAAAACAUCAUAAAUUUUUAUUGUUUCCUAUUUAAAAAAUAAAUACAAAUAACAAUGUAUUGAAGCAAUAAUCAGAACCAAAAAUAAAUUUUUACAUGUAAACAACACUGACAUAUAAAAGUAAAAUUAACAUAUUAAAAAAAGAAAUUGAUAUAUAAAAGCAUAUCUAACAUAAAAAAUGGGAUUACUGGUUCCUAAAUAAGAAAACUUACACUGAAUCAAAGUUGGGUAUACGCUCUUCAAAGAACUCAAUUUGGCUAGAAAGAUCGUGUCUAAUUGUAUAUUGGACCUGGUGAUAGUAAGGUACACGUGAGAAAAAAUUGAUAAUUUUGGUGGCUCUGCUAAAAACAAAACAUAAAAAAAUCCAAGCAUAAUCGAAACAAACAAACCCAUAAAAUAUAUCCAAUUAAUUAGAAAAAACAAUAUUCACUAUAACAAGAAAUAAAAAAUGGUAAAACUAGUAAAUUUGAAAAAAAAAGCAGAAUUAUAUAUAUAUAUAUAUAUAUAUAUAUAUAUAUCAAAUUCUUAACAAACAUAAAAAAAAAAAAAGAAUUACUAAUUACCUUGAUGAAGAAUUAAUUGGCAGCAGCUUUGCUUUACCUUUAUGCUUUGUAUUAGUAAUAUUUUCGGUUAGGGUUGCAGAGAAGAAAGAGAGAGAGGUAGUAAAGGAAGGGAAAAAAAGUAAAAAGCUUAUUUGGCCUUUUAUAUAGAGAUACGGAGAUAUGGCUUUAAAAGCAAACAUAACUAAUAAAAUAAUAAUUUAGUAUUAAAUAGUCUAUUAUUUAUUAUAUUUAAAAAAAAAAUUUUGCAGGGGCCGGGCCCCUGCUGGCCUCCCCUUGGUUCUGCCGCUGCUGUGGUUGCUCAUAUAAUGGUCACUGCAGGUUUACAUGGUCGUUAACUUUAGGGCAUGUGAGAUUAGUCGAGAUAUGCGCAAGUUGGCCCGAACAUCCACAUUAAUAAAAAAAAAUUCAAAGAUUAUUCAUUUCAAAUGAGAAAAAAAAAAAUCAUAACGAGCGAAUCUUGUGAAUAAAUUACCGUAUUUGGACGCAACGAAACCGAGAAAAAACAAAGGUAAAGUCUAGACAAGAGCGCGCGCAUAAACUAUUUAUUGAUGAGCUUGUUCGUAUCAACAUAAAUAAAUAUCAAAGUAAUCCAAGCAAACUUUUGCAGAUUACGAAGAAUCUAAGUCGACAAAAAAGCUUUCAAUCAAAGUGUAUAUUUGAUAUAGAUUCAGUUUAGUAAAAAUUGUUUUUUAAUAUUUUAUUUUUAUUUUUAAAAAUUUAUUUUUAACAUGAAAAGCAUAUAAAAACAUUAUAAAAGAUUGAAAAAUUACAGUAAACCAUAUAACUUUUUGAAAGAUUUUGUACACGAAACCCUUGCUUAAUGACCGUGUAAAAUCAACACCCUUGGACGGUACUUUUGCUACAGUUUUUUGGAUAGUUCAAACUCAUUUAAAGUAUUUUUAGUUGGAUGUUCAUAUAGGUGAAAACAAAAGGAUUACUGUUACCUAACAUGAAGUCGAAUGAAGGUUGACAAAGUCAAAGACAGCGAUCAGACACGCAAAAAUGCAAUGAAUCAGCAUGUUCUGGACUUCCCACAGAUACACCUGUUUUCUACCACACUGAUUUUGGGACCCAUUAUAUCUGAAAAUGUCUUCAACAAAGCAUCUUCUCCUUCUUUCUUUUUCUUUUUUUUUUUAAAAUCUUUUGAUAUGCAUAUUAAUUCAACAUUACAUAAGGGCUAAGGUUUUUGUGAAUAAGGGGCUAUUCACACAAAAGAAUAAAAAGCCAUGAACAAAUGUGCAGCAGACAUCCAUCAAUGCAAGAAGUGCCCAUUUUCAAGAACUCUAAGCAACUCCUGAAUCAUUAUAAGAAGCACAAUACUGUCCAGUUGUUCUCAUGAAAUUAUUUUCCUCUAACCUCAUUAACAAUUCAUUGAGAAUCCCAAUAACUGAUUCAGUCACUUAAAAACCUGAACAAAACCCUCAAAUAUCAAAUCUUUAUAUGUUUCAAUAUCUAAAAAGAAGAAAAAACAACCAAAUUUUCGAACUUUUUCCCUCUAUUUAAAAAAGGGGGAAAAAAAAGCAAUAUAGGCCAUCGAUUUCUUUUCCUUUUUUUGUUACAUGGAGAGCAGGUAGAUCUCAUUAAGGCAAAUAAUUCAUCAAUUAGGAGGUGAUGCCACCUAACUCGGCAUUUGACGCAACACUGAUGAAUUAUAGAAAAAGUGAUGUGGCAGAGGUAAUAGAAAUUAAGGGUUUUGAGCAAUUUUUCAGAGCUAAAUAGAGAUUUAUCACAAACAAAUUUUAUUAGUAAAUGCUUUUAUAAACAAGUGAGAUAAGGCUAAAUCUAAAAGAAUGCUUGAUGAAUCACACCAAACUAGCAAAAUGAUAAUAAAAUAUCAUAAUUUUUUAUCUUACUAUUGAAUUAGACUAAAAUUUCUAUAGAUUAUUUCUAAGGCUUAGUUUUAUAAGUUGCUGCGCUUGCGGCAACCAUAUAUUCGAGUCCUGGAAGACCUCAAAUCAUGCCUCAAUGAUACUGUUUGAUUCAAUUUUAUUAUUUUUCCUUGAUUUAUUUUGGAUUUUACAUUAUUUUUGAAUUUUUAGCUAUCUUUCUGUUUUGUUUUAGGAUAAUAAUUUUUCUUACUAUGUUAAGGUUACUUUCACGCCUAUAUAAAGACUUGUAAAUAUCUAGAGAGACAAAAGUUAUCAAUUCAUUAUUUCAGAAAUAAAAAUAAGAUCUUAGGAGUUAGGAUUCUUCGUGUUUUAAUCUUAUUUUGGCUAAUUCUUUAUCUUUAUGUGCUUAUUGAUUGUUAUCCUUGCAGGGCUUUCGACUAUAUCAAAAAGUCUACCCAUAAUUUUCAUUAAUUGUAUUUAAGAAUGGAGUUAUAGUUUGACUCACGGUGAUGAGGGAUGAAUGUUCAAUUUUGAAAACAUGACCUUUGAGUUUUAGAUAAUUAGACUCGGUUAAGAGGGUGGUGGCUAAGUUUUUUUUUUUAAAAAAAAAAUCAAUGUAAAAUUUAUAAUAUUUAAUAUAAGAGCUUUAUAAUUAUUAGUUUGAAAAUAAUAAUAAUUUUGUAAAUUAUUAGAUGUUUUUUGUUGAUAUUUUUUAAAAUAAUAAUAAUUUUAUAAAUUAUUACGUGUGUUAGGGAGGACAUAAACUGUCAUCAUACACUAUAAUUUCUGAAAAAAUAAAGAUAAAAUAACUAAACUACACAAUGAUCAAGUAAUUUCUCCUUUUAAAAAAAAUAUCAUAGAAACUUUUUAUUGUAUCUAAAAUGUCCUUAUUUACUUUUUGAAAAAGAUAGUCAUAGGAAAAACUUAAAAGAUUAGAGAAAUAAACAUGAUUAUUUAAUUUAAUUUUGUUUUUGAGUUUAUUUUCUUAAAAAUAUUUCUAUAAAUUCUUAUUAUUUUCAUUUUAACUAUUUUUAUCUAGACAAUAAUUAAGGGCGUUAUAUGUAUUAGAAUAUGUCCUAUAAAAUCGCCAAAUUUUUAAAUAAUUCUUACAAUUUUACAGUACUUCGCACGAUUUUUGUGAUUCACCUUAGAACUUUUGCAUGCACAUAUUAAUGCACGGUUUAUGGUGUUUUUUUCACGGUCAGUUUUAAAAUUUUGUUGGAAAGUUCUUGGAACGCAAAAAUAUUUAUAUAUGUUAAAUGAUAUGGACUUGAUAAUUCAUUAAAAAAUAUGAAUCACUCAAUUGUGUGGCCCUGCUCUUGACAGGAAGAUCCGUAAGAAAAUCAUUGGAAACUUACCGGUACGAGUUCUUGACCUCAAGAAACCGGAAAAAAUUCGAAGUCAUUGGAAUAAAUAGAAACAAAAGGGCUUUGGAAGUUGGUUACUAAGAUACUAGAAGAAGAAGAAAUAUUGGGCUUGGCUGGAUCUUGUGCCUCUUUAACCAACACUUACCACACGGUUUGUUUCGUCUAGAUUCGUGAAAUACUCGUAGAAAUUUGGUGUUUUCUGAUUUCUAAGUAGAAUUGUACUUGUUCCAGCUUGAAAUUACUAGUUGGUAGAUUUAAUUGCCAAAUUUCUUGAUCUUACCUUCUGUUUCAUGUUUGACCACAGGAGCAGGCCUUAUACAAAAUAGCGUGGAAAGCAAUUGCUGAACCAAGCGAGCAAGUUGAGGCCAGAAGGGAUCGGUACUAGUUUAUCGCUAUAGGGAUUUUCAUGGCUUCCACCAGCGUGCAAGGAAUAACCUCAUCUUCAUCUUCUUCUUCUUCUUCUCCUCCACUAUAUAUGUAUGAUGUGUUCCUUAGUUAUAGAGGCAAAGACACCCGGAACAACUUUACUAGUCAUCUAUAUUAUAAUCUGGCACAGAGAGGCAUCGAUGUGUACAUGGAUGAUAGGGGGCUCGAGAGAGGAAAGACCAUCGAACUUGCUCUCUGGAAGGCCAUUGAAGAAUCAAGGUUUUCAGUCAUUAUAUUUUCAAGAGAUUACGCUUCUUCACCAUGGUGCUUGGAUGAACUUGUCAAGAUUGUUCAAUGCAUGAAAGAGAAGGGUCACACUGUUCUGCCAGUUUUUUAUAAUGUGGAUCCCUCAGAGACAUAUGAGAAAGCCUUCGUUGAGCAUGAACAAAAUUUCAAGGAAAACUUGGAGAAGGUCCGGAACUGGAAAGAUUGUCUCUCUACGGUGGCCAAUCUAUCUGGCUGGGACGUCCGGAAUAGGUAAAUCAUCUAUCUACUUAUUCUUAUUCUCAAAUCUGCCCUGUAUUGUUUCGUUGAUGAACAAGCAUAAUAGUAAAUGUGUAUUUUUCAUAUGCAUGAAUUUUUAUUUUUAUUUUUUUAUGAUAUUUUGAACUGAUGUGAUCAAGCAUUUCUAAUCUUUAUAUAAAACUUCUUUCUAUUCUUAGGUUUUUCUAUAUAUUUUGAAAAUAAAAUAAAAUAUUAAACAGAAAAAUUAAAAUGAAUAAAAAUGUUGAAAAACAAAUCUAGCAUGAACAAAUAAAAAAGUUAGGUAAAAAAUUAAAAAUUGUGAAGAAAUAACAACAAAUUCAUCAUAAGAAAUAAAAAAUUGACCAAAGUUUUUGAAUAUGUUAGUUUUAUAGCUUUUCAAAAUAAAAUAAAAAGAUUUUCCAUCUUGAAUUAAAAAAUUCAAACUAUUUAUAAAUCAAAGAGACAAAUUUAUUUAUAAUUUGUUUUGUGAAUAUUUUUAUUUUUUUAUUUGGAAUUAAAAUUUGAUAGGUGUCUUUCUUUCACUAAUGGAUUGUAACAAUGAAUUUACUAAUUUUUCUGCCUUAUUUUAUAGAACACACAAGCGAAUAAGUUGUUCUGCCUUAUUUAAGCAGCAUGAGCAAUGACUUAUGACACCCAAAAAAGAUCUUCAUUGAUGUUUUCUCAUUCACCACGACAUGAGCUACCUCCCGGAGUGGCAUGUGUGGAGUAAUUAUUUUUGGUUUGGCACCAAAAUGACUUUCUUUUUUUUUCUUUUCUUGUCUUUUUCCUUGAAUACCGCACCCGACCUUCUAAACUUGUAUAGUAACUCUUCAAUUUGGAUAUCAACUAUGUUAAUCUGGGAAAAAAGAAAGACUACUAUGGAAAGAAAUCCGAAAAUAAGUUGUUUUUUAAAAAGUUUACUAUGCAAGAUAGUUGAAAUUUUUGUUAAAAAUAAUUAUAAAAUUAACUUAGUGUUCGACAAAAAAUAUGAUAGAACUCCAUUUGCUUUUUUGGCCAGUUAAAACCAAACUUAAUGAAUAUUUUAUUUCCUAGCUGUUGUUGUAUGCUUGCUUCUGUAGUAUCUGUGUGAUUUUAUAGGCAAUAAGAUAGCUAUUGUACGGAUCAUUCUUAGCAUUAAUACAAUCCUAGUUUCGUUUUCAGUUUAUUCUUUCCUUUUCCUCUCUGUUCUUGAAUCUAUCUAUUAUCAGGGCCCUAUUUUUCUCAAAGGUUGGUGUAUUAAUUUCCGGCUAACAGCCAUACAUUUUCGAGCUACAAUAUGCUAAUGUCUAUUUUCACAUUAUCACUAUCUGAUUUGAUUUCUGCACACUGCAUGAUUAAUGUUUUGCACCCUUCUAUGCAGGAAUGAAUCGGAAUCAAUUAAAAUAAUUGCUGAAUACAUAUCGUACAAACUAAGCGUCACUCUACCAACAAUUAGCAAAAAAUUAGUUGGAAUAGAUUAUCGUGUAAAGGUAUUAAAUGGCUAUAUAGGUGAAGAAGUAGGCAAAGCAAUCUUCAUAGGGAUUUGCGGAAUGGGUGGCAUAGGUAAGACGACUGUUGCAAGGGUAUUAUAUGAUAGGAUUCGUUGGCAAUUUGAAGGCAGCUGCUUCUUAGCAAAUGUCAGGGAUGUUUUUGCUGAGAAAGGUGGACCACGCCGUUUACAGGAACAACUUCUUUCUGAAAUCUUAAUGGAACGUGCUUCUGUAUGUGAUUCUUAUAGAGGGAUUGAGAUGAUAAAGCGGAGGUUACGACUUAAAAAGAUUCUUCUUAUCCUUGAUGAUGUAAAUGACAAAAAACAACUAGAAUUUUUGGCUGCAGAGCCUGGAUGGUUUGGUCCAGGGAGCAGAAUUAUCAUAACAAGCAGAGAUAAAAAUGUGUUUACUGGAAAUGAUGAUACUAAAAUUUAUGAGGCUGAGAAAUUGAAUGAUGAUGAUGCUCUUAUGUUAUUCAGCCAGAAAGCUUUCAAAAAUGAUCAACCUGCUGAAGAUUUUGUGAAACUAUCUAAGCAAGUUGUGGGUUAUGCUAAUGGCCUUCCACUGGCUCUUGAAGUUAUAGGUUCGUUUUUGUAUGGAAGAAGAAUCCCUGAAUGGAGAGGUGCGAUUAAUAGAAUGAAUGAGAUUCCUGACGAUGAAAUUAUUAAAGUGCUUCUCGUUAGUUUUGAUGGCCUCCAUGAAUUAGAGAAGAAAAUAUUUUUAGACAUUGCCUGUUUCCUUAAGGGAUUUAAAAUUGAUCGAAUAACAAGGAUACUUGACGGGUGGCGUGGAUUCCAUACAGGUAUUGGAAUACCAGUUCUUAUUGAGAGAUCUCUCAUAAGUGUCUCUCGGGAUCAAGUCUGGAUGCAUAAUUUAUUACAGAAAAUGGGUCAGGAAAUUAUUCGUCGUGAAUCCCCUGAUGAGCCUGGAAGGCGCAGUAGAUUGUGGACAUACGAGGAUGUCUGCCUUGCACUUAUGGACAACACAGUGAGUAGCUGAUAGAGAACAUUAUCCAUAAGAUUUCAUGAAGUUUAUUUUAAUUUAUGCUACAAAUAUCUAUUUGUUUUUUACUUGUAUUCCCUUUUGGUUGACAGGGAAAAGAAAAAAUAGAAGCCAUUUUCUUGGACAUGCCUGGAAUAAAAGAGGCACAAUGGAACAUGGAAGCCUUCUCUAAAAUGAGCAGACUAAGAUUGCUCAAAAUCGACAACGUGCAGCUUUCUGAAGGACCUGAAGAUCUUUCCAACGAGUUACGAUUUCUUGAAUGGCAUUCUUACCCUUCAAAAUCAUUGCCAGCUGGUUUACAGGUGGAUGAGCUAGUUGAACUUCACAUGGCUAACAGUAGUAUUGAGCAAUUAUGGUAUGGGUGUAAGGUGAGAUCACCUAAUUUAAGGGCCUUUGUAUUUCUUUUUAUCGUUUUCUAUAUAUUUAUGAUAGUAGCAUCCAUAUUUCUUCUCCCCUGCCUGAUUGCAGAGUGCAGUUAAUUUGAAAAUCAUCAAUCUCAGCAACUCUCUAAACCUGAUCAAGACUCCAGAUUUUACAGGAAUUCCGAAUCUCGAGAACCUAAUUCUUGAAGGUUGUACAAGUUUGUUUGAGGUCCAUCCAUCACUUGCACGUCACAAGAAGCUUCAAUAUGUGAAUCUUACGGAUUGCGUAAGUAUUAGGAUUUUCCCUAGCAACCUUGAAAUGGAAUCACUUAAAGUUUGCAUUCUUGAUGGAUGCUCAAAACUUGAGAAGUUUCCAGAUAUAGUGGGAAACAUGAACAAAUUGAUGGUGCUUCAUUUGGAUGAGACUGGUAUUACAAAACUAUCUUCAUCAAUUCAUCAUUUGAUUGGCUUAGAAGUAUUGAGCAUGAACAACUGCAAGAACCUUGAAAGCAUUCCGAGUAGCAUACCUUGUUUGAAAUCCCUUAAAAAACUCGAUCUCUCUGGCUGCUCCGAAUUUAAAUAUAUACCAGAGAAUUUGGGGGAAGUUGAAAGUUUGGAGGAGUUUGAUGUAAGUGGAACUUCAAUAAGACAACUGCCAGCAUCCCUUUUUCUUUUAAAGAAUCUUAAAGUAUUAUCUUUGGAUGGAUUCAAAAGACUAGCUGUGCUGCCUUCUUUGUCUGGUUUGUGUUCUUUAGAAGUACUGGGUUUACGCGCUUGCAAUCUAAGAGAAGGGGCACUUCCUGAAGAUAUUGGAUGCUUAUCUUCAUUGACGUCUUUAGAUCUGAGCCGGAAUAACUUUGUUAGCCUGCCUAGGAGCAUAAAUAUGCUUUAUGAACUGGAAAAGCUUGUCUUGGAGGAUUGCACGAUGCUUGAAUCAUUGCCUGAGGUUCCGUCUAAAGUUCAAACGGUAUAUUUGAAUGGUUGCAUAAGCCUAAAAACAAUUCCAGAUCCGAUAAAGCUAAGCAGUUCCAAAAUCUCAGAGUUUAUAUGUCUUAACUGCUGGGAAUUGUACAAUCAUAAUGGCCAAGACAGCAUGGGGUUGACCAUGCUUGAAAGAUACCUCAAGGUCUUCUCUUAAUCAUACCCCAACCUUUUUGUAUCUCUCUCCCUCUCCCUCUAUCUAUCUAACAUUUUUGUUUUUCAUGGUACAGGGUUUGUCUAAUCCAAGACCUGGAUUUGGUAUCGCUGUUCCAGGAAAUGAAAUUCCAGGCUGGUUUAACCAUCAAAGAAAGGAAUCUUCAAUUAGUGUGCAAGUGCCUAGUUGUGGCAUGGGGUUUGUUGCGUGUGUUGCAUUCAGUGCAAAUGGUGAAAGUCCUUCUCUUUUUUGUCAUUUCAAAGCCAAUGGAAGAGAGAAUUAUCCUUCGCCGAUGUGUAUUAGUUGUAACUCAAUCCAAGUUCUGUCAGAUCAUAUUUGGCUAUUCUAUCUAUCUUUUGAUCAUCUUAAAGAGCUUAAAGAAUGGAAGCAUGAAUCCUUUAGCAACAUUGAGUUGUCAUUUCAUUCUUCCGAGCAACGAGUAAAGGUGAAGAAUUGUGGUGUCUGUUUGUUAUCUUCUGUAUAUAUUACAUCACGACCAUCUUCUGCCCAUUUUAUUGUUACAAGCAAAGAAACAGCUUCUUUAUUUAAAGAUUCUUUAGCUUUUUCUUCGUCGUACCAUCAAUGGAAGGCCAAUGUUUUCCCUGGCAUCAGAGUCGCAGAUCGAGCUCGGAGAUUCAUUUUCCCAUUCGGGAAGGAACCAGAGAAAGUAAUGGCAAUUAGAUCAAGACUCUUUGAGGCCAUUGAAGAAUCAGGGCUGUCAAUUAUUAUAUUUGCAAGAGAUUGUGCUUCUUUACCUUGGUGCUUUGAAGAACUUGUCAAGAUUGUCGGAUUCAUGGAUGAGAUGAGAUCGGACACUGUGUUUCCAGUUUCUUGUGAUGUCGAACAAUCAAAGAUAGAUGAUCAAACAGAGAGUUACACAAUUGUCUUUGAUAAGAUUGGAAAAAAUCUCAGGGAAAACGAGGAGAUGGUACAAAGAUGGAUGCAUAUUCUCCGUAAAGUUGAUAUUUCAUCUAGAUCGAAAAGGUAAUAAUUACUUCUUCUUUUUUGUGUGUGUAGCUCGACUUAUCAACCACUUCAAGUAAAUGAAACUGGGAAUGCUGAAAUAUUGACUUUCAUAGCUUAAUGUUAACAAAUCUAGGGGGUUUUUUUUCAUGGGAAAAACACUGUGCAAGGUUCAGUACACAAUAUUUGUUUUUUCAAGGUAGAUUAUAGAUUUAAGAAAAAUUAAUAUUAAACUCAGUUGAGUUUAUGGUUCGGAUUAAACCGACAUAUUUUACUGUAGACAAUAUUGUUUACUUUAUUUUUUUUUUAGGUUUGUUAUAAAUUCAAAAGGAGAAAAAUAUUGAACCGGUUAGUGCAUAACCUAGGUCACAAGUUUUGUUUUAAAGGUUGAGUAUAAAUUUAAGAAAAAAAAAAUCAACCUGGUUGAGGUUUUUUUUAUAAAGAUUGAUUUUUUUAUGGUGUUGUGCAUUUUUAAUUUUUAAUUUUUUUUAAAUUUGAAUAUAAAUUUAAGAGAAAACAAUUAUUAAACCUCGUUGAAUUCAUGGUCCGGGUCACAUAUUUAAUUUUUUUUAAGGUUUAAGGAAAAAUAUAUUGAACCCGGUUGAGUUCAUGAACUGAGUUACGAGUUAAGCCACAAUAACCGGAUAAUUAUUUUUUUCUAAUGUUGUUUUUUUUUUACUGGUAUCUUUUUUUAUAUAUCUUUUUUCAAGUAAUUUUCAAUUUAUGUUUCAAUUAAUAUAACUCAUUUGUGAUUUGUUUUGUUUAUUUAAUCUUUUUUUAAUAUAAAUUGUGUUUUGAUGGUGUUGUAUGUAUUUGUUUUUAAAUGUUGAAUAUAAAUUUAAGAGAAAACAAUAUAGAGUCUGGUUGAGUUCAUGGUCUGGGUCACAUGUUUAAUUUCUUUUUUGUUAAAGGUUGAAUACAAAUUUAAAGGGAAAACAAUAUUGAACCUGGUGGAGUUCUUGCUCCGAGUCAUAGAUUUAACGAGUUAAGCCACAACAAUAAAACAAUAUUUUUUUUCCUGAUAUUGUUUUUUUUUCACUGAUAUUUUUUAUAUAUCUUUUUUACAAUAUUUUUUAAAUUUAUGUUUUAAUUAAUAUUCCUCAUAUGUGAUUAUUGUUUUUUAUUUAUUUAUUUUUGGAUAGAUAUUGUUUUUUAUGGUGUUGUUCGUAUUUAAUUUUUAAAAAACUUAUUAUGAUUCAUCAAUAAUUUUUUUUAUCUUUUUAUAUAAAAGAACUUUAUUUUAAAAAUUAAAAAAAAAUUAUUUUCAGAUAACAUAAUAUGUACAACAACCUUGCAUAAUAUUUUUUCUAUUUUUAUUUUAUUUAAUCAAUUUAAUAUGUGUCUUUUUUUAAUAUCAUUUGAUUGAAUACAAAAAUUAAUUUUAAUAAAUAAAUUUAAAAAAUCUAACUGGGUAAAUGUUCCGUUUAUUAACCCAUUUGAAUUUUUUAAUUAUAUUUUUAGUUAUCGUUAAUAUAUUUUUAUUAUUUUUAAUUCACAUAAUUAUCAAUUUAUUUCAUGUAUGUAAGCUUUUUAAUUUACAGUUUUAAUUUUUUUUAUGCACAACUUUUUAUUAAGAGAAAAAAAUAUUUGGUUUGUAAAAACAUUUUGCAACAAAAAAAAAGGUUAGUGGGCGUGGGCCCUAACAAAAUGCUGCAACUGGACUGGCUUGACUUACUAGUCCUAACAACGCCUGACCUUUGCUUCUUCUUUUUUUUUUUCUUUUAUAUGUUUUUUUUUAAAAUAUAUUUAGAUUAACAUCCCUUCUCUUUUUUUAUGAUGUUUAGAGAUUCUCUUUGAAAUGAUGAUUAUUUUUUAGUUAUUCAUUUAAUUUUUGAGAAAGUUUUUCGGAUUUAUUUAUAAUGUUUUUAAUUUUUUAUACAGAUGAACUUUAUUCUUGAAAAUAAAAAUUUUUAUUUUAAAAUAAUAUUUCUAAUAUGUGCAACUUUGCAUAUUAUUUAUUUUAUUUUAUUUUAUUCAAUCAAUUUAAUAUAUAUGUCUAUUUUUAUUAUCGUUUGAUUGAAUAAAAAACUUGUUUUAAUGAAUAAAUUUAGUAAAUACAAUCACGUAAAUAUCUCGUCUUUCAAAAUUAAAUAUUUUAAUCUACACUUGUUUCUCGAUUUCAACUUUUAUUUUUAGUUAUAAUUUAUAGUUGUUUUUUUUUAUUUAUUUAUUAACACAUAUAAUUCUUGAUGUAUUUGAUUAUAUUUAUGCAUAAUUUUUUUUUUCACUUAUAAUUUUUUAAAUACAAAAAAUCUAUCUAUACAUUUUUUAUUAAAAACAAUUUAUAACACCCAACAAAACAUGUAACAACGAUUCCUUGUACAGUUUCUUUCCACUUGAGCAGGAGCAGCUGCUCGAGCAGGAGCAGCAGCUGCAGCUGCUCGAGGAGCAGCAGCUGCAGCUGCUCGAGGAGCAGCUGCUGCAGCUCAAGCAUAAGCUGAUGCUCGAUCAGCAGCAGCUCCAGCAGCAGGUGCUCCAGCAGCAGCUCAAUGAGCAGGUGCUCCAGCAGCAGCUCGAUGAGCAGCUGCUCCAGCAGCAGCAGGUGCUCCAGCCGGUGUGGCAGCAGGUGCUCCAGCAGAAGCAGGUGCUCCAGCGGCGGCGGCAGCGGCAGGAGAUGCUCAAGUGGCGGCAGUUGCAGUUCGAUAAGCAGCUGCUCCAGCAGCGGCGGCAGCAGCAGCUCGAUGAGCAGCUGCUCCAGCAGCUCGAUGAGCAGCUGCUCCAGCAGUGGCAGGUCGAUGAGCAGCUGCUCCAGCAGCAGCAGGAGCUCCAGCCGGUGUGGCGGCAGCAGCGGCAGCAGCUGCUCGAUGAGCUGCUGCUGAUCCAGCAGCUGCUGGACCGGCAGGUCCAGCAGCUGCUCAUGCCGGUCCAGCAGAUGCUCAAUCAGCAGCAGCUCAUCGAGGAGCUCCACCAGGAGCUGCUCCAGCAGCAGGAGCUGCUCCGGCAGCGGCGGCUGCAGCAGCAGCUCCGGCAGCAGCAGCUGCAGCAGCAGCUCCCAGCGUUUUGGUUAGGGAUUUAACUUGCUUUAGCUUGAAGAUCUUCGUCAGUUUUUGCUCAUGGUUUUGGUUUGGGGUAAUUAGAUUCACAUUUUACUAUGUAUGGAUUUUCUUCUUAAAUUUAGGAUAAUCCCAUGUUUGCGGAUGGAAGGAUUGUUUCCAUAUUAAAACUUUUACAUGGCGGAAAGCCCGUGCUCUGGAAAAUUUCAACCAUUAUUUUGGAAUCGCUAGUCUGCCUAUUUUUUUUAACUCUGGUUCUGGGUGUAUGUGUUAGAUUUAAAUUAAAAACAAUAUAUAUUUCUAAAAGAUAGAACCAAUUUUUGUAACUGGUUUGAGACAAAAAUAAUAAAAUUUAAUUCUACAUUCUUAAUUAUGCUUGUCGCACCCGACAUCGCGGCGGCUUUAAAAAUUAAUUAAAUCUUUGGAAAGAAUGGAUUUCUGGCAUCCUGUUCUUUAAUGAGGAUAUUCUUUGUUUAAGGAGUCGCUACCUAGUAUUACGGUUACUAGGAACCCUAACUGGUCAACAGAUAUUCUAUGGUCCGAGACUGGUUACGUAAAAGGAAAGAUAUUAUCACCCCUUAAACGUUUUGCCCAAGGCAGGCUAUAUUGCUAAUCUUUGUCAUUAAUUGCUAACAUUUUUUUUUGUUUUAUACUAUGAUUGUUUGCGUGUAAUAUUUUUGACUCUAGCGCCAGUGAAUAUUCAACUACGAAUAUUUCCAACUCUGGCGCUGGUAAAUAUUACGUAGGUAUCAGAAUAAAUAAAUUUAAAUCAUCAUUUUUUAUAUUCCUGACUCUGACGUCAGUGAAUAAACAAAUAAAAUCAAUUUAUUUUUUACGCAUACACAUUAUUUUUAUUUUUUAUGUAGCUAAAUAAAAACAAAACAAAAUAAAAUAAAAUAAAUUUACAUUAGUAUUUUUUAUUCCUGACUCUGACAUCAGUGAAUAUACCAAAUAAAUUUAUUUUAUUUUAUCUUAAGUUAUUUUUUUUGCACGCAUAUUUUUUAUAUAACCCAAUAAAAUACAAUGAAAUAAAUAUGAAUUGAUAUUUUUAUUCUAACUCUAGCGUCAAUGAAUAAAUAAAAAAAUAAUAAAUUUAUUUUUAUAUUUUUUUUUACAUACAUAAUUUUUAUUAUAUAUUUUUUAUCUUUUUAUUAAUAUUUUUAGGCUGGGCUAGACACAACCAGCCCAGCCCGGUCACUGGCCCCAGCCAGUGAUCCGGCUGGGCAAAAAAACUAAAAGCACGCGUGAAUUGUUCACGCGUGCACGAACACUGUGUGAAGGUAAUUAAAUUACCUUCACACAGUAUUCUUGUAACAAUUAAAUUUGAAAUGAAGAUACAAGAAGGGAUGAAGAGACGGGCAUACCUGCUUCUGUUGACUGAAGGUGCGUGCAGCGCUGAUGAUGUUUCCCUUUUGCCUUCCUCUGCUUCGGGAGGCGAAGAUGCUUGCAGCGCUGAUGGAUUCUUGCCUAUUGCUUCCCUUUAUCUUCCUUCUGUGUUCACUUGUAUGCGUGUUCCUUUUGUUUUCUCAGCAGCUUUUGAAGCCGAGAAGAUGAUGAAGAGGCCAGCCUGCUGGGAAUUUGUUUUGAUUCUGGGUUUUCGUUGUUUGCAGGGACGAAGGCAUUGGCAGGGCCAAUACUCGUCUCUGUGUAUUGCUGCUCUCUUGUUCUCUCCGUCUCUCUGUGUAUUAUUUCUUUCUCUGGAUUUAUGCUCUGUUUUUCCUCUGUUCUUUUCUCCGGUUUCUGGUUUUUUGUCUGGGUUUAGCUUCAGUUCUGCCCCUCCCUGUUUUCGUCUUUCACCCCAUCGGUUCUUGGCCUGUUAGUCCCUCUCUGUUUUCUGGGUUUUUUCUCUGGGUUUUUACUUGAGUUUUUGCAGAGCAGGAGGAUUUUUGCUUGCGUUUUCUGCCUUGGUUUUUCGCUCAAACCCCCUCCUGGUUCUGUUUCAUCCUCCUGCUCGUUGUCUGUGUGUCUGUCUUUUUUUAUUGUCUCUUGUAUUUUUCUUCUGUUUCAAUUCGUGCUCUGCCUUUCCCUGUAUUUUUUUUGGGUUUUUUCCUUGUGUCGUUUAGGUUCCUCUCUAAUCGUCUUCUCCCUCCUUUUUUAUACCUGAGAUCUGUAUUUACAGUGAUAAAAUUUUUUCGUGCGGUAAACUAAGUUUUAAUUAAUUUUUUUAAUUUAAAUUUAAUUAAAAAUUAAAUUUAAAAUCAAAUAACUAUCAUUAUUUUAAAAAUAAAAAUUAUCUCGAAGAUAAAAAUUAUCUUAAAAAUAGAAAUUAUCUUGAAGAAAAAAAUAGAAUGAUAAAAACAUAUUGUAGUUUUUAAUUUUUACAGAAAUUUAAUAAAUUAUAUUUUUCAUCAAAAUAAAUUUUUGAUUUUUUAAUUUUUAAUUUUAAAUUCUAUAAAAAUUAAAUUAAAAGCCAAAAGUUAAAAUUGGGUUAAUGCUCUGCAAAUUACAAACAAUAAAGAUUAAUAAAAUUAUAUGCCAAAAUUAUUUUUCUUUGUUAUUUCAAAUUGGCCCAACUUUAUCUUAGGAAUCCACCCACGACUUGCAAUUUAUAACCCCAAGCCCUUGGAAACUUUUGAGAUUAUACAAAUGCCCCUUCUGGUCCUGGAUUCAUGGCAACACAAGUAGUGAAAAGAGAAACAAACAAGACGAUUUGGCCAAAAACCCCAAAGAAGGUUUAUGCAGGGUUUAGGGCGGCCGGUAUGCUAAUACCAUUACCAUACCCUCUCUAUGAACUCAUUUCCUUUCUCAACUUGCAUUACCCGCGCAUUUUAAUUCAUCUCUCAAUCACUUCAAUUCCAUUUCUUUUCUUUUUCAUUUCCUUUAAUUAGAGUGCCAACUCCCAUAUAUUUUCUACCAAAAAUUUUGAUCCUUUGAUUACUUUUGAUAAGAAACCCACAAUUCUGUCUCUAAACCAUCCACAGUUAUGUGGAGAAACGUCGCAAAACAAGCCACUUUGAAAACCCAAUCAAAGUCCCUCGAUUUCCCUUCAUUUCCAAGAACGUACAGCUUUUUAGGAGCCUCUAGAGAACCCAUCUUUUUUGAGAAACUCAAGUUCCAUUCGCUUAAUAACACAAGUCCACGACUGGGUUUUCGAGCAAUUGACGAAAUAUCAACCCAUGAAGAUUUUAUGGGAAAACCCAGUUUUGUUUUUUUGAGAAAUAUUGAUAGUACUAAUGGGAAUCGGUGUGGUGGAUUUUUCCCAAGAGGGUAUGUGAGUGUAGCUGAGGCAUUGUCAUCAACAGAUGUUGAAGAUAAUGUGUCUGGUGCCGAUGAAGUGCAAGAAUUGCAGCCAGAAAUGAGGAAAGAAGAGGAGAAAGAGGAGCACUUUAGGAGGAGGAGGCUACAUGCUAACCCUGGAAUAGGGUCAAGGAAGCAUAGGGUCUUAAGGAGAAGGCAAGUGAAGAUUGAGGCGGAAGCCUGGGAACUGGCAACGAAAGAAUAUAAGGAGCUUUAGAAGGAUAUGUGUGAGCAUAAGUUGGCUCCUAAUUUGCCAUAUAUGAAGAGUUUGUUCCUUGGUUGGUUUGAGCCUUUUACAGAUGCAAUUGCGAAAGAGCAGGAGUUGAUUAGAACGGGGAAGAGUAGGCAGGGUUAUGCUCCGUAUUUUGAUCUGUUGCCAGCUGACAAGAUGUCUGUUAUUGCAAUGCAUCAACUCGCAGCAAUGGUAAUGACAGGUGGGGAACAUGGAUGUGCAAGAGUUGUGACUGCUGCUUGUACGAUUGGUGAUGCAAUUGAGCAGGAGGUAAGUAAUUUUUAAUGUUUUAUUUGCUUAUUUUUACUUGCGGUUUGAUUUGUAGACAGAGGAUAAAGAGUGCCCAUAUAAAAAUAUUGAAAGAUAAGGGAAAACAUAGAGUUUCAUAAAUUUACUUUUAGACAACCUUCAUCUGAGGUGAUGAACUAGGAAGAAAGAUGAAAGUUACCAAGUACAAUUUUGAGAUAAAAAUCAGCUAUGGAGCUAGUAGUGCCUGGAAAAUUAGAUUUUGAAGUUACGUUCCGUAAAGUUUUGUCGAAUGUUGAAUGGGGUUUUUCUGGAUUUCUUUGUUACUUUUAGACAACCUUCAUCUGAGGUGACUUUAAAGGCACGCGUGACACUUUGCUCUACUGUCUCUUCUGACUGUGGGAGUUGCUUCCUCUUUUCUUUUCCUUUUUUUUUUUUUAAAAAAAAAAGAACUAUACAAUGAAGAGAUAUUUAGGUGUACCAUUCUUAAUCCAUUUUUUGGACCUCCUAACUCUUCAGUCUUGUUCUCUUUCUUUGAACCGAGGACUGAAUCUUUAACAGUUUCUGUGAUGAAACAGAUUAGAAUACACAAUAUCUUGGAGAAAACAAGGAAGAAAAAGGAAAAGUCUAAUGAUAGCAAGAAUGGUGUAGAAGGUGAAUCCACUGCUGUCAUGAAGGAACAAGAAAACCUAAGAAAAAAGGUUACUGAUUUGAUUAAAAAACAAAAGCUGCCAGCUGUGAGGAAGAUUGUGAAGGGGAAGGAUGAUUCAAAACCAUGGAAUGCAGAUGCUAGGGCUAAGGUUUGUGUGCCUGUAAUCAUUGAUAAAGGCUAAUUUUCUUGAACAAAUGUAUCGUGUAUGAAUUUGAUUUCUGUCCUUGCACUUUCAGGUUGGAAGCCGUCUAAUUGAAUUGCUGUUACAAACAGCUUAUAUACAGCCUCCCUGUGAUCAGUUAGCUGCUAUUCCAUCUGAACCUCGACCUGCAUUUGUACAUACAUUCAGAACUGUGUCAUAUGAAAGUAAGUAUGGAGUCAUUCUUUAAUUGACUCGAUGAGCUCAAUUUAUAUUUUCUUCCUUGUAAUUGCUCCUAACUGAUGCACAAUGGCCUUUUCUUAAACAGGAAGGGCGCGAAAAAAUAUGGUGUUAUUCAAUGUGACCCACUAGUCCUCAAAGGCCUAGAGAAAACUGUGAGUAACCCUGUCAUAUUUUGUUCUUCUAGUGAUAUCUAGUUUUCAUAUUUUAUCAUCCUUUAUGACAUGAACAUGUGUCGGGGUCCAUAUACUUUCAAAGCAGAUAGUUUAGUUUCUAGACUUUAGAGCUGAAACAGAUAAGAUUUGUAGGCAAUUUCCAUGGUGCCUCUUAAGUUGCAGAUGUUUGUCUUUCAUUCUUUUUUCUUGCACAAGAAGUCAUAAAAAUGCUGUUUCUCCAAACAGGCUAGGCACAUGGUGAUUCCUUAUAUGCCAAUGCUGGUGCCACCACUUAGAUGGAGAGGGUAUGUUAACUUGUUUUAUAUUUACAGUUUUGCCACGAUUGUCUUGUUUUAAUUUUAUAAUUUUUAGUUGGAUAUAUUCCAAGUUCAGAAAUAUUAACAUAGUGUUUUGGUUACUUCUGCUUGAUGCCUGGAGCUGUUUUCAAUUUUCAUGUCAAGUUAAAUGCUUAAAAUGGUAUAAUAGAUGAAGGGAUGAAUCUCUGAUUAUAAAGGCUGGAAUUCCAAUCCCAAUUUCAGUUAAUUGAAAUUAACAUUUCAGCAUGUUUCAAGGCUCUGCCUCUCCAUUUCUGUAACCUGCAUUGAAAGGGAAACUAAUUGUCUUGCAGGUGUUUAUUGAAAACAUGGUGAAUGUGAGAUAUGAGAUGGAUUCUCAACAAAACGGAGAACAGUGUCUUUAAACAUUGAAGAGCAUUUGCUAAUCACAACCAUGUCUAAUACGGGAAAAUUAACAUUAUUGCCACAGGCAGGAGAAUUUAGGGAUUGCUAUGGAAUUCUUUAUUAUAAUGUUUUUGAUGUUAAAGGGAGAGGUAUACUUCAUGGAAAAGAAUGAUUGGCAGUUAGAGAAAAAAUAUAGAGAAAGAAAAAGUGUUAGGUUUUCUACAAGGAUGCUGUGGUGGAUUAUUUUAGCGCAAGAAAAGAUAAAGAGUAUUGAAUUGUUGUUUUCAUGUGAAGUCAGACACGUAGUUAAUUCAGGAUUAAGAUAGUACAUAGAGAACUUGAUUAAAGUAGUUUAGUUUCUUUAGGUGAUGAUUCAUAUAUAGGUAUUUAUUUUAAAUUUCAAAUGUGCCAGAAGUGCAAGGAGACAACAGAUGAUUACAUGGGAGAAAUGGCGCAGACGGAUCUCUGCAGUCAAACUGAGAUUUUUGAACCUUAUUGUUUGGCAAGUUAGUUAGGAUAUGUUUUUCAUGGACUUUGGUUAAGUUUUUCAUGAAUAGGUGAUCACAAUCCUCAUUGGAAAAACUACACAUGCUUUGGAAUAUGAAGAGGCCUCUAUAGCAGCUUCUGCCAUUCAACCUAUUGCCUUUAAAUCUGAUAAGCUCCCUAGCACUUUUGGUUGUAAAUUGCCCAUUAGGACUGAGAUUCCUGGACACACUUUCUAUCUACAAAACGAAAAGAUUUAAACCAGUGAUUGCACUCUGAAUAUCUUAAUUUGAUCAGAUUGAGCAUCAGACGAAAACCAUUUCAUGAAUUGGUUUUGGGGAAAGAGCACUUUGUUUACUAGCAAUUUUAUAGUGGGUCUUGGCUCUUUCACUCAAUCAUCAUGCAAGUUGCAGGAGGCACAUUAGCAUAGUCCCCACUAAAAUUAAUUUUAGAUCCUUAUAUACAAAUUUGGAAGAUACAAGUUCUUCAUACAUGUUCCUUACAUAUGCUGCUUUAAUCUGGAAUUUAAUGAGUUUAUGGUUGGAUUCUGGUUCCCAUGUAGUUGUAGCAACUCUUAACACCACUAUUGCUUCAAGUAACAAAUCAGGACCUGGCAUUUAAGUAGCUUUUUGGUGUGUUCUAAGCUCUUCUUAGAUAAUUGUGUCAUAGCUCUCUUACUCGUGUCGAGCAUAACCUCAAUGCCCUUUGCAGUUAUGAUAAAGGAGCUCACUUGUUCUUACCAUCCUAUGUCAUGCGGAUACAUGGUGCUAAACAGCAACGUGAAGCAGUUAAGAGGACACCUAGGAAGCAGCUACAAGCAGUUUUUGAGGUCUGUACAUAUUAGAUGCAUUGCAUGGUUACUGAUGCAUAUUUUUACCAGCUUAGCUUCUGGUUUAACAAGGAUUCUCUUUGUACAUGUUUGAAUUAAUUUUCCAGGAUACACUAGGGAAUACCAAAUGGAGUGUAAAUAAGAGGGUACUUAGUGUUGUUGAUAGAAUAUGAAGUAAUGGAGGCUGUCUUGCUGAUUUGGUAGACCACAGUGAUGUG
rnacentral:lncRNA from 1 species